rnacentral:lncRNA from 1 species
CCAGCGGUUAUCCCGGGAGGAAUGGCCGGUUUGGCACUCAGGUUACCAUCGGUUUAUUUGGGCUUGAGGCCGCAGACCGACGGUUAAUAGACCGCCUCACUGGUUACCAGCGGUUAACAGACCGCGUGGUAACCAGUGUCGGACCAACUGGUUACCGUGCAGUGACCGCUUGGUUACCGUGCUGCGGCCCAGGCCCGCCCAGCUGCCGCCUGCCGCCCAGCCUCCACCCAGCCCCCUCCCAGGCCCGCCCAGCCCCCGCCCAGGCCCGCCCAGCCCGCCUGCCAGCCUGGGUUUAGGGUUGUUUAUUGUGGCCUGUAAAGUGUCUCCUUUACAUGAUGCCACCUUGAUAUACAAGCCUCGCCCUAGCAGUGACCACACACAUCAGCCUGCUGCAUUUUGUACCAAGUGCCCUCACCAACCCAUGUCAACUGCCUUAAAACUAAUAUAAAUAAGUAUGUAAACAUCCCGAAGGUCACCUGCCUUGUGUUCCCAGUCCAACUCACCAACAACACCAUACUCAGUUAGCCCUCUGCUUCCCUACUCCUUGGCACUCUCCAGCUGAGUCUCCGUGCAUUCAAAGCCCACCACAGUCUUGCUCUCCUGGUCUGCCACUGUCUACAACACUAUAUUACGUCUGUGCCAUUAACCCAAGCCUGUCAUAUGAUGUCUAAAUGGUAUGAAUGUGUCAAACGUGCAACAACAACCACUGGCGUGUCUGCUGGGCAUGACGUCUCCCACCACCUUGACACCCGUCUCCACUGCAGUCGGCACAUCACCCGCCUCCACAGCAGCCGCCACUGGUGCCACCGCGCCCGUCUCCAACUCUAGUGCCGGACAGCUCGUGUCAUGCUAGCUCCUGUAGUUCUGCCUCCACUGGCUGCACCUGCAUGCACGCGUGCACACAUGUGAACACACCCUGCACUCCUGCCGCAAGGUGCCAAUGCCAAUGCAAGGCUGCCGGCCAAGAACAGAGUGCUUGGUAGUGCACCGGACCUAUCUCAUGAAGCGGGCCUGUAUGUGUUUCGGUGUGUAUGCCCACUGGUGAUGCGGACACCCACCGUUGCUAAACACAAUGUUGGAGGUGUGGCGGCAGUCCAGCCAGCCGACCUGGGGGAAGGGGCGUGUGGCAGCAGGCGGGUAUGUGACACGGACUAGAGGUACCAGGAAGUGAUUUAGACAUACAUACCAUACAGCGCUAGUAAGGGAGGCAGCAAACAGUCAUCUCUUGAAGGCUGGGGCUCCGACUAGCAAACACAACGUGAGUGAAGGGGUUGCGAACCAUCUUGCGCCAGGGUUGCAGCCGCUGGGGACCUGCAUCUACCUGCAUCUACGGCAUCUCCUCAAACAUAUUUCCCAUGGACUCACCCUCGAACGGCUCCUAGAAUCGUCCUCAAGAAUCGCAUGGCGGAGGAUCCUGCAAGUACACAUACACACACGGGGUUGUGACAUAUGGCCGGGCGGGCAAUCCAGGCUGCAGGUUUAAAGCCUCCCGUCUUCAUUUUAACCUGUGGACUAACCUGUGGACUUCCGUGAGGCGCGACAACGGUCGUGCUGAACGUGAUGUUGAAUGUAUGGCGUUUUUGACCAAGACUUCCCCAUUAAAACAUUAAAAGCACAGCUGAUCAUUUAUGAGGCACAGUUGUAAGUCUCAUGUGAUAGCUGGCUUCAGCUGACGUCUCAGCAGCAGCGUCGCCGAGCUGGUCAACGAGCGGUCAGCAGCGCGAGAACUCGCGUCCCAAGCCAACAAAGCAGCCUCAGCCACCAGCUCUUGUUCUACUGACAUUACAACUAGCCUUAUUUUUGUGUUUACAAAGCAAAAUAGCGACUGGCGAGGGGCGGAAUGAGGGAGAGCGAGCAAACGCUCUAUAAUGAAAUGUAGUAUAUAAAUUAUAUGUAUACCGGUAUAGUUCAGUUAUCGUAACAGCAUAUACAAAUUGGCUGCUCGAACUGAAGUUGAAGGCCCGCAGGAACCCCAUGCAGAGGCUAGCGUUUUCCCCUCAGACCCCAACGGAAGGCCUGCGUAAUGUACUGGGAAAGAUGUCAGCUUUUAUCUUAGUGUACUAGGAAGGAUGUAAGAAGGAGAAAACGGCCUCAACCCGGUGAUGUAAAGUACUCUACACUCCUGGACGGCUUUGGGUGUUGGGGUUGAUUGAUUUUUAUAGGCAUUAGUCAAUAUACACAGUGUGGCCAAGUUCAAAUACACAACUCGACGAGUUGACGAACAUGGGUUUGCGUCCCCCGGCCGGGGGACGCUCGACCACUUUCUCUGAGACACCCGGAAAGCCCGAAUUUCUGGGACAAGUACUCUAAAUGCAUAACAGACUAUUGAUAUCAACCGCUAAAGCCAUGCGCCAAGUGACAGCAGUGACCGGGGGGUUCAUUGCUGCCUCGGUCGACACAGCCAGCUGCUCAGGUGCAUUCCUAUGCUCAGGAAGCAUACACUACAUGCAACUACAUUACUAAAGUAAGUUUACAGCUCAGGAAGCGCGGCGGUCUGAGCUCGGCCGUCAGCGACUGCCGGAGGGUUACUGGGGGGCACGCUGGGGGGGUCAGGGGGUCGGCAAGGUGCGAGGCCGCCCCAAGGACCCCACAGUCCUCACCCCAGACUUCUCGCCCCUGUGUUCCCACGUAAUAAACACCACAUUUGGGAGCUAUUACAAGGCUUUCUGGGCUGGCCAGGGUACAGGGGCCAGGUGGGUGCAGGGGGGGAUUAGGGGGGGGGGGGGGUUAUGGGGGUUGGUGAGGUAAGGGGCCAAAACACUGACGUAGGGAGGAGGCGCGGCGCUGCUAAAUGCCAUCAAUGCAUGCUGCACAGUUGUGGUUUGGUAGACUACGUGGAUUGGGAAGCAUCAAGGGGAGACGGCAAGAUCAGCAGUGGGAUGAUCAUGGAUGGUAUGGGGUGAAGAAGAAGACGCACACCUUGCUCCCAAUGUUGCUGUUUGUAAACGUCUGUGUGCAUUACCAUCCAUGCGGGGGGGCAGCUGGAGGAGUACAGGUAUUACAAGUCCUCCCACGGUGUGUGUGAGGGAAGAGGGCAGGCCCCUACCUUAAGCAUAAGGCACGCACCAUCGUGGCUGGGCAGCGAGUGAUGAGUUACCUGCGGGUGACCAAUAGGGAGCCGCUGACAGUUCCGCCCCAAUGUGGUCUCCUAGCAUAACACCCCCAGCCAUGGCCGAAGGCACGGCCGCGGCCAGAGCUGCACGCAUCUACGCUGGGGGCAGGCCCUGGCCAGGCUGGGCGGGCCUGGGUGGCAGCUGGGCGGGCCUGGGCGGCGGCUGGGCGGCCCUGGGCGGCAGCUGGGCGGACCUGGGCGGCAUCUGGGUGGGGGCUGAGCGAGCCUGGGCAGAGCCUGGACAAGGGCUGGGCAGGAGCCACAUACCAAUGGGUUACCACAAAGUUACCAUUUUAUCAAAGUUUACCGAGGUUUUACCGAUCAGCCAACCCAUACCAAUCCUGACCGAUGCUAACCGACGCUGACCAUCGGUUUAUUAGGGUGACCGCCUGGUAACCGCCCCCAUACCGAUCGGUUUAAUAGGGGCUGGAACGGUAGGGCUUGCACGGUGCCUCGCUCUAUAGGAAUGGCGGAUGUGCUUCCGUGUUCGGUGCGGAUGCGGGUGGUCGCAUGUGCAUAUAGGUUGCGGACUGCGCGGAUCAGGUCCGUUGGCAGCCCAAGGUCAAACAUAAUUUGUAGUAAUCGGUCCUGGUCGAUUGUGUUAAACGCGGAGCUAUAGUCCACGUAUACCGCAUAGACAUCUUUUCCAAACAGUGCGGCAUCCUCAAGGGCAUGUACUAAAUUUAGGACCUGCCUUUCGGUGUUGCAGUAGGCACGGAAGCCUUCCUGUGCUUCACUGAAUAGCUGGAGGGGGCCAGCCAGUUCGCCAAUGCGUGGAUAUCCACCAUUGAUGGCUGGUCGGGUCGGCCCGGAACUGUGGGAUGGCCGGGCGGGCACUAUCGCAUACCCCGGUCGGUCCGCCCGCAGGUAGGCAGGUUAUGUGGCCGGGCUAUGCUGGAUGCCCGCGCCGGCUGGAUGCAUCUCCGACCCCGAUGCCCUGGACAGCCCUGGAUGGCUCGCCCAGACAUCCCUACCACCCUCAUGGCCUACAGCGCAUCAUGUCCCCAUGCAGCGGCGCCUCAUGCCCAACUCGCCUGGCCAGCACCAGCCUUUCAUACCCGUCUCGGCUCACUAUUUUACAGCAGACAGUCAGCCUUCGCGUCAGCACGGCCGCAGCUAGGCAGCCACCCUGCUGGUUUGUUUUCUGCGCCGGCGUCGACGUUUUGAGAACCGCCAUGCCGCACCCUCCUUUCUGCCGUUCUCUUUCCUCUUGUCCUCGCAUGUACGUACUACUCCUGGCUCACCGCGGAUGCCUGGCUGCGUUCCAGGUGGGGUUCGCGUUAUCACAACGCAUCGCAGCCUUCACUUGGUAGUCUGCGGCCAGUCUACGCCAGCCCAGCCUCCGACAGCCGUAUACACCAGCUGAGAGUCACAGGCUUUAGGACGCCGGAGUGGCGCAGCUUGGCGCGCGGUUAUCUCGUCAAAGGUAACGUAGCAGUUGCGGUCGCUGCUCACGCUUUUCUCUUUGCUUGUGCUAGCUCAUGGCCUCGGCUCUACAACGUCAUGUUCGCUUGUGCGUGUUGUGUUUUUCAAGCACGUCAAUAGCACAGGGAUAAUCGCCCCAUUGACUAGUGUUGCGGAACUAGCUAAUGCGUACAUAGACCAGAGCGGAAGGCGGAGUGGGCUUGCAGGCGGCACGAGAAUAGGCAGUCAGUAGCGCAAGUUGCGAAUUCACAUGUUGCCUCGUAACCGACGGUAAACGCUGUGGACGGUCGCGCCCAUGGCUGGCUGACGGAAGGUGGCUGCUGUAUUGGGAUGGCUGGGCUGGACGACGGCGGCCGGGCUGGCGUUGGGACUACCAGAAAGGAUGCGCCCGAAACAGUAAGCGAGUAACCAUAAGGAGUGGGCAGGAGCGGUCUACAGGAUCGCCCUGGAUAGGGGACUAGAGCGAGAUAGUGUGGAGCGGCAAAACAGCGGGCAGCAGCAAGCAUUGAAUAGAACAUGCGUCGCGGCAAUGGGUGACAAGGGUUAAACAUCACUCGCUGCACCAACUGCAACAGCGAGAGGCCACCGGUGAAUAUGUUCACCAUUCUUGUGGUUCGGAAGUAUGAAUUUACAGAAGCAUCACCGUGAAUGGCAGGCCGAUGUGCUUAUUAACAAUGCUGUCGACAGUGAAUGGUUUGAGGCGCAUACUUGUAUUUGGUUGAAAUCGCGCACGUCACCGGGCGGGGCCGGGCGGUGCAUGCGUGUCGCUGAACUGCGGUGUGACAGGAACGCAAAGGGGAACGGGCCGGGGUACACAUUAAGCACGCAGCGGCGGGACUAGCAAACAGCCACGCAGGCCCAGCAACGCAAAUCCAGCAACCACAGCCAUGCAGACCCGCUACGUGCAACAGCCGACGCACAUGCACGCGCGGAACUCCAGUCUCCGCGCCGCCGCCACCGCCGCGGACUCCGCCUCCCGCGGGCGCAGUGGUGCGUGGCGCGGCGGACGGGCCCGGCGGUGCAUGCGUGUCGCUGAACUGCGGUGUGACAGGAACGCAAAGGGGAACGGGCCGGGGUACACAUUAAGCACGCAGCGGCGGGACAGGAAACAGCUACGCAGGCCCAGCAACGCAAAUCCAGCAACCACAGCCAUGCUGACUUCUGGGGUCGUCUCCAGACGUUUGUGACUUUGGGUAUCAGGCCAAAGGGUUGGGACACUGUCCCGUUUGCGCAUCCCUUCAUAUCUCGGGCUGUUGGUGACGGCAUGGUAUUGCGCUUGCCGUAUGACGCUGAUUCCCCGCCCCCCUCGCCGUGAGAGGUUGUGCGUGGUUGGUGGCUCUGUUUGUGGGCAGGAUGCACGUGUGGGCGACCGUUCUAGCACCUGGACGCUUGCGCCCUGGUUAGUGCGUGCGCUGUGCGUGUGUCCUGCGGCCUAGACGUUUCCCGGCACUCCUGUGCCUAGGCUUGUGGCGUUGAGGCACAGCGGUGGGGCUCUGGCGGGUUGAGGCUUGGCUAGGACUCACUAUGCGCGGAGUCACACGGACUUUGCCCGCGGGAGGGUAUGCAGCAAAGUCGGGGUUGGGCCCUGAUAGCAUGUGAUGGCUCGGCGUCUUCGGGUGCUGGGACUGUCCCCUCUGUAACAUCCGCAUCCAUACUCCCGCGAGCUGCCGCGAGUUCCCCGGCGGCCUGCCCCAUGCGGUUCCGGUGCCCGAAGGCUUCAUAGCUGAGGACACGACCGCGUCAUAGAUUUCAGCGCCGACCUCAGCGCGGAAGGUGGGUGGGAAUUUCGGGAAUCGGCUGUUUGUGAGUGGUUGGGACUACCUGUUUCCAAGCACUGUUGCACUUCCCUAGCGGGCCGUCCCAGCACUGCUGGAUGCCUGGGCGGGACAACCGGAUGGCUCGGCGGGGACUGUUGGAUGGCCCGGUCGGGCCAACCCGGGAAUGCUGGAAUGCCGGGCGGGGACCGCUGGAUGGCUGGGUCGGGGUCAUCCCAGCACUGUUGAAUGACUCUGCACGUUACACGCGGCGUGCUGUUAUGACUGCGCCGCGGACCAGGGAGGAGCGUGGGGAUAUGCCAGGGGUAGGCCGCUUCGAGCCGCGUGUUUUGUGCUUCCAUGUCAUGCCCUCAGAAUUCAACACAUUCGUUACGCCUUAGCAUCAAUACUGUAGUGAGCUAUGUACACGCUAUAGCGGCCGUUUAUGGCUAAGCGCGAAACCCCGAAAUGAUGUCUCUGCGGAAGACGUCCAGCGUUCGCUUUAGUUUACCCCGAUGAAUUGUGCACAUGUAAUAGGUUGUGUUCAUUGGUUUGGGCACAGUCUGUGACGGGAAGGGGCCGGGGCACCCGAGAUGGCCGACGCGAACCAGUGGUUCGUCCGGCUCGCUGGCCGCUGUGGGGCGACUCAAAGGACGGCCUUGAAUAUUCCUGCUUUUUUUUAUCCCAUGCCCGUGGAACCAGGAAUUGGUGCUAGAAAGACGACAGUUGCUUGUUGAUUUGCUGUGUGGCUUCAGCUUUCAGCGAAUAAACAGCAGCUUAAUAGGAACAACCUACACGCUUAUAUGAUUAUGAAACACAUUAAGACGAAAAGAGGUUUGGCGGGUUCGCAAUGGGGGCCUCAGUGCGGACUUUAGCCAUUUAGUGGCGCAGACUUUAGUGGGCUUCUUCCUCUGCGAUGCUCAAUACUUGCUAACCUUGUUGUUUUAGGCUAAUUGCGACGAAGGCCUGUCAGUUGGCUUGCUGGGUGUUUGCCGCGUGUCACGCCUUGGGAAAGGCAGUCCCCGACCAGGUCGCAAAAUCCGACCUCGGCUUUACUCCGCCCCGAUUUGUUUCCUGGUAUAUUUAGCGUUGGUAUUGCAAUCCCAAAGGCAGCCGUACUGCGGCGGAGCAUUCUAAAGGGGGCGCCACUAAAUCGACUGGAAAGAGGCCCAGUAAUCCCACUAGCGGACCGCCAUGCGAUCCAUGGAGCGUGCCCCUAAGGGAGUCAAGUGACAGGGGACGCAAUGUACAGUGUUUAAAUGCCGAGCACGAGAGGAGGCUGGUGUAGAAGUGGCGACUAAAGUCUGAGUAUGACCUGAGUGCCAGAGUCGUAACAAAUGUUGGACCAAAGGUACUGCGGAUGCUGGCGUGCACACAACCUCCUGGACCGGUGACCGGGUCGGGGUCGGGGUCGGGGUCGGGGUCGGGGUCGGGGUCGGGGUCGGGGUCGGGGUCGGGGUCGGGGUCGGGGUCGGGGUCGGGGUCGGGGUCGGGGUCGGGGUCGGGGUCGGGGUCGGGGUCGGGGUCGGGGUCGGGGUCGGGGUCGGGGUCGGGGUCGGGGUCGGGGUCGGGGUCGGGGUCGGGGUCGGGGCACACGGGGGACACGCCCGGUUCCGGGCGGGGUCGAAACCCACAGCUAGGUCUCCACCUCGAAGGCUCCCACUCGGCAUGGGAUGAGAGCCGGCAUGGGAUCCCACAUUGACUCAGACCACUGACCACCGUUGACCACCGACCAUCGAGCAGACUGUCGAUGGGAUCCCACACAGAAUAGGAGCCUACGCCAGGUCGUAUACCACGCGCGAUGGCAGGCAUACUAAUCAGAGACUCGUAAUAGCCUUGACUCUGUUGUAGUAUUAUAUACUUCCAGAUGCUCUUCCUAACGUUCGGGCCAAAAUGGAGACAAACAAGUGGAAGCCGGCCCCCGACAAGGCUAGUGUCCGUGAGGAGCCUAAGCGGACCUGGCAGCUCCGUCCAUACGUCAGCUAUGUACUAAGGCGCUUUUUCUUGUGCUCGGCUUCAGCUGCGAUAGUGCCGGUGGAUCAGCGGAUCCUAGCGCACGCCCACUUUGAGAUUGCAGCAAGUGAAAUCCUGCAAGAGCUUGAACAGGUAUGCCAGAGCCGAUCGUUAGCAGGUGAAUGUAUGCACAGCAUCUUUAACGAUGCUGGUGCGGUCCAGCGACGACUGGCCGUGCCAACUCCUUGCCAACCCCUUGCCGCCCCCCCCCCCCCCCCACACACACACACACGUUUUCGCGCAGACUGUGCCGCCACUUCUAACCGCACCGAGCGAUCCUACGACGAGGUAUGGCACAGACGAAGAGAGGGCAGCUCUCCUGCAGCAAGUGAUGCAGGCGCUUCGGCGUGAGCUGCAGCCGCACGUGUCGGAGGCAGCUCGGCAGUCCUAUGAGCGCCUUAUCCCCACAGUAAGCCGCCUCGUGCUGUCUGCUGUUCGGCGUUUCAAGUCCAGGAACUAUGGUGAGUAUGUGGAAGUAAGACGUGGCAUAGCAGCUGUUGGAGGGGCAUAGCAGCUGUCGGAGAUGGGAGUUGUGCAUCCCCCCAAGGAUGGCCACGCUGGGUUUGACGUUGAUUAAGCUGACAGUCGUGGACUGGUUGGUGCCUUUGCAGGUGACUGUGAGGUGGUUGCCCGGGAGCCUUCAGAUGUGCAGCGCCAGGCUGUGGAGGGGCUGGCCAACCUGGUGCAGCUAACGCCCAAGGGCGCAGCAGUGGCGACAGCCUGGUCACUAUGGGCCAACAAUAAUAAUAAUAAUACCUACGCACGGACCAAGGUCCCGCGUGCCUUAAGGAAGAGUCCCAUCGAGGCUAACCCUACCGUAUCUCUGUGGGACCUUGGCAAGAGGCACCCCACGCAUCCACCUUCACUCAGUCCAUAGGAACCGAAGUUCUGGACCUAUCGGCCUACCAACUCUCCGAAUUCGGCCAUCAUGAAGUUUCCACGUUGCAACAAUGGGAUCCGAACCCAGAGAGUCGCUACAACGCUUCCAUCAGUACCGCGGACUCCAUACCGGAAUACUGACUUGGUUCCCCGGGCAGGAUCCGAACCUGCAUCUAUACUUGUCAGCCUCAACCGAAGUUCUGGACCUAUCGGCCUACCAACUCUCCGAAUUCGGCCAUCAUGAAGUUUCCACGUUGCAACAAUGGGAUCCGAACCCAGAGAGUCGCUACAACGCUUCCAUCAGUACCGCGGACUCCAUACCGGAAUACUGACUUGGUUCCCCGGGCAGGAUCCGAACCUGCAUCUAUACUUGUCAGCCUCAACCUGGCCGAAUCUGCGAUUCGAACCUGGGUCUGCCAUGUGACAGCGGCAUGCUCUACCAAUUGAGCUACCGGGGAUUAUGGGACUAUGGGCCAACACUGAGCGGCUGCCGGAUGACCCAGGCACUGACCCCGGUUCGGAUGAGGAGGCCUGCCAGGCGUCUAGGCGGGCUUGUGGCACCGUGCACCAGCAACUCGUUGCAGAAUGGCCCACCAUUGCGAACAGGAACGCAAGGGCAGUUGCCAGCAUGUCUUACAAAGACAGAGAAGCAGUACUGGCGCUUGUGCAGCAACGGCUCCCUAUGCGCCACCUGAGCACGGAGGAGGGCCGAAAAGACCUGCUUUCCUUCUUGCAGUUGCGGCUGUUAAGCAAAGCUGCGGGGGAGGAGGAAGAAGAUGCAGGUGGCGGUGGUGGCAGUGGCUGGGCACCAGUAGCUGGCGGCGCGGCUAGUGGCAGCGCAGCGGCCGCGGCGGCCGUGGUCACAGCUACGACCACAGGGAGUGGGCACAACGGCGGUGGGCGCUCUGGCGCGGCUGAGCACAGCCACCACCAGCACCUUGCCGCUGCUGUCCAUCUCUCGGCGGCAGCUGCUGAGGGCGAUUCCGGCGGCGGUGGUGGCAGUGGCUGGGCACCAGUAGCUGGCGGCGCGGCCAGUGGCAGCGCAGCGGCCGCGGCGGCAGUGGUCACAGCUACGACCACAGGGAGUGGGCACAACGGCGGCGGGCGCUCUGGCGCUGGGGUUGCGGCAGAUGGCGGUGGCGGCGCUUAUGAGUGGCUAGACUGCAUGAAUACGGAUGUGAUGCACUUGCCAACCUUUGAGUCUGGCAGCUUGAUGGGGUUACUAUGUGACGAGGCGGAGCCUACUGGUGAUGCGGCAGCAGCUAUGGCAGCACUUGCUACUGCAGCUGCAGCUGUGGUCCCCCCCGGGACACUUACCAAUGCACAGAUGCUCGCGGCCCUCGCGGCCCUGUCGCAACUCCAAGAGCCCGUACAUGCCGACCAACAGCAGCUGCAGCCGGGACAGGCGCAGCCGGGGCAGGCGCAGCCGGGGCAGGCGCAGCCGGGGCAGGUGCCGCCGGGGCAGGGGCAGGCGCAGCCGGGGCAGGCGGGGCAGCCGGGGCAGGCGCAGCCGGGGCAGGCGCAGCCGGGGCAGGCGCAGCCGGGGCAGGCGCAGCCGGGGCAGGUGCCGCCGGGGCAGGCGCAGGCAGGGCAGGCGCAGGCAGGGCAGGCGCAGCCGGGGCAGGUGCCGCCGGGGCAGGCGCAGCCGGGGCAGGCGCAGCCGGGGCAGGCGCAGCCGGGGCAGGUGCCGCCGGGGCAGGGGCAGGCAGGGCAGGCGCAGGCAGGGCAGGCGCAGCCGGGGCAGGUGCCGCCGGGGCAGGCGCAGCCGGGGCAGGCGCAGCCGGGGCAGGCGCAGCCGGGGCAGGCGCAGCCGGGGCAGGCGCAGCCGGGGCAGGGGCAGGCAGGGCAGGGGCAGGCAGGGCAGGGGCAGGCAGGGCAGCCGCAGCUGCGAUGGCGGCUGCGGCGCCGCUUUGACCGCAGGUACCAUGAGUACUAUGCGGACUUGGGACAGCGCUCCAGCACGCUGCUAGAGAAGCUGCUGGGGUCGCGCAGUACCGUGUCAUUGCCAAAGCAGGGGAUUCUUGAGCAAAACAUUGCUCAGCAGGACGGGUACUGCGCAGACAGCGAAGAAGUCAGCGAUGGAGCACUGGCGGACCACGAAGAUGGCGAGUUUCUGCAUGGCUGUCAGCAAUCGGAGCUCCAGCACGACUUCAAGCAGCUGCAGCGGGACAAGCAGCGCGCCUUCAUUGUUAAGGAGCACAGCCGUGUGACGGGAGACAUAAUCAAGAAGAUACAGGCGCUGACGCUGGUGAGCAGCAACGCCGAUAUGGCCAUGUUCAGCAGUAGCAACAGGUCCACAGCGUAUAAGACGGUCCUCAUCGGCCGUCAUUGGUACGGUAUCAGCAAGCCACACACCGAGGGCCUCACUAGGCUCAUCAAAGUGUUCGCGCGCCACCCGUCUGCUCGUGGAAAGCUGCUGGGGGCAGCAGCGGAUAUCCUGGCGGAGUACGGCAGCGACAGCGAUAAGGGGCCAGGCGAUGGCAGCGAUGAUAGUGACAGUGGCAGUGGCGCCGACCACAGCGGCUUGCGCGGCGGCAGCAGCAGCAGCAACGGCGGUGACGAGCCACGGCGGGGUCAGAAGCGUGCUCGCCAGGUAGCCACGGCGGUGGCUGCGACAGCCAUGCAGGCGGCACACGCGGCAGCAGCGCAGGCACCAGCCACGGCGGCGGCGGCGGCAGCCAUGCAGGCAGCACCCGCGGCAGCGGUGCAAGCACCAGCCACGGCGGCGGCGGCGGCAGCCAUGCAGGCGGCACCCGCGGUAGCGGCGCAGGCACCAGCCACGGCGGCGGCGGCGGCAGCCAUGCAGGCGGCACACGCGGCAGCGGCGCAGGCACCAGCCACGGCGGCGGCGGCGGCGGCGGCGGCGGCGGCCAUGCAGGCGGCACCCGCGGCAGCGGCGCAGGCACCAGCCACGGCGGCGGCGGCGGCGGCGGCGGGAGCCAUGCAGGCGGCACCCGCGGCAGCGGCGCAGGCACCAGCCACGGCGGCGGCGGCGGCAGCCAUGCAGGCGGCACCCGCGGCAGCGGCGCAGGCACCAGCCACGGCGGCGGCGGCGGCAGCCAUGCAGGCGGCACACGCGGCAGCAGCGCAGGCACCAGCCACGGCGGCGGCGGCGGCGGCGGCGGCAGCCAUGCAGGCGGCACCCGCGGCAGCGGCGCAGGCACCAGCCACGGCGGCGGCGGCGGCAGCCAUGCAGGCGGCACACGCGGCACAAGCGGGAUCUUCUGCAGCACCGGCAUCAGCAGCAGCGGCAGCUGCAGCUCCAUCUCGUCGGGUGAAGCUGGACCAGGAUAAGGUGGGUUCGCGGAUGCAUGCACUAGUGCUGUUCCAGACAUGUCUCUAACCGUGUGCCAUUUGCAGCGCCUGGAACUGCAGAUGACCAUGGGCCCAUUCGUAAGCCUGACCAAGGUGAAGGCGAUUGCAGCCUGGCGGCAAGCAAACCCGGACAAGACUGCUGGCCUUUCGGAUCAUCAACUGGGCACGGCCUGGACUGCCGUGCGCGCUGCUGGACGUGCUCGGGGGAAGCGACUCGCGGAGUCAGAGGAGGCCGGCGAUGUGGGGACUGACAUAGCGUCCGUAGAAUCCCGUAUCAGGCAGAAGCUAGCUGCGGGCGAGACGUCGGGCGUUGAAGAUGACCUAAACGAGUUGCGGAUGACGGGGCAGAACGAGCUGUACGCACAACUCUACAACGAAGCUUGUGAGAAGGGCGUGUUUGCUGGACUGGCGUGGUAACUAACGUGGGCGGUUGGCUGCAGUACAAUGUUUGUGGUGGGAUCAAUGCGACUGUACGGCUGUAGGUCAGUGUAGUUGCUGGCCGGGCGUCGGCAGUACGGUAUGCAACGCAGCCGGCGGCUCCAUGGUCGCGGCGUUGCCUGGAGUUGAGCUGCAGCUUUACUCCUCACACGAGUAAUGCAACGGAUUGCCUUGUACGCUUGCCCACAUGUGUAAUACCACUCAAGACGCCAGCUGGCCGGGCGUUGCGUGCUAGUUCUGUCAAUUAGGGGCCGGGCCGCAGGGGGACAUACGCAUCUGCACACGGCGUUGCCUGGAGUUGAGCUGCAGCUUUACUCCUCACACCAUUAAUGCAACGGAUUGCCUUGCACGCUUGCCCACAUGUGUAAUACCACUCAAGACGCCAGCUGGCCGGGCGUUGCGUGCUAGUUCUGUCAAUUAGGGGCCGGGCCGCAGGGGGACAUACGCAUCUGCACACGGCGUUGCCUGGAGUUGAGCUGCAGCUUUACUCCUCACACCAUUAAUGCAACGGAUUGCCUUGUACGCUUGCCCACAUGUGUAAUACCACUCAAGACGCCAGCUGGCCGGGCGUUGCAUGCUAGUUCUGUCAAUUAGGGGCCGGGCCGCAGGGGGACAUACGCAUCUGCACACAGCCGGCGGCUCCAUGGUCGCGGCGUUGCCUGGAGUUGAGCUGCAGCUUUACUCCUCACACGAGUAAUGCAACGGAUUGCCUUGCACGCUUGCCCACAUGUGUAAUACCACUCAAGACGCCAGCUGGCCGGGCGUUGCGUGCUAGUUCUGUCAAUUCGGGGCCGGGCCGCAGGGGGACAUACGCAUCUGCACACAGCCGGCGGCUCCAUGGUCGCGGCGUUGCCUGGAGUUGAGCUGCAGCUUUACUCCUCACACGAUUAAUGCAACGGAUUGCCUUGCACGCUUGCCCACAUGUGUAAUACCACUCAAGACGCCAGCUGGCCGGGCGUUGCAUGCUAGUUCUGUCAAUUAGGGGCCGGGCCGCAGGGGGACAUACGCAUCUGCACACAGCCGGCGGCUCCAUGGUCGCGGCGUUGCCUGGAGUUGAGCUGCAGCUUUACUCCUCACACGAUUAAUGCAACGGAUUGCCUUGCACGCUUGCCCACAUGUGUAAUACCACUCAAGACGCCAGCUGGCCGGGCGUUGCGUGCUAGUUCUGUCAAUUAGGGGCCGGGCCGCAGGGGGACAUACGCAUCUGCACACAGCCGGCGGCUCCAUGGUCGCGGCGUUGCCUGGAGUUGAGCUGCAGCUUUACUCCUCACACGAUUAAUGCAACGGAUUGCCUUGCACGCUUGCCCACAUGUGUAAUACCACUCAAGACGCCAGCUGGCCGGGCGUUGCGUGCUAGUUCUGUCAAUUAGGGGCCGGGCCGCAGGGGGACAUACGCAUCUGCACACAGCCGGCGGCUCCAUGGUCGCGGCGUUGCCUGGAGUUGAGCUGCAGCUUUACUCCUCACACGAUUAAUGCAACGGAUUGCCUUGCACGCUUGCCCACAUGUGUAAUACCACUCAAGACGCCAGCUGGCCGGGCGUUGCGUGCUAGUUCUGUCAAUUAGGGGCCGGGCCGCAGGGGGACAUACGCAUCUGCACACAGCCGGCGGCUCCAUGGUCGCGGCGUUGCCUGGAGUUGAGCUGCAGCUUUACUCCUCACACGAUUAAUGCAACGGAUUGCCUUGCACGCUUGCCCACAUGUGUAAUACCACUCAAGACGCCAGCUGGCCGGGCGUUGCGUGCUAGUUCUGUCAAUUAGGGGCCGGGCCGCAGGGGGACAUACGCAUCUGCACACAGCCGUCAAUCACUGUUUAGCUUAUCUUACCGUCAGUCGACAAUUACGGUGCGGUAUCAACCAUACCACCAAGAAGAAUUAAUGAAUGUCCGAAUGAAUGCAUCAUAAAUAAAUCAUGCCAGUCCCAUUCAUCAGGGAUUUAUGAGGGAUCCGGAAUGCUCGUGUGCUGAAGCUGGGACUUCAGGUCUUGCACUAACGCCAAGUGUUGAUCUAACAGGAACACACUGCCUGCACACUCCUGCCUUUUUGCACGUGCCACACCGAGCUGCACCUGCACCACCUCGAGCCAACGUGCCAAUCGAGCCUUCUCCACCGUCAGAAUUCCUAGCUCUUCACCAGCCCGUGCCCGAUGCACAGCCGCCUCUAGGAAACGGCGGCCGUGGUACAUACGCUGUGCUGCGGUAGUAACACCCGGAGCACGCCAAGGUGGCUGGCUGCCUGGCUGGAACAGGCCGCGCACGUCGCUAUCCGUCAACCUAGCACCGUCUCCACCGUUACCAAACUGCUGCCAAACGUACAUCUCCUCCAGAGUGGCCCGCACCUGCCCACGCUUCCGCUGUGCGCUCUUCCGUGCGGUCUUCGCAGCCUUAUCAGCCGCGCCCGCCUGCCGCAGCUCCAGCUGCUGAAUCUCCAGCACAAGCUCCUCAACGCGGUCUUGGCACCUGUUAUUUGAAUGAUGGCGCCAAAUCGAGUGAACGGUUAACGGCUGGUUAAUAUUUCUAACCCAUGAAGGGACCUAGGUUUAAGGGUCACGAGCACGGGACUCAUGAACCGGCACUGCUUUUACAUGCCAAGACCCGAGCCCCAAAUAUUGAGUCCCACCACUUCCAAACCGCUCACCUGCUAACCUCCCGUUGUUUGAGGCGCGCUAAGGCGGCCGCAAAGUCAGGAAGGAGAGGAGUCUCCGUGCCAGAGGUGAUGGUGACAGCUGACUUGCGCCACUCCGCCGCUGCAGCUGGCCCCAGCUCAAGCUUGAGCUCCGCCUGCGCGAUGGCCUUGGCAGUGCGGGCUACUUGAGCAUCAGUGCUCGCGGCCGUCAAUGUGACGGCCGAUGGCGAUGAUACCACAGCCAACGCUGGAGCUUUGCGUUUCAGCUGUUUCAGCUCAACGUGGUGCAACAGCAGCUCCACGUACUCUACCUGUGGUGUGUGCGCAUAGCGGCAUGGCGUGACGUGGGGGCAUACACCGUGUGCUCGCCUGCUACCUGUUACAAAGACCUGCCGACUCUCCAUUCUCCUUACAACAUCCCAUACACACCGGCUUGGAGUCCUCCUCGUUGUCCACCUUCUUGCCUCGCAGCAGGUUGGCCUGCAUCCACUCCUCGGCUGCUGCCCAGACGUUCGUAAUACCACUGGCGUUGGCAGUUGCGGUUGCCUCCUCCUCGCGGCGUGUGUACUCAUCUGCGGCAAAGGAAGUGCAUACCGGAGCAUGUGCAUGUAAGCGACCUAAGGCUGAAGCGGGGUGCAGAUGUGAGCACCAGUCGUCCCACCGUAUAGCCGCUGCGUGUCCUUGUACUUGGUCUCCAGCAGGCGCACAAUGCGCUGCAACUUGUCCCGCCCGAGCACGGUGAGCAACGCCUCAAUGAAGUCGCGCCGAUGGUGCUUCGUCAUGUAGCGAACAAGGCCAGCAAUUGCCUGUAAGCCAGACCAAGGCGGGCAUGCGCAUCUCAGCACCUGAUCAUCUGACAAGCACCACAGGCCCAGGCGCAGCGCCCCGCACCUUUGUCUGGCUCCACAGUUGCUCCGUCUGCUCGCCAAUGCGCCGCCCCGCGUCCUGCUUGUACAAGCCGCUGUUGCUAAGCUGGCAUGCUAGGUCGUGGCCACUACCGUGCAGCCAGUUGACCAUGAUCCGUAGGCUCUUGGCCUCCUCCGGCAGAUCAGGAUGCGCAGCCACGUACACUCUGGGAAAAGGGGGGGUUGAAAUCCCCGGAAAAACAGGGGGUAGUUCCCCGGAAAAAUCUUCCCCGUAUGCUUUUCGAAGAAAGUAGGAGUUUGUACGGGGAAGUCCUUACGGGGAAGUGCUUACGGGCAAGUGAAGCCCUUUUACGGGAGAGUUCAGCACCCGAACGGGAAAGUUUUGGGAGCUGCUAACACACUUAGGAUCCACACUGUACACCACGCAAUACUGCGUUAUCUACGUUAUCCUUUUACGACACCGGCCACACACCUGCUCCUCGUUGACAAGUCCAUUACGCUCAUGCAACACUACACCAAACCGUAUGAUGUCUGCCUUAUGUGUAUGCGUGCAAACCUUAACGUGCAACAAUGACUAGCGCCAUCACUUGCGUGUCUGCUGGUACAAUGCAUCCGACAACCUUGAUGCCCACCUCCACCGCAGCCGCCACAUCUUCCUAUGACCAAACUCCGUCCUUGGCACCAUCAUGCCCGCCUCCACCCCUUGUGCUGCUGGACCAGCUGCUGCCCAUGCCGGAUCCUUAGUUGCGCCUCCACUGCCUGCUUGUUGGCUGUGUUACAUGGUUGCGCCUGCAUGCACGCGGCCACACAUACAUGUUACAGCUAGCCACAAACGGCAGAGACGACACCUUGCAGCCAAAGUCAGGGAGGCAGCGUAUAAGAGACAAAAGCCCUGUGCACGCAGGGUUGCCAAGGAACCACCUUACGGGCACCUCAGCAUCUCCGUCAUGCUUCACACCGAUUUACCCCACCACCUCCCACCAACACACACAACGACGCACAAAGACUGCGUCUGUGUAUGCCAACAUGUGUUGCGGACACUCACCGUUGCUGGGCACAAUAUUGGAGGUGUAGUGGCAGUCAGCCAGCCGUCUGGGGGACGGGUCCGGAGGGAAGCAGCAGGGGUUGGGUGUGCGAUGGGACAGGGUUGGGUACCAAGGUGUGGCAGGGCAGGGCAGCGGGCGGGUAUGUGACACGGGAUUAAGGUAUCAUGGCAAGGUAGCCACACAUAUAUGUUACUGCUCGUCAUUCCUCUGCCACAAACGGCAGAGACGACACAUUGCAGCCAAGGUCAGGGAGGCAGCGUAUAAGAGGCAAGAGCCCUGUGCACGCAGGGUUGCCAGGGAAUCACCUUCCGGCCACCUCAGCAUCGCUGUCAUGCUUCACACGGAUUACCCCACUACCUCCCACCAACACACACAACGACGCACAAGUACUGCGUCUAUGUAUGCCAACAUGUGUCGCGGACACUCACCGUUGCUGAGCACUAUGUCGGAGGUGUAGUGCCUGUCAGCCAGCCGUCUGGGGGACCGAUCCGUUGGGGAAGCAGCAGGGGUUGGGCGCCAAGGUGUGGCGGGGCAGGGCAGCGGGCGGGUACAUGACACGGGAUCAAGGUAUCGUGGCAAGGUAGCCAUAGAUGCCAACACCUUACAGGCAGGCAGGUAGGCAGCAAACAGUCAUUUGUUGAAGCCCCCCUCCCCCCGCCACACGCACACAUAGCGCGAGGAGGUGGACUUCAGCCACCUAAGCCGCCUAUGGCCCAGCACCUACGACAACUCCCUAAACCCAUCUCAUGAACUCACCCCAAAGAGCUCCUGAAACCGUUCCCAAGAGUGAGAGGUUGAAUCCUGCACAACACACAACACACGCGGGGUUGACGGGGGGCGGGCGGGCGGCACAUCACCGGCCGUUCGUGAGCGGCGUGCGGGUCCGGUGCUGCGACAUCCCGCUGCUGCUCAACCACACGGCCAGUUAACGCAUCCCAUUGUCAUUGCAACCUGUCGACUAACCUGGACGAACGUGUGUUGCCGGUAGUGUUGCAGAGCCAUGUUGGAUGGCGAUGAUGCGGGCGACCGAGAAGACAAACUUUGAAGCAAAGCUGAUACAAACGGACGCUGACUCGUAAACCUUACGUGACAGCUGGCUUCAGCUGACGUCUGAGCAGCGUCGCCGAGCCGGUCAACGAGUCAGCAGCGCGAGAAUUCGCGGCCCCAGUCAGCAAAGUAGCUACCGACAUUUGAGGUAGUCUUAACUUGUGUUCAAAACGCAAAUUAGCGAGGGAGAGCGGAGCAAGGGACAGCGACAUAAGUAAGUGCAACAGCUGCAGAACAGCUGAGACGAAAUGCACGUAUCAAGUAUAAGUAGGUACUAUCUUAUGUAUGCUACAAUAUUUACGUAAGUUAACACGCUUACACGCUUGUUGCUUGAAGUCAGGCUCGCGAAACCCCAUGCAGAUGCUCGCCGGUCGCCUUCCCCCCCCCCCCCCCCCGCCCCGCCCCCCCGCCCCGUUUCCAGUCCAUCAGCCUCUGCCGACUUUCCAAAUCCUCCCUGCCUACAUGCCUGUUCUCUGGGGUUGGGUGUGGAUGUGACAUUGGUGCCGCAAUGCCGCACCUUGUCCUACACCAGGCCCCGCCCCCCACCACCACCACCACCAACACACACACACACACACACACACACACACACACACACACACACACACACACACACACACACACACACACACACACACACACACACACACACACACACACACACACACACACACACACACACACACACACACACACACACACACACACACACACACACACACACACACACACACACACACACACACACACACACACACACACACACACACACACACACAUGCGCGUUUGUUUGCCAGCUGUUUGCGCCUGACAACUCAGGUCACCGGCUGCACCAGCCACACAACCCAGACAGGAAAGAGUUCCGGUGAACCUCCGUGCAGUUCCGGGUUGGGUUGAAGUGGGGUGGGAUGGGGUCGACUGCGUGCAUUAUGGAACAAACCCUAAGGGCCUUGAUGAGCUUGAAAUUAAGGGAGCCUGCACAUAUGCGAGCACAAAUCCGCCAGCAGCAGAGACGUGGGGGUUCCGGGGAACCCCGGCUACGGGGAAGUUUUGCCCCCCUUCCGGGAAAGUUUUGGCCCCUUACGGGAAAGUUCAGCAUUUUUCCGGGAACGGAUUUUUUUCCGGGGAAGACCUUUUCCCAGAGUGGUAUUGCUGCCAUGUGCUGCUGAGCCGGCAACCAAAAUCUAUGUAGACGUCAGCUAGAUCCUGGCGCUGCGUCACGAGGUGGUCUAGCAUGAGCAGGUAAUAAGCAAACUGCUCUGGGGUGCGCAGGUCGCAGAAAACUUCCCUAACCGGCAGCCCGUGCAUGCAGACUGCCCCGACCACACCAUGCACGUCGCAUGCCCCGGUUGCCGCAGAGUCCGCGCGAGCACAGUGCAGUGACGUCUGGCAUUCGCACGCACCCUCACUGCGCGCAUCGGCCGCUGCAUUGCUGGGCAAGUCCUUCACUACCGCCUGCAGAUUGAGCUGUCCCGCCUCGAAGAGCUGCUGCACCUCCGCAUCCACGGCACCGAAGUGGCCAGACAGCUGCGGAGGAAUGCCCGAGCUGGCAAUGCCACAGCUGGCGAAAUGCCCCAGCUUCGUGACUGCAUCUGCUGCUACUCCAAGGCGGUAGGGGUGGGCGGUAUCUGUGUGGUGGGAGGCAACGGAAACACCUGAACAAGUAGCAGCAAGGCUAACCUAUGGCUAACCGGAAUAACCAGGAAUAGUGUCACCCGCAGCAUCGUUGGCCACCCACUUGCGGUUGCAGAGCAGACGGGGCAUCCGCUGAACGGGCCCUGGUCCAGGCCCUCCACGCCCAGCGCCCCAAAGCUGUCGUGAUUGUGAGACGCCCGCAAGUGGCCGAAAAACGAGCCCAGGUACUGGCGGUCGUCCAAGCCCGUCCCGCUGAACUCCGCCAGGAAUUCUGUGAAGUCUGUAUCCAGAGGGCAGGUAUCAGCACAUAUGUACCUGAGCCUCGAGCUGGCUAACAUCGGCGAAUCCAACCGUGCACACACAUGGUUGCCCCUGCUUGCCGCCCGCACUAACCUGAUGCAGAAAGGCCUGCACGAAGCCCGAGCCACGCGUAGGCGUUGUGUACCUCCAGAUCAUACAGCGUGUCAUACUCCGUGGGCGUGCUGGGAAAGCACCCGGCAGCAAUUGCGUCCGGCGUAAAAGCGGCCCCACAGCUGCACGUAACCGUCGGCACGCUCACCACUCCGCUGCACUGCAGGCCAAUGUACCGCACGUUGUUGUACGUGGUGCACGACGUAGCUGACGUUGUGCACGCGUGCGCUGCCUGCCACGACGCCGCAAGCGCAUCGAAGCGCUGUUGCGCCUGCUCUAAUAAGAGCUUCCGUCGCAACAACCGCUGCUCGUUUAAUGCAGCCGCUUGCUGCAUGAAAGUGAUGCGCAUCUGCUCUGCGUAUUUUGCCCAGGCAGCCUCAAGGCGCUCCUGCCGCUCAGUCCAUGGCACAUGCUUGCGGGAUCCAGGCCCCCCUGAAUCAAACUGUGCCUGCUGAUCUCCUGAGGACUCCCCACGAGCUGCAGCUGACCGUGCCCUAGGCUUCGGCAGCCGGGGACCCGGUUCGGCGGCAUCCCGCUCGCAGCGCUCUGAAGGUACUUUGCGCUGAGGCUUUUCUGGAGGCGGGGCGGUUGACGAACCAUAUGUUGUUAAUUUAUCAGACCGGUGGUGUUUAGACAUUGCAGUAAGGAACCGGCCUGCCGAAGCGGAUAUGAGCUGUUGUAAGAAAGGCCUUGUAUGCAGGACCGGAAUCGGACAGGCAUAAGGUAGCAAGCAGCAGGCGGGCGUUGCAGAGGGGAGUGAGGGGGCCGCGCGCUGUGUGUAUGGCACGCAACGCGAGUGUGUUGGCGAGUGAUACUAGAACUGCAGAAUGGCAGGUGAUACUAGAACUGCAGAAUGGUUGUAAAACACAACAGCAUAACAACCCGGCGAAUGUUUUCGCCCUCUUGUGGCCCGCUUUUUCGCGUGACUGGACAACCAGAAACGGCCAUACACAAAAGACAAGACGCGCAGUAAUCCUAAGCUGUCUCCUUGCAGUAUUACGUGUCAUUUUUGCUGAUAAAAUCAGAAAGCGAGGCGGAGCGUGGUCGGGGUGGGCGAGCACCUUCGGCACGUCAGAGAAAGCUCGACAAGACAGCGCAAAUUGCUUCUAAACUUUGUGCUUGAGCUUCUAUUAUACAUUUGGAUGGUUGUUGCUGCGGCCGCGCAGGUUUUCGCUGCUCGCCGUGCCAGGAUUUCCGGAGCCGGCUCCAGUCCGCCCCCGCUGGCCUGGAGCCCGUCCACACCCCAACCGUCCCCAAACGCGCCGCGAGUCCCCAAACAAGCUUAACAUCACAUAUCUAUAAACAUUUGAGGCUGUUGAACGGGCUGUGAGGGCUUGCGGCUGAUAGGUGCCGCUUCCGCGCCAUCCGAUGCACUGCAGGCUAAAAUGCUAGCGCGCCAGGGUGGGAUACGUGCGCCCGAUCACUAAUGGUGACAAGUAUGUAUAACGUUGUGGUAGUGUGGCGGUCGGGCAACGAGUACACGUCCGCAGAAGCUUGUUUGGGCGGAGCCGGCUCCCGGCCGCGCCCUCUGGCCGGGGGGCUGCCGUCGCCCAGACAAGAGCCCUGCGUGCGCUUCUGCCCGCCAAGCAGUAUUUUCUGGCAACAUUCACUGGUAUAAUGCCACCAGUGUGCUGCAGACUAGUUCUGCGCUUGGCCGGAGAGAGCUCCGGGCGCAGCCUCGCUGUUGGUCAAACCAGCAGCAAGUGCGCCCUGAGCGCUCGGCCACAGGGCAGCAUCUACAUUAUUUGAUGAUACGCGUGGCAUUGUGGAAGUGGGAUUGGUAUAGAGCCGGAGGCGAGGCCCAAGCAGCGCCAGCGAGAACAAGACAACUGCUGACUGCUGUAAUGGAUGCAUAGACAAACGUGCGUCAGCACAGACUAGUACUGUCACAUGUAACACUUCAACUAUUGUCAAGGCGCCUGCCUCGUCCACCCUGCAUGAGGUGACCCUGGAACCAACCCCCGCGCUCCGGCGCUCGGACCUUGGCCUCGCUUACAGUCCUGCGCUACUGUAAAACCGUAAAACAUCUAGGUUUGACUUUAUUUUAUAGAAUGCAUUCAUGGCCUUCCCUGAGGAGUUUUCUGAAGAAGUCAUAGACGAAGAAGAAGUGCCUACUACAUCGUUAGGUUCAGAGUAUUUGCCAGGUAGUGCUGAUCAGGAAGAGGAGGAGGAGGAGGAGGAGGAGGAGGAGGAGACUUCGGAGGGGAAACAAGGCACUGGAGAACUGGAGCGGCCCAGCGAAGUCGUCGCAGCUCAACCCGAGGUGCACUUUAACAAUGGCGAAGCUACCGGUAAGCUUCUGUGUGCAAUCGGCUUUUUACAUUCGCGGCCAACCCCCGAUGCCCGACCUGAACUCUCAACAGCGCGCGCGGAAGCGGACUGCCAUGCGGAGCAACGCGGUCAAGACGAGUCACACGGGGAUGAAGGCAUGGGUGAGGUUACUGGGACUAUGGCAGUGCGCAUUUUUGACUUGUUUAACUUCUGCCACCUCAUACCUCGACCGCAGCGACGGGAGCGAUGGCAGAACCGCCUCCUGGUGGGCCGCUUCCCCACCAGCACGCGGAUGGCGAUGACCAAGAUAUGGAAGAUGAAGGAGCGGGUGAGGCAUGAGAUGGCAGCUUGGCAAAUGCGCGCGUGCCACACACAGAUGCUGAGCUUCCGAUUCUUGCCCCUCGUGAUCCUCACACACAGGCACGACGUCUCAAUGGCUGCAAAGCCUGCUGUCCUUCUUUGAACUCCUGAUGCAGGCGCCCCAAAGGCAGCAGAGGCGGAUAACGGCAGAGAUCGAAGGGCAGCUACAGCCGGAGCAGAUUAGAGCCCUGGCGCUCUUAAGCGACAAGCUGCAGCAGCUGCGCCCACGUGUGCGCACCUGCCAGCCUGCGCCUGCCAGGCAGUCUGAGCCGGUGACGGCGGCGGUGGUAGCGGACACGUCAGAGGCCGCAGGGUUGAGCAGAGGCGCUUCAGAAACGGGCGGAGAUGAGGCUGCCGCCAUGCACCCAGGCGGAGGCGACGGGCCCAGCAGCAGGGGCGGGGGGAGUGGCCACGCAGCAGCAGCAGCAGCUCGGACCAAAUACCCGCAACGCACGGACCAGCAGAAGCGGCACCGCUCAGCUGAGGAGUACGUGGAGCAUACCUGGGAUCGUUUGGCUACACAGCAUGACAAGCACGUGGCGCGGGGGAAAGGGGAGCUGGCGACCUUGGGCUUGGCUGCGGAUGCAGAACAUGGUGUGAAAUCGUACACGACGCACGCAAUGCCCAUCCGGAUUUUAUUUGAUCUGCGCAGCAUCACCGUCCGCGAGCUCUACGAGAUGUAUGAGCGCGCGGGGCAACUUGACACGACGACCGUGAUGGACGUGAUCGAGCACAUUAUGGUGACGGCCAUUCAGAACGACACCCGCCCCGUCCAAGGUGAAGGUAAGCGGCACGGACAGAGGCUGGGAAUGAGGGAGCCAAGGAUCGUGGGAGUAAAGUGAGCGAGGGGGGAGCAUGGUUGCCUCGCACUUAAUGCCGCACCCGUGUAAUUCCCGUCGUGGUCUUGUGGGCUCAGAGCUCAGCGAGGCGCAGCUUCUGCCAGCGCUGAAACUUCAGACCAGCACCUGGAACAAGGAGUCGGCGCGCUGGCUUGGAACGUCCCUCUACAACAUGCUAAAGACGGUGCGGGAGCGCCUGACUGAGAAGUUGAAGGUGCGUUUGGCAUUGUACAGUAUAGUUGCCCGGUAGAGAUUAUGAGCGCUCCUCCACGGAUGUCUGUGCGCCCUCACUUCGUUCCUUCCGCCUUUGCAUGCAUGCAGGUGGGGCUGCCGGCGCCGCCAACAGUCGCAGCAGUGCCGCAGGCGUCCCCGGAGGCGGCGCCGGCUACGGACAGCGGCACGGCGGGCUUGGAGCUGGAGGCAGGCGGCACUGCGGCAGCCGCGGCGGCGGCGGUGGGCGUGGACGCCCCCACUGAUGGCGCGAGAGCCGAGCUGCAGGUACGUGAGGCUGCUUUGGCUGUUGAGGGCUGCUGCUGGUGUGCAUGAAGGCACUUGCGGUGUGUUAGGUCUUCCUACCUGUGGCUGUGGCAUGCAUGCGGCCCAGCGCCACGUGCACCCUUCAGUUCUCCGGACGUCUGUGCACCCUCACUUCGUUCCUUUCGCCUUUGCAUGCAUGCAGGUGGGGCUGCCGGCGCCGCCAACAGCCGCAGCAGUGCCGCAGGCGUCCCCGGAGGCGGCGCCGGCUACGGACAGCGGCACGGCGGGCUUGGAGCUGGAGGCAGGCGGCAUUGCGGCAGCCGCGGCGGCGGCGGUGGGCGUGGACGCCCCCACUGACGGCGCGAGAGCCGAGCUGCAGGUACGUGAGGCUGCUUUGGCUGUUGAGGGCUGCUGCUGGUGUGCAUGAAGGCACUUGCGGUGUGUUAGGUCUUCCUACCUGUGGCUGUGGCAUGCAUGCGGCCCAGCGCCACGUGCACCCUUCAGUUCUCCGGACGUCUGUGCACCCUCACUUCGUUCCUUCCGCCUUUGCAUGCAUGCAGGUGGGGCUGCCGGCGCCGCCAACAGCCGCAGCAGUGCCGCAGGCGUCCCCGGAGGCGGCGCCGGCUACGGACAGCGGCACGGCGGGCUUGGAGCUGGAGGCAGGCGGCACUGCGGCAGCCGCGGCGGCGGCGGUGGGCGUGGACGCCCCCACUGACGGCGCGCUAACCAUGCAGCGCGUGGAUGUGUUCAGGACCGCCCUAGCGUCUCUGGACACCAAGAUGCGUCGAGGGUCCCGCAGUAUCCAUGCUGAAAAGUGGAGGCAAGAGGUGCUGCCAUUGCUCUUUGAGAUCUACAUCCGCCGGGUGUUUUUGAAGGGCCUGCUGUGGGACUUUCUGCAUUACUCGGCGACAAUCAGUUCGAAUGUGCCACCCGGCUCCCGGGACAAGCUCCCCAGCCUUCGCCACAUGAGCAACCUAGUGAUCAUGCGAGGGCACACUCGUGGGUCGGCACUGGAGGCCGUUCGGCGUGCCAACCCUGGCUUGAUGAAGGACUGGGUGAAAGCCGCCAACGCAGGCGGCGGCCGCAGGCGGCAUGCAGCCGAGGAGGACCUGGACGGCGACGACGGCGGUGUGGGCCACGACGGCGAGGGCCGGGGCGGCGAGGCCCACGCUACCCACGCCGAGGAGGAUGACCAGCCGCCGCAGACCACGGGCCGGCGAAAACGCCGCGGUGGCGGGGCAGCUGCUGCGGCGGGGCGAGGCCGCAGAACCAGCAGGCGGGGCCGCGGCAUUCAGGGCGGCGGAGACGGCGACGGUGGCGAGCUGGAGCCUGGCCCUGGCGACGUGUCGGCCGACGCCUCCGGUGACGGCAUCGGCGGCGAGGCCCACGCUACCCACGCUGAGGAGGAUGACCAGCCGCCGCAGACCACGGGCCGGCGAAAACGCCGCGGUGGCGGGGCAGCUGCUGCGGCGGGGCGAGGCCGCAGAACCAGCAGGCGGGGCCGCGGCAUUCAGGGCGGCGGAGACGGCGACGGUGGCGAGCUGGAGCCUGGCCCUGGCGACGUGUCGGCCGACGCCUCCGGUGACGGCAUCGGCGGCGAGGCCCACGCUACCCACGCUGAGGAGGAUGACCAGCCGCCGCAGACCACGGGCCGGCGAAAACGCCGCGGUGGCGGGGCAGCUGCUGCGGCGGGGCGAGGCCGCAGAACCAGCAGGCGGGGCCGCGGCAUUCAGGGCGGCGGAGACGGCGGCGGUGGCGAGCUGGAGCCUGGCCCUGGCGACGUGUCGGCGGACGCCUCUGGUGACGGCAUCGGCGGCGAGGCCCACGCUACCCACGCCGAGGAGGAUGACCAGCCGCCGCCGACCACGGGCCGGCGAAAACGCCGCGGUGGCGGGGCAGCUGCUGCGGCGGGGCGAGGCCGCAGAACCAGCAGGCGGGGCCGCGGCAUUCAGGGCGGCGGAGACGGCGGCGGUGGCGAGCUGGAGCCUGGCCCUGGCGACGUCGGCUGCGACGCCCACACUACCCACGCCGAGGAGGAUGAGCAGCCGCUGCGGACCAUGGCAGCUGAUGAGGCGGGGCGAGGCCCCAGCACCAGCAGGCCGGGCCGCGGCAUUCAGGGCGGUGGAGACGGCGGCGGUGGCGAGCUGGAGCCUGGCCCUGGCGACGUCGGCUGCGAGGCCCACACUACCCACGCCGAGGAGGAUGAGCAGCCGCUGCGGACCAUGGCAGCUGAUGAGGCGGGGCGAGGCCCCAGCACCAGCAGGCCGGGCCGCGGCAUUCAGGGCGGUGGAGACGGCGGCGGUGGCGAGCUGGAGCCUGGCCCUGGCGACGUGUCGGCGGACGCCUCCGGUGAUGGCAUCGGCGGCGGCGGUGGUGGUGGCGAGCCGGGCUCUGGCCCUGGCGACAUGUCGGAUGCUGAGCCCCAGGCUGAGGCCGUCAUCAUGAGGGGUACCGCCAUGGCUGUACGAGUUCCGCAGGUGCGUUGGCUUCAUGUGCCAGCUUAUUCCCCUGACUUCAGCCCCUAUCCCUCUUCCUCCUUUCCUUACACCCUACAUCCAUGCCUUGACACGCAGGCGCUGAAGCGUCCAGCUGGUGUGACAAAGGCCGGGCGUAAAUGGUUCAAGGCGGAUGUCAACAUCCACGCGCACUUGGUACGAGAGCAGUGGCAACCUGCAGCGCAGCCUGGGGCUGCAGGCACAGGGACAUGCCUGCAGUACUGCAAAUACGUGUGGUCGUUGGGCCCGUACGCCGAGGACAAGCUGCCUAAGGAGCCCUUGCCUAAAACGCGGAAGUACUGGCGGACACGCUCGCAGCCACGCUUGCAGCAGCACUCGCAGCAGCACGUGCAGCAGCACUCAGAGCAGCACUCAGAGCAGCACUCGGAGCAGCCUGGACCCUCCAUGUCUACAGCGUCGGCCUCCGAGCAGCAGUCACCCAGUGUUCACAAGUACCCCACGCGGCUCAAGCGGAAGGCCAACACUCUGGCCCCCAUCUUGGAGGAAGUAAGCCAGCCGACACCGGACCGCAACACCAGCCCAAGACGCAAGGUAUGCAGGGCUGUGCAUCCGUUGCUUCUUCCAUGUUCGUUGGCCACUACGUGAUUAACUGUAUUACCGUAGGCAAAGGAUGGCACAACCAACAACGGCACCAAUGGGGCCAGCGGCACUGGUGACACCAUGAUGAACGGUCACGAGACGUGGGAGCACAACAAGAGGCUGGCGGUGCUGGCGCAGCGCCUGGCGGACCCCGAGGACCUGGAGCCAUCCCGCAAGCGCCACAAGAGCCCUACGCCGCAGGAGUAUCUGCACAUGCAGUUCGGCGUGAGUAGGGGCCUGUGCAAGCAUGCGGGGGUGCAUUGGUAGCAGACGUGGUAUUGGCUGUACUGUUACAAUUGCACCGCGUUCACCUCAACCACGUCUUCACCACAGAGCUACGGCGCAUUCCUGGAGCAAAAGUAUGGUGGUGGGGUCGACGAUGAGGACAACGCACCGCUGCCCGACUACGAGCCGCCUGUGUUCAGAGAGAGUGAGACAGGGACGAAAGCAACCAUAGGGGCUCCACUUUCGAUCUUUGGUGAUGCGGGUUACGCAGUUGUUCUCGUAUCCAAUUCGCAGACUUGAGCGAGGCAGAGGCGGCGGAAUUGGACGCGACGCGGCCGGCCAGGCUGGCGAUAGCAAACGCUGCGCGCCUCAGGGCGGGCGAGGCAGGUGAGCGCAGUGGGCGGCGCCUGUCGGCGGCAGCGGCCGUGGUGCGGGUAUGCUGUGGCCACUCGUGGAGGGCCAGCGUGCAGCACACUCAGGUCAUGUCUUGAGCUUUGCACAGUUUGCUUGCGAUGCGAGGGGCGGCCACCCGUGUGCUUGGGCUUGAUUCAGUGCCCUCCCGCUCGCCCACCGUGCAGGCGCCGGCACCAGCUGCGCGCCAACCUCUGCACCCUCAUCGGCUACCGUGUCGGCUGCACAACUGGCUGUGGCGGCGGCGGCGGGUGGGGCUGCAGCGCCGCGCGCCCGGAGCGCGGGCGGGACGAUCAGGGCAGGUGCGGACAGUGGGCGGCUAGUUGUUGUGGCGACGGUGCGGGUAUGCCGUCGCGAAGAGUGAAGGGCCAGCGUGCAGCACAUUCAGGACAUGUCUUUGGCUCUGCGCAAUGCCUUGCGAUCCGGUGGGCGGCCGCCCGUGUGCUUGCACUUAAGUCAGCGCCCUCCCGCUCUCCCACUGCGCAGGCAGCGGCAGCGGCGCGCCCACACCAGCGCCUGUGCAGGCGGCGCCGCCGGCGGCGGGUGGGGCUGCCGCGCCGCGCGCCCGGAGCGCGGGCGGGGUGGGCGGAGCAGGUGCGGACAGUGGACGGCUAGUUGUUGUGGCGACGGUGCGGGUAUGCCGUCGCCAAGGUGAAGGGCCAGCGUGCGGCACACUCAGGACAUGCCUUGAGCUUUGCGCACGUGCUUGCGAUCCGAGGGGCGGCCGCCCGUGUGCUUGCACUUGAGUCAGCGCCCGCCCGCUCUCCCACCGCGCAGGCAGCGGCACCAGCUGCGCGCCAACCUCUGCACCCUCAGCGGCUACGGUGUCGGCUGCACAACUGGCGGUGGCGGCGACGAUGGCUAAGGCGGCGGAACCGCGCGAUGGGAGCGCGGGCGGGACGAUCAGGGCAGGUGCGGACAGUGGGCGGCUAGUUGUUGUGGCAGCGGUGCGGGUAUGCCGCCGCCAAGAGUGAAAGGCCAGCGUGCGGCACACUCAGGACAUGCCUUAAGCUUAGCGCACGUGCAUGCGAUCCGAGGGGCGGCCGCCCGUGUGCUUGGGCUUGACUCAGUGCCCUCCCGCUCGCCCACCGCGCAGGCAGCGGCACCAACUGCGCGCCAACCUCUGCACCCUCAGCGGCUACGGUGUCGGCUGCACAACUGGCGGUGGCGGCGGAGGCGGCUGGGGCUGCAGCGCUGGGCGCUGGGAGCGCGGGCGGGACGAUCAGGGCAGGUGCGGACAGUGGACGGCUAGUUGUUGUGGCGACGGUGCGGGUAUGCCGUCGCCAAGAGUGAAGUGCCAGCGUGCGGCACACUCAGGACAUGCCCUAAGCUUUGCGCACGUGCUUGCGAUCCGAGGGGCGGCCGCCCGUGUGCUUGCACUUGAGUCAGCGCCCUCCCGCUCUCCCACCGCGCAGGCAGCGGCACCAGCUGCGCGCAAACCUCUGCACCCUCAGCGGCUACGGUGUCGGCUGCACAACUGGCGGUGGCGGCGGCGGCGGCUGGGGCUGCAGCGCUGGGCGCUGGGAGCGCGGGCGGGACGGUCAGGGCAGGUGCGGACAGUGGGCGGCUAGUUGUUGUGGCAGCGGUGCGGGUAUGCCGCCGCCAAGAGUGAAAGGCCAGCGUGCGGCACACUCAGGACAUGCCCUAAGCUUUGCGCACGUGCAUGCGAUCCGAGGGGCGGCCGCCCGUGUGCUUGGGCUUGACUCAGUGCCCUCCCGCUCGCCCACCGCGCAGGCAGCGGCAUCAGCUGCGCGCCAACCUCUGCACCCUCAGCGGCUACGGUGUCGGCUGCACAACUGGCGGUGGCGGCGGAGGCGGCUGGGGCUGCAGCGCUGGGCGCUGGGAGCGCGGGCGGGACGAUCAGGGCAGGUGCGGACAGUGGACGGCUAGUUGUUUUGGCGACGGUGCGGGUAUGCCGUCGCCAAGAGUGAAGUGCCAGCGUGCGGCACACUCAGGACAUGCCUUGAGCUUUGCGCACGUGCUUGCGAUCCGAGGGGCGGCCGCCCGUGUGCUUGCACUUGAGUCAGCGCCCUCCCGCUCUCCCACCGCGCAGGCAGCGGCACCAGCUGCGCGCCAACCUCUGCACCCUCAGCGGCUACGGUGUCGGCUGCACAACUGGCGGUGGCGGCGACGAUGGCUAAGGCGGCGGAACCGCGCGCUGGGAGCGCGGGCGGGACGAUCAGGGCAGGUGCGGACAGUGGGCGGCUAGUUGUUGUGGCAGCGGUGCGGGUAUGCCGCCGCCAAGAGUGAAAGGCCAGCGUGCGGCACACUCAGGACAUGCCUUAAGCUUUGCGCACGUGCAUGCAAUCCGAGGGGCGGCCGCCCGUGUGCUUGCACUUGACUCAGUGCCCUCCCGCUCGCCCACCGCGCAGGCAGCGGCAUCAGCUGCGCGCCAACCUCUGCACCCUCAGCGGCUACGGUGUCGGCUGCACAACUGGCGGUGGCGGCGGCGGCGGCUGGGGCUGCAGCGCUGGGCGCUGGGAGCGCGGGCGGGACGAUCAGGGCAGGUGCGGACAGUGGGCGGCUAGUUGUUGUGGCAGCGGUGCGGGUAUGCCGUCGCCAAGUGUGGAGGGCCAGCGUGCGGCACACUCAGGACAUGCCUUUAGCUUUGCGCACGUGCAUGCGAUCCGAGGGGCGGCCGCCCGUGUGCUUGGGCUUGACUCAGUGCCCUCCCGCUCGCCCGCCGCGCAGGCAGCGGCACCAACUGCGCGCCAACCUCUGCACCCUCAGCGGCUACGGUGUCGGCUGCACAACUGGCGGUGGCGGCGGAGGCGGCUUGGGCUGCAGCGCUGGGCGCUGGGAGCGCGGGCGGGACGAUCAGGGCAGGUGCGGACAGUGGGCGGCUAGUUGUUGUGGCAGCGGUGCGGGUAUGCCGCCGCCAAGAGUGAAAGGCCAGCGUGCGGCACACUCAGGACAUGCCUUAAGGUUUGCGCACGUGCAUGCGAUCCGAGGGGCGGCCGCCCGUGUGCUUGGGCUUGACUCAGUGCCCUCCCGCUCUCCCACCGCGCAGGCAGCGGCAGCGGCGCGCCAACCUCUGCACCCUUAGCGGCUACGGUGUCGGCUGCACAACUGGCGGAGGCAGCGGAGGCGGCUGGGGCUGCAGCGCUGCACGUGCGGGCGGCAGCGGCGGCGGCCGCGGCGCUGGCAGCGGCGGCGGCUGCAGGGCCGCACACGGUCCUUGACGGCAGAGGCGGGGUUUUGGGCCCCCGAUGGCGCUUGAUUGGCCUGCUGGUGCCUGUGGAACCUCUGGCAGAUGAGGUUCUAAUUGCUGCCAACGGCGGAAUGUCGGAGACAGUCCUGGCGGAGGCCCAUCCCCCGGAGUCAAGGUCGUUCUGGCUUCAGAACCUGUUUCGGCCUGGAGCACGCCUAGAUGAGGUGCGCUGUGGCUGUACAAGUCAGCACGAUGCUGUUGUGUGCUCGGCUGCUAACUCUGCUUGCGUGUGCAGGUUAUGAUCACCGACAAACAGGUCACGCUACAACGGCAGGAAGUCCAGAAGUUCGCAAAAGGAUCCUCGCUUGGCGAUAAUGUCAUGUGCCGCUUCAUUCACGGCGCACAGGUACUGUUUCGUUGGGGUUCUCAUUUGAAGUCAUGGUGACGGACCCCCAUUCUCCUUCAUUCAGGCCCGCGACACGCGGCUGCGUGCGGACAAAGACGCAGCUGCUGCGGCACGGGCAGCGGCCGAGGCAUCGGCAGCUGCCGCGGGAGCCCCAGUCAAGGACGUGUACCUACCGCAAUGCCACUUUCUGUACACGUACUUCUACAACCGGCUGUAUGCGGUACGACGUUUUGCAUCCAGGAGUGUAGUCAUCGCCCUCUAACCUGUACUUACUUCUGCAGGAUGAGGGCAAGUACUGCUACGACAACGUGAAAAAGUGGACGACACCAAAAAGGCUCAAGGUGGCCGGGCAGGUGUGUCGAAGAGUCUCAGAUGACACGCAUGCAUCUCCUCACUCCUUGCUACUCGCAGUACACCCCCGACAUGAGCAUCUUGCGGCUGGACCGCAUCUUCGUCCCCGUGCACCACGGCAUGCACUACACGUGUGCCGAGGUGGACCUGCGGGCACACGAGCUGCGGUACUAUGACCCACUCAUGCGCGUGGUAAGUGACAGUCACGUGCCAGUAUUUGCUGCGUGUGCUUCGUUAAGCCAUGGUUUCAUUCAGGUACCUCUGAAAAAGAAGGACGCCAAGGACGCCGAGGAGGACGCCAAGGUCGCCGAUGACGCCGCAUGGGCACUGGGAGUCGAGGUGCUGGGGAAUCUGGCGCAGUGGGUGGAGGACGAGGCCAAGGACAAGCUGGGCGUGGAUCUGGAGGACGCGGACGACCAACGGUACGUAUCUUUGCUUGAGAUGCUGUGGGAGGGGUGAGGAGGGCAGGGAGGAGGGCUGUGCGUGCGUGUCCAUGUGGGUCAGUGCGGGUGCACGGAACACACGUGGCACUGCAUGACGUAUGUAGUUCGUGCCUGGUUACGGUAAACUCACAGGUGGCGAGCCACAGAGUGGCAGCGUACGUAUCUGGUGGCGCCACGGCAGAGAGACGGGACAAACGACUGCGGCAUCUUCGCCAUGAUGUACAUGAUGCGCCGCAGCGCCGGCCGGCCGCUGGACUUUGGCGAGGCGGACAUGGACAGGUUGCGUGUGGAGCUGGCCUACAUGCUGUGGCAGGGAGCUGUCCUGUAGCGGCGGUCAAAUAGGAGAGAAGCGGGCAACGGUGUAUUUGGACAGUGGCUGGAAAGUUUGUAAGGGGGGUCGCUUAGGUGCACACGGUUUACAAGUUUACUGAGUGCAUGAUUUGCAUGGCGGCACGGAAAUACAGACUUCACAGGUUUUGCCACAUAAGCUGGGAGAUUUAAGUUAUGAGCGGGCGGCGGGCUUGGGAGACUGAAGUGCAGUUGCCGGUGCAAACCAAUCGCUCCACGGCUCGACAGGGCGUGAACUCCACAAGUGAUUCAGUGUUAGGCUCGUUCCGUGUAGAUUCACACGAAAGCGCCAGAACACGCACGGCACAGCAGCGAUGCCAAGCGACUGGGGAGUGGGUGAGGGAAGGAGUGUGUCAGGUGGGAGGGCGUGAACUCCACAAGUGAUUAAGUGUUAGGCUCGUUCCGUGCAGAUUCACACGAAAGCGCCAGAACACGCACGGCGCAGCAGCGAUGCCAAGCGAUUGGGGAGUGGGUGAGGGAAGGAGUGUGUCAGGUGGGAGGGCGUGAACUCCACAAGUGAUUAAGUGUCAGGCGCGUUCCGUGCAGAUUCACACGAAAGCGCCAGAACACGCACGGCACAGCAGCGAUGCCAAGCGACUGGGGAGUGGGUGAGGGAAGGAGUGUGUCAGGUGGGAGGGCGUGAACUCCACAAGUGAUUAAGUGUUAGGCUCGUUCCGUGCAGAUUCACACGAAAGCGCCAGAACACGCACGGCGCAGCAGCGAUGCCAAGCGAUUGGGGAGUGGGUGAGGGAAGGAGUGUGUCAGGUGGGAGGGCGUGAACUCCACAAGUGAUUAAGUGUUAGGCGCGUUCCGUGCAGAUUCACACGAAAGCGCCAGAACACGCACGGCACAGCAGCGAUGCCAAGCGACUGGGGAGUGGGUGAGGGAAGGAGUGUGUCAGGUGGGAGGGCGUGAACUCCACAAGUGAUUAAGUGUUAGGCUCGUUCCGUGUAGAUUCACACGAAAGCGCCAGAACACGCACGGCACAGCAGCGAUGCCAAGCGACUGGGGAGUGGGUGAGGGAAGGAGUGUGUCAGGUGGGAGGGCGUGAACUCCACAAGUGAUUAAGUGUUAGGCUCGUUCCGUGCAGAUUCACACGAAAGCGCCAGAACACGCACGGCGCAGCAGCGAUGCCAAGCGAUUGGGGAGUGGGUGAGGGAAGGAGUGUGUCAGGUGGGAGGGCGUGAACUCCACAAGUGAUUAAGUGUCAGGCGCGUUCCGUGCAGAUUCACACGAAAGCGCCAGAACACGCACGGCACAGCAGCGAUGCCAAGCGACUGGGGAGUGGGUGAGGGAAGGAGUGUGUCAGGUGGGAGGGCGUGAACUCCACAAGUGAUUAAGUGUUAGGCUCGUUCCGUGCAGAUUCACACGAAAGCGCCAGAACACGCACGGCGCAGCAGCGAUGCCAAGCGAUUGGGGAGUGGGUGAGGGAAGGAGUGUGUCAGGUGGGAGGGCGUGAACUCCACAAGUGAUUAAGUGUCAGGCGCGUUCCGUGCAGAUUCACACGAAAGCGCCAGAACACGCACGGCACAGCAGCGAUGCCAAGCGACUGGGGAGUGGGUGAGGGAAGGAGUGUGUCAGGUGGGAGGGCGUGAACUCCACAAGUGAUUAAGUGUUAGGCUCGUUCCGUGCAGAUUCACACGAAAGCGCCAGAACACGCACGGCGCAGCAGCGAUGCCAAGCGAUUGGGGAGUGGGUGAGGGAAGGAGUGUGUCAGGUGGGAGGGCGUGAACUCCACAAGUGAUUAAGUGUCAGGCGCGUUCCGUGCAGAUUCACACGAAAGCGCCAGAACACGCACGGCACAGCAGCGAUGCCAAGCGACUGGGAAGUGGGUGAGGGAAGGAGUGUGUCAGGUGGGAGGGCGUGAACUCCACAAGUGAUUAAGUGUUAGGCUCGUUUCGUGCAGAUUCACACGAAAGCGCCAGAACACGCACGGCGCAGCAGCGAUGCCAAGCGAUUGGGGAGUGGGCGAGUGCCACCAGCAACGGGAGCAGACUGCAUAGUCGGAGACAACAUUUAUGAUGAAAGCUUUCAUCUUUACAGUGUGUCCCAGUUCUCUCUCUCUUUCUCUCUCUCUCUCACACACACACUGACACACACACUGACACACACACCAAAGUCCCAACUUCCAGCCAGCCAGCAACUUCUCGGUACAGUAACUCCGGCGUUCGACCAGCCAUGCACUUCUGCUCUGCCGCUGCAAAUUGUUUGCUGUCUGCUUGGGGUAUGGGCGUCAGCUGCACCCUACGGGACCUCGCCAACCUGCCUAAACCCUGUCCCAUCACGCACACACCGCAGUUUCCUCGCACAAAACUAGAAACGUAAUGUUCACGUAAUGCCCCCACCCACACACCCUCAUGCAGCACAUGAGAAAUGUCAGCUAGUGUGAAUGCAAAUGCAAGACAUGCUCGGGAGGUAUGGACUGGCCUAUUACGGCUGUGCUCGGACAUCAACACACACUGCCUUUAUUUAUGCCUUCGACUGCCCCUCCAUUCGUGCCAAGGCCCACGUCAUGUACAGGAAGUAGCGCACGUACACCAGGAAGACCGCCUGGGACAUGUACGCGCAGUGCGACUUGAGGAUUGCCAGCUUCGAGUUCCGCUGCUCGGCAAGCUGUGAAUUCUUGCACGACAGCGUUGGGUACGAGCCUAUGUCAUACGCCUUGCAGCAGCCCUUGUGCCCACGGAAGUGGGUCUUGUCGAUCACAAACAAUGUGUUUGUGACCCACUCCGGCUCCCGGUUCAGGAAGUAGGCGUGCGCGUGGCAAUUGUUGUCAUACACGACCACUUUCGGCGCCUCUGGCCACCUAGUGUACAGCACCUCGAACAAGGCUCGCGGCGAUUCCGCAUUCUCAAGCAUGUGAAAGCCCAAGCAGCCGCCGCAGUCCAGACAAUGGACAACGAACAGCCCGGGCGAUAGGUUCUUUGAGUCAUACUUGAAUUUGGUGCAGCGCUUGGCGCCCGCACGUUGAGAACGCAAGUCAGCAGCGUAAAGCCCAAUCUUGCGAUCAACGCGCCAUGGCAGUGUUGGGUAGUAGAAGCCCGUUUGUAGGAACUCAGUGUCAUAUGAAAGCGUGCCGGUGCCUGUGUAUGUGCAUUGGGGGGUGGGCGAGCGAGAGAGCGCUGACUCAAGUGCAAGCACACAGGCGGCCGCCCCUCGGAUCGCAAGGCAUUGCGCAAAGCUCAAGGCAUGUCCGGAGUGUGCUGCACGCUGGCCCUCACUCUUGGCGACGGCAUACCCGCACCGCCGCCGACAGGCGCCGCCCACUGUCCGCACCUGCUCCGCCCGUCCCGCCCGCGCUCCGGGCGCGCGGCGCUGCAGCCCCACCCGCCGCCGCCGGCGCCGCCUGCACAGGCGCUGGUGUGGGCGCGCCGCUGCCGCUGCCUGCGCGGUGGGCGAGCGACAGAGCGCUGACUUAAGUGCAAGCACACGGGCGGCCGCCCCUCGGAUCGCAAGGCAUUGCGCAAAGCUCAAGGCAUGUCCUGAGUAUGCCGCUCGCUGGCCCUCCACUCUUCGCGACGGCAUACCCGCACCGUCGCCACAACAACUAGUCGCCCACUGUCCGCACCUGCUCCUCCCGUCCCACCCGCGCUCCGGGCGCGCGGCGCUGCAGCCCCACCCGCCGCCGCUGGCGCCGCCUGCACAGGCGCUGGUGUGGGCGCGCCGCUGCCGCUGCCUGCGCGGUGGGCGAGCGACAGAGCGCUGACUUAAGUGCAAGCACACGGGCGCUUGGAGACGACAUACCCGCACCGCUGCAACAACAACUAGCCGCCCACUGUCCGCACCUGCUCCGCCCACCCCGCCCGCGCUCCUGGCGCGCGGCGCGGCAGCCCCACCCGCCGCCGGCGGCGCCGCCUGCACAGGCGCUGGUGUGGGCGCGCCGCUGCCGCUGCCUGCGCGGUGGGAGAGCGGGAGGGCGCUGACUUAAGUGCAAGCACACGGGCGGCCGCCCACCGGAUCGCAAGGCAUUGCGCAAAGCUCAAGGCAUGUCCUGAGUAUGCCGCUCGCUGGCCCUCCACUCUUCGCGACGGCAUACCCGCACCGUCGCCACAACAACUAGCCGCCCACUGUCCGCACCUGCCCUGAUCGUCCCGCCCGCGCUCCCAGCGCCCAGCGCUGCAGCCCCAGCCGCCUCCGCCGCCACCGCCAGUUGUGCAGCCGACACCGUAGCCGCUGAGGGUGCAGAGGUUGGCGCGCAGUUGGUGCCGCUGCCUGCGCGGCGGGCGAGCGGGAGGGCACUGAGUCAAGCCCAAGCACACGGGCGGCCGCCCCUCGGAUCGCAUGCACGUGCGCAAAGCUAAAGGCAUGUCCUGAGUGUGCCGCACGCUGGCCCUCCACACUUGGCGACGGCAUACCCGCACCGCGGCCGCUGCCGCCGACAGGCGCCGCCCACUGUCCGCACCUGCUCCGCCCGUCCCGCCCGCGCUCCGGGCGCGCGGCGCUGCAGCCCCACCCGCCGCCGCCGCCACCACCAGUUGUGCAGCCGACGCCGUAAUCGCUGAGGGUGCAGAGGUUGGCGCGCAGCUGGUGCCGGAGCCUGCGCGGUGGGAGAGCGGGAGGGCACUGAGUCAAGCCCAAGCACACGCGCGGCCGCCCCUCGGAUCGCAUGCACGUGCGCAAAGCUUAAGGCAUGUCCUGAGUGUGCCGCACGCUGGCCUUUCACUCUUGGCGGCGGCAUACCCGCACCGCUGCCACAACAACUAGCCGCCCACUGUCCGCACCUGCCCUGAUCGUCCCGCCCGCGCUCCCAUCGCGCGGUUCCGCCGCCUUAGCCAUCGUCGCCGCCACCGCCAGUUGUGCAGCAACAACAACUAGCCGCCCACUGUCCGCACCUGCUCCGCCCACCCCGCCCGCGCUCCGGGCGGGCGGCGCUGCAGCCCCACCGGCCGCCGGCGGCGCCGCCUGCACAGGCGCUGGUGUGGGCGCGCCGCUGCCGCUGCCUGCGCGGUGGGAGAGCGGGAGGGCACUGAGUCAAGCCCAAGCACACGCGCGGCCGCCCCUCGGAUCGCAUGCACGUGCGCAAAGCUUAAGGCAUGUCCUGAGUGUGCCGCACGCUGGCCUUUCACUCUUGGCGGCGGCAUACCCGCACCGCUGCCACAACAACUAGCCGCCCACUGUCCGCACCUGCCCUGAUCGUCCCGCCCGCGCUCCCAUCGCGCGGUUCCGCCGCCUUAGCCAUCGUCGCCGCCACCGCCAGUUGUGCAGCCGACACCGUAGCCGCUGAGGGUGCAAUGGUUGGCGCGCAGCUGGUGCCGCUGCCUGCGCGGUGGGAGAGCGGGAGGGCGCUGGAUCAAGCCCAAGCACACGGGCGGCCGCCCCUCGGAUCGCAAGCAAAUGUGCAAAGCCCAAGGCAUGUCCUGAGUGUGCCGCACGCUGGCCUUUCACUCUUGGCGACGGCAUACCCGCACCGCUGCAACAACAACUAGCCGCCCACUGUCCGCACCUGCUCCGCCCACCCCGCCCGCGCUCCUGGCGCGCGGCGCGGCAGCCCCACCCGCCGCCGGCGGCGCCGCCUGCACAGGCGCUGGUGUGGGCGCGCCGCUGCCGCUGCCUGGGCGGUGGGAGAGCGGGAGGGCGCUGACUUUAGUGCAAGCACACGGGCGGCCGCCCACCGGAUCGCAAGGCACCGGAUCGCAAGGCAGAGCCAAAGACAUGUCCUGAAUGUGCUGCACGCUGGCCCUUCACUCUUCGCGACGGCAUACCCGCACCGUCGCCACAACAACUAGCCGCCCACUGUCCGCACCUGCUCCGCCCGUCCCGCCCGCGCUCCGGGCGCGCGGCGCUGCAGCCCCACCCGCCGCCGCUGGCGCCGCCUGCACAGGCGCUGGUGUGGGCGCGCCGCUGCCGCUGCCUGCGCGGUGGGCGAGCGACAGAGCGCUGACUUAAGUGCAAGCACACGGGCGACCGCCCACCGGAUCGCAAGGCAUUGCGCAGAGCCCAAGACAUGUCCUGAGUAUGCCGCACGCUGGCCCUUCACUCUUCGCGACGGCAUACCCGCACCGUCGCCACAACAAGGAGACAUCAUGGUCAAGGGCAACGGUGGGGCUUACGUAUUCCUGCGCGUGCCGCCGUGUCACGUUCGGCGCGGGGAGCAGUACCCUUGUCGAAUUUGCCCAAACUGGCUGGCUUGUAAGCCGCCUUGGCAACGGAUAGGAGGCGGGUUAGCAGCAGCUUUGCUUUCUCUGGCAGCCUGCCGCCUGCUGUGUGGCUACACUCGUUGGCGAUGAAGUUGCCAAUAAUGGGGGCAUCUCUCGCAAGGUCACGAAGCUCCUUUGGGGAUAGCUGUCCGGUCAGCAGGGCCUGAAUGCGCGCGUGCGUGAUGCCCGGCAAGAAGGAGCACACGGGACUUUCCGAUGCGACAGCAGACAGUAGUCUGCACACCGCGUCAGCCACCACGCCAUCUCCCCGGCAUUCCUCCUACAGGCAAAGGUAAGCGCUGUUUCAAGAAAACAAGUUGGUGAAAUACAUACGGCAGAACCUACCACGUAAGGCUCCAGUUCAGGGCACCGUUGCCGUGUUUUGGUGAUCAGUGCUGUGUACUCCUCCGCAGUAACGGCACGUUGACCCGGUCUGCAGAGGCGCCCAAGCACCUCGCGAGAGGCACGCAGGUCCAGCAGGACGCGGUCUUUAUGCAGCGAGCCAGCGCGCGCAGAUAAGUCGUGUGACAUCCACGGCUUGGUGAGAUGCACCUGCACCGCAACGCUUGUGAUCAGGGCUGGCGUGGGACCAUGCUAGAACAGCGCAUCACCUUAUCCUUAUGCACGCCCAGUAAGAUGCCGUCAGCAAUAACAUAAUCGCACUGGUGAGUGCCACAGCCACACUGGAACGCGCUUUCGUAAGGGAUGUCUUGCAGGGCGAUGUAGUUGAUCCACGCCUGCUGAAACCUGUGGACGCAAAGGUAACUUGACUGCAAUUGCAUUUUAUAGAACGAUUGCAAUACCCACACUUUGCGCUUGUUGAGAAAGAAACGCAGUGCUGUCCUGGACCAAGCGGCCUGUGCAGCAGGUAAAGAUGCCAGUUAAAAAGUCGUGGUUUUGGAUUCAGUGGACGGACACCCACCGCACCAGCCACACCAGGAUACCUACAGGGCGUGCCUCAGCUGCAGUUGACACAUCUCCGCCACCCAUCUCUGCGCGGUGGGAGAGCGGGAGGGCGCUGACUCAAGUGCAAGCACACGAGCGGCCGCCCCUCGGACCGCAAGCAAAUGUGCAAAGCCCAAGACAUGUCCUGAGUGUGCUGCACGCUGCCCCUCCACGCUUGACAACCGCAUGCCCGCACCGCCGCCAGAACAACUAGCCGCCCACUGCCCUCACCUGUGCCGCCCGCGCUCUCAGCGCCCAGCGCUGCAGCCCGAGCCGCCUCCGCCGCCACCGCCAGUCGUGCAGCUGACACCGUAGCCGCUGAGGGUGCAGAGGUUGGCGCGCAGCUGGUGCCGCUGCCUGCACGGUGGGAGAGCGGGAGGGCGCUGGAUCAAGCCCAAGCACACGGGCGGCCGCCCCUCGGAUCGCAAGCAAAUGUGCAAAGCCCAAGGAAUGUCCUGAGUGUGCCGCACGCUGCCCCUCCACGCGUGGCGACGGCAUACCCGCACCGUCGCCACAACAACUAGCCGCCCUACUGCCCUCACCUGCGCCACCCGUGCCGCCCGCGCUCCCAGCGCCCAGCGCUGCAGCCCAAGCCGCCUCCGCCGCCACCGCCAGUUGUGCAGCUGACACCGUAGCCGCUGAGGGUGCAGAGGUUGGCGCGCAGCUGGUGCCGGUGCCUGCACGGUGGGAGAGCGGGAGGGCGCUGGAUCAAGCCCAAGCACACGGGCGGCCGCCCCUCGGAUCGCAAGCAAAUGUGCAAAGCCCAAGGAAUGUCCUGAGUGUGCCGCACGCUGGCCCUUCACUCUUGGCGACGGCAUACCCGCACCGUCGCCACAACAACUAGCCGCCCACUGUCCGCACCUGCCCUGAUCGUCCCGCCCGCGCUCCCAUCGCGCGGUUCCGCCGCCUUAGCCAUCGUCGCCGCCACCGCCAGUUGUGCAGCUGACACCGUAGCCGCUGAGGGUGCAGAGGUUGGCGCGCAGCUGGUGCCGGUGCCUGCACGGUGGGAGAGCGGGAGGGCGCUGACUCAAGUGCAAGCACACGGGCGGCCGCCCCUCUGAUUGCAAGCACGUGCGCAAAGCUCAAGGCGUGCUCAGAGUGUGCCGAUGGCUGCCCCUCCACGCGUGGCGACGGCAUACCCGCACUGCUGCCACAACAACUAGCCGCCCUACUGCCCUCACCUGCGCCACCCGUGCCGCCCGCGCUCCCAGCGCCCAGCGCUGCAGCCCAAGCCGCCUCCGCCGCCACCGCCAGUUGUGCAGCUGACACCGUAGCCGCUGAGGGUGCAGAGGUUGGCGCGGAGCUGGUGCCGCUGCCUGCGCGGUGGGAGAGCGGGAGGGCGCUGACUCAAGUGCAAGCACACGGGCGGCCGCCCCUCUGAUUGCAAGCACGUGCGCAAAGCUCAAGGCGUGCUCAGAGUGUGCCGAUGGCUGCCCCUCCACGCGUGGCAACGGCAUACCCGCACCGCUGCCACAACAACUAGCCGCCCACUGCCCUCACCUGCGCCACCCGUGCCGCCCGCGCUCCCAGCGCCCAGCGCUGCAGCCCCAGCCGCCUCCGCCGCCACCGCCAGUUGUGCAGCCGACACCGUAGCCGCUGAGGGUGCAGAGGUUGGCGCGCAGCUGGUGCCGCUGCCUGCGCGGUGGGAGAGCGGGAGGGCGCUGACUCAAGUGCAAGCACACGGGCGGCCGCCCCUCUGAUUGCAAGCACGUGCGCAAAGCUCAAGGCGUGCUCAGAGUGUGCCGAUGGCUGCCCCUCCACGCGUGGCGACGGCAUACCCGCACUGCUGCCACAACAACUAGCCGCCCACUGCCCUCACCUGUGCCGCCCGUCCGGCCCGCGCUCCCAUCGCGCGGUACAGCCGCCCCAGCCAUCGUCGCCGCCACCGCCAGUUGUGCAGCUGACACCGUAGCCGCUGAGGGUGCAGAGGUUGGCGCGCAGCUAGUGCCGGUGCCUGCACGGUGGGAGAGCGGGCGGGCGCUGAAUCAAGCGCAAGCACACAGGCGGCCGCCCCUCUGAUUGCAAGCACGUGCGCAAAGCUCAAGGCAUGUCCUGAGUGUGCCGAUGGCUGCCCCUCCACGCGUGGCGACGGCAUGCCCGCACCGCUGCCACAACAACUAGCCGCCCACUGCCCUCACCUGCGCCACCCGUGCCGCCCGCGCUCCCAGCGCCCAGCGCUGCAGCCCCAGCCGCCUCCGCCGCCACCACCAGUUGUGCAGCCGACACCGUAGCCGCUGAGGGUGCACAGGUUGGCGCGCAGCUGGUGCCGGUGCCUGCACGGUGGGAGAGCGGGAGGGCGCUGACUCAAGUGCAAGCACACGGGCGGCCGCCCCUCUGAUUGCAAGCACGUGCGCAAAGCUCAAGGCGUGCUCAGAGUGUGCCGAUGGCUGCCCCUCCACGCGUGGCGACGGCAUACCCGCACUGCUGCCACAACAACUAGCCGCCCUACUGCCCUCACCUGCGCCACCCGUGCCGCCCGCGCUCCCAGCGCCCGGCGCUGCAGCCCAAGCCGCCUCCGCCGCCACCGCCAGUUGUGCAGCUGACACCGUAGCCGCUGAGGGUGCAGAGGUUGGCGCGCAGCUGGUGCCGGUGCCUGCACGGUGGGAGAGCGGGAGGGCGCUGACUCAAGUGCAAGCACACGGGCGGCCGCCCCUCUGAUUGCAAGCACGUGCGCAAAGCUCAAGGCGUGCUCAGAGUGUGCCGAUGGCUGCCCCUCCACGCGUGGCGACGGCAUACCCGCACUGCUGCCACAACAACUAGCCGCCCUACUGCCCUCACCUGCGCCACCCGUGCCGCCCGCGCUCCCAGCGCCCAGCGCUGCAGCCCAAGCCGCCUCCGCCGCCACCGCCAGUUGUGCAGCUGACACUGUAGCCGCUGAGGGUGCAGAGGUUGGCGCGGAGCUGGUGCCGGUGCCUGCACGGUGGGAGAGCGGGAGGGCGCUGAAUCAAGCGCAAGCACACGGGCGGCCGCCCCUCUGAUUGCAAGCACGUGCGCAAAGCUCAAGGCGUGCUCAUAGUGUGCCGAUGGCUGCCCCUCCACGCGUGGCAACGGCAUACCCGCACUGCUGCCACAACAACUAGCCGCCCACUGCCCUCACCUGUGCCGCCCGUCCCGCCCGCGCUCCCAUCGCGCGGUACAGCCGCCCCAGCCAUCGUCGCCGCCACCGCCAGUUGUGCAGCUGACACCGUAGCCGCUGAGGGUGCAGAGGUUGGCGCGCAGCUGGUGCCGGUGCCUGCACGGUGGGAGAGCGGGAGGGCGCUGAAUCAAGUGCAAGCACACAGGCGGCCGCCCCUCUGAUUGCAAGCACGUGCGCAAAGCUCAAGGCAUGUCCUGAGUGUGCCGAUGGCUGCCCCUCCACGCGUGGCGACGGCAUACCCGCACCGCUGCCACAACAACUAGCCGCCCACUGCCCUCACCUGCGCCACCCGUGCCGCCCGCGCUCCCAGCGCCCAGCGCUGCAGCCCCAGCCGCCUCCGCCGCCACCAUCAGUUGUGCAGCCGACACCGUAGCCGCUGAGGGUGCACAGGUUGGCGCGCAGCUGGUGCCGGUGCCUGCACGGUGGGAGAGCGGGAGGGCGCUGACUCAAGUGCAAGCACACGGGCGGCCGCCCCUCUGAUUGCAAGCACGUGCGCAAAGCUCAAGGCGUGCUCAGAGUGUGCCGAUGGCUGCCCCUCCACGCGUGGCGACGGCAUACCCGCACUGCUGCCACAACAACUAGCCGCCCUACUGCCCUCACCUGCGCCACCCGUGCCGCCCGCGCUCCCAGCGCCCGGCGCUGCAGCCCAAGCCGCCUCCGCCGCCACCGCCAGUUGUGCAGCUGACACCGUAGCCGCUGAGGGUGCAGAGGUUGGCGCGCAGCUGGUGCCGGUGCCUGCACGGUGGGAGAGCGGGAGGGCGCUGACUCAAGUGCAAGCACACGGGCGGCCGCCCCUCUGAUUGCAAGCACGUGCGCAAAGCUCAAGGCGUGCUCAGAGUGUGCCGAUGGCUGCCCCUCCACGCGUGGCGACGGCAUACCCGCACUGCUGCCACAACAACUAGCCGCCCUACUGCCCUCACCUGCGCCACCCGUGCCGCCCGCGCUCCCAGCGCCCAGCGCUGCAGCCCAAGCCGCCUCCGCCGCCACCGCCAGUUGUGCAGCUGACACCGUAGCCGCUGAGGGUGCAGAGGUUGGCGCGGAGCUGGUGCCGGUGCCUGCACGGUGGGAGAGCGGGAGGGCGCUGAAUCAAGCGCAAGCACACGGGCGGCCGCCCCUCUGAUUGCAAGCACGUGCGCAAAGCUCAAGGCGUGCUCAUAGUGUGCCGAUGGCUGCCCCUCCACGCGUGGCAACGGCAUACCCGCACUGCUGCCACAACAACUAGCCGCCCACUGCCCUCACCUGUGCCGCCCGUCCCGCCCGCGCUCCCAUCGCGCGGUACAGCCGCCCCAGCCAUCGUCGCCGCCACCGCCAGUUGUGCAGCUGACACCGUAGCCGCUGAGGGUGCAGAGGUUGGCGCGCAGCUGGUGCCGGUGCCUGCACGGUGGGAGAGCGGGAGGGCGCUGAAUCAAGUGCAAGCACACAGGCGGCCGCCCCUCUGAUUGCAAGCACGUGCGCAAAGCUCAAGGCAUGUCCUGAGUGUGCCGAUGGCUGCCCCUCCACGCGUGGCGACGGCAUACCCGCACCGCUGCCACAACAACUAGCCGCCCACUGCCCUCACCUGCGCCACCCGUGCCGCCCGCGCUCCCAGCGCCCAGCGCUGCAGCCCCAGCCGCCUCCGCCGCCACCAUCAGUUGUGCAGCCGACACCGUAGCCGCUGAGGGUGCACAGGUUGGCGCGCAGCUGGUGCCGGUGCCUGCACGGUGGGAGAGCGGGAGGGCGCUGACUCAAGUGCAAGCACACGGGCGGCCGCCCCUUUCAUCCCCGCUUAUUGUUCCCACCUUCCCCGCGCGCCCCGCCAGUGCUCCGCGCAUGUAGCCCAGUGCUAGUGGGAGCCUUCGGUGGCGCAUCCUUUGGUGCAGAUACCUUAAGCCGUUUCACCUGCACGAAACAGUCCAGGAGUGAAGCCUCAAGUCUUUACACGACUAGCCCAUUCCCGCACGCCUACCGGCCGCGUCGUAUCUUGCUUGGAACCACCCGCAGUGGCACCAGAUGCACCCGCUGAAGCCUGCAUAACAGCACACGUACCCAAUCAGCAGGUAGGCAAUGCCCGAAGCCAGAGCGGCAGCUUCUUACCGUUUGUGGCUGCACAACUCCUUGCUUCCGCCGCUUGCCCAGGGUUAUGCCUGGCGCCUCCUCCGUCUGUUCAGCAGGAAGUGUCAGCAGUCUGUCAGGCAAUGCAUUGUUGGCCAUGUCUUACCAGGAAUCCACGCGAGACAUAGCAGCCCACAACUGUUUUCCACAUGGCGUAGAAUGGCACUGGCGCUGUGGCCAUCUCCACACAGUACCUGAAGACAGAUCAAGUUAGUUUGCCGGCCUGCUUUGCUAGUUAGCUUGCGCGUACCACUGCAGCAGCUCGUGGCUGAACAGGUCCAGAUUGUUAAGAUUGAGGAUGCCGUCCUGGCUGAAGUUGUAGUGCAAUGUGCGCUUGCACUUGCACACACGGUGAUACACAUCGACCUCUGCAAACCACGUCAGGCUGUACACCACGGACUUGCCCUCAACACACGAUAGCUCUUCCUUAGCAUCCACCCAAGGGCGGCCGCACACGCAACUACCGCACUCCACCGCCGGUGGGGCGAAGUGGCGCGGCAUGCUGCCAUACUCAGGAUACUUGCGUAGCUUCACAUGUGUGAAGAGGCCGUCGACGAUGCGCUCCUGCAAGCAAGGAGAGCCGUCAGUCGUGCGUGUCAUGCCGUUGACGCUUGCCCUCACACUCGACCUGAGCCACUGCUUUCAGCAUUCUCACCUGGGAAACUGACGUGGCCUUGAACUUGCCGGUCACAGGAUCCAGGUAGCGCUGGAGCAUGUCUGCCAGCUCUUUGCGAUAGUCGUCACCAGGUUCUGACGGCCGGGUGCCCGGGGUUAAGCUGUGGACGUGCUUCACAUGGCUGCAGUUCUUGCUGUCAGAGCAUGCUGCGCACUGCAGCACCAUGCCACGCUGAACGACAACAGCAGCUUCGCCGUUCUUCAGCGGACUCCCGACAAGCCAGCGCCUGACCCCAGGGGAACCCAGGAAGAACACCUCCUGUACUGAUGCUGGUGGCUCCGGCACGUUGGCCCGCUCAAGGGGAUGAAGCUUUGUCAGUGGCUCACGUCGCCACUGCAAAGGCAGCUACAAGGCAGACGUACGAUGUGUAAAUUCUCAAGGCAAGCGUGAAGAACCUAUGCAGCUCGUACCGUAAGCGCCAGGGCGUGCUUGCACGCGUGACCAAGGCCUUCCAGCACUUCCUCCCGUGACCAGCCGGACUCGUCCACAUCGAAAGCCAAGCAAGAGCGCCAGUCCUCCAUGCACGUGCACCAGGAAAUGACAUGGAUGCCAUCGCUGAAGCGCACGGUCUUGAAGGUAACGAGCUCAUAGCUCCCCUUCGGGCCAGACGGCACGCAGUACACGGUUUUUGUGCGUGUCCCUGCGACAGGCUUUGGCGGCCAGCUUUCAUCGGGCGAGCACUGUUGCUGAAGCCACGCUGCAAAUGUAGUAAGUUUUAUCCCGUCAGCUGCCCGCCGCGGGCAUCCAGAGACGGCGCAGCAUGAGAACUUUACAUCGUUCUCAUCUGCCGCGAGACGCGUGUAGUUGCAGGGCGACUGGACAUUGCUACGAAUACUAUCAGCACGUAGCCCAGGAGAGUCCGCAGCGUCAGGGAUGUCAACAGGUUCAGCUUGUGGCUCUGCUGGGAUUGAUGCGCCCCUUGCAGCUGCUAGUGCGUUAUCCUGAGCUGGCUGGUGUUUUAGAUGCUGCUGUUGCUGCUGCUGUUGUUGUUCUUGUUCGUGCUGCAGGACCUGGCCAGCUGAGCGGUCUACUAUGCGCCCGUAAGCACGUUGACCAGUUGGAAGCCUGGUGUGAACACGCAACACGUUCUGGCCGAUUUUUUUUGGUCUCCCAAUACGUUUGGUUGUCGACAACUGCAGUGCCUCUCUUAUAGCUUCUUCAUCCAUAGUAGCAAUAAAUAGUAGCUCAUUAAUAAGGCAAGCAAGUGCAAGCUUGUCUGGACACAGAGUCACAAAGCCAGCUUUAUGCAUGGUGGACGAGACAAGCGCUCUGGCACUGGAUACAAGCCUUAAAUGUAAUCACGGUAUCGUGUACUAGUAGUUCUGACGCAUAUACUUCUAUGCAUCCAUUACAGCAGUCAGCAGUGUCGUUGUCCUGGCGCUGCUUGGGCCUCGCCUCCGGCUCUAUACCAAUCCCACUUCGACAAUGUCACGCGUAUCGUGAAAUAAUGUAGAUGCUAACCUUUGGCCGAGAGCUCAGGGCGCGCUUGCUGCUGGUUUGACCAACAGCGAUGCUGCGCCCGGAGCUCUCUGGCGAAGCACAGAACUAGUCUGCAGCACACUGGUGGCAUUAUACCAGUGAAUGUUGCCAGAAAAUACUGCUCGGCGGGCAGAAGCGCACGCAGGGCUCUUGUCUGGGCGACAGCAGCCCCCCGGCCAGAGGGCGCGGCCGGGAGCCGGCUCCGCCCAAACAAGCUUCUGCGGACGUGUACUCGUUGCCCGACCGCCACACUACCACAACGUUAUACAUACUUGUCACCAUUAGUGAUCGGGCGCACGUAUCCCACCCUGGCGCGCUAGCAUUUUAGCCUGCAGUGCAUCGGAUGGCGCGGAAGCGGCACCUAUCAGCCGCAAGCCCUCACAGCCCGUUCAACAGCCUCAAAUGUUUAUAGAUAUGUGAUGUUAAGCUUGUUUGGGGACUCGCGGCGCGUUUGGGGACGGUUGGGGUGUGCACGGGCUCCAGGCCAGCGGGGGCGGACUGGAGCCGGCUCCGGAAAUCCUGGCACGGCGAGCAGCGAAAACCUGCGCGGCCGCAGCAACAACCAUUCAAAUGUAUAAUAUAAGCUCAAGCGCAAAGUUUAGAAGUAACUUGCGCUGUCUUGUCAAGCUUUCUCCGACGUGCCGAAGGUGCUCGCCCACCCCGACCACGCUCCGCCUCGCUUUCUGAUUUUAUCAGCAAAAAUGACACGUAUUACUGCAAGGAGACAGCUUAGGAUUACUGCGCGCUCUUGUCUUUUGUGUAUGGCCGUUUCUGGUUGUCCAGUCACGCGAGAAAGCGGGCCACAAGAGGGCGAAAACAUUCGCCGGUUGUUAUGCUGUUGUGCUUUACAACCAUUCUGCAGUUCUAGUAUCACCCGCCAUUCUGCAGUUCUAGUAUCACUCGCCAACACACUCGCGUUGCGUGCCAUACACACAGCGCGCGGCCCCCUCGCUCCCCUCUGCAACGCCCGCCUGCUGCUUGCUACCUUAUGCCUGUCCGAUUCCGGUCCUGUAUACAAGGCCUUUCUUACAACAGCUCAUAUCCGCCAAUUGAGGCCGGUCCAUACCUCGACAUUGAGACGGAAGGGACAGAAGGAGGGGGCCCUAGAAUGCUCAAGUAUCCGUUCACAUCAAUGCCCUUCUUAGCAGUUGUGGCUGUAAUAUUUGUAUUUGUGAUGAAGGGGAGACUACUACGCGUCAGUUUCGCGGUUGGGGUGUGGUGACUGAUGCCAUCGCGCGUGGUAUACGACCUGGCGUAGGCUCCUAUUCUGUGUGGGAUCCCAUCGACAGUCUGCUCGAUGGUCGGUGGUCAACGGUGGUCAGUGGUCUGAGUCAAUGUGGGAUCCCAUGCCGGCUCUCAUCCCAUGCCGAGUGGGAGCCUUCGAGGUGGAGACCUAGCUGAAACCCAAGAUUGGGCGUUCUUAUUCAUACAAGCACCAUUUUUAAUUCUAUAAAGCACGUUACCUUCGGUAUGUGAGCAGCAUAUGUUCAAGCAUAUUAGCGGGCUAAGUGUCGUGUAGGUCUCGCGAGCGCGAGACCAAUUUUGAGCAUGUUCGCUCAAAUCAGCUAAAUGUGAAUCCACCGGCCCUGACUGCGCUUAUGUAUACUCUAUUAAAGCAAUUGCACCUAGUAGCGCGGGCUCACAGGCCUCGGCGAGCAGUGGCCAUUCCUAUGGGACCGCCAACAAAGUCAGAGUUGCACCUUCCGAUGCACCUGGGUGGCUUCCAUGUGACACACAUGCGGCUCUAGGAGCGGGUGUAGGUCUGUUUGGGUCCCCGCUGUAGACGAGGUUCGCCAUGAAUUUGGUUUCAUCCAAAGGGCAGUUCGACUAGCUUUUAAGAUUGCCGUCGCCUAGAUAGAGCAUCUAAAGCAGAUAUAGGAUGAUGUAGCCCGCCGAAACAUCGUCUGUCUGUGCUGCGGUCGUCAAAACAUAAUCUUAUAUGCAUAUAUGUGCUAUGUAAAGCUUCGGGCACACCCCGGCCUCCGAUCGCGCUCGUAGCGGGCGAGCUUAUACAAUUAUAUGUAUAUAUGCGAUAGAAAGCGUGGGGGCCCGCUUAGGACCGAUUUGCACGGGGUCGGCCUGUCCCACCCCUCCUCCCCCCUCAAAACCGUGUGACAAAACACACACGCCUGCCGUACAUGACUCGGGGAGCCGCUGCAAGACCGGAAGGUUGCAAAGGAAGCUACUCCCAAAAUUUCAGCGUGCAGCGAUCACCCGAACAUAGCUCUCUAAGGCCUUAAAGUUGGGGGGUACCCUGAACCGGGCGUGUUCCCCACUUCCCCGUGUGGGGUCGGGGUCGGGGUCGGGGUCGGGGUCGGGGUCGGGGUCGGGGUCGGGGUCGGGGGCGGGGAAUUGGAGUCUGGGGAAAUGGGAUCCAAGGGACGCAAAAUCGCUCGUUUUCGCCCGCGCAGCUUCUAAAUACUUACGUAUUCAUGUAAGAUUAAUUGCUGGGCCAACGCCCUGUGAAAUUGCGAGGGCGCGCGCGGACUUCCCCCCGCGUGCCCGCAGCUCGGCCCCGCACAGGGGUUCGGGGUGUCCAACUCAGCGGUUAGCUGUCGGUUGCCACCGACAUUUGGUCCCGACCCCCCCUGGAAGUGGGCCGGCUGAGCCCCUAGCGCGCCAAGCCAAUACCCACGAUGCCCUUAUCCCAUAUAAAACAGUGCGGUAGCCCUAAAGCCGUGGUCAGAUUGUCGCGCAUUCUCAAUUGCUCGGUGUUGGCCCAAAGCCCCAGGCGCGCACGCCGACCACCCGCUACUGCCCCAUGACCAUAGCUUACAGGUUCUGAGACCCGGUGUGGGCUCAUACAGGCUUUCCGAGCACCGUUCGGGAUACAUGGGACAUGGAAUGUGACCCUGCCGUCCAUACUAAAGCAAUCUAAGCCCCAUCUUUCCCCAUAUGGCACUCUAUAGGGUACACCACAAUCCUCAAGCGCGCCAGGCACCACGUCUAUGUCCGUCUGAAAGCGCUUCCGUCUGAAACCCCAUCCCCAAGCUUCAGUUCCGCCAGGCGUGGGCCCCUGCGCGCUGUGAGCCCAUUUAGCGGCUGCUUUAUUAUGUGCUAGGACCUAGUAUGGCUGCUCGCGCUCGCUGUCGAAGCCACCAGAGCCCAGUUCUGGACUCCCAAAACCCGCGCGCAGCAGCGGCAGGCGUGCGCGUCGCCGCAUUUCCUAAUUCCCAAAUUACAAGCUUUUGUGAUAUCAUAGAGCGUGUUCCUACAGGCUUCCUUGUCCGUUCCUUGGCUUGGCUGCGCUCGCCCAGCUUGAAGUGUCACCCCGAGACAUUGCAAUGCCACUCCAUCACAUUCGUAUGUCCUUGUGUAGCAUCAGAGGCCCAUCGCAAACUACCGACGAUAGAAAGCUUCAGAAACGUGUGUGAUCAUUCGUGCGCUUGGCUCAGCUAGAAAUGGUAGAAGUGACGCAUAAUAUCGCUGCAUAACAUCGUUGGCAAAGGAUUCUUUAGCGUUGGUUUGCUCGCGUAUAGACUCGCUGAGGCAGUGGGACUAUGAUUGUCGUCGAACGCGUCUUCCGCGUAAAAUGUAGCCCAUAGGAACCUUACAUUACAUAUGUAUACUGGGUCUGGCGCUUUGGCGAACACUUGAAACCCUCGGUGUGGAUGAACUUGCGCGAUGGGCGUUCCGGCGAUCAGGGUGUGUGCACCUUCUUGAGCGGCCGAAUCAUUCUAUGCCUGAUUUGUGGGCUCAAAUGGCGAUGUGCACUUUAGGGAGUUUCAGGACGCUUCUAAAGGCCUCAAUAGAUGUUGACGUUUCCCCAAGAACCACGAUAUUGUAAUUAAGGGCCCAUAGGAACCAGCAUGAUGCUGACAUAACGUCGUUUGCGGAAGUUUGCUGCCAAAAGGAGCCCAAACCGAGGAGUUCUUCCUGCGCGCGCUUGUAGUAACACACAAUUCGCGCUCCACUGGGCUGCGCGUGGAUUUCAGCCAGCGCGCAUCACCCCAAACUUAUUGUUAUCAUGUUGUAGAGUUGGACACCCCGAACCCCUGGCCCCGCACCCUGCCCCCCCCCCCCGCACAAAACCCGUCAUACCGUACCCCACCGCGAGAUACGGACUCCACUAUAAGUAAAAUGUGAUCUGGGUGCCGGUGCUGGGGGGUCGGGGCUGUGCAUUGGACGUUGGACGGUUGGACGUCGCGAAGUAAGUUCAAGUUCGCCCUUGCGGCGAAACCGUUCAGCCUUACACGUUUUGCAAAUAUAAUAAUAACAGAGUCUCAGCUUCAUAGGUCUCACGUUGUGGGGCAGCCAACACGGCACUAAUAAGGACAUGUGCUCGCGCUCGCAGCUUACACGCCUACGGGCCUCCUGACAGGUACAUAAGUGCUGAGAUUGAAGCAAUCUACGUAUCUGAUAGUUACCUUGGACCAGCGCCAGCCUGUGCGAUGAAAUCGGCCAAAGAAUCGUCUUUCUUGAGGCAUCGGACACCAUUCUAUGCGUUAGAGUGCGCGAAAUAUGGUUUAGCCUCAGUUACUUUCGCGAUCGACGUUCCCUGACUUGAGUCGGGUAUCGGAACUUUGUCGCUGGGGCCUCUUCUACCUUGUGUACAAUAGCUUCGUGUAAUGGAUGGCUUAAAUAAUGGCUGCGCGCAGUCGGCGGGGGCCGGGACCGUGUGUUUACCAACUUGGCAAGACCCCCCUGUUCUGAAACGUACAGGUGCGCCGCGCCCCCUGCGGGGGCCGGGGCCCGCUAACUUAGCCCCUGAGCCCAGCUACCCGAGCUCUAGCGGGACAUGAUAGGGGCAGGCGGCGUUGCUUUUCUGCCACGCAGACAACACAGCAGGGGAAAGGGUGGGGUGGGGGGGUGGGGGGUGUUUGAGCACCGUGCAGCCUCUGGCGAAGGACAUGGGCAUGCGGCAUUGCCAUGCUGUGCUGUCAUGCGGAGGACAAAGCAGAGUAAGGGUGGGGGGGCGAGGGGGAGGGGGGGGGGGGGGGACCGAAGUCGGCGUCGCCGAGGUGGCACCUCCCGCCAACGUUCGCAAUUGUGCAUUUUUGCAUACAUCAACGAUAUGCAUGGAUACGUGUUCUCGUCAACUACGUGGAAGAUUUCGCCUUUGCGAUCGGUCGCUCGAGUUGGCUUUGCAUUUUCAUGCUCUAGUGCUUUCAGACAACCUUAUCUGUGCUACCUGCUAACUGCAAUGUAAGUUAUCGCUACGUGCAUUGUCGCGCCUGACAAUGAAGCGCAGUUACUGUCCUCGUUCAUACGCUGCACUCGCUCUCGCGCCCUGGGACCAAGAUCACGCAUAGAAGAAGCUAUGAUCAUUCGGUUGUGUCAAUGCGUUGGGCCGAAAUCGCGCUGUCCGCGACGACGCAUAGGAUGCGUCACACUUUCCAGAGGACCCGUAGAUAGCUGUGAUUAGGGAAUGCGCGGUGGGCGGAAACCGGCAGGGAGGUGUAGGUAUCUAGCACGGGUGUGUGAGGGCGGUGUAGAUGUUUAGAGGGUGUGAGGUGUGAGGGGGGACUAGCCGCACAGGUAGCGGCUUAGUUGCGGUUAUUGGGCAGGGCCAGCUGGAUUCCUGGGCUAUGAAAAAGUAGUGCAGAAGAUGGGCGCACAAAUGUGCGCGUGUGGCGCGGUUGGCGUCGGGGCAUGGUAGGGUACGUGAAGCUUCGAUUGAAGCGGCCGAACUAGGCAGCCAGGGGAGGGGGGUGUGCAACUCGGCCUGGAUCCAGGUUCGCGCUGCAUGGGACCCGGCCAAAAGGUGUUCGGACCCCUCCCAAGGAGCUCCCGGCCAUUCAUUUGUGUUUGUAAGACAACUGUAUAGUCAUUAGAACUGAUAUCGGGCCGGAAACCAGUCCAUAUAGCGGGCCGGCCAUCGACACAAUGCGUGCACUGGAAACACCACGAGCGAAAUUCCGGCUGCUUGCAAUCAACCCAAAGGCUCUUCCGCUAACUAUGAAACUGAUGAGACCUCCAGAAAGCGACGGGCGCGGCCCCUCAGGGGCGAUGCCCGAUGCCAUGCAGACCCUUCGCGGGAAUGGCCGUUUUGGAGCCCUUUCCGAGGCCCGCCGAAGCCAGCGGCCCCUGCCGUCCGCUCUAGACAUAUGUACAGAUGCCAUAUUCAGGGGUUUGGUCCGUGUCUAUUGGUGUUAACAGGGGUGCGCGUCCUGCGCUUCCAGGAGAGGGCCCCCUGACCUGGCAUUUUACCCCUGGACGCAAACCGUGAAGCCCGCAACCGUGAAACACAUUAUGCUUCUGAAAAUUCGUUACAUGCCUCCACUAUGCUUGUGCGCGAGCCCAGCAGAGCUGCGCAGGUAUGCAACUCCUGGCCAGGGGACUCUGGACUCUUGAGGUCCUGCUCCGGACUCCCUGAGUACCUACGCUGAUAACUGUGACACCUCCUAUGCAUGUAAUGCCCACCCCCUCGUGCAUGUACGGUAACACAUAUGGCCGUCUAUACUGACAGGUCGUAUGAUGCCCAUUGCGUGCGUCCCUCGGCUGGCCAGGGGCGUGCUGCCUCUGACUGUCUCCUAUGACCUGCUCACCUUCACUUCCACCUUCACUUGCACCUUCAAUACCCCUUCUGCUCGCACCUUGAUAACUUUAGCCACUUAAACUCCACUGUAAGCCUCUGUGUACAUGUACAAAUCAUAAACCUUGUCAUCACUACCAUGCUGUGCUGAUGCUCCACUCUCAGCCACGCUAUCCUUCACUCCAUUUCCAUCUCCGACUCCAUACUGCACUUUCCAGCCACGGCGUUCUUCACGGCCUUACUCUCUUCCUUGCUCACUACCAUCUGACUCCAUACUGCACUGUGCAGUACUAGGCAUGGGAGGCUCCCCUGGUUCUAAGAUAUAUGAGAAUGCUUGCCAUGAAUGCAUAACAUACCAUAAGUUUGCAUUGAAUCUCAAGGUUGCAUACGCACCCGUUCCCGAAGCGAAGCUAUAGCAGCUUGCAAGUUAUUUGACAUGGUCAGGAUGCGACAUGUGGAUAUGUGAAUUGCGACAUACGACAUUGCGACAUAAUGCACAUACCGCCCAAACGCAUCCAAACCCGCCAAACAUAUUGUGCAUGCAUUCAAUAUGCCUCUGGUAAGCGUGGAACGCCGUGGCACACAACAAAACGUGUCUCGGUUGCCACGGUGGUGGUGGCGUGGCGUAGGGUGCGGCCAGCGGGAGGAGCUUGUGGCUACGCUAGCGCAAUACACCGCCGCAAAGCUGGGAGAUGUUACUUAAAUGGGCUUCAGGACGCGUAGCUAUGCAAAUGUGGGCGAGUCUUGGUAUGUCGCAAUGUUGUAUGUCGCAUUUCACAUGUCGACAUGUCGCAACCUGACCAUGUCAAAUAAUGUGCACACAGCCAUAUAUGUGCAGUGUCGUGUGCACAUGCCGUAAGUGAUGUGCUACAAUAAUAAUACUAAUAAUAAUAAUAAUACCUACGCACGGACCAAGGUCCCGCGUGCCUUAAGGAAGAGUCCCAUCGAGGCUAACCCUACCGUAUCUCUGUGGGACCUUGGCAAGAGGCACCCCACGCAUCCACCUUCACUCAGUCCAUAGGAACCGAAGUUCUGGACCUAUCGGCCUACCAACUCUCCGAAUUCGGCCAUCAUGAAGUUUCCACGUUGCAACAAUGGGAUCCGAACCCAGAGAGUCGCUACAACGCUUCCAUCAGUACCGCGGACUCCAUACCGGAAUACUGACUCGGUUCCCCGGGCAGGAUCCGAACCUGCAUCUAUACUUGUCAGCCUCAACCCGGCCGAAUCCGUGAUUCGAACCUGGGUCUGCCAUGUGACAGCGGCAUGCUCUACCAAUUGAGCUACCGGGGAAAGUGAUGUGCUACACUAAUGAACAUACAAAACCGAGUACACAUCGGAUCAGUCCUCACUACAAAGUCCCGCACACAUGCCGUUCACGUGCCGUACGUGCGCGACACGCCGGCAGCUGCUUUGUUUAUUUAUAGUACAUGCGAAAAGCCUGCAAAGAAUUGGUUAUGCCCAUCACAGCUCUAUCUUGCUAGUCCCUACGGUGGUUACGACAUCAGUAACCAAUCCCCAUGCAUAUGUACUCAGUCGUUCAGGCGCACAGAUGGCAGCCGUUUGCGCGCUCCCUCGCGCUGGGCGGGCGGUGCCUCUGCGGGAAGCCCGCGCUUGGCGCGCCCGCGCUUGGGAGCCACGGGCUCCAUGGCUGCCGCCGCGGCCAAGCCGGCUGCCCCCGCAUUGACGCCGACUGCCACCACAGCUCCGCUAGCAGCCGCUGCAUCCAUGCCAGUCGCCGCCAUGUUCCGCUCCGCGCCUGCUGCUGCCGCCGGCCGCGUCCGCUUUGCCUCCGCUGGAACAGCGUCCACAGCCCGUUUGCGGGCGAUUGCAGCUGCGGGCGCCGCAACCUGAGCGCAGUGGGGGCAGAACCACUGCCCUUCCGGGAUGCCGUCCACCCUGGGUGUCAGGCAGAAGUUGUGGUAGCCCUUGUCACAGCUGUCGCACAAGAGCAUUGCGUCUGCGGGCUCCGGCUCGUUGCACAGCUGACAGACAAAGUCGUCACCGUAGGUGGAGUCACAGUCGCUGCUGCUGUCUGCGCUGUCGGGCUCGUCCGCAGAUUCCUCCUCCGGCGCCUCUGCUGCUGGCGCUGCCUUCUUGCGGCCACGACGCUGGCCGUCUGCGCCGCCAGCCGCUGUGGUCGCCUUGCCCUUCUUUGCCGCUGUAGCUGCAUCUGCCCGCCUCUCGUCCCGCAGCGCCCGGUCACUAGCCUUGUCGGCCUGUACCAGCACUUUGAGGUGACGAAGCAGCCCUUCGAGAUUGGCGUGCACGUACUUGGUCACCAGUACGCCCAUCAAAGCGCGGAGGUCGGUGAGCGAGUAGGGCUGUUGCUGCUGCCCGUUGCCGGGCUGCACUGACACCCCUGCGGACGCGCACGCCGCCUGGAAGCCGCCCCAGGCCGCAGGGUCGUACCGCACCUCAUCAAUCCACCCCUGAACAACCAGAGGGCCUCCGCGCAGUACGCUGCUGGCGGUCUUGACGUGCAAAAUCAGGCCGCGCUGUAAGCCCUCGAAGAAGUCUGCAAUGGAAGGCUUCGGGGUAACAAUGCGGCCUAGGUUUAGGCUUGGCAGCAGGUCGUCGUCAAAGCUGCGCCGAAAGCAGCCAUCCGUGCGCGCCUCGAUCAGCUCCUCCACCAGGCGCGCCUGCGACGAAGCUGCAGCGGUUUUGGACCGCUUGGCUGACCUGGUGGCGUUCUGCAAGGUGCUGUGCAGCGCCCAGCCCGUGACACGGCUGCAGGCGGUCCGGUUGCUGAAGAGCUCGAACGUGGCCUCUUUGGGCGGCAACGCCUGCUGCUGCUUUGGCGGCUGCUUUUUAGAACGCCCUGUUGAGGGGGCCGCCGCAGGCUGUGCCGCUGGUAGCAGCAAACCGCGCAGCACCCCCACGCGUGCAGCGGCCGCGAAGAUGUAGCUGUGGACAAGGCAGGCUGACUGCCCCAGCUGCUGCCAGUCCGCCAUGGUUACCGACGGCGGCUCUGCUGCAGUAAUGUUGCGGCCACGUGCAGGCACUAGGGCCGCUGUGGCCGAGAACGGGGGCCUGCUGAUUGGGCCAACCUCCGGUUGGGCGCACAGCCAGCUCCAGGCAUGGUAGCACGGCGCAGCAUGCUGUGCGCCAAACACAUGCUUUGUGGCAGCUGUAGUGCCGUUCGACUGCACAAGCGCGUCCUCCAUUGCAGGCAGCAGCCACGCGCAGUACGCCUCCCACGCAUGGCUGACGCAGGAGUCGGGCUGUAGAGCCGCGGUGAGCUGGGGCACUGCCGGGCGGUGUGCGUUGAAGAUGCUGGUGCCAACCAGGUCCUGCCACACCAGCUGCCGCAGUCCAGCCGCGGCAGCAACGGUAGCCGUCCGUGAUGGCUGGUCGCCAGUAGGCUGUGUGCUGUUUGACAGAUCUGACAGGCUCCAGGUGCUGGACGCCGCUGCGGCCCUGGUUGGGCCCCGCCGCCGGCAGCGUAGAAGGCUGUCCACUGCAUCCACGCUGGCGCUGCCAGCGCUGGAUGCGGACGCUGGCGCGUACGAGCCGUUACGCUGGUGUUGGGCCCGAGUGAGGUUGGCGGCAAUAAGGACCUCGUUGGUGCGCAAGUGCUGCUCGCCGUCCAUCACGCGCCGCGCGUCCGGACAGCGGUUUUGGCCAUGGCCACGGAGCUGCGAGAACGCGUUCUCAACACAGUUCUGGUUGAGUGUCGCGAGAGAGACAGACCGAGGCGGGCUGCCUUGAGGCGCCUUGCUAAUGUAGCUGCGCACCAGGGCAACGACGCCGUAGCAUGUGACCUGUGUGGACGGCGGCCAGAGUGGGGGGACAUUCACUUAAGCCCUCCGAUACAUGUGCUGUGUGGCCACCGACUCAGCAGUCCAGUCCAAAAUGAGGGAUGCCUCACCUGAAAGUCGCUGUAGCACUCCUGAGAAAGGCCCGUGCGACCUGUGCCAGUGGUGGGCAGCUUCUUGUCCUUCUCGUCCUGUCGGAGCUUCUCGUGCCAGCUGUACACGGUUUCGCCAUUCCUGAGCAGUUGCACCAGGAAGCUGUCGUCGGCCGACUUGAUGGGCUCCACACGCUCAAGCGACAUCAUCGUGCUGUUGAACAGCCUGUGGGUGACGGCGUGACGGCGAGACGUGUUCAGACGUGUUCAGAGCAAUACAGCGAUCAAGCAACUUGUGAACGGGGGUUCAACCAAUGUAUGAAAAUAGCCCUGUAGAAUUUGGCCCUGGAAUUACAACCGCUCACCUGACGAAGCCGUGCAGGCGCAGAGCAGCAGCCUUGAUGGCAGCCGGCGGCUCUCCAGCGGUCCUCCAUUGUAGCGGCAACUGGCUUCGCCAGCUGAACAGUAGCCGCAGGUGCGCGCUGGGCUGCAGCCGCCCGCCGCAUGGACCGCAUGCCAGCCAUUGCGGGCUGGGCGCCGGCGGGCUGUGCCGCGCCGGCGGGCUGUGCCGCGCCGGCGGGCUGCGCGGCGCCGGCGGGCUGUGCGGCGCCGGUGGGCUGUGCGGCGCCGGCGGGAUUCCAUCCCUCCGUGUCAACCCAGUGCACAAACUCCUCCAGCCCACGUAAAAGCUGCGAGACCAGAUGGCAACGCAUGCGCGUCCAGCUGGUCAAGUGGAUGUGGCUGUGGUUCACAUGCGCCAUCAGCUGUGGAGAGUGGUGCAUGUCCCAUUCCACAAUUGUCUGGACAUCCCGCCAGCUCAGCUCCAACCAGCCACUGUCAUCCGGCCACAGCAUCUCCACGGUGUUACGUCCGUGUGCACCUGCACAGCGUGCCGCACCAAAUCAUAUGUUAAUGGGGAUCAAAUUUAAAGGGGGGUCAUAUCAGUGACGCGCAGCAUGGACUAGAUACUGCCCCAGGUACGGCACGUCCCCAUACCUGUCCCACUGCGGCUACGCUCGAUGUUGUUCCGCCCCUUCUUGAUGAGGUGCGGGCCGUCCGUCAGCAUAAUGAUGGGCAGCGUUGGAUCGGCCGGGUCGCGGAAGCACCGCAGGUGCGCGGUAGGGUUGGCCGACGGCAUCGUGAUGUUGCAUUCUGAACAGCAAGGCAAUUGUUUAUUAUGGGCUCAGCAACAUGUAGCAACGGCAGCUAGUCGCGCCCGCCACGUGAGCGCGUACCUUCCGCGACCUGCUUCGCCAGCUCCUCGUCCGCCAUCAGCUCCAUCCACUUGCGGUUCUCAGGAGCGCCAUCACACACCGUGUAGUGCACGCGCAGCCCAGCCGCGCGCAGCUGCGUGAUGCCAUGCGAGAUGAGCGGGGCAAGCUCGACAGCUGACACGCCGUUGGUGAAGAAGUAACCGACGGAAGCCCUGAGGGCAGUCAAACAAGCAAGUACGCAAAUUGGUGAUCGGUGGACACAAAAGAGGCGGAUGCACCCGAGCCCUACCCAUGUACCUCAGCCUCCAACAUGCAUUGAGCAUCGCGCUCUUUCCUACCGGACGGUCUGGGGGCCAAGCGUUGUGUAUGUCAGGUGCAACACGUGAGUUGCCAGAGCUGGGGGCGGCGCUGACUCGCCGCCCAUAGCUGCAGCGCCAGCUGCUGAGGGCAGCGGCGGCUUGCCGCCCAGGAGCUGGUGCAGGCGCUGCGCCUCAGUGCCCACGUCCACGUCCGAGUAGCCCAAAAAGGAGUUGGUCGAUAUGUUGAACACCAGCCCGCUGCUGAUCUUCAUCUCGUCAAAGGCAAGCCCGCCGUCAGGCUGCGCGCCAGCCAUCUUCACAAGCUCCGCUGCCUGCUCCAUCACAGGCGGGUGCCAUCCAGACCCGCACGCCGUGAAGCCCUUGUAGUUCAGGAGCUGACUGAUGGACGGAAGCGAAAGCUGGUCGCUGAUACGAUCAUAGAGGCCAGCGCCACCCUGGUUCAGCAGCCCGAGCGCGAACUGCAGCGUACUGGGGAGAGAUGGCAAGGGGGCGAGCGAAAGCGACACCAGCAUUUAGGUGAUACUAAGGAUUGCCCGCUCCGACCCAUCCUGCCGCGCCCCGCCGUGCCUUGCCGCGCCCCGCCCGGCCGCCCGCCCCACCGUGCCGCGCCCUACCGCGCUGCACUGUGCCGCGUCGCAACCCGCCCCGCACCGUGCCACACCACAACGCCUGCCACACCUGUUGUGCCAGCGCAUGCCGUUCACCAUCUUGCCGCCUUGGCGUGCACGGCGGACGUAUUCCAGCUGGUCCUUCCAAAAUGCAGCCUGGCCGGGGUUCUCCUUCAUGUGAGCCUGAACGCCCUCAUGCUGCAGCAGCGUCACUAGAUCCUCCGACUCCCCUGCUGAUAGCUCCGUCAUCUUAGCGCGUGAAGCCUCCAGCUCCGCCUGGACUGCCGCUAGCUGCUCCUGGGUUGCCGCUAGCUCCUGGCCAAGCUCGGCUUUCUCAUGGCUGAGCUGGACAACCUGAACCCGCAGCGCCACAAUCUUCUCCUCCGAAUCCUUCAGAGCCUGCUCGUACCGUUCAGCUGACACCGCUGCCGCGGACAUAGCUGCCGCGGCGGUGGCACCCGCCUUUGCUUCCGCCAGGCGGUGCUGUACGGUGCUGCGGUGGAGGGUGGCGCGCAGGGACGGGGCGUGGGCGUGGCAGCUGGUACAGCGCGAGCUGCAGCUUGCGCCGCUGACGAGGCCGCUGCAGUUGGUGCUGAAGUGCACUUGCCGCUCCUCGUAGCUGGUGGGCCACAGCGGAUCGUCGGUCGGCAGGGCAAGGCGCCCGGCCGCGGGAUAGAUGGUGGUACGCGGCUGCAUACUGAAGCGCUGCAGGGGAAGCGAGUCCACAGUACUGUUGGGGGUUGUGUGCUGGUCCUUGUAUGCACGCAUCUCCGCCGCCGACGUGCCGCCAUAGCAGGGGCGGCAGCUCUGAAGGUAGAGGAGGAGGUCGGACAGGGCUGCCUGGGUCGUCAGCCGGCCCGCGCUGGGAGCAUCUGCUGGCAACUGAACCUCCUCCAGGGCAUGCUGCACGCUGAAGCCCAGGUUAGAGGCCAGUACGACGCUGAGCCUGUUGUGGUAAUGGCUGCCCACCGUACAGUCAAACCGCAGGUGCUUGUCUCCGGUGUGAGACACGGGCUGCUGUACCAGGUGACAGGACCACGCGGACGUGACCCGUGUAUCCCAGUCCUUCCAGCCCGCCUUGGAAGCUGGGCUGAAAGCGGCACGAAUGCUCUCAAGUCGCUCACUUGGACUGACGCACUCAAGCUCGUCAAAGGCGGCCGCGGCCUGCGCCGCCGCCGCCAUGAUAGCUGAGGGAGAGAACGCGCCGCUCGUGACGUUGCGGUGGACAUCAAGCGCCUGUUGGUGGCGUCAUUUACAAAUGGGUUCGUUAGGGCUUGCAGCAGACCGUGAACGCUGGAAGUGCAUCGUGCCUAGUGCCGACCCAGAUUGCAGUCACGCCGCCCAGAUUGUACAUGUCACGCCAUGUCCACACCCCGCACGGCUAACCCCGCAUAUGCAACGAACCCAUGUGAAGCAACUCCGAAACAAUGCCAUGCUCACCUGCGGCAUCGACGCGAGCUCCAGCAGGUGGGCGCCAGGGGCAGAGGCUGCGAAGAUGGCGGUCUGCCUGGCGAAGAUGUUGGAGCGCUUGCGGCUGUGCACUCCCGUGCUCUUGUUGAUUGUACUCACGAAAUAGGCGAGCUGUCGCGGUGUCAGGCUGUACUCGCUGUCACUGCCGUUCAGCCCCGCGAUCUCGCUGAAGAGGGCAGCCGCACUCGCAAAGAAAGCGCUGCUGCUGCUGCCCCGUGCCCUCUUCAUAGUGAGCCCACUGUCUGAGAAGUGCCCGCCAAGGAUACGGUACAGAACCAACUCCUCAGGCGCCGGCAGUGUGUCGCCCCACCUCUCCCACACCGGGAACGUAGUGCGGCCCCCCGUGUAAGCUGCAGCAGGCGGCGGCGCUACUGUUGGCUCCGCCACUGGCCCUGGCCCUACUGUUGGCGCCACCACUGGCACUGCUUCUGGGGCAGCGGUGCUGCCACCGCUACCAGCAGAGGUGGCGCCGUCGGUAGCUGGCAGUUGCUGUGGCGUUGAAGUGGCAGGCGAUGUGGCUAAUGGCUUCUCAGAAGGCUUCUCUGGAAGAUCUGGUGGAUCAAAGGUGGCAAGGUCGAUGCCGCUGACGCUGGACGCAUUCCUGCGGUGGCUGCGCCUCAGCCCCGGCUGCUGCUGCAACCCUGAAGCCGCACCGCUGUCGUUGACCAGCACCUGCUGCGGCCUCGGCUGGAUCUCUGUGCCGAAGGCCCGCGCCUGCGUUGCCGUGCUGGCGGCAACACUGGCGUUCACAAGUCCCGCCACCAGCAGCAUGCUGGCUGUGUUGUGCUGGCGCUGCAGGGGGUUCUGCGUCUGGGCCUGCUCCAGCUCGUACUCGUGCUGCAUCUCCGCGGUCACAGUCUUGUUGUGCUCUGCGCACUCAAAGCAAACGUUCCAGCCAACCCGGUCAGGUGGCGAAACAGGCUGGAUUUGACGCAGCGUUGCGCCUGGCGUGUAGCUGGAGUAAUGGGCUGCAUGUGUGUGCAGCGGACACGAGCCGAGGACACUGGUGCUGGCCACGGUGAAAGCGCAGCAGUCUUCGCCGCCGUUACACCAACCCGGCUUAUGGCCAUCGCUGCUGCGGCCGAUGCUGAUGAAGCCCCUGGACGAAACCUUCAUGCCACAGGUGUAGCAGUGCCUCCGCCGCAUUUCCGCAACCUUUCCCAUUGAGACGGGCUCGGCGCAGACAACCAGGAACAGAAUGAAGAACUGUGGGGGGCGGUACAAGGGGGGAAGAGGCGGGCGGGGGUGAGCAACCAGCCUGCACACAAAGGAGGCCACCCACCAAAGCCUCGGGGGCACUCCACAACAUCUUGGACCGCAAUCACAGGCUCAUCAGAGCGCAACCCACAUGCCAGGGACAGCCCGGUGUAGCCCAGUACCGGUCCCAUCGUGCACCCAAAGUCCCCGGACAUCUGGUGUGAACACUACGCCGAACCUUUUUGCAGUCUGGAAAGCGCUAUGGGCUCCCAUAUACAUGUUCUCCAUUCUGACACCUAAGCACAUGAUAUCUAGGAACGCGCGAUGCCCGCCAUGCAAAAUUGCGCCUGCAUUCUGGUGGGGAAGAAUGCCUUCCUCUAAGGACCCCGGCAUGCGCGCUAUGGCCAAAGUACCGCCAACACAUAUCGAAAUCGUGCAGGCGCGGUGAUAUGGCUGCGACGAUUUGGCCCCCUGUGAACUGAACCAUCACAUUUCGCCGGACAUCGCGUGUGGCCUAAUACUCCUUGUAAACAUGGUCGGGAUUCGCGCUUCUGGUUCCUCAUACAGUUGGCUCCAUUCUGACACCUAACCUAGGGAAAGGAGCGAUAGCCGACGCCACCCGAGCUUGUGCCGCGCUGGGGGCCUUUCCAUGCGGUCCUGGAAACGGCCCAACCAGCACCCUCCUGGCCUCCUAAGGCCGCACCCACCCCCGCUGGGACAUGGUAUUGGGAUGCAAAUGCCUAGGUCGGCGCUGGCAGCUCCUUAGGAGGCUCAGCGAGCCCGCAAAGGGUCCAUUUCCCCGUUCUCCCCUGGUCUCACCGUCGCUCGCAGGGCGCCCAGGGCCUCCAGGACACGCCAGAUCCCCGCGAAACGAGCGUUCCAGUUCAUUUCAGUAUUUCACGCCAUACUCAGCCCAAAGGCCCGCCCAUAGGUCGGCGCCACUACAAGACUAGAAUGCAUACAAAUACACCUCUUACCAACCUCGCAAGCUCGUCGCUAGGAAAUAUGUGGAAAAUGGUUGCUCGGCGAAAGGUGGAGCGAAAGUCCGCAGGUAUCUGCGUUCUGAUAUGCUUUGCACUCUGCAUGCUGACAACCAACGCGACCACGGCUGGGAACGAGUCUGGCUCUGCCGCGGCCGACCGCUGGUUUGACCGGGGACCGCCCCGGCAUUCCAGCGCUUUCGUGCUAUUGGGCAACCAUGACCGUACCAUGCCAAUCCAAAAGUGGUCUGCAAGAGGUCUCACGACCUGCACCGAGAGCUCUGCGAAAGGGGGAUGUUCGCAUGUUUGCACCAACCGGGCAACUGGCGCACAGCUGCCAGCCCUAAGCCACACUGAUGGCUCCAUUGCGACACAUGGAAUUAACCACGCACACGGUAGCGUGUGGAGGGAGAACUUCAGCUUUGCGCACUCGAUGUUCACAGUACACUCGAACCCCGCGAACGCGACGCUCUUGUCGGAUCGCUGCUCUCAGAAAGGCAUAUUUGAUACCAGUAUACUGCACACGACGUGCUACACAGCUGGCAAGCGUGCUGGCGCCGAACCUUUCGGCAUGUCGCCAAAGAGACCUUCGCAAAGCCCAACUGCUGCAAAACACCCGUCUUUUGAGGAGCUUAUAAGCUCCAAGCACAUACCAGUUGCCUCAGAGCCGCUCGCCAACGACGUCCCAGAAAGGGGUCGAGCCGAGCCUCUUGGCCUCCAGUAUUAUACAGCUAAUUCCCAGCUCUAUGAAAAUGCGAGUUUGCUCACAGAACCACAACCGACAAGCUCCGAACGAAGGCAAUACCGAAGCCCUAGCGGACUCCUGUCGCGCGCAAAGGUUAAGCCAAAGCCUGGAUGCACCAACAUACGCAAUGUGAUGAUAACUGCCUUGCAACCGGUAGGGGAGGGACUCCUUUCUACAAAUCUGAAAAUAGCACAGGCAUGCAGGAGUGGCAUGAGAAAGUUAUGCACAGCGGAGGGAGUAUACCGUCCAUAUGCGAGUAAGACAAUCGGGCUGCUUGGAGAGAGCCUGUUAACGAGUGUGCUUGCGCUGGGCGACCUGGGCAGUCGGCAUGGAGGAACCAUGCUGCGCUCCGGUGCUUCGGCACUGCACUCCAUGGCAGAAACAGCUUACGGGCCCCAACCAACCCACAACUGUAGUGCCUCCUGGGAAAACUCGCCGCUUCUUCGCCUGCACCUUGCACUUGCCGUCUACCUCCACUGGGUUGGAGCAGGGCAUGUACGGGCAGCCAUGCACAGCCAUGCUAUCGCCAUCAGAGUGGGCACACACCUUGCAACCCUGUCUAGACUCGCCACCUACCAGACAGUCGCCCAGACUGGCAAAGCACUACACACCAUACUUGACAAAGCCAUUGUCAGCCUCGCCAUCAUCACCGCGACAGGGGCCAUGUAUAUGCUCUGGACCCACCUCCUGCACACCGAAACCCACACUACCUCCAUCAACACGGAAAUCUAUGCAAACGGUGCAAUCCUCAGCCUGCUACUAUGGGGUCCCACACUCACCACUCUUGCUCUCUCCCCACUGUGUGUAAUAGCGCUUGCCUUCGGGAUAACCGCCAUCCCCGCAGCCCUCGGUCUCCUGUUCGCACUGACAGUGACAUCCAUCCUACCCGUCCUCUGUCUCCCAGCUCUCCUCAACUAUGUGGUCCAAGUGACAAGGCAGAUAGCCUCUGCAACCUGGGCCCGGCGGAAGCUACUACUCUGGGGAACGGCCAUGGCCAUCAUCCUGCGAAACCUGUACCUCACACUGCCGGACCCUUGCAGUGUGCAACCGGCACAGCCGGCACUCUGGGGGCCAGCAUUGGUCACCGGCCUACUUACUGCUAGCCAGGCAACCACUCUCCUCACGCUUACAUAUGCAGUAAACCGGACACACACAAUGCCCUACAUCAAGCCAACACUGCGAGGUGCGCUGCCCACAGACCCGACAGCCCCGCCGGCGCCCGCCGACCCUCGCACGCAUGCGGCAGUGAACAUCCGACCACCAGCCGCACUGCACUGGCCGCCAAACUCCAACACCACAUACCAUGAAACACAGCGGCAACACUUCUGCAGUGUCCACGCCCUCAACAACUCUUUGGGGCUCGCAUGGCUCGACCCCCUGGAUGUCCUCUCUUACGCUAAACGAGUGCACGCUCACCUCACAGCCACGCAAGACCCGAAUGCCCUGUUCUGGAAAGAAUGCUACUGCCCCAACAGUGGCGCCUUCAGCGAAUUUCUCCUGAACCACUACCUGUACCACAAUGCCACCAUCAGCAACAUAUUCGCCUACCCCAACAGGAAGUUGAUUAUGCGCCGAACCCACUUUCCGCGACUCAACGGCGACAUCAGCAAAGAAAAGGUCCUAGAGAGCCUUCCGGUAGCCGCCCGAACUCGCGGCUUUACCGUCCACCAGUACACUGUGCGACACACAAUUGCUGUGCGUUACGAAGCAGGACAAUGGAGAGUAAUAGAUUCGGUGAACAGCCCUAUCCACAACACGGUCUUACACGACAACACUUGGAACACACUUGAUGGGGAGGUCUGGUGCCUUGACGCGGUGCGUGCAUCUGACACGGCAACACUUCAGGACGCACUUGGGCAACUCCGUGAGAUCGUCCCGCCACCACGCCCGCCACCCCACAUGGAGGCCACCAGACCCGUGCAGACAGGGCCCGCCGCCACAGGAAGGCCGGCACCAGAGCCAGCUCAACAUGCCCAAGACAACUCACCGCUGCGGGCAGCACACAGGGCGCCACAGCAUGCAGCACCCCACACUACCGCACCCGCGCAGCCACACAAUGCAAAUGCCGGCAUAGCACCCCGACUCAACACGACAGGCACCCGACAAACUAUCCUUAACUGGCUUGUACGGCCCACUGCACGCAACCACGCUCACAUGGAACCCAACCAGGCACACACAAACACGAGACCCCCCAGCAGCAACACCACCCUACACAUCGUGACCCACAAUGUACGGGGACUGCUCUCAGAAAUUCUGUCCACCGGCCAACCCGGCAACCUCAGCUUCACCCUCUGCAACCUAGCCCAAUGGAAAGCCGACAUAGUUGUCCUAACCGAGACAAAACUGACAGGGAAGACUGACUCAAUCAAGCGAGCCUUCCGAAAUGAAGGAUACCGCCUCUACUGUAGCACUACUCCCCGCGCGGCCACAGCGCGCGGUAGCGCUGGCGUAGCGGUGGCCAUCUCCGCCCGGUACAGUGACCUCGGCUGUGUCACACACCACACGCCCCCACCAACACUCCAUGGCUAUGUGUCACACGUUCAAAUUAAGACCCCCGGGAGCACGCCUCUCACUGUACUGGGCAUCUACGCACCAGAAGACAUGCAAACCCGCAAGGCAAUCUACACAUACUGUCAGCAGGUGGUGGGCCGGGCGGACGCGUGCGAACACCACCUAGUCACCGCGGGAGACUUUAAUGCCGUCGCCCGAGCACAUGAGCGUGACAGCCCCAUCGACACGGCGGACCGGGCCCACCAGCGGUUCCUUGCCGAUAGUGGCCUGCGCCCUAUCCGCGGAGACACCACUACCACUGCCGAAUGGUCAUAUGAACAAACACGCCCGGGCAUGGCCCCAUACCACAGUCGCAUCGAUGACAUCCUCCUAUGCCCUGCCACGCGCGCUGCAUGCACAGAAGCGCGUGAAUACACCAGUACAGUUGCAGGCAACUUUGACCACAAACCAGUCCACGCAGAGUUACUAGCCGCGGACCUACAGCUAUGGCCGGCACCACAGGCCGGCGCCCGGAACCCAGUCCCCCAGCAGCAGACCCAACAACGAUGGGCCGAGGUCGCACUGCCUGUCACACAAAAGCAACUGGCCGCCGCAGCUAUCCGCCUUGAGGAAGCCCUUGUGGAAGCAACAGCCGACCUGCAUUCCGCAACAAGGCAGGCAACGCAAUCAAUUGAACAUGCACUCACAAGGCACAGCAUGGACCCCACAGGCUACCCCGCCAGCGUCAUGCACCGAGACCUGGCGCAGGACACGAGCAUCCAGAAGGCCGAUAUCAACCAACUUGCAGAACAACUUGCCUCCGCACUGGACACCGGGCUAACAUGCCUCCUUGAAGAGUGCACCCGGAAAGCCCCCUUCACUGGCAAACACCACGCAUCACGCUCCACCGCACGGGUGCUAAAGCCCCUAUGGGACAAGGAAGUGGCCCUGAAGACACAACUGACAAACCUCACGCAAGGGCCCCAGGCCCUACCUGAGGUAGACGCCGCCAAUGCGGCGGCAAAGCUGCGGAACGAAAUAAAGGCCUGCCAGGCCGAGCACCGCCAGCUAGUGGCGGACCGCGCCAAAGCCCAGCGAGAGGCCGCUGCCACAGCGCUGCAACAUACCCUGGCCACGCGCCCUGCACAGGGGCACAAGAGAAUCUUUCAGAAGGAAGACAUGGAACGGGGUCUCCCAGCGGUCCGGAACCCAGAAACUGGGGAGGUGACGACUGACUCCACCAGCAUCCUCGCCAUACUCGAAACCCACUUCCGAAAGCUGUCCGCCCCACCACGCGGCACCCGCACUGGGGACUUCCGACUACCCAGCAACGCCACACGCGGCUACCCAUUUGAGAAAGCCGACGCAACAGAUCAAUUCACACUGGACCGCAACCGGCACCCUGACACACAUUCCAUGCUCCCCAGCAUGGCAGACACGGCAAAUUUUGAGCAGUGCAUUUCUCACCUCUCCAGAAACAAGGCGACAGGCCCUGACGGCAUCCCAAACGAACUGCUCCGUAUCCUGCCAUCGGGCAUGAAGCGCAACCUCCACUGUAUCCUGCAAAUCAUGUACGUCAAGUCACAAAUACCUGAAACCUGGGCCGCAUCAGAGACCGUGCUACUCCCCAAACCUGGAGACGCCCUGGACAUAAAAAACAAACGGCCCAUUGCGCUCGCAAAUACCUGCUACAAGCUGUACACGUCCAUGCUUACCUUGGGCAUUGGCGAACUGGCUGGCCCCCUCCAGCUAUUCAGUGAAGCGCAGGAAGGCUUCCGUGCCUACUGCAACACCGAAAGGCAGGUCCUAAAUUUAGUACAUGCCCUUGAGGAUGCCGCACUGUUUGGAAAAGAUGUCUAUGCGGUAUACGUGGACUAUAGCUCCGCGUUUAACACAAUCGACCAGGACCGAUUACUACAAAUUAUGUUUGACCUUGGGCUGCCAACGGACCUGAUCCGCGCAGUCCGCAACCUAUAUGCACAUGCGACCACCCGCAUCCGCACCGAACACGGAAGCACAUCCGCCAUUCCUAUAGAGCGAGGCACCGUGCAAGGGGAUACACUCUCACCUGUGCUCUUUAUUCUGUUCAUGGAACCUCUUGUCCGCUGGCUCCAUGCGGGCGGACGGGGCUACCACUACGGCUGCCUGACCCCCAGCGAAAACCUGCAGUACCAUUGCAGUGCCGCCGCGUACGCAGACGACCUGGCGGCGCUCACCAACUCGCUCGACGACCUGCAGGUUCAAUGUGACAAAAUCGCAUCUUACGCCGAGUGGGCGAGCCUGCGUGUCAAUCACACCAAGUGUGCCACCACCGCCAUCUGGCACGACAAAUCUCGCUCGGACCCCAACCUUGACGGGCCCACAGGAAAAGCUACCCUUGCCGCCAUGCGCCGCAACAUGACCAACACAAUUAAGAUUGGCACGACCCCUGUCCCGUACUUCCCCCCGACCCAGCCGUACAAGUACCUGGGAGUGCAGCUCACGUUCUCGCUGGACUGGUCGGCACAUGUCGCAAGAGUCACCGAGACUGUGAAGGACAAGGGCACAGCCAUUGCCACAUCCCUGGCGACACCGGCACAACGCCUGCGCAUGAUACAACAGUGCGUGCACACCACAGUUGCAUAUGGAUUCGCAGCAAUGCCCUUCACAAAACAGGACAUAACAACGCUCGACACUACCCUGGCUGGUUUUGCAAAGCGCUGCUACGGACUCCCCCGCAGCUUCCCCACCCGGACCUCCCUCCUGCCCGCCGACGAAUACGGCUUGGGCCUGGGCUCCCUCCUGCCGCAAUACGCGCGCGUGGCCCAGCGAGCCCUGGUCCUUGCCCUAAAUGACUCGGGCCGUCUUGGGAUAGUAACCCGAGCCCUUCUGCCGCGCCAGGCAAGCAUAGCUGGCCCCACACAGGCCCACCUUCUCCCAGCCCAUAGGUCACACCACCUUACGACGCUGAAACAGAUGACCCUGGCAAAAGAGUACGGUGUCACACUGUACCAAAAUGGGUCUGCCUUUACUGCGCCUACCUGGUCCAUUGCCGCUGCCCUUGAGGCAGAAGCUGACGCCCGGGGCGUCGAACCUCUCCCCAUUGAAUACGUCCUCCCUCUUGCGGACCUGAGGCUCGAACUGAGCCACCUGGUGGACCGCAACACAGGCAAACACCUGAUUACUAGCUCGGACCUCGAGAAGCACAUGGGAGCGAGCCGGGUCCGGCACAAGCACAAGGUAGCCCUGAACAGGCUUAGCCUUGCUCUCAGUAUGGCUGCACGUGCAGGGGAAAACGCUCCAGCCCAUGGCAGCCCUGCCCCCCUGACCACCGCACAGCGUGCACUGCCCGACGUGGCCGCAAUCGUGGCCUUAGCCAUGAGGGCGGACCCCCUCCCUCUCGGAAUGGCCAACCCCCUCGACCGGUACCUGCAGCCCCUCCCGGAGGCGCCCCCCGCCCAAGCAAACACCACGCAAGCCCCCGCCGACCUAGCCCCCCCCUCUCCAGCAGGGGCGGCCCAGGCCCAUCCCGGCGCACAAGGUGCUGCUGCACCGGAAGUCCCCGCUGAUGGGGCAACGCAACCCUCCCUACGGCCACCGGCCAGAGCCCGCAAGCCGGCUACAACACGCCGGCCACAGAACCAAACACGCGCACGGCGCGUUACAAAACAUGCAGCGCAACGCGCACGCAUUGCAGAAACUACACGCACUACCCCUGAGGACUUGCUCACCGGGGACCGCGCCGCCAUCAACCAUGCCCUGCGGCUCACCAACGGCGAUGAGAGCCUGCCGGUGGGCACGCGGGGAUAUGAAACGGCAUGCUCGGUAUUCCAGGCGCUCGCCAAAGACAUGACAGGACACAUGCGGAUCUGCCACCCACACCCACAAGACCCACCCUCCCUUGCACAUGCUGUCGAACCACGCCAACAGCGCCGUGGGCUACCACCCGCCCUCACAACCCGCCUCACGGCGAAUGCCGCCAACCCCGAACCCAACGCCAUAAGCGAGUAUCUGAACAACACAGGAUUGCCUAUGGAAGUCAACCAGGCUGCCGCUCACAACGACCCCAUGGACGCCGAUAGCCCGACGCCGCCCCUGACCGCCCCGGCAGUGCAAGCUGCGGGAGGCCAUGGGGCCCGUCCCAGCUGGCGACUGGCCCGCGCAAGGAUCACACACGAUCUAGUCCCAAGGCCCGCCGACAACCGCACUAACGGUGACACUCAACUCACCUACGCCCUGGACAAUGACGGACAGGAACUGGCACAGGUCCUGCACAGCGAAAACAAACAAACUGUCACGGACAAAGAACUGACACGGAAGCGCAAAGCCAGAGAGGACACCUCUGGGACACGUGAAAAAUACUGGAAGGUGCAGUGGAAGCCGUCCAUUUGCCCGGCCGGCAUUGUCUCUGCUUUUGUUCGCAUGGGCUACGCAACUAUCCAGAAUGCCAGGUGUUAUAAGCACCCUCUUGCGACGCGCCCAUGCCCACAACCUGCGCAGACCGAGGCUGAGCCUCCGGCUGAAACCCAAGCCCACGCAAUCUCACCUGAAGAGCCUGCCCAAGCUGCAGAGCCGGCAGCACCGCAGCCCACUGGGGCCCCCCUAUUCUCGUCCUGGACGACCAAACUCCUACGACAUGUCACGUGGGCGCCGAGCACGGACCGUGAACGGGACCUAAAACACAGUCCACAAUGGGAGGAGUUACUGGAGGAGUGCAAAACCCGGCUAGCAAACGGUACCAACCAAGGCCCGCGGCCCCGAACAGUGCGCCCCGCACCUGAUCGGAACCUUACCGCCAGACAGCGCCAAGGCCGCCACGACGCCGAGCCCCUGGAUACCGCAUCCCGCGCGCGUGACAUCCGCACGACCACCACCAUCACCACAAGCCCGUGCAACCCCUACAAGGACAUUGUGGCCCCCGGAGCAUACACAAUUACCACCACUGGUGGCACCCGCCGUGACCCAGCUGAGGCGCACGUCCAUGAACCCAGUGGCCGCUGGCUGGGCACCAUCACCUACCCCCGCCUCCUUACCCUGUGGGAGCGCUUCAGGCACACCGGCAACCAGCGGCCCAACGCCUUUGAGGAAGCGGUCGCUGCCCUCAUCAUGCGCUACCGCUAUGACCCGGCGCAGCAGGACCGCAAGGCCAUGCCAAUGCACCAGGUGUCGCUGCCGGCAGGCACAGUAGCAGCCAUCGUCCAAUGCCUGCGGGUCACACAAGCAGUACACAUUCGGGAAAUGUUUGCGUCCCCACUAAACUCCUCCAUUGCAGCCCACGAAUACUGGACACGAGACCCUGCUGAUGGGGCCUUUGGCGCACUGCACGAUGCCUACCAGACCGCAUGGACCGGCUUGCAAUAUGCCCACCCCCCCUCUAGCCCCCACGACGCACGGAAGGCGCUCAUGUGGGCCCUCGCAUGCGCCGAGGCUAUGCGUGACUCACAGGAACCAACCCUUACUGUAUUGGCGCUCCCCAAAGCGGCCACUUUCCCCCACACGCAGUGGCUUCAACACCCACUUUGCCACGAGCUGGCCAACUGGUCCGCGGGCACCGCGGGCCUUGACACAGGACUUGGCACCAACACCCAGGCUGAACGCCAGAAGGGGCUCCGACUGGUCAUUGUUGGGAACCCCGCCGGACUCCAGUGCUUUGCCCCCCGCCUGAAACGGCUCGUGGACGCACUGAAACGGGGGGCGAACGCACCCACGCACAUCAGCGACCCGCGCACGUGGACACACACGGCCACGGCCCCAACCUGCCCGGCCCUCCCAAACUCACUUCUAAAGCAAGCCAAAUACCAGCACGCUAACCCAAAGACGAUACACGCCAUGGCUGACGAAGCACGACGCUUUCCUAACGCGCGAUUCCAGACCCACCAUGCUCUGGCCCACGACGUGAAUGGCACUGUCUGGACAGAUGGUUCGGUAAGCAAAAUCAAAACUGACAAUGGCAAAGAAGUCCAGGUUGCCGGCGCCUGCGCCUGGUUCAGCGAUUCUCGCGUUGUCUACGUGAAUCCAAAUGGCGCUGGGUGCACAAACACUAUUACGAGAGCUGAACUGGCAGCAAUUCGUGCUGCCCUCGCAGAAUUUGGUGGCGAAGGUAAAGAAUUUGCAACUAAGAAGCUCACUAUUGCAUCAGAUUCUGUUGCAAGCUUGUACCUAAUCAAACGAGCAAUUAACGAGCCUCGGCGACUGCAUCUGAGUAAACAUCGGGACCUCCUGGAUUCAGUCGUGGCAUUGCUCCAUGCACGCCACGCCCGGGGCGCACCCACCGCCCUGAUUAAAGUGAUCUCGCACACCGGGCUACACGGCAACGAGGAAGCCGAUAAAGGGGCGGCUGCCGUCGCCACCCAGGAAAAACCCGCCGAUUUAUCCGAACCGGCCGACAACGACCCGCACGCCCGGCACUGGUGGCCGACCUUCACGGUCACCAGGGACGACGAUAGCACAGCCACGCACUACGUGUCGGACCUAAACCGGGGCCUCACCAGGGCAAUGGCCCCCAGCUGCCGUGGUGGAUACGCCAACAAAACCCUGUACACUGAGAAAUGGGCCGAGGCAGCACCCAGCCUUGACCCACGCGCCAGUAACGCGUACAUGACGAACUCGGACGCCAGCCACGGCCUACGCCGGUUCAUACAGAAUGCUCGUCAGGGAGGCCUCAUCUGCCCGGCCCGGCUGGCUUUGUUUAAACUACGAGACAGCGACAAAUGUGGUCUCUGUGCCCACACCCAGCGCAGCCGCGGAUCUGACCCAGAGCGUGGCACCGCAGGUCACCUUGCCGGCCACUGCGCGCACCCCCAACUCGUUGGCGCUAGGAUAGCCAAACACAACACUGCAGUGCGGACGAUUGCCGAAUGCCUACACCAUGGUCACAACGGUGGUGGCUACAUGAUAAUGGAUGCCACCUCCCGAGCUGAACUGCCUGAGUACUGUGCGGGCAUGCGGCCGCCGUCAUGGCUCUGCCCGCGAGUGCCCGCUGCAGACCUCAACAGGAUGCGGCCUGACAUUCUGUUUAUCCCGAACCUCCCCCGGUCCGAAGCAGAACGCUUCAUGACAUCCCCACCAGCCAACAAAGGGGCCUACCCAGUGUACAUCCUUGAAGUUGGAUACACCUCUGACCUGCACCACAGCGAGAAGCUCAUUCAAAAACAAGCACAGCAUGCCACCCUUGCCACUGCCAUGCGAGCUGCAGGGUGGACCGUGCACUACGAUACCAAGCACGUUAUUACACUGGGACACGGUGGCACUGUCCCCCGUACCCUUGAAACUCUCCUCAAAGACCUAGGAGCCAAACCGCAGGCAGCCAAGGCCUGCUGCACACGUCUCCACAUGCAUGGCGUCACCACACUCCGGGGCACCGCAAACCUGUACUACCGGCUAGAGCGAGAGAUGGGCAUUGCCAACACCCGAUGCCGCCCGGGAGGCCGCACCCAGGGGACCGCCAAUGGCGGCCCCCGCGCAGGGGAGCCGGGGUAGGGAAAUCAAGUUUUCCAAUGGUGGGGUGAGCUUGUCUCACUCCUCCUUAAGACACGCGGGCACCUGUGCCCUGCGUAGAUAUUAUUAUUAUUAUUAUUUCACGCCAUAGGACACGUCAAGUCAUGAAAUCGCUCAGGAAUGGCUCUAAACCCUCGAAAUGUUGGAGGGGGCCCUGCGGCCCUUCGCUAUCAGUUCUAAUGACUAUACAGUUGUCUUACAAACACAAAUGAAUGGCCGGGAGCUCCUUGGGAGGGGUCCGAACACCUUUUGGCCGGGUCCCAUGCAGCGCGAACCUGGAUCCAGGCCGAGUUGCACACCCCCCUCCCCUGUAGGCAGCCGAGUCGCAGCCCAGCGGGGCACACAUACAUACUGUUCUUACGCACACUAAAGCUGAACGCUACCUGAGAUUCAAGUACCACUCGAGCAGGGUUCGAUCAUUCGAGUAGUUUUGGUCUUCGCGUGUGGAUGAUUUCUUUUCUAUUUUAGACAGGGCCAAAAAUGAUACCGAAGAGAAGCAACGGCAAGCAAAGCGGCCGGAGGAGGCAGCCCGGCAGCAAGCGGCCGCGUCUGCUUAGAACGCCAAGUUACAGGGGCGGGAGUUCCAGACAUGACUAGUUGGAAGACGGCGGGGUGGCGGGACUGCGAGAGGAGGAGGGAGGAGGGAGGAGGGAGGAGGGAGGAGGGAGGAGGGAGGAGGGAGGAGGGAGGAGGGCCGAUCUGCGAGCCCGUGUUUCGAGGCGUUACCGUGGCCCAGUAUGGCCGAUGGUUGCAGACAACCCCCCUCCCCCAAAUUCGCUAACAAGGCAGCCGUACUGCGGCGGAGCAUUCUAAAGGGGGCGCCACUAAAUCGACUGGAAAGAGGCCCAGUAAUCCCACUAGCGGACCGCCAUGCGAUCCAUGGAGCGUGCCCCUAAGGGAGUCAAGUGACAGGGGACGCAAUGUACAGUGUUUGAAUGCCGAGCACGAGAGGAGGCUGGUGUAGAAGUGGCGACUAAAGUCUGAGUAUGACCUGAGUGCCAGAGUCGUAACAAAUGUUGGACCAAAGGUACUGCGGAUGCUGGCGUGCACACAACCUCCUGGACCGGUGACCGGGGCCCCAUAAAAAAAAUGCCGUGGCGACUGGCACGCCCUAGCAUGAGGAUUCCCCGCCCAGAGGGAGGAGCUUUUCUUCCUAUGGGUUUGGCUUUUCUCUCAACAACUUUCCAAAUCAGGAAGCGUGAUGUGUGCACGGAUUGGCUCGCGUCUGCUGGAUGUCUGUGCUGGGGUUGGCCCAGGGAUGCGGGAUGAGCCGGCGACUUGAGAGACGAGCCGCUCUCGCGGCUCGGGUAGUCUCUUCACCAGUUCACGUGGAGCAGUGGAGGGCGUGGGGGAGGGAGUUUCCGCCCCGCUACAUGCAGCUUCCUGCGUCAGNNNNNNNNNNNNNNNNNNNNNNNNNNNNNNNNNNNNNNNNNNNNNNNNNNNNNNNNNNNNNNNNNNNNNNNNNNNNNNNNNNNNNNNNNNNNNNNNNNNNCGCCAGCGAGCGUAAGAGGGGGUUCGCCGAGCUGGGUCGCCGAGCGUGCUAAAAGUUCACAGCACAUCGCAACUGUGCAUGACUUUGCUCACCGAUUAUAUCAACGGAUACAGCUGCUCGCACAUAUCGUGUAAGCUUUCAUCCCAGCCGAUCGGAACGAGCACUCUCUGAAAUUCUUGCAAGUGCGCGCUCUGGCAGGCCAGACUGUGUCGCUAAUACAUCGCACUGUACGUUAUAGCUGCGCGCAUUCUCGAGGAAGCCAAGAAAGCGCAGUUACCGGCUUCGUUCAUACGCUGCACUCGCUCUCGCGGCCUGGAAAGAAGAUCACGUAUACAAGAAGCUGCGAAUAAUCGAUCAUGCUAGUUGGUUCGAGCUGAAUCGCGCUGUAGCGCAAACGCACCGGGUGCGUCACACUUUCCAGGGCAUAUGUAGAUAGCUGGGCUAACAAGGCAGCCGUACUGCGGCGGAGCAUUCUAAAGGGGGCGCCACUAAAUCGACUGGAAAGAGGCCCAGUAAUCCCACUAGCGGACCGCCAUGCGAUCCAUGGAGCGUGCCCCUAAGGGAGUCAAGUGACAGGGGACGCAAUGUACAGUGUUUAAAUGCCGAGCACGAGAGGAGGCUGGUGUAGAAGUGGCGACUAAAGUCUGAGUAUGACCUGAGUGCCAGAGUCGUAACAAAUGUUGGACCAAAGGUACUGCGGAUGCUGGCGUGCACACAACCUCCUGGACCGGUGACCGGGGCCCCAUAAAAAAAAUGCCGUGGCGACUGGCACGCCCUAGCAUGAGGAUUCCCCGCCCAGAGGGAGGAGCUUUUCUUCCUAUGGGUUUGGCUUUUCUCUCAACAACUUUCCAAAUCAGGAAGCGUGAUGUGUGCACGGAUUGGCUCGCGUCUGCUGGAUGUCUGUGCUGGGGUUGGCCCAGGGAUGCGGGAUGAGCCGGCGACUUGAGAGACGAGCCGCUCUCGCGGCUCGGGUAGUCUCUUCACCAGUUCACGUGGAGCAGUGGAGGGCGUGGGGGAGGGAGUUUCCGCCCCGCUACAUGCAGCUUCCUGCGUCAGUCCGCACACCCACAUUAACCACAACUACUAAGUGCAUUAAUCCCGGCCAGCAGCCCCGCCACAGCUUAGUCCGCCCAGCGGAACUCGGCACUGUCACGCCAGUGCUUCAGGGCUGCCGCGUACGGGAAGUCCGACAGAGAGAACCACCGCUGCGCCAUCAUGCGCACAGUCAGGCACAGGUGCCGCUGCUCCAGCCGGUUGCGCUGCUUGUUCUUGAUGUAGCUCAUGGUGCUGAACACAAGCUCCUUGACUUUGGCCUUGACAUUGCCCAAGCUCUUAUCCUUAACCUUAGGGGCCAUAUCGUGGGGCCAUAUCUACUGUAUGAACUGGUAUGAAUGUAAUACGCAUAGCAAGUAGUAUUUGCGGCGGGGCCCGGGUAGUUUAGGGUCCGGCGGAUUAAAUUUUUGGUACCCGUGUGGGUACUCGAGGCCCCAAUAAUUAGUUUCCAGUACCCGCGUCAAUUUCGUCGAAUUGUUUUCUCAGUACCCGAAUGGGUACUAGUACCCGGUUUUGGAAACACUGCUAGAUUGCAUCGUCGGCCUACGUGGACAUUGCGCAGUCUCCAUGCGGGUCCCACUCCAUGACAAAUCGUGUCCCCAGGGAGGCGCCCACACGACGGCACCCAAAACCCCCUGAUAGAUAGUACUUUCAGGAUGCCACCACGCCGUCCCUAACUGAUGUGUACAGGACAAUACAUCAGGGGGGUUUCACCGCCGUCCGGGGGCUGCGCUUCCCCAGCUACCCCAGCCAAACCCGCACGCCAAGGAGGCCCCAAACCAAACGCAGAGCGGGAUACAGACUCCGCCACUUAAUGUAUAUAUGUUACAUGCAAUCUAUUGGAGCAAUAGCGCUUGACGGCAGGCUAAAACGUGCUCGUCGAGGCUCAAGUCAUGACAUUGACCGACCAACAUCCUGCAUAGGCGUUGUUUUGGAGCGUGAUCAAUUGCCGUCAACACAGAUAUCUGCAUAGAUGUAAUCAGGCUACUAUCUGGCCUGAUAUGGCGUGUCCUGGCGAACGCGACAUGCAGAUGUUUGAGGUCGGCCCCGGCUCGAUUCAGUGCCCCGGGGCUACCCUAUUGACCUUAUAUGUUUGUAGUAGAUGCUAUAGGAGGAAUGGUACUGGGCUGGGGACACGACCGGCCCGUAGUUGGACGUUGCCGACCGACCUCGCAGCGCCACCUUGCCGGUGCCUGAGGCGCAUGCUGCCUAUUAAUUGCUAUUCAUAAUUCUGGGUCCCUUUUAUGGGGCCACGCGGCCACACACCGGUGCUCGCGCAAACCCGAUACUCAACGCGGCGACGCGGCGUUCUUAAGUGGGGGGCCGAAUUCUGUGCGCUGUAUUUACACAACUGGGUCCCUCGCGGCUGCCCGGACAGCAAAUGGCCGCGGCUCCGACAUAAACGCCACGGAGCGCACUCCCGUAUGCGGCCCCAGCGACGUCGCGAGCACGCGCGACGCUCCUCGCAACAAAGCUGGGUCCCUCACGCCCGGGGCCCCGGCCCUCCCCCACACCCUCGGAGGAUCGCCCGCGCGACUAAGUCCGGUUUCUAUUAUUAUUCUUCUUAUGAUAUAGGAAUAAUAAUAAUAAUAUCUACGCAGGGCACAGGUACCCGCGUGUCUUAAGGAGGAGUGAGACAAGCUCACCCCACCAUCGGAAAACUUGAUUUCCCUACCCCGGCUCCCCUGCGCGGGGGCCGCCAUUGGCGGUCCCCUGGGUGCGGCCUCCCGGGCGGCAUCGGGUGUUGACAAUGCCCAUCUCUCGCUCUAGUCGGUAGUACAGGUUUGCGGUGCCCCGGAGUGUGGUGACGCUAUGCAUGUGGAGACGUGUGCAGCAGGCCUUGGCUGCCUGCGGUUUGGCUCCUAGGUCUUUGAGGAGAGUUUCAAGGGUACGGGGGACAGUGCCACCGUGGCCCAGUGUAAUAACGUGUUUAGUAUCCUAGUGCACAGUCCACCCUGCAACUCGCAUGGCAGUGGCAAGGGUGGCGUGCUGUGCUUGUUUUUGAAUGAGCUUCUCGCUGUGGUGCAGGUCAGAGGUGUAUCCAACUUCAAGGAUGUACACUGGGUAGGCCCCUUUGUUGGCUGGUGGGGAUGUCAUGAAGCGUUCUGCUUCGGACCGGGGAAGGUUCGGGAUAAACAGAAUGUCAGGCCGCAACCUGUUGAGGUCUGCAGCGGGCACUUGCGGGCAGAGCCAGGACGGCGGCCGCAUGCCCGCACAGUACUCAGGCAGUUCAGCUCGGGAGGUGGCAUCCAUUAUCAUGUAGCCACCACCGUUGUGACCAUGGUGUAGGCACUCGGCAAUCGUCCGCACUGCAGUGUUGUGUUUGGCUAUCCUAGCGCCAACGAGUUGGGGGUGCGCGCAGUGGCCGGCAAGGUGACCUGUGGUGCCACGCUCUGGGUCAGAUCCGCGGCUGCGCUGGGCGUGGGCACAGAGACCACAUUUGUCGCUGUCUCGUAGUUUAAACAAAGCCAGCCGUGCCGGGCAGAUGAGGCCUCCCUGACGAGCAUUCUGUAUGAACCGGCGUAGGCCGUGGCUGGCGUCCGAGUUCGUCAUGUACGCGUUGCUGGCGCGCGGGUCAAGGCUGGGUGCUGCCUCGGCCCAUUUUUCAGUGUACAGGGUUUUGUUGGCGUAUCCACCACGGCAGCUGGGGGCCAUUGCCCUGGUGAGGCCCCGGUUUAGGUCCGACACGUAGUGCGUGGCUGUGCUAUCGUCGUCUCUGGUUGGCGUGCCCCGGCCCCCGCAGGGGGCGCGGCGCACCCAUACGUUGGCUCGCCCCCCAAAGGGGGGCGAAAGCCUUACUCUUCGACCAGAACCAUACAUUAGGGUUGUUUGCAGUUUUUGCGUUUUCGUGAAAGGAUGUAUGCAAGUAGCGGCUGCUUCGGAGUAUUUGUCAAGCGGAGAAACCUUUGAAAACAUGCAACACAGAAAAACCGGUAGAAAAAGCGCACCUCCCAGGCCAUGUCCAAGGCCUGUCGUCUUGGACCCAUCACCAAUCCAAAGCCCAGCGCACGAAGCCACAAGCCUAGCCAAAGCCAAAGCCGCAAGCCAAAGCCAAAGCCAAAGCCAAAGCCAGUAAAGCCAGAGCCAAAGCCAAAGCCAAAGCCAAAGCCAAAGCCAAAGCCAAAGCCAAAGCCAAAGCCAAAGCCAAAGCCAAAGCCAAAGCCAAAGCCAAAGCCAAAGCCAAAGCCAAAGCCGAAGAAUGUCGCCGUGCCCUCGACUUGACGUUCUGCUCGCCGCAAAUGCAUUGAUGCGGUGGCCAUUGAUGCGCAAGGCCGAGGCGACCCAGCAGAGCGAUGUUGCCCGUGGGCCGCCGCCGCCGCCGCCACCGCCGCCGCCGCUGCCGGGGCGUGUGGAGCCGCAACCGUGCUGCUGCAACGCGCCUGAACCUCGCCCCCGGCCCCUACCAUAGCCAACGUGGCAUAGAUGACAAGUGCAGUGCACGCACAGGCAAGGGCAGGAAGCGCAGCGCGAGCGUGAGGGCGCAAGGCCGAGGCGACCCAACAGAGCGAUGUUCACGCGGGUACCACUCCGGGGGUCAAGGGCGGGAUCGCAAGGUCUAUGCCCAGACUGUCGCCCCGACCAUGAAUUGACAUCCCAUUACGCAUAAUAAGGUCCCUGGAUGGUGCUCGGGCAUAAUUUUGAGCGAGAGCUCAAGUCGAAAUGCUGUAUGUCGCGCUCGCCAGGACCCCGCCAACUUAGCCUGAAGCUAUUUUGAUUACAUCUAUACGAGAAUUAAUGUCGACGGCAAUAGAUUCAGGCCCCAAACAGCGCAUAUGCGAGAUAUGGGCUUCGGUCAAUUUCGCGACUUGAGCCCCGAUAAGCAUAAUUUGGACCUUUGCCGACCACUUCUGGCUGAUGAUGAUGUUGGUUAUGUACCUACAGAAAGGCGGUGUCUAAUCCGUGCGGUAGGAUUUGCCCCGGGGCAACGUCCAACGUGCGGGUUUGGCUGGGAAAACGCACCCCCCGGACGGCAGCCCAGUUUUCACCACGGGCAAUAGCUCGUACAAGAAAUCUAACUAGCCAGGCGGAUAGAGCGCUAUCGAAUUGUGGGGGGUAGGUCGGGUCAGCAUCCUUGUACGAGUUAUUGCUCACAGUGAAAAGGCCCGCGGAAGAAGGGACUCCCCUAGACCCCAUCCAGCCGCCUGGUGGUACCCGCGUGGCGAUGUUGCCCGUGGGCCGCCGCCGCCGCCGCCGCCGCCGAGGCGUAUGAAGCCGCAACCGUGCUGCUGCAAUGCGCCUGAACCUCGCCCCCAGCCCCCACCAUAGCUGACGUCGCAUAGCAAGUGCAGUGCACGCACAGGCAACAGCAGGAAGCACAGCACCAGCGCCAGCCAGGGCGUGUCAGCAUCCAGAUUUGUACCCACCCCAACACACGCACUACCUUGGAUUUCCGCCCCCCCCUGCGCGCGCAGCGCACACUUGUGCCGUCUCCUGCCUCGUCACGCCUACCAGUUCAGCACGCUGUAACUUGCCCCGCUUGAAUGCUCUGGUGCACGUCUGUCAAUCCAGUGAUCGCUAUCCAACACCUUGCGCUCACAGCCAGCCUCGGCUACACGCCCCUAGCGCUGAAGCCUCACCUCCGCACUUCCCCUCAAGCGGAAAGUCCGCACAAAGGGCGAGCCAUCGCGCUGCGGAGCGGGGAGGUUUCAGAAAGCGGCGGUUGACGAAAACUUGGGCAACACGUGUUCCCCGCUCCCGCCGACUGCACACAGGCAUUAUUUAAGCCAUCUGUUACACGAAGCUGUUGUACACCAGGAAGUAAGAAGAGGCCCCAGCGACGAAGUUCAGAUACCCGGCUCGAGUCCAGGGAACCCGACCGCGAAAGUAACUGAUGCUGAACCAGAUAAAAUGCGCUCAAGCGCAUAGAAUGGAGUCCGAUGCCGCAAGGAAGCCAAUGUUGAGGCCGAUUUAUCGCACAGGCAGGCGCUGUGCCGAUUGAUUCAUCAGAUACAUAAAUAGCUCCAAAUUAAGCACUUGUGAAUCUUUCAGAAGCCUCGUAGGCGUGUAAGCUGCGAGCGCGAUCAUCUGUCCUUAAUACAGCCGCGCUGGCAGCCCCAUAUAGUGAUACCAAUGAAGCUUAGACUCCGUAAUCAAAAUACUUGCAAAACGUGCAGGUGAACGGUUUCGCCGCAAGGUCGAACUUUCUGCCCUCGGUUUCGGCCUCGGCGACGAUCGAGACUGUUAAACCCAGGUGAUUUCAUCAACAAAGCAUGUUAAGUGAUCGGUUUUGCGCAGCUUAGGACCGGUCCGGGAGGUUGUGCACGCGCAACGGCUGCAAUGUUGUGCGGUCCCGCCCAUUUCGCGACUCUGGCUCUUGCCCUUAACGUCUACUUCAUUCCCAGCCCUUCUUCACCUCAGCUCAACAUCCCUGCCUGCAUAUGCGAGCCCACUCUCUCAGCCUAUUACCGCUGUACGUUGCGUCCCUUGUCCCUUGACAGUUGACACCCUUAGGGGCACGCCCCAUGGAUCGCAUGGCGGUCCGCUAGUGACCGUGAAGGUCGGCCACCAGUGCCGGGCGUGCGGGUCGUUGUCGGCCGGUUCGGAUACAUCGGCGGGUUGGCUCGCCCCCCAAAGGGGGGCGACAGCCUUAGUCCUCGACCAGAACCAUACAUUAGGGUUCUUUGCAGUUUUUGCGUUUUCGUGAAAGGAUGUAUGCAAGUAGCGGCUGCUUUGGAGUAUUUGUCAAGCGGAGAAACCUUUGAAAACAUGCAACACAGAAAAACCGGUAGAAAAAGCGCACCUCCCAGUCCAAGUCCAAGGCCUGUCGUCUUGGACCCAUCACCAAACCAAAGCCCAGCGCACAAAGCCACAAGCCUAGCCAAAGCCAAAGCCGCAAGCCAAAGCCAAAGCCAGAGCCAGAGCCAGAGCCAAAGCCAAAGCCAAAGCCAAAGCCAAAGCCAAAGCCAAAGCCAAAGCCAAAGCCAAAGCCAAAGCCAAAGCCAAAGCCAAAGCCAAAGCCAAAGCCAAAGCCAAAGCCAAAGCCAAAGCCAAAGCCAAAGCCAAAGCCAAAGCCAAAGCCAAAGCCAAAGCCAAAGCCAAAGCCAAAGCCAAAGCCAAAGCCAAAGCCAAAGCCAAAGCCAAAGCCAAAGCCAAAGCCAAAGCCCAGCGCACGAAGCCACAAGCCAAAGCCAAAGCCAAAGCCAAAGCCAAAGCCAAAGCCAAAGCCAAAGCCAAAGCCAAAGCCAAAGCCAAAGCCAAAGCCAAAGCCAAAGCCAAAGCCAAAGCCAAAGCCAAAGCCAAAGCCAAAGCCAAAGCCAAAGCCAAAGCCAAAGCCAAAGCCAAAGCCAAAGCCAAAGCCAAAGCCAAAGCCAAAGCCAAAGCCAAGCCGAAGUGAAGAAUGUCGACCCAGCGGAGCGGUGUUGCCCGUGGGCCGCCGCCGCCGCCGCCGCCGCCGGGGCGUGUGGAGCCGCAACCGUGCUGCUGCAACGCGCCUGAACCUCCCCCCGGUCCCUACCAUAGCCAACGUGGCAUAGAUGACGCACAGGCAAGGGCAGGAAGCGCAGCGCGAGCGCGAAAUUGCAAGGCCGAGGCGACCCAGCAGAGCGAUGUUGCCUGUGGGCCGCCGCCGGGGCGUGUGAAGCCGCAACCGUGCUGCUGCAAUGCGCCUGAAUCUCGCCUCCAGCCCCCACCAUAGCUGACGUCGCAUAGCAAGUCUGCAAGUGCAGUGCACGCACAGGCAACAGCAGGAAGCGCAGCACCAGCGCUUGGGCGUGUCAGCAUCCAGAUUUGUACGUACCCACCCAAAACACACGCACUACCUUGGAUUUCCGCCCCCCCCCCCUUGCGUGCGCGCGCAGCGCACACUUGUGCUGUCUCCUGCCUCGUCACGCCUACCAGCUCAGCACGCUGUAACUUUCCCCGCUUGAAUGCUCUUGUGCACGUCUGUCAAUCCAGGGAUCGCUAUCCAAUACCUUGCGCUCACAGCCAGCCUCGGCUACACGCCCCUAGCGCUGAAGCCUCGCCUGUGCACUUCCCCUCAAGCGAAAAAUCCGCACAAAGGGCGAGCCAUCGCGCUGCGGAGCGGGGAGGUUUUUCCUGGGUGGCGACGGCAGCCGCCCCUUUAUCGGCUUCCUCGUUGCCGUGUAGCCCGGUGUGCGAGAUCACUUUAAUCAGAGCGGUGGGUGCGCCCCGGGCGUGGCGUGCAUGGAGCAAUGCCACGACUGAAUCCAGGAGGUCCCGAUGUUUACUCAGAUGCAGUCGCCGAGGCUCGUUAAUUGCUCGUUUGAUUAGGUACAAGCUUGCAACAGAAUCUGAUGCAAUAGUGAGCUUCUUAUUUGCAAAUUCUUCACCCUCGCCACCAAAUUCUGCGAGCGCAGCACGAAUUGCUGCCAGUUCAGCUCUCGUAAUAGUGUUUGUGCACCCAGCGCCAUUUGGAUUCACGUAGACAACGCGAGAAUCGCUGAACCAGGCGCAGGCGCCGGCAACCUGGACUUCUUUGCCAUUGUUAGUUUUGAUUUUGCUUACCGAACCAUCUGUCCAGACAGUGCCAUUCACGUCGUGGGCCAGAGCAUGGUGGGUCUGGAAUCGCGCGUUAGGAAAGCGUCGUGUUUCUUCAGCCAUGGCGUGUAUCGUCUUUGGGUUAGCGUGCUGGUAUUUGGCUUGCUUUAGAAGUGAGUUUGGGAGGGCCGGGCAGGUUGGGGCCGUGGCCGUGUGUGUCCACGUGCGCGGGUCGCUGAUGUGCGUGGGUGCGUUCGCCCCCCGUUUCAGUGUGUCCACGAGCCGUUUCAGGCGGGGGGCAAAGCACUGGAGACCGGCGGGGUUCCCAACAAUGACCAGUCGGAGCCCCUUCUGGCGUUCAGCCCGGGUGUCGGUGCCAAGUCCUGUGUCAAGGCCCGCGGUGCCCGCGGACCAGUUGGCCAGCUCGUGGCAAAGUGGGUGUUGAAGCCACUGCGUGUGGGGGAAAGUGGCCGCUUUGGGAAGCGCCAAUACAGUAAGGGUUGGUUCCUGCGAGUCACGCAUAGCCUCGGCGCAUGCGAGGGCCCACAUGAGCGCCUUCCGUGCAUCGUGGGGGGUAGAGGGGGGGGUGGGCAUAUUGCAAGCCGGUCCAUGCGGUCUGGUAGGCAUCGUGCAGUGCGCCAAAGGCCCCAUCAGCAGGGUCUCGUGUCCAGUAUUCGUGGGCUGCAGUGGAGGAGUUUAGUGGGGACGCAAACAUUUCCCGAAUGUGUACUGCUUGUGUGACCCGCAGGCAUUGGACAAUGGCUGCUACUGUACCUGCCGGCAGCGACACCUGGUGCAUUGGCAUGGCCUUGCGGUCCUGCUGCGCCGGGUCAUAGCGGUAGCGCAUGAUGAGGGCAGCGACCGCUUCCUCAAAGGCGUUGGGCCGCUGGUUGCCGGUGUGCCUGAAGCGCUCCCACAGGGUAAGGAGGCGGGGGUAGGUGAUGGUGCCCAGCCAGCGGCCACUGGGUUCAUGGACGUGCGCCUCAGCUGGGUCACGGCGGGUGCCACCAGUGGUGGUAAUUGUGUAUGCUCCGGGGGCCACGAUGUCCUUGUAGGGGUUGCACGGGCUUGUGGUGAUGGUGGUGGUCGUGCGGAUGUCACGCGCGCGGGAUGCGGUAUCCAGGGGCUCGGCGUCGUGGCGGCCUUGGCGCUGUCUGGCGGUAAGGUUCCGAUCAGGUGCGGGGCGCACUGUUCGGGGCCGCGGGCCUUGGUUGGUACCGUUUGCUAGCCGGGUUUUGCACUCCUCCAGUAACUCCUCCCAUUGUGGGCUGUGUUUUAGGUCCCGUUCGCGGUCCGUGCUCGGCGCCCACGUGACAUGUCGCAGGAGUCUGGUCGUCCAGGACGAGAAUAGGGGGGCCCCAGUGGGCUGCGGUGCUGCCGGCUCUGCAACUGGGGCAGGCUCUUCAGGUGAGAUUGCGUGGGCUUGGGUUUCAGCCGGAGGCUCAGCCUCGGUCUGCGCAGGUUGUGGGCCUGGGCGCGUCGCAAGAGGGUGCUUGUAGCACCUGGCAUUCUGGAUAGUUGCGUAGCCCAUGCGAACAAAAGCAGAGACAAUGCCGGCCGGGCAAAUGGACGGCUUCCACUGCACCUUCCAGUAUUUCUCACGUGUCCCAGAGGUGUCCUCCCUGGCUUUGCGCUUCCGUGUCAGUUCUUUGUCCGUGACAGUUUGUAUAUUUUCGCUGUGCAGGACCUGCGCCAGUUCCUGUCCGUCAUUGUCCAGGUCGUAGGUGAGUUGAGUGUCGCCGUUAGUGCGGUUGUCGGCGGGCCGUGGGACUAGAUCGUGUGUGAUCCUUGCGCGGGCCAGUCGCCAGCUGGGACGGGCCCCGUGGCCUCCCGCAGCUUGCGCUGCCGGGGCGGUCAGGGGCGGCGUCGGGCCGUCGACGUCCAUGGGGUCGUUGUGCGCGGCAGCCUGGUUGAUUUCCAUAGGCAAUCCUGUGUUGUUCAAGUACUCGUUUAUGGCGUUGGGUUCGGGGUUGGCAGCAUUAGCCGUGAGGCGGGUUGUGAGGGCGGGUGGUAGCCCACGGCGCUGUUGGCGUGGUUCGACAGCAUGUGCAAAAGAUGGUGGGUCUUGGGGGUGUGGGUGGCAGAUCCGCACGUGUCCUGUCAUGUCUUUGGCGAGCGCCUGGAAUACCGAGCAUGCCGUUUCGUACCCCCGCGUGCCCACCGGCAGGCUCUCAUCGCCGUUGGUGAGCCGCAGGGCAUGGUUGAUGGCGGCGCGGUCCCCGGUGAGUAGGUCCUCAGGGGUAGUGCGUGUAGUUUCUGCAAUGCGUGCGCGUUGCGCUGCAUGUUUUGUAACGCGCCGUGCGCGUGUUUGGUUCUGUGGUGGCCGGCGUGUUGUAGCCGGCUUGCGGGCUCUGGCCGGUGGCCGUAGGGAGGGUUGCGUUGCCCCAUCAGCGGGGACUUCCGGUGCAGCAGCACCGUGUGCGCCGGGGUGGGCCUGGGCCGCCCCUGCUGGGGAGGGGGGGGCUAGGUCGGCGGGGGCUUGCGUGGUGUUUGCUUGGGCGGGGGGCGCCUCCGGGAGGGGCUGCAGGUACCGGUCGAGGGGGUUGGCCAUUCCGAGAGGGAGGGGGUCCGCCCUCAUGGCUAAGGCCACGAUUGCGGCCACGUCAGGCAGUGCACGCUGUGCGGUGGUCAGGGGGGCAGGGCUGCCGUGGGCUGGGGCGUUUUCCCCUGCACGUGCAGCCAUACUGAGAGCAAGGCUAAGCCUGUUCAGGGCUACCUUGUGCUUGUGUCGGACCCGGCUCGCUCCCAUGUGCUUCUCGAGGUCCGAGCUAGUAAUCAGGUGUUUGCCUGUGUUGCGGUCCACCAGGUGGCUCAGUUCGAGCCUCAGGUCCGCAAGAGGGAGGACGUAUUCGAUGGGGAGAGGUUCGACGCCCCGGGCCUCAGCUUCUGCCUCAAGGGCAGCGGCAAUGGACCAGGUAGGCGCAGUAAAGGCAGACCCAUUUUGGUACAGUGUGACACCGUACUCUUUUGCCAGGGUCAUCUGUUUCAGCGUCGUAAGGUGGUGUGACCUAUGGGCUGGGAGAAGGUGGGCCUGUGUAGGGCCAGCUAUGCUUGCCUGGCGCGGCAGAAGGGCUCGGGUUACUAUCCCAAGACGGCCCGAGUCAUUUAGGGCAAGGACCAGGGCCCGCUGGGCCACGCGCGCGUAUUGCGGCAGGAGGGAGCCCAGGCCCAAGCCGUAUUCGUCGGCGGGCAGGAGGGAGGUCCGGGUGGGGAAGCUGCGGGGGAGUCCGUAGCAGCGCUUUGCAAAACCAGCCAGGGUAGUGUCGAGCGUUGUUAUGUCAUGUUUUGUGAAGGGCAUUGCUGCGAAUCCAUAUGCAACUGUGGUGUGCACGCACUGUUGUAUCAUGCGCAGGCGUUGUGCCGGUGUCGCCAGGGAUGUGGCAAUGGCUGUGCCCUUGUCCUUCACAAUCUCGGUCACUCUUGCGGCAUGUGCCGACCAGUCCAGCGAGAACGUGAGCUGCACUCCCAGGUACUUGUACGGCUGGGUCGGGGGGAAGUACGGGACAGGGGUCGUGCCAAUCUUAAUUGUGUUGGUCAUGUUGCGGCGCAUGGCGGCGAGGGUAGCUUUUCCUGUGGGCCCGUCAAGGUUGGGGUCCGAGCGGGAUUUGUCGUGCCAGAUGGCGGUGGUGGCACACUUGGUGUGAUUGACACGCAGGCUCGCCCACUCGGCGUAAGAUGCGAUUUUGUCACAUUGAACCUGCAGGUCGUCGAGCGAGUUGGUGAGCGCCGCCAGGUCGUCUGCGUACGCGGCGGCACUGCAAUGGUAUUGCAGGUUUUCGCUGGGGGUCAGGCAGCCGUAGUGGUAGCCCCGUCCGCCCGCAUGGAGCCAGCGGACAAGAGGUUCCAUGAACAGAAUAAAGAGCACAGGUGAGAGUGUAUCCCCUUGCACGGUGCCUCGCUCUAUAGGAAUGGCGGAUGUGCUUCCGUGUUCGGUGCGGAUGCGGGUGGUCGCGUGUGCAUAUAGGUUGCGGACUGCGCGGAUCAGGUCCGUUGGCAGCCCAAGGUCAUACAUUAUUUGUAGUAAUCGGUCCUGGUCGAUUGUGUUAAACGCGGAGCUAUAGUCCACGUAUACCGCAUAGACAUCUUUUCCAAACAGUGCGGCAUCCUCAAGGGCAUGUACUAAAUUUAGGACCUGCCUUUCGGUGUUGCAGUAGGCACGGAAGCCUUCCUGCGCUUCACUGAAUAGCUGGAGGGGGCCAGCCAGUUCGCCAAUGCCCAAGGUAAGCAUGGACGUGUACAGCUUGUAGCAGGUAUUUGCGAGCGCAAUGGGCCGUUUGUUGUUUAUGUCCAGGGCGUCUCCAGGUUUGGGGAGUAGCACGGUCUCCGAUGCGGCCCAGGUUUCAGGUAUUUGUGACUUGACGUACAUGAUUUGCAGGAUACAGUGGAGGUUGCGCUUCAUGCCCGAUGGCAGGAUACGGAGCAGUUCGUUUGGUAUGCCGUCAGGGCCUGUCGCCUUGUUUCUGGAGAGGUGAGAAAUGCACUGCUCAAAGUUUGCCGUGUCUGCCAUGCUGGGGAGCAUGGAGUGUGUGUCAGGGUGCCGGUUGCGGUCCAGUGUGAAUUGAUCUGUUGCGUCGGCUUUCUCAAAUGGGUAGCCGCGUGUGGCGUUGCUGGGUAGUCGGAAGUCCCCAGUGCGGGUGCCGCGUGGUGGGGCGGACAGCUUUCGGAAGUGGGUUUCGAGUAUGGCGAGGAUGCUGGUGGAGUCAGUCGUCACCUCCCCAGUUUCCGGGUUCCGGACCGCUGGGAGACCCCGUUCCAUGUCUUCCUUCUGAAAGAUUCUCUUGUGCCCCUGUGCAGGGCGCGUGGCCAGGGUAUGUUGCAGCGCUGUGGCAGCGGCCUCUCGCUGGGCUUUGGCGCGGUCCGCCACUAGCUGGCGGUGCUCGGCCUGGCAGGCUUUUAUUUCGUUGCGCAGCUUUGCUGCUGCAUUGGCGGCGUCUACCUCAGGUAGGGCCUGGGGCCCUUGCGUGAGGUUUGUCAGUUGUGUCUUCAGGGCCACUUCCUUGUCCCAUAGGGGCUUUAGCACCCGUGCGGUGGAGCGUGAUGCGUGGUGUUUGCCAGUGAAGGGGGCUUUCCGGGUGCACUCUUCAAGGAGGCAUGUUAGCCCGGUGUCCAGUGCGGAGGCAAGUUGUUCUGCAAGUUGGUUGAUAUCGGCCUUCUGGAUGCUCGUGUCCUGCGCCAGGUCUCGUUGCAUGACGCUGGCGGGGUAGCCUGUGGGGUCCAUGCUGUGCCUUGUGAGUGCAUGUUCAAUUGAUUGCGUUGCCUGCCUUGUUGCGGAAUGCAGGUCGGCUGUUGCUUCCACCAAGGCUUCCUCAAGGCGGAUAGCUGCGGCGGCCAGUUGCUUUUGUGUGACGGGCAGGGCGACCUCGGCCCAUCGUUGUUGGGUCUGCUGCUGGGGGGCUGGGUUCCGGGCGCCGGCCUGUGGUGCCGGCCAUAGCUGCAGGUCCGCGGCUAGUAACUCUGCGUGGACUGGUUUGUGGUCAAAGUUGCCUGCAACUGUACUGGUGUAUUCACGCGCUUCUGUGCAUGCAGCGCGCGUGGCAGGGCAUAGGAGGAUGUCAUCAACGCGACUGUGAUAUGGGGCCAUGCCUGGGCGUGUUUGUUCAUAUGACCAUUCGGCAGUGGUAGUGGUGUCUCCGCGGAUAGGGCGCAGGCCACUAUCGGCAAGGAACCGCUGGUGGGCCCGGUCCGCCGUGUCGAUGGGGCUGUCCCGCUCAUGUGCUCGGGCGACGGCAUUAAAGUCUCCCGCGGUGACUAGGUGGUGUCCGCACGCGUCCGCCCGGCCUACCACCUGCUGACAGUAUGUGUAGAUUGCCUUGCGGGUUUGCAUGUCCUCUGGUGCGUAGAUGCCCAGUACAGUGAGAGGCGUGCUCCCGGGGGUCUUGAUUUGAACGUGUGACACAUAGCCAUGGAGUGUUGGUGGGGGCGUGUGGUGUGUGACACAGCCGAGGUCACUGUACCGGGCGGAGAUGGCCACCGCUACACCAGCGCUACCGCGCGCUGUGGCCACGCGGGGAGUAGUGCUACAGUAGAGGCGGUAUCCUUCAUUUCGGAAGGCUCGCUUGAUAGAGUCAGUCUUCCCUGUCAGUUUUGUCUCGGUUAGGACAACUAUAUCGGCUUUCCACUGGGCUAGGUUGCAGAGGGUGAAGCUGAGGUUGCCGGGUUGGCCGGUGGACAAAAUUUCUGAGAGCAGUCCCCGUACAUUGUGGGUCACGAUGUGUAGGGUGGUGUUGCCGCUGGGGGGUCGCGUGUUUGUGUGUGCCUGGUUGGGUUCCAUGUGGGCAUGGGUGCGUGCAGUGGGCCGUACUAGCCAGUUAAGGAUAGUUUGUCGGGUGCCUGUCGUGUUGAGUCGGGGUGCUAUGCUAGCAUUUGCAUUGUGUGGCUGCGCGGGUGCGGUAGUGUGGGGUGCUGCAUGCUGUGGCGCCCUGUGUGCUGCCCGCAGCGGUGAGUUGUCUUGGGCAUUUUGAGCUGGCUCUGGUGCCGGCCUUCCUGUGGCGGCGGGCCCUGCCUGCACGGGUCUGGUGGCCUCCAUGUGGGGUGGCGGGCGUGGUGGCGGGACGAUCUCACGGAGUUGCCCAAGUGCGUCCUGAAGUGUUGCCGUGUCAGAUGCACGCACCGCGUCAAGGCACCAGACCUCCCCAUCGAGUGUGUUCCAAGUGUUGUCGUGUAAGACCGUGUUGUGGAUAGGGCUGUUCACCGAGUCUAUUACUCUCCAUUGUCCUGCUUCGUAACGCACAGCAAUUGUGUGUCGCACAGUGUAUUGGUGGACGGUAAAGUCGCGAGUUCGGGCGGCUACCGGAAGACUCUCUAGGACCUUUUCUUUGCUGAUGUCGCCAUUGAGUCGCGGAAAGUGGGUUCGGCGCAUAGUCAGCUUCCUGUUGGGGUAGGCGAAUAUGUUGCUGAUGGUGGCAUUGUGGUACAGGUAGUGGUUCAGGAGAAGUUCGCUGAAGGCGCCACUGUUGGGGCAGUAGCAUUCUUUCCAGAACGGGGCAUUCGGGUCUUGCGUGGCUGUGAGGUGAGCGUGCACUCGUUUAGCGUAGGAGAGGACAUCUAGAGGGUCGAGCCAUGCGAGCCCCAAAGAGUUGUUGAGGGCGUGGACACUGCAGAAGUGUUGCCGUUGUGUUUCACGGUAUGUUGCAUUGGACCGGGGCGGCCAGUGCAGCGCGGCUGGUGGUUGGGUGUUCACUGCCGCAUGAAUGCGAGGGUCGGCGGGCACCGGCGGGGCUGUCGGGCCUGUGGGCAGCGCACCUCGCAGUGUUGGCUUGACGUAGGGCACCGUGUGUGUCCGGUUUACUGCAUGUGUAAGCGUGAGGAGAGUGGUUGCCUGGCUAGCAGUAAGUAGGCCGGUGGCCAGUGCUGGCCCCCAGAGUGUCAGCUGUGCCGGUUGCAUACUGCAAGGGUCCGGCAGUGUGAGGUACAGGUUUCGCAGGAUGAUGGCCAUGGCAGUUCCCCAGAGUAGGAGCUUCCGCCGGGCCCAGGUUGCAGAGGCUAUCUGCCGUGUCACUUGGACCACAUGUUUGAGGAGAGCUGGGAGACAGAGGACGGCAAUGAUGGAUGUCACUGUCAGUGCGAACAGGAGACCGAGGGCUGCGGGGAUGGCGGUUAUCCCGAGGGCAAGCGCUAUCACACACAGAGGGGAGAGAGCGAGAGUGGUGAGUGGGGGACCCCAUAGUAACAGGCUGAGGAUUGCACCGUUUGUGCAGAUUUCUGAGUUGACUGAGGCAGUGCGGGUUUCGGCAUGCAGGAGGUGGGUCCAGAGCAUAUACAUGGCCCCUGUCGCGGUGAUGAUUGUGAGGCUGACAAUGGCUUUGUCAAGUAUAGUGAGUAGGGCUUUGCCAGUCUGGGCAGCUGUUUGGUAGAUGGCGAGUCUAGACCGGGUAGCAAGGUGUGCGCCUACUCUGAUGGCAAUUGUAUGGCUGUGCAUCGCUGCCCGCACAUGCCCUGCUCCAGCCCAGUGGAAGUGGACGACGAGUGUAAGGUGCAGGCGAAGGAGUGGUGAACUUUCCCAGGGGGCGCUACAGUUAAGGGUCGGUUGCGGCCCGUAGGCUGUUUCUGCCAUGGAGUGCAGUGCCGAAGCACCGGAGCGCAGCAGGGUUCCUCCAUGCCGAUUGCCCAGGUCGCCAUUAUGUGUGACCCAAACUAAACCAAACCCAAAACUAAACCAAACCCAAUGAAAACGAGCGGAGCACAGGCAGAGGCGGGGGUGUUGCAAGGAUGUUUGGAGAAGCGGUACGGGGGGGGGGGGAGCAGGGGGUCCAGAUGCUCACCAGAGGGGGACUGGCGAAAGGAGGGACUGGCAGGGAGGGCUGAGGCGGGCGGCUGAAGCUUGGGGCGUGGGGAUAUUGGUCGUGUGUGCGCGCCAGUGCGUUGGUAUGGAAGAGCAUUAGAGCAAGCUCUGGGCAUCAUGGGGGGGGGCAUCAAGGAGGGAACGAGGGAGGGCGGCCGGCGGCACGCGUGGGGUGGGGCGAGGUGUGUGUUUGUGUGUGUGUGUGUGUGUGUGUGGCUGUGGCUGUGGCUGUGGCUGUGGCUGUGGCUGUGUGUGUGUGGACUGGCGGCACGCCUGCCUGCCUGCCUGCCUGCCUGCCUGCCUGCCUGCCGUGGACAGGGGAGGGGGCACUCGGAUUUGGGGCGUUGUGUGCGCCCCAUGACUAAUGCCUCAUGGCACCAUGGUGUGCCGGAUGUGCCCUGCACAAACCAGCCAUCACACACUGUCCUGCGUGCAUGGGUCGUGCUCCUUAACCAACCAUCAUCACACCAGCCACCACACCACCACACCGCGCCAACCACCACACCAGCAGGCCUGCCAAGCGCGAGCCCCUGCCGCCUCCCUGUCAGCCCCAGCAACCCAUCAGCUCCCCAACCACACAGUCUUGUCUCCUUCCCCCAUCCCCUAAGUAUUAUCGCUUGCAACUAACGCCUCUGCUUGUGCUCCGCUAGAUUUCGUCGGUUUUGGUUUACCGUAGUUUGGGCUGGUAUUUGCAACCCGCCCUCCCCUUCCCUCCGCGCUCUUUUGCAAUGGGUUAGGGCUGGUAUCUACAGCCCUCCCGCCGGCCCUUCCCUUCUCCCGCCAUCCCCUUCCCUCCCCCCCCCCCAACGCGCCUGCUAUACUACUGUUCCUAGCUACGCCUUCACUUCUUAACCCAGGUAAUCAUGAACGUAACCCCUGCCCCGCACCCGUGACAGGAUCAUCUUCGGCCUAGAUUACUGCCAUCUCAAAGGAGUGGUCAACCGUGACCUCAAGCCCGAGAACCUGUUGCUCAAGCUGACGCCGGAGGCCAGCAAAAGGCACAGGUGGGCACAGGGCAGGAGGCGGGCGGGUGGGGCGGGCGGCGGGCUUGGUGGUGUAGGUUGUGGAGUUUGGGGGGAGGGUGGUAGGUGGGGGCACUUGGCUCUAGGCCUCCUUUCUUUAGACACCAGCAAAGAUGGGUCUGAUGGUUUCUAAGGCCCUCAGCCGGCUCUUUGGCAAGAAGGAGAUGCGCAUUCUGAUGGUGCGUCCAGCCCCGCCCUGACACCUGGGCCCGACCGCUGACCGGAGACUAUGCCCCGCGCAGGUCGGUCUGGACGCCGCUGGUAAGACUACCAUCCUCUACAAGCUGAAGCUGGGCGAAAUCGUGACGACUAUUCCCACCAUCGGUAAGGGGAGAGAUCACCACCCGUAGCAGUGUGCAGCGCUGACUCGAGGCGACCGCAGGCUUCAACGUGGAGACUGUGGAGUACAAGAACAUUAGCUUCACCGUGUGGGAUGUCGGUGGCCAGGACAAGGUUCGUUUCGCUGCUUGGCCGCGAAGUUUGGCGGGGACUUGACUCGCUGUCUUCUCUGUUGCAGAUCCGCCCUCUGUGGCGGCACUACUUCCAGAACACUCAGGGCCUCAUUUUCGUCGUGGACAGCAAUGACCGCGAUCGUAUUGGGGAGGCCAAGGAUGAGCUGCACCGCAUGCUCAACGAGGUGCGCUGGAGGACUGCGGGAUGCUUACUGGGGCUCCGCGAUGAGCUGCUACGUUCAUCACAUUGAUGGUGCUGACUUGCAUGGUAUGCUUUCGGGUAUGCAGGACGAGCUGCGGGACGCCGUGCUGCUGGUCUUCGCCAACAAGCAGGACCUGCCCAACGCCAUGAACGCGGCGGAGAUCACGGAGAAGCUGGGCCUGCACGGCCUGCGCCAGCGCCACUGGUGGGUAGCGUCCGGAUGCCAGCGAAAACGUGUCAAAGGCGGGCGGGGGGUUCCAGCGUUGUUGUAUGGGGGGAGCUGCGUGGGAGCUGCGGGUACCUGGGCUGUUCUCAAAUCUGAAUGCCCAGACCAGUUUGCCUGGAAGGUGGCAGCACACGAGGAUUGAACGCACAUAACCGUGUCAAGGGUUUGUGGGCUUGGACGGCAAACACCAACUCGUGCUGCGGCUAGAAAACCCGACAGCGUGGGGAUGCAUACCUGGCAGCGUCAUUACGAGUUGACCGUGGACCUGACGACGGUGUGUGCAUUGGUUUGGCUUGCAGGUACAUCCAGUCCACGUGCGCCACCAGCGGCGAGGGCCUGUACGAGGGCCUGGACUGGCUGAGCCAAAACAUCCAGAACAAGUCGUGAGCGAGCAGAGUGGUACAGUGAGACAGACUAGCGAGAUGUGGCUGAUGAGGGCGUGGGCCAUGGCUGCGGCCCCAGGUACAGGAGUUCUGGUGGGUGGAUGUGUCGGGAUGCGUGGUGCGCGUCGUCAUGCAGUCGGGUGGUCAUGCGCGGAUAGCCAUCGCAGCGCGGGCUCGCAAUGCCAUUAGCCUGCUAGUAGAUGUGCACAUCGCGGGCAUGUUAGAUUGUUUAGGUCCCUUAUGCUGAACCAUUAUUUCUCCAGAAAAAGGCAUGCAAUACCCUGUCGCUUGCACGGUGACGCUUGACCCCUGGCAUGGGUAGUGCGGUGUUGUGGAGGGCUCUGCCAUUUCAGGGCCCGCAUGUAACUUUAACCGCAUGUGACAUAUUGACUUUCAUCGGAGGCGCGCUGUGUCCUGGGGCGCUCCUUGUGGGGUAGACAUUGGGCGGGUGCGCUUGUGGGAGCGCCGGCGCGCAGGUUUGCAGUGAUGCCUGGGGUCCACAUCAGCCUUCCUUGCAGUCUACCAUGAUUGAGAUGCUCGCAACUGCAAGGCAGGUUGACCUGCAGACGUCAAUGUGACCACCCACCACGACCACCAUAAUGAAGCGCAGCGCUAACUACUCCGGCUACGUCCAGAGCUCGGAUAGCUGGGCUCAGGGGGUAAGUUCGUCUUUAAAGCAUUCUCAAUACGGGGAAAGCCGCACAUGCACGCGCACCUCCGCUCACGCCCACCGCCGCAUGAAGGAAAGCCGGGGGAACGCAUGGUGCGCCGGGCUGGAUACGGUGUAUGGCUCACAUGCACGCGCACCUCCGCUCACGCCCACCGCCGCAUGAAGGAAAGCCGGGGGAACGCAUGGUGCACCGGGCUGGAUACGGUGUAUGGCUCACAUGCACGCGCACCUCCGCUCACGCCCACCGCCGCAUGAAGGAAAGCCGGGGGAACGCCUGGUGCGCCGGGCUGGAUACGGUGUAUGGCUCACAUGCACACGCACCUCCACUCACGCCCACCGCCGCAUGAAGGAAAGCCGGGGGAACGCAUGGUGCGCCGGGCUGGAUACGGGGUAAGGCUCACAUGCACGCGCACCUCCGCUCACGCCCACCGCCGCAUGAAGGAAAGCCGGGGGAACGCCUGGUGCGCCGGGCUGGAUACGGAAUAAGGCUCACAUGCACGCGCACCUCCGCUCACGCCCACCGCCGCAUGAAGGAAAGCCGGGGGAACGCCUGGUGCGCCGGGCUGGAUACGGGGUAAGGCUCACAUGCACGCGCACCUCCGCUCACGCCCACCGCCGCAUGAAGGAAAGCCGGGGGAACGCAUGGUGCUUCGGGCUGGAUACGGUGUAUGGCUCACAUGCACGCGCACCUCUGCUCACGCCCACCGCCGCAUGAAGGAAAGCCGGGGGAACGCCUGGUGCGCCGGGCUGGACACGGAAUAAGGCUCACAUGCACGCGCACCUCCGCUCACGCCCACCGCCGCAUGAAGGAAAGCCGGGGGAACGCCUGGUGCGCCGGGCUGGACACGGAAUAAGGCUCACAUGCACGCGCACCUCCGCUCACGCCCACCGCCGCAUGAAGGAAAGCCGGGGGAACGCAUGGUGCGCCGGGCUGGAUACGGUGUAUGGCUCACAUGCACACGCACCUCCGCUCACGCCCACCGCCGCAUGAAGGAAAGCCGGGGGAACGCCUGGUGCACCGGGCUGGAUACGGUGUAUGGCUCACAUGCACGCGCACCUCCGCUCACGCCCACCGCCGCAUGAAGGAAAGCCGGGGGAACGCCUGGUGCGCCGGGCUGGAUACGGUGUAUGGCUCACAUGCACGCGCACCUCCGCUCACGCCCACCGCCGCAUGAAGGAAAGCCGGGGGAACGCAUGGUGCGCCGGGCUGGAUACGGUGUAUGGCUCACAUGCACGCGCACCUCCGCUCACGCCCACCGCCGCAUGAAGGAAAGCCGGGGGAAAGCCUGGUGCGCCGGGCUGGAUACGGCGUAUGGCUCACAUGCACGCGCACCUCCGUUCACGCCCACCGCCGCAUGAAGGAAAGCCGGGGGAACGCCUGGAGCGCCGGGCUGGAUACGGUGUAUGGCUCACAUGCACACGCACCUCCACUCACGCCCACCGCCGCAUGAAGGAAAGCCGGGGGAACGCCUGGUGCGCCGGGCUGGAUACGGUGUAUGGCUCACAUGCACGCGCACCUCCGCUCACGCCCACCGCCGCAUGAAGGAAAGCCGGGGGAACGCCUGGUGCGCCGGGCUGGAUACGGUGUAUGGCUCACAUGCACGCGCACCUCCGCUCACGCCCACCGCCGCAUGAAGGAAAGCCGGGGGAACGCAUGGUGCGCCGGGCUGGAUACGGUGUAUGGCUCACAUGCACGCGCACCUCCGCUCACGCCCACCGCCGCAUGAAGGAAAGCCGGGGGAACGCAUGGUGCGCUGGGCUGGAUACGGGGUAUGGCUCACAUGCACACGCACCUCCACUCACGCCCACCGCCGCAUGAAGGAAAGCCGGGGGAACGCCUGGUGCGCCGGGCUGGACACGGAAUAAGGCUCACAUGCACGCGCACCUCCGCUCACGCCCACCGCCGCAUGAAGGAAAGCCGGGGGAACGCCUGGUGCGCCGGGCUGGAUACGGUGUAUGGCUCACAUGCACGCGCACCUCCGCUCACGCCCACCGCCGCAUGAAGGAAAGCCGGGGGAACGCAUGGUGCGCCGGGCUGGAUACGGUGUAUGGCUCACAUGCACGCGCACCUCCGCUCACGCCCACCGCCGCAUGAAGGAAAGCCGGGGGAACGCCUGGUGCGCCGGGCUGGAUACGGUGUAUGGCUCACAUGCACGCGCACCUCCGCUCACGCCCACCGCCGCAUGAAGGAAAGCCGGGGGAACGCAUGGUGCGCCGGGCUGGAUACGGUGUAUGGCUCACAUGCACGCGCACCUCCGCUCACGCCCACCGCCGCAUGAAGGAAAGCCGGGGGAACGCCUGGUGCGCCGGGCUGGAUACGGUGUAUGGCUCACAUGCACGCGCACCUCCGCUCACGCCCACCGCCGCAUGAAGGAAAGCCGGGGGAACGCAUGGUGCGCCGGGCUGGAUACGGUGUAUGGCUCACAUGCACACGCACCUCCACUCACGCCCACCGCCGCAUGAAGGAAAGCCGGGGGAACGCCUGGUGCGCCGGGCUGGUUAAGGUGUAUGGCUCACAUGCACACGCACCUCGGCUCACGCCCACCGCCGCAUGAAGGAAAGCCGGGGGAACGCAUGGUGCGCCGGGCUGGAUACGGUGUAUGGCUCACAUGCACACGCACCUUGGCUCACGCCCACCGCCGCAUGAAGGAAAGCCGGGGGAACGCAUGGUGCGCCGGGCUGGAUACGGUGUAUGGCUCACAUGCACGCGCACCUCCGCUCACGCCCACCGCCGCAUGAAGGAAAGCCGGGGGAACGCAUGGUGCGCCGGGCUGGAUACGGUGUAUGGCUCACAUGCACGCGCACCUCCGCUCACGCCCACCGCCGCAUGAAGGAAAGCCGGGGGAACGCAUGGUGCGCCGGGCUGGAUACGGGGUAAGGCUCACAUGCACGCGCACCUCCGCUCACGCCCACCGCCGCAUGAAGGAAAGCCGGGGGAACGCCUGGUGCGCCGGGCUGGAUACGGAAUAAGGCUCACAUGCACGCGCACCUCCGCUCACGCCCACCGCCGCAUGAAGGAAAGCCGGGGGAACGCCUGGUGCGCCGGGCUGGAUACGGUGUAUGGCUCACAUGCACGCGCACCUCCGCUCACGCCCACCGCCGCAUGAAGUAAAGCCGGGGGAACGCCUGGUGCGCCGGGCUGGAUACGGUGUAUGGCUCACAUGCACGCGCACCUCCGCUCACGCCCACCGCCGCAUGAAGGAAAGCCGGGGGAACGCAUGGUGCGCCGGGCUGGAUACGGGGUAAGGCUCACAUGCACGCGCACCUCCGCUCACGCCCACCGCCGCAUGAAGGAAAGCCGGGGGAACGCCUGGUGCGCCGGGCUGGAUACGGUGUAAGGCUCACAUGCACGCGCACCUCCGCUCACGCCCACCGCCGCAUGAAGGAAAGCCGGGGGAACGCCUGGUGCGCCGGGCUGGAUACGGAAUAAGGCUCACAUGCACGCGCACCUCCGCUCACGCCCACCGCCGCAUGAAGUAAAGCCGGGGGAACGCAUGGUGCGCCGGGCUGGAUACGGUGUAUGGCUCACAUGCACGCGCACCUCCGCUCACGCCCACGGCCGCAUGAAGGAAAGCCGGGGGAACGCCUGGUGCGCCGGGCUGGAUACGGUGUAUGGCUCACAUGCACGCGCACCUCCGCUCUGCCGCGGCUGCUUGGCGCAGUCACCACCACGCGCCGCCGCCGCUCCCCCCGUUAUGCCUGCCGCUCCGUGCAGAUCCCGGGCUGAUAGCAGCGCGCAGCAGCGGCAGUCGCCAGCCUUCCUCCCCACCCGCGGCCGUGCAACCGGUGACUGCUGGCCAUGGGCAGCCGCGGCAGCCACAGCCUCUGCCGCGGCUGCUUGGCACAAUCACCACCACGCGCCGCCGCCGCUCCCCCCGUUAUGCCUGCCGCUCCGUGCAGAUCCCGGUCUGAUAGCAGCGCGCAGCAGCGGCAGUCGCCAGCCUUCCUCCCCACCAGCGGCCGUGCAACCGGUGACUGCUGGCCAUACUUGGCGGUCGACAGUUUCCUCCUGUGGAACACACAUAAUAAGAAUGUAAUCUACUCUUGAAGCCUUCUAGCACACUCACUCGCGAGACACUAGAUGGCCAAAGAGGAAGCGAGCAAACGGACACGACUGGACAAGCAAGUAGGCUCAGCGAGAUGGUUUAUCACCGCUAUCACUCUGGGACUACUUGUUACAGUGACGGGAAGCGGCGCCAGGAACGCCGCGUUGUCUGCAUGGUUCAGCACUGCGCCUGCAUGAGCCACCCACGACUCUGCAAUAUGACAAGACCGACUCGGAAGCCCACGAGCCCUUCGCCGCACUGCCGAGAACAGCCGCCCGCAUGCAAGCGACCCCGCACCCCCCCAGACCCCCGCCAGACACAGCAAAGUACACAAGAACAAACACAUGCAUUCGAGGAGCCAGACCUGCUAAAACAAAGCGCGUCGAGCUCACUUGGAGCUGCAGCCAUGCUCAGGAGACGUGCGACUAGCUCUCGCAAGUCGAGAAUUAUUAACAGCACUACAGCAAUCAGCUGGGCGCUUGUUUUGCUUUCGACGCUCAGCUAUAUCUUCGCUCGUGCCCGCUGCGAGCUGAGCUGGGACAUCCCCGGCCCUCGGAAACAGAGCAAGCUAAAAGUAAACAGCAACACAGCAACCAGUUGGGCUUUUGCUCUAGCUACAAUUUCCACUUAUAUGCUCUCUUGCCGGCGCGCCCGCCAAGCAACGCCCGGAGCCGACACACACAUGCGACACGCUGGCAGCAAGAGCAAACGCAUCAAACUAGCCACACCCGUUGUCAGAGCCAUACACCUCCAUGAUAAACAGCACGACAAUCGCUCCUGCCUCAUCCAUGCAACCAACAACCUGCUCGGGAAACGCCUUCUCACACCCGCCACAGUCUGCGCCGAAUGGGAGCGGGGGUGGCAGCUCCUGCACCGCAACUCCCCAGCCUCAGUGCCCACCUGGGCGACCUACCUGACCGCCACCAGCAUAGACUAUGGCCUCAUAAACCACUGCCUCAAAGCCAACACCUGUUCCCCCCUGCCAGGCCUCCCCCAUGUCCAACUCACGGCAUGCUCGUACCACGGGGGCCUAAACCAGCACGAAGCACUCAAUGCCAUCCCCUCCGAGUCCCGCCACAUCGGCUUUAUUCUUAUCCACGGCGGCCAUGCCCGAACUGUGAAACAUGCAAACGGCCGCUGGUGGCUGCACGACUCCAAUGCACCGCGCGCCAUCCCCCUCACGAACGCCGACGCUGCACAGCCAGGCUACUACCGGUGGGCGGAUCUGGGGCGCGGCCUCGCCCUAACCCUCACUUACACCCGACACCCCGAAGUAUCAACCAACUUCAACAUCCGGGACAUCCCGCCAAUCAGGCCCCCCACCACCCGCAUCACCCUCUCACACGAGGGCAUCCGCAUCACCGCUGUCCGCACCAAUGAGGUAAACCGCCAGCACGCAGGCACCAAACGCACACGCGCUCCAAACCGCAAUGAUGCCUCCACCGCAAACAAAAGCGGCCCCACAUCCGCAGCCCUCGCACAUGACCCCCCCAUCAACCCUGCCGUCGCCACCCCUGCCGGCCCCAAGACCACAAACUCCCCUAGCCCGCCUACGAGCGCCAACCCAGGCCCAGCCUGUCAAACCAAAACUGCCACACGCACUGUGCCCAAACCAGUGGGCCCCACAAAGCGCCCCGCCAGGCGUACGCCCAACCCCACCCCUAAACUCCGCAAACUCGCCACUGGCACCCCCAGCGCACCACCACCAGCCAAGAGACUCCACCAGACCACCAUAGCAACAGCGCACAAAAGAAGACACACGGCCACACUCCAAAACACACCCAGCGGACCCGCAGACGGCCAAGCCCAGGCCAGCCCCUCCCCACCCCCCGACGGACGCAUCUCCAUCCUCACCCUCAACACCAGAGAACUGUUGAGCCACCAUGAAAGCAUCCUCCACACGGUCACCACACGCACCCCCGACAUCCUCUUCCUCACCGAAACCAAAAUUCCCACCCGCCUCCACUACAGCAUGGGCAGCGCGAAAAAGGGCCUCUCCUCGCACUACCAAACCUACACCAGCAACGCACCCUACAACCCACGAGAGGGGACCCGCCCCCAUGCCGGCGUCAUGGUCGGUGUCACCCACCGCUUUAGCCGCCCGUCCGGCACCACGGACAUGAAUGCACACAACACAGACGCACGCCUGGCAGGCCACGUCUGCCACAUACGCAUUGCACCACCACACAGCACGCCAGUACACGCCAUCGGCAUAUACGCCCCCAGCGACGACGCCACCCGCGCUGCAAUCUACAAAUACUGCACCGACCAAGCCGCCAAAACGACAGCCGCUAAAGAGCAUCUCCUUAUGGGAGGCGACUGGAACGCAGUGCUGUUCCCCUCCGACCGCAGCACGGGCGAGCUGAACGCUACGGACCGCGCCCACAUUGCCUUCGCCACCUCUGCGGGCCUGCACCCACUCACACCGCCCACACACGACCACCCCCGGCCCCACACAUACCUACAAGACCAAGCCACGGCACCGCACAUGAGCCGCAUUGACGACCUACUAGUAAGCCACCACACACACGCCAUCAUCACUACAACAGGAGGUGGACAGGAAGCGGUGCAUGAAUGCGGUGAUGCCCUCGACCACCGUGCCCUCCUCUCCAGCGUCCCCCUCGCUGCCCUCCGCCUCUACCCCUUCCCCACGACACCUGCCGCCCCCUCCGAUCCUGACGCAUGGGUAAACUACCAUCCACCAACCAAAGACCAACGCGAGAAAGCGCGCAUCAAGAUGGAGGAAACCAUUGGACAAGAGAUCGCCGACCUACUGAACACGCUACACCCUGCACACUUCGCCAUCACCAAUAAGCUAUACCCUGCCGGCCUCACCCCUGCCCAAGCCGAACGGAACACCCCAAGCCCUGCGGAGUUCCGCGCCCUUCCCGAAGUUAGUGCUGCCGACACCACGUCCAUCAGCAACACACUCGAAACCAUCCUCCAAAAGUGCCUGGACGUUCUCAAAACCUACUGCGACAAAAAACCGCCGCGCGCCAGCACUACAAGCCCACGACACCACACGUCAAAAACAGUGACGCGCCUCCUGACUGCCACCAGCAAGCUGAAAGAACGACUCACAGCCGCCCUUACUGCCACAAACGCAGCGGGCGCCACCCCACCCACCACCUCACCUCACCCCGCCCCGACGCCCCCACCCAACACCACCAGCCCCACACCUACCCCGCCGACCCCCGCAGAAGCCGACACACCCACCGCCAUCCGGAGUCAACUACUCAACGCACGCACCCUCCUCCGUGCCGCAAAAAAGGAAGCAAGGAAACUCAACACCAAACGGGCAGCCCGCGCCUUCCGACGACUGGUUGCAACACAGCCAAAACGCGCACACCAGAAGAUCUUCGAUGAAACGGACCAGCCACGCGGCACGCCCGCCCUCACUGACCCCACCACCAAAGAAGUCCACACCGCACCCGAGAAAAUCCUGAGCAGCAUCCACCAGCACUUCACCGCUCAACUCCUCCCAAUCAAUGGCCCCCGCACAGGACACUACGACAUACCCCACAGCGAGAAACAGUACCCCUGGAGCCGGCCCGACGCACCUGAUCGUAUGCCGGCCCUAUCCAAGCCAACCGACGCACCCGCCACCCUACUGCCCGGCAUAGCCGACAGCACAACGUUCUUUGGCUGCGUCAACCACCUGUCCCGCCGCAAGGCCCCGGGGCCCGAUGGAAUACCCAACGAACUCCUCCAGACAAUACCAACCAACCUGCAGACAGCCAUCCACCAACUCAUGACCCUCAUGUGGGUGAAAGCGCACAUCCCUACACACUGGACACAGUCCGACACCGUCCUCCUACCCAAGAAGGGAGACCCCCUGCUGAUACAGAAUAAGCGGCCUAUCGCGCUGGCCAACACCCUCUACAAGCUGUACACCUCUCUCAUCACCGUAAACGCCGCCCUGUUUAGCGAACAAGCCCACAUUUUCACGGAGUCACAAGAAGGAUUUCUCAGAGGCCGCAAUACCGAACGGCAAGUCCAACACCUGCUCCACGCAAUAGAGGACGCCGCCACCACCGGACGCGACCUCUUCCUACUGUACAUUGACUUCACCUCCGCAUUUAACACGAUCGACCAUGACAAACUGCUCAUCGUCAUGCGCGAUCUAGGCUACCCCACCGACCUGAUUGAGGUGGUACGGGACCUCUACGGCAAGGCAGCCACCAGCGUCCGCACUGAGCACGGCACCACGCCCCCCAUCCCCAUCCAACGAGGCACAGUGCAGGGUGACGUCCUAUCACCCCUACUGUUCAUCAUCUUUAUUGAACCGCUGCUCCGGUGGCUACACGUUGGCGGGCGCGGGUACCAAUACGGAUGCCUCACCAAAGCCGAAAACGACAAGCAUAACCUCAGCUCCGGCGCCUUCGCUGAUGACCUGGUCACAGCCACAACCCAAAUCUCAAAUCUACGAAUCCAAGUUGAAAAAAUUGAGAAAUACGCAGCAUGGGGCGGUUUGAAGGUCAACGUCUCCAAAUGCCAACUACAAGGCAUACUCCACGGCCGCGCGCGCGCCGACCCCACCCUUGGCGGCCCCCGCAGCAAGCCCCACCAGGCAGCGCUCGCCCGGAUGCUAGAAGGCCAAAUCCGCAUAGACGGCACCGCUAUCCCAUACAAGCCCCCGCAUGAAUCCUACAAAUACCUCGGCAUCCACAUCACCCCUACCCUAGACUGGAGCGCACAAGUACAGUACAUCCGGGAAAAGAUUAAGAAGCGAGGGCAACGCAUCGCCACAUCACUUGCCACACCAGACCAAAAGCUCCGAAUGAUACAAUUUACCAUCCACCCAGCAGUGGCCUACAGCCUCCCGUUCAUGCCGUACAGCACACAUGACGUCACCAGCCUCGACUCCCUGAUUGCCAGCACCGCCAAAAUGUGCUACGGCCUGAAACGAAGCUUCCCCACCCGCGCUAUCCUCCAACCCACCAACGCCCUUGGCCUGGGCGUAGGCAGCAUCCGCGAGCUGUAUGCCCGCCGCGCCGGCAAGGCUCUCGUCCAGGCCCUGAACGAUGGAGGCAGGCUGGGCGCCGUCACCCGCGCCAUGCUCCACCUGCAACACAGCGUGGCACAGAAGAUACCCGCAGAUCAGCUCCGCACACAAUGCCGCUUCUAUACCAACCUGCGACAGCUGUCGCUGAUCACAGACGCGGGCCUGGAGCUGACCCAACAGGGCAGCGCAUACCACACUACACUACACGGUUUGUCGGCCCUCCUUGCACGCACCGUGCCGCCAGGCGCCGACGCGGAACAGGCCCUGCCCUUCCGAUUGAUUCAACCCCUCCUUGAACUCACCAGCGACUUCCGCGAGCUCCUCACUCCGGACCGCACCUGCGUCAUCGAUGCCAACACUCUAAAAAACACAUGGCCGAGGGCCCAAAGGCGGCACCGGCUAGCCCUCAACCGUCUCACUCUCGCACUCCACGCUGAAACCCGAACUCGCGCCAAAACCCACAACAGCACCGCUCCCCUCACCACUGCCCAGCGCACUCUUCCAGAUGGACACACCUUCACUGGCCUCCACACGGCCCACACCGCACCUGCCGCCGUCGACUGGGGCACGCUUAACCGCUUCCUCCGCCAGCGCGCCCCCGCCACCGGACAGACUGCUAACGCCGGAGAAACCGCUGCGGCCACCACCGCCGCCGCCACCACCGCGGCGGCCGAGCCUGAGGAGGACCACCACGCCGGCGAGAGCCAUGCACCUGCACAAACACGCCGGCCAGGCACACAGCAACGUAAGCGGGCUUGCAUUAAGAUGGUCAGGGAACCUGAAGGUCGUGGAUCACCGCCUGCUGAUGCGCCCGCAGCAUUUGAUUGGGAUCCAUCGCUCGACCCGCUUACAGAAGCACACUGCGCAGACCUGAUCCAUACCGCCCCUAGCCUCCUCGGCAAAUCCAAGCCCCAAAACCCCGCGGCACACCUCAGAGGCCUGCUCCUCGGCCCCACACCCCCAGCCACAUUCACACACCGACACAAGCUCAGUCAGGAGGAGCAAGACGCGUACCUAGCCGCCACGUCCGACACAUGGAAGCACUUCAGCGAAACCUACCGCACCAAAGCCCUAACCACCACCAACACCCUAUACGGGCAACAGGAGCGAGUACAACAAGUGAUAGCGCACACCACCAGCAAAGGCGCGCCCUUUUACCGAGUCCAGUGGGAACCCACCGUCAUCACCCCCGGCUCCCUCACCCUCUACGCCCGCAACCGCUACCGCCCCAAACCCGGCGGCCUUACCUGGCUCCUCACCCCAGGUAACGAACCUCGCGUCCUUGUGGAAUGGGAAGACUUGGAAGAACCCGCCGCUAUCCUGGAUGCACAAGACAACAAGCAGGAACUCCUAGACGCCCUUAACGCCCGCCUCGCCGUCCCCCUGGGCCCCCGCCCGCCACCCCCCGCUACGGACACCCACCUAAACCCUGACCAGCGACAGGGCCGCUGGACAGACGCCAGCAAUGACACAGCACGAGGGCAACGCACUCUGCGCCACUACGUAGAUAUCAACGUUGAGCCCUGCAACCCUAGCCGAGACAUCCACCCCACGCAAGCAUACACCGUCCAGCUCGGUACAGCCCUCGACCCCGGCUCCCCGGCAUGCGGCACCCACCUGGCGCAUGUAUACGACCCCCGCGGACGGUGCAUAGGCACCAUCAGCGCAGAGCGGCUCAGCCUCCUGUGGCAACGCUACCAGCAUGCACAAACAACCUGGCCCGAAGUGCACGCCAAGCACGAUCAGGGCAGAGGCUUUGCGGCCGCCAUCGCCCGCCUGCUCCUCCGAUACAAACCCGGGGGCGGCUCCAAAUCCCACCCUGUUACCGAAAAAGGCGAACGCAUACUGUGUGAAGGGCUGACGCAAACCCUGCACACAGCAAUAGGCAGCACAACGGAGCUCUUCGCAUCACCCCUUAACGUCUCGGACGCCGCCACCACCUACUACACACUGUACGAAGAAGACAUGCUCUUUGGGGCCAACUAUGAUGCGUACUCACAGCCAUGGGAUGGAGUUGCUGUCGCCUGCCCCGAACCCAACACCGAAGACGGAGCUCACGCAGUCCGCUGGGCACUAGCAUGGGCCGAACACACCGAACCCCUUACAAACACCCGCAACCCGCCAACCACUGCCACGCUGCUCAUCCUCCCCACCCAACGCAACGCGCCAUACACACGAUACCUCGCCCACCCCAGAGUCACACUCCUUGGCAGCAUCUCCGCCACAGCAACACACGCCCUUCUCGGCCAGAUCCACAACGACGCAGGCAUCACCCUAAAACACGACCUAGUGCUGGUCAGCAAUACACCCGGAGCCCAACUCGCCCAGCCCAUACGCGACGCCCUAGGCACAUCCCUAUACCUCUCGGGCAUGCCCGUCGACCCGCAGCCCCAACUCACGUGGGCCCACACGCGAUGGGUAACCAAGCAAGUCCGCCGGAUGACCCGCACCCGCCCGGCGGCACCCCGGGUAACACCCCCUCCCGUACCGGCCACGCCAGCCACCCUGGCCCCCUUCGCGGCCACCCAGCCCCUCCGCCUCAAUCCCUAUGAAGGCUUCUACACCGAUGGCUCAGUGCAGAAGGACGCCCUCGGUCAGCCCAGCGCGUGGGGGGCCGCAGCGAUUGAUGCCCGCACGCUGCGCUGCUAUCAAAUCGACGUCAACCCUGGGCAACACGGCUGUAACACCAUCACACGAUGCGAGCUCUCGGCCAUACACCAAGUGCUCAAGCUAGACGAAGUGCAAGCGCUCCCCGAAGUCACAGUAUACACUGACUCCGCUGCGUCGCUGUUCCUCAUCCGCAAAACAAUCAACCAGCCCCAACUCCUCACCUUCAGCAAACACAAAGCGCUGCUGGAUAACAUCCUCGCGCUACUGAAACGCCGCUCCCACGCCGGCUGCCGGACUAAUCUCCUCAAGGUCAAAGCACAUUCAGGGAUUGCGCACAAUGAACUCGCAGAUCAGGCGGCGGUGAAAACCGCCAAGGGAGAACAGAUACCCGGGGCCAAGUGGCUGGUCGAGGAAUCCGAUAACGACCCGCGCAGCAAAUACUAUUGGAUACGUAAAACUAUGAAACCGACUGUAGAAGGGGUGCCACGAGAGAAGAACGAAGGACACUACGCGCAUGACCUCAACCGCGGCAUCGCCACGCUUGCGGCCCCGCACAUCGCCCAAGGCCACACCCGCGAAACCCUCUACACUGGCUUCGUUGCCAAGGCCAUCCCAGACCUGGAUAUCAAAUCCAGCACCCGAACCAUGAACCUGCAAUCAGGCCGGCACCGCAAGGCCAAACGCUGCAUGGACUAUCUGUACGGGCAGCUGUGGAACAAUAAACUCGCAGCCCGCUUCGGCCGCACAGUCACAGGCCGCCGAGCCCCCCGCGCUGGCCCCGAUACCCCCGCCCCAUGCCCACUCUGUCGCGGACCCGACUCCGGUGGCCAUAUACUGGGAGGCUGCCACAACCCCCAACUCCGUGCAAUGUACAUUAAACGACACAACAUUGCAGUCCAGACCAUCGCACGAGCCAUCUCCCGUGGUGACUGCGGUGGCUGCUACAUGGUAAUGGACGCCACGUCUAAAGCCGAUCUGCCAGACUACGCGGCUGACAACCGCCUGCCGCCGUGGCUGCUCCCCGACCAGGAGGGCAAACCAGCCGGACGCCACCUACAUUACCGCCCCGACAUCCUACUAAUCCCUUCCAUCUCCCUCGCCGCAGCCCUAAACCCAAACUUUGUCGUGCUUCCCAGCGAACGCGACACCAUCCACAUCAUCGAAGCAGGAUACACCGCCGACACGAACCACGCCGCCAAGCAACACGAAAAAGCACAACAGCACCAGGCCCUUGCAGCCGACCUGCGGGAAGCGGGAUGGAAAGUGCAAUACACCCCGCAGAGCGCAAUCAGCCUCGGAUUUGCAGGCACAAUCCACAAGGACCUCCAUCCCCUCCUCACCUCCCUGGGCGUCACUUCCCACAAAGCCAGGCAGUGCUGCGACACCCUACACGACCACGCAGUCACCACCCUCAACCACAUUGUCCUGACCAGACGGCGUCUCGAACGGGGACUGCCACCUGGCGACCCGGGCGGGACGUAACACCCUGGCGGGGUGCAGGCCUGGCCUGCACGCCCGCCUUCACAUGCUCGGUAGUGGGGGCGUACAGGAGGCGGGCCUGGCCCACCUCCUCAUCUCCCCCCACUCCCUUAAUUCACACCACUUGCCUACGGCAGGGUGUCUCUAUUUCUAUUUCUAUUUGCUGGCCAUGGGCAGCCGCGGCAGCCACAGCCUCUGCCGCGGCUGCUUGGCACAGUCACCACCACGCGCCGCCGCCGUUCCCCACGUUUACCCUGCUUAUGCUUCCCGCUCCGUGCAGAUCCCGGGCUGAUAGCAGCGCGCAGCAGCGGCAGUCGCCUGCCUUCCUCCCCACCCGCGGCCGUGCAACCGGUGACUGCUGGCCAUGGGCAGCCGCGGCAGCCACAGCCUCUGCCGCGGCUGCUUGGCACAGUCACCACCACGCGCCGCCGCCGCUCCCCCCGUUUACCCUGCUUAUGCCUGCCGCUCCGUGCAGAUCCCGGUCUGAUAGCAGCGCGCAGCAGCGGCAGUCGCCAGCCUUCCUCCCCACCAGCGGCCGUGCAACCGGUGACUGCUGGCCAUGGGCAGCCGCGGCAGCCACAGCCUCUGCCGCGGCUGCUUGGCACAGUCACCACCACGCGCCGCCGCCGUUCCCCCGUUUACCCUGCGUAUGCCUGCCGCUCCGUGCAGAUCCCGGGCUGAUAGCAGCGCGCAGCAGCGGCAGUCGCCAGCCUUCCUCCCCACCCGCGGCCGUGCAACCGGUGACUGCUGGCCAUGGGCAGCCGCGGCAGCCACAGCCUCUGCCGCGGCUGCUUGGCACAGUCACCACCACGCGCCGCCGCCGCUCCCCACGUUUACCCUGCUCAUGCUUCCCGCUCCGUGCAGAUCCCGGUCUGAUAGCAGCGCGCAGCAGCGGCAGUCGCCAGCCUUCCUCCCCACCCGCGGCCGUGCAACCGGUGACUGCUGGCCAUGGGCAGCCGCGGCAGCCACAGCCUCUGCCGCGGCUGCUUGGCACAGUCACCACCACGCGCCGCCGCCGCUCCCCCCGUUUACCCUGCUUAUGCCUGCCGCUCCGUGCAGAUCCCGGUCUGAUAGCAGCGCGCAGCAGCGGCAGUCGCCAGCCUUCCUCCCCACCAGCGGCCGUGCAACCGGUGACUGCUGGCCAUGGGCAGCCGCGGCAGCCAUAGCCUCUGCCACGGCUGCUUGGCACAGUCACCACCACGCGCCGCCGCCGUUCCCCCGUUUACCCUGCGUAUGCCUGCCGCUCCGUGCAGAUCCCGGGCUGAUAGCAGCGCGCAGCAGCGGCAGUCGCCAGCCUUCCUCCCCACCCGCGGCCGUGCAACCGGUGACUGCUGGCCAUGGGCAGCCGCGGCAGCCACAGCCUCUGCCGCGGCUGCUUGGCACAGUCACCACCACGCGCCGCCGCCGCUCCCCCCGUUUACCCUGCUUAUGCCUGCCGCUCCGUGCAGAUCCCGGUCUGAUAGCAGCGCGCAGCAGCGGCAGUCGCCAGCCUUCCUCCCCACCCGCGGCCGUGCAACCGGUGACUGCUGGCCAUGGGCAGCCGCGGCAGCCAUAGCCUCUGCCACGGCUGCUUGGCACAGUCACCACCACGCGCCGCCGCCGUUCCCCCGUUUACCCUGCUCAUGCUUCCCGCUCCGUGCAGAUCCCGGUCUGAUAGCAGCGCGCAGCAGCGGCAGUCGCCAGCCUUCCUCCCCACCCGCGGCCGUGCAACCGGUGACUGCUGGCCAUGGGCAGCCGCGGCAGCCACAGCCUCUGCCGCGGCUGCUUGGCACAAUCACCACCACGCGCCGCCGCCGCUCCCCACGUUUACCCUGCUCAUGCUUCCCGCUCCGUGCAGAUCCCGAGCUGAUAGCAGCGCGCAGCAGCGGCAGUCGCCAGCCUUCCUCCCCACCAGCGGCCGUGCAACCGGUGACUGCUGGCCAUUGGCAGCCGCGAUUACUAGUUAAUACCUAGGUUUAACUCAACAUACAUACAUACAACAUAGAGCCUGGCACUCAUUGCUUUGCCUUUGUUUAACAAGGCCCAUCCCUAACGCCGUUCUCGUGGCAAUUGCGUUAUACGUGCUAGUAUACUGUUUGUUAUUAACGCAGUAAAUGUAGAAGCAAUAGUUUGCACGUUGCAGUGCAGUUGGGCGAUCGCGAGGUCUGGCAAAGUCAUCGUUCGUUAUGUGUCUACACUCUGUGAUUUGAGCAAGUACUUGAGGUGAAGGCUUUGAUGGGGCUUGCGUCGGGGGCUUGCGUAUUCGUGGGGCGCAUGCGUCUGCAUGCGUUCCGCAUGCGUGUUUCGCACGCACAACAGAGAGGUUUGCCGCUCUCCCCGCCCCUCAUGCUUCUUGCUUUCCGUGGACGCAUGCGUCCCACCCCCAACGCAUGCUUUACGCACAAAAAGCAGGUGUGGGCACUUAUUGUGCAUCGGUGCCCCGGCCAGCCCGCCCAGCCCUGGCGGUGGGCUUGCUGUCGGCGCUAGCGCCCCGCCGUCACCGCCACCUGUGCUGCUGCAGUCCACUGCCGCGGUGGCGCCGGCAGGUGUCACCGCCCUGCCCAGUGCUGCGACCUCCAAGUCCGCGCCGGGCCCGCCUGCGCGCUGCAGUGCUUCGGCACUCCCGCCCAGUUAUGGAGGUGGGCUUGCUGUCGGCGCUAGCGCCCCGCCGUCACCGCCACCUGUGCUGCUGCAGUCCACUGCCGCGGUGGCGCCGGCAGCUGUCACCGCCCUGCCCAGUACUGCGACCUCCAAGUCCGCGCCGGGCCCGCCUGCGCGCUGCAGUGCUUCGGCACCCCCGCCCAGCCCUGGCGGUGGGCUUGCUGUCGGCUCUAGCGCCCCGCCGUCACCGCCACCUGUGCUGCUGCAGUCCGCUGCCGCGGUGGCGCCGGCAGCUGUCACCGCCCUGCCCAGUGCUGCGACCUCCAAGUCCGCGCCGGGCCCGCCUGCGCGCUGCAGUGCUUCGGCACCCCCGCCCAGUUAUGGAGGUGGGCUUGCUGUCGGCUCUAGCGCCCCGCCGUCACCGCCACCUGUGCUGCUGCAGUCCACUGCCGCGGUGGCGCCGGCAGGUGUCACCGCCCUGCCCAGUGCGUGCUGCGACCUCCACUGUAACGACGGGAAACUCGCGUCUCGGCGCGUCUCAGCGCGUCCGAGCGCGUCAGAAUGCGUCAGGGGGCGUCUGGCCGCGUAUCGUGACGCGAGUGCUGAGACGCGAACAGUGACGCGAACUACUUUGAAGGGGACCCAUACCGUGGUGCGCACGGUGUUUUACACUAGCCUAUACUGCUAUUGCGACAAAUGUAGCCUUGCCCGGCAGUAUGUGGGCUGUCAUGGGCAGAUUGGCCCCUGCACCUGCGCCUGCUGCCGCAAGCCCCUGCACCCCUGGCCCUGCACCCGGGCGGGCUGGCCAGCCCCGCCUCUGCUCCGUCGCCCCAACCAACCUUUAGGCGCAGUUCAGCCAGCCUGCGCCAGCCAGCCGAUAUGUGCCGAUACUGCUUACAACAAGCCUAUAAGCCUAGAUACAGUAAGCAAAGGCAUUGGCACAGGCGAGCAUCGGUGACACCGGUGCAAUCGGUCGCCCACCACCAAGUGUUUGCCCCUUGCCUCGCUUGACCGCUAUUCUCUUGAAAACAUAAACAUGACUGACGAACUCAUGAAUCAUACGUCUGCCAACGGGCCUUGUUCCGUUGGUGGCGGCCUGGGGCCUUCAGAGCGCGCUUCACAGCGGGCUUGUAUGGCUCCAGGCCGACCAACCCACCUCAGCGCUUACUGCGCACGUAGUGCUGUCAAUGUUAACAUUAGUGUUAGUGCUGGCGGCUCUGGCAACGGUUCACCUGAGCUUUGCUCCUCGCGCUAUCAGCCAAAGUUCACAAACGGAAGAGCUACAAAUCUUCAUUAGGCUUCCUUCAGGGCAACUCGUCACGUUCGUGGGACCUGUCGAUGCCACUGUGGGCUCUGUCUUCGACUUUAUCGCUUCCACGACCCUCUUCCAUCUAGAUAACAGCCGGAUAUGGCGCUUGGUCGCGCGCGGCGGCGACACGCUGCUGGAGCGUUCGACCGUGCUGGCACGUCGUGGCCUGGCGUCCGGUUCCGAGCUGCAAGUGCUCGCACGGCUAAUGGGUGGCACUCCAAAGAGAAGGCCAUCAGCACCCUCAGGUAUAGUUGUUGGGAGUCAAGAGGCUUGGCACGGCAAAGGACUUACAACCACACCGUGUGCACGCAGACAACUGGCUCAGCCUCCACCGCUUCACCCGCUUCCAAAACCACUUCGGAGACCCCGUCUACACGUGCACCAACCCUGGAUGCCGUUCGCCAACGCAGUUCAAGGAUAGAGCGGCUUGCUCUCGCCACGAAAAAUGCUGUGAGGGUGCACCUCGGGACCUCCCUCUCCCUGCCGGUACCGGUGGCGAAGGCGGCCUAGGAGACGCUGACGUUCCUGAGGGAGGGAGGGAUUCGCCUGCGGGUUCUGUUAGUGAGAGCGACAGCAUGGACACUAGCGGUAGCGGCACCGACAGAGGUAGCGGCACCGACAGCGGUAGCGGCACCGGCAGCGGUAGCGGCACCGGCAGCGGUAGUGGCACCGGUAGCGGCACCGACGGCGGCAGCGGCGGGAAUGUUGGCAAUGGCAGUGACAGGAGUGGUGGUGGCUACAGUAAUAGCGGCAGCGCCCGGGUUGACAGCGACUACCUAUACUCCGAUGAGGAAGAGGAAGAUGCUGCUGACGCUGAACCGGGUAAGGAUCGCGCAGGUUGCGGUCCUCCUUUGCGCGCCGCAAGCCCGGGUCUGGGUGCUGGGUCAUGCCUCUGUCCUGGGGGUCUCGCUUCCGGACAUGGCUUAUGUUCAGAUCGUUGAGAAGCGACAUCUAACUUUGCAUUACCCUGACGUCCCGCCCAACCCUGCCCCCCCACCCCCAAUCCACAGGUCAUUUCCUGGCGGCAGCUCUACACCGCGUUGUGGCUUCUCUCGACCAGGACGACCCUGCCAACAUCAACACCAUUGAGCUGCUGAAUGCUAUUCUGCAGCAAUUCGGGCACCUGGCGCCUGUUGACGGCGACGGUGAUGCUGAUGACCAAGCCGGUGCGGUUGCCAACGACCUUGCGGCGCAGGGCAUGGUCAUGCAACCCACCAACAUCUCCGAACUACAGCAUGGUGCGCGGUCUGUGCAGCACUUCAAGGGCAUCAUGUCAGAGCCGCUGUGGAGAACAGGCACUCAAUGUAAGUCGGGAUGUGGGUCGGGUCGGGUCGGGCGGGGUUGGGACAGCGGGAUUUCGACAGGCUUUGACAAGGGAGCUCUGGGGUAUUGCGUGGUGGGCGCAGCAGCAGGCGCGGGCAACACUGGAAUGGAAUGGGUAUUCGAACUGCCACUGCAACGCCACGGAAUUCUGUGCAUGUAACGGCGCACUUGAUUGACGCAAUGCACCUCCCUUUCCGUGGCUUUCACCCUCUCCGCUGGCACACUACUGCAAUUCCGGUACGACACCUAUCUGCGCAGCUGCACCUAUCACUGUGGGGCAGUUUGCUUACGCUUGGAUGAAGGAGAAGAUUGAUGGGCGCGUACGGGAUAAUGUUGCGGACCGUCAGCUGCGUUUCCUUCGUGACGUGUGCUUUCCACCUGGCAAUAACUUGCCCCCGUCGCUGUACAUAAUGAAGAAGAUGUUGGACAUUCCAGACGCACGUGACUUUGAGAAGCACGUUUGUUUGAGCGACAAGUGCUUGUUUCCUGAUUUCCCUCGAGAUGAGUGGCACCAGCACCUGCAAGAUGAGUGCGGCUGCGGCCAUCGACGGUUUAAGCCUGCCCGGCCAGGACACCAACCAGUUCCGAACAAGGUACGUUGCAUGCUUUACUUGUUGCCCAUGCGGAGUCUCCCCAUAGCAAUAAGUCUCCCAAGGUCUCCCAAUCCUGCAUGCCCUUGUUCCGUCAACCCUUCUUGACUUCAGUGCCCUUUGCCAUGACCGCGUGCACGUGCUGUCUUCCCACAGAGGUUCUACGACUUCGGUGUCGAGAAUGUCGUGCGCGGCAUGUUCAUGGACCCACGGUUCUGCAUGUUUCGCGGCACAGGGCGCGACAACAACCCUGAUGACUUCUACGGCUCGCGGUACGCACAAGACAUCAAUGCCAAGACUUCCGGCGAGUUCUUCGAGCCCGACAGCUCCGCUUACGACCUGGGAUUUGACUUCGGCGAGGUCUUCUCGUUCAAGAAGUACAGCUGCGGGAUGCUGUUCAUUCGGUGCGUGUGACGGACCUCAGCCUGUUGCAUAGUAUGGGCAAUUGCUUUCCUGUGCACCUACAGCGUCUCCGUGUGUGCAUUUGAUGUAAUGGGCAUCGUUAAGUAUGUGCCUAUGCUGUAAUCAUCACCCACCAGACCUUAUUGCUCCCCGCUUUAACUGCUGUCUUCAGGUGCGCGGACCUGCCAGUGACUCACCGCAGCAAGCGCCGCCACUGCUUCCCCCUGAUCAUCACGCCCGGACCUUCGGAGCCUGACUCAAUGGAAGUCUACUUGCGCCCAACACUGACAGCAUUCAAGGCCUUCGGGCCUGGCACCGAGGGUAUGACCGUGGUGGACGCUGCUUCGGGCCGGACCUUUGGGCACAAGAUGUUUCUGGGCGGUAUCUUUGCUGGUGAGUGGGCUUUUAGUCCGUGCUGGGGCGGGAGCGUUUGGGGACGGUAGUGGUGGGGCGGGGGCAGGAGUGCUCAGGCGUGGGCGGGAAUGCUAGGGUGGUGUGGGAGAGCUGGGGCAGGGGUGGGGGUGCAGGGGCGGGGCGCGGGGCAGGUGUGCUGGGGUGGGGUGGGAGUGCUGGGGUGAGGGCAGGAGUGCUGUGGCUUAGGUGGGCAUGGUGGGGCGGGGUUGGGCUGGUGGUGGUGGUUCUGGGGCGGGGGUGGGAGGACUGGGGGCGGGAGUGCUUGGGUCCAUAUGUUGACCUCUGCUUGGUCUGCAUGCAGAUACGCCUGCUAACCGGACGUUGAGUCUUUGGCUCUCCCAUGCGGCCAAGAACGCAUGUGGGCACUGCAUGCUGCUGGGAGAGACUGGCCCUAACGGCCAUGGUACAUACUUUCUGGGGUACAACAAGCCGGCGGACAUCAACACAGCGCUGAACGUCCUGUUGCCACCUGACUGUCAGAUGCCAGAGACUGCACUAUGCGGUGACAGCAGGAUCCGGAUCUCUCAUGCGCACCACAUGGAUCGGGCACAGGUUGUGGAAAGUAAUCAUGACUUGGCAUCAGCGCUGGGUUGCCAUGGCAUUUCCUGCAUAGCGAAGGAGCUGUCGUACAUAGACAUGAAUAACGUGUGGGUUGUGCCCAUAGCGCAUGCAGCUCUGUUCGGUGUCAUCAAGAAGUUCUGGCACUUUGUGCUGGGCGAGUCCGUCAAGAAGGCUGAGAGUGACUUUGUGUUAAGUGUAGAGGCUCGUCGCAGAAUGACUGCACGUGCAUCCCAUUUCAUCAUUACUAAUGACUUUAACCGACCCUACCGUGACAUUGUCCCCUGCUCGUACUGGACCAUGGAAGAAUGGCUACACUGGACGGACUGCUUCUCCCUAUACGUCCUGCACUCGCACGGAGGGGAUCCUAAUAAAGUUAAGAUGCCGGUAGUUACACGGAAAGAUGAUGCAGGGCUGGAUCGUGAGUUUGACCUGGGGAGAAUGUGGGAGAUGUUGCGCACGGCCAUGCUGCAUUAUCUGCGGUAUGACCAAUUCUCGGAGGCUGCGUGUGACAGUGCAGCAGUAACCUUCAAACAGUUCUGCUGUGACUCGGAGCUCGUGUUUGGCAUGAAGUUUGCUACCUACAACAUGCAUCUCCUGGCAUGUAGGCUACGCGAGCAGGAGCGUGCACGUGGGCACGUGGCGUUUGCAACUGAGUUCUGGGUCGAGCGCGGUGUGCAGCAGGUCAAAAGUGGGGUCAAGUUCCGCACAACCAGGUGUCCAGAGCAAAUUAUUGUGAGUGGGUUCCUUGCAAGUGCCCGGCUCGCUGAGAUGCGAGCUGAGCGUGGCAGGGGAGGUGGCACCGCGGAUGGUGGUGCAACGGAGCCAGCCGGGGUAGAGGCCGGCCAUGCACUGGCUGCGGGUGGGAGCCAGUACAAGUCAUUUGAUGAGUGGGUGCCAAAUUACCGUGCAGCAUACGUCACAUUGACGGGGGAUGUUUGCGCGGAUGUAGAGGAUGGUGAGGGUUCCCAGCUGCUUGGGCGCGGAUAUGUGGCGGGUCCGACCGAGCGGACAGUUGUCUUCGAAGCAUUCAUGAAGGCUUUUAGUAAAGAGGACUUCGAGACACGUUCAGGUGUGGUGGAGGGUGACUUGCAGAACGCAAGUGUUAUUAUAUUCAAACGUGCACUUGUACGACGUGACCAGGUUUUACUAUCUACAAAGUAUAACUUGACCACUGCACGUGAGUCAUUUUAUGUGAAGACUAAGUAUGCGCCAUCCCUUGACACCCCAGAGGACGAUCAGGACGUGUCUGUGUAUGUUGGAGAGGUUGCAUUCUAUGCUCGUGUGCAAACCGUGCGUGGGGUUGUAUGCCGUGUGGCAAUUUGCGAAUUGCAUAAGGUGGAGGUGGUACGGCCGCAGUCGUUGUACUAUGCUGCAGACUUUAGUCGCCGCAAGGCAACCCCCAACCAAGAACGCCAGCAGACGUUCCUGAACUCGUUCCCCGUGCUAUUGCAAGCCAUUGACUCGAAGGUGAUGCGCUGCAAGCUCGACGAGAAUAAAAGUUACUUCAUUACGUACCACUUGUUUUCUCAGUUGCCAACCAAUGAUGGUGAUUGGCAAGGAGCAGUGCAAGUUGGGUAGCCGCUCACGCGGCUGAUGCAGUCUGUAACAUGAUGAUGUCUUCUGGGCUUGUGUCUUCCGGGGCCGCCAACCGUUCCACUAAAGAAAACUUCCCGGCUGCCGACAGCGCACGCAGCCCUGCACCUGCCAGCUACCGUCGGUACAGUAACAGCGCGCGAACGACGCACCAAUGCCUUGUCCCUUCUUGCUACCCAUUUAUGUGGGCACGGGUGGGAGCCACACACAUCGGGACUACGCUUUCCUGCCCCUUGCCAUGUUCCAUCACGAGCACGCAGCCCUGCACCGGUGCCGUAUGACGAUGCAGCCCCAGCCCCCUUCCCGCCUUUCCACCAAAGAAAACUUCCCGGCUGCCGACAGCGCACGCAGCCCUGCACCGGUGCUGUAUGACAAUGCAGCCCCAGCCCCCUUCCCGCCGUUCCACUAAAGAAAUCUUCCCGGCUGCCGACAGCGCACGCAGCCCUGCAUCGGUGCCGUAUGACGAUGCAGCCUCAGCCCCCUUCCCGCCUUUAAAGAAAACUUCCCGGCUGCCGACAGCGCACGCAGCCCUGCACCGGUGCCGUAUGACGAUGCAGCCCCAGCCCCCUUCCCGCCGUUCCACUAAAGAAAACUUCCCGGCUGCCGACAGCGCACGCAGCCCUGCACCGGUGCCGUAUGACGAUGCAGCCCCAGCCCCCUUCCCGCCUUUCCACUAAAGAAAUCUUCCUGGCUGCCGACAGCGCACGCAGCCCUGCAUCGGUGCCGUAUGACGAUGCAGCCUCAGCCCCCUUCCCGCCUUUAAAGAAAACUUCCCGGCUGCCGACAGCGCACGCAGCCCUGCACCGGUGCCGUAUGUCAAUGCAGCCCCAGCCCCGUUCCCGCCGUUCCACUAAAAAAAUCUUCCCGGCUGCCGACAGCGCACGCAGCCCUGCACCGGUGCCGUAUGACGAUGCAGCCCCAGCCCCCUUCCCGCCUUUCCACUAAAGAAAACUUCCCGGCUGCCGACAGCGCACGCAGCCCUGCACCGGAAGCUUCCCAGCAUCUGAGACACAAGUUUCCCAUCAGUACAGUAUUGAUCUACCGGCCUCUUGUUUGUUUACCUAUGGAACUCAUAACAACAACGAUACAUGCUUGCGACCAGCCGUGCAUGGCUGAUCCGCCCGCUCAGCACUUCCCACCACUGCCCUGCGCCCGGCGGCCCUUGAUAGCUGACUGUUGCAGGGCCGCACCCGCAGCCCGCUUCUGGGAUGGCGGAUGACAUCCAGCCUCGGCCUCACACCCCGCGCUUGCGGCCAUGCGCAGGAUCUCCGCCUCAAACUCCUCACCGCGCUUGCACAUGACAUGCAGAGAUGCGGUCUUGCCCUCCGCCGCCAACUCCAACCGCCCGCGCGCCUCGGCCCUCCCCACUUUCACAUCAGACUGGCGUGACACAACGCCAGAGCCCACCGUCACGCCGCACGGCAUGCCCGCCUCAUCGAAUUUAGCGUUAAGUGGCACACGCAAGUCAGCACCGUGCACCACCUGCCGCGCGUCGAACACCAGCAGGUCGCUGUCCUGGGUGCGGGUGUAGGCGCUGACCCCACCAAAUGUGAACAGGUUGCGGCUGACAUGCGCCGCACGCUCCACAUCGUCCAAGAAGUCCUUGCACUGCAUGGCGAUGAGGGGUGAGCUGUCAUACAGCAGGCCAGGGCCAUACCCAUAAGCGCGCCAGCGAGCCCACGCCCAAAUUGUCAAGCACCGGCUUUGGUCAGGGCAAUGCUCCCUGGCUGGCAUUUGCAUCCUUCCUCCACCCGGCCACAAAAACGUUCCGCCGGGUCCCUUCUCCACCCCACCAGCUCGUCCAACCCUUGACGCCUGGCAGCUCACCCGGCGCCCUGUUGCCGACUUCCACAGAGCCAGGAACACGACAGUUGGCGUUGCGUCGUCCGGGUCCAGAUGCGGGUGUGUGAAGUAGUCCAGCCCGACCGGAACCAGGCCCCAUGGCGCCCCUGUCGCCAGGAUUGCAGGCGUACCCGCGACGGUCUCCUUCGCGCUCCUCACGAGGUAGUCCCACAUCGCCAGCAGCAGCAUGGCGAUGCACAGGCCGAACGCACCAAUGACCACCCGCGCUUCGUGGCUCCUCGAUGUGUGCGCAUACCUGUCAAGGAAUCAGGCCGUGCACCUUGCAUCUGUUGCCAAGCCAUCCCGAACGCCGCCCAAAGCCCUCGCCUCCUUGGAUUUCCCCUUAGGUUCCGCUCCACCACGGCUAUGCACGCCCCUCCCUCGCUGCCAUCGCUUGCCAGUCCCAUACCACUCACAUGGUCACGCGGCUCGCCUUGUUGGUCUGCACAUGCCGGUAGCCUGCCAUGUGAGUUUCGCCGCCACACUCUUUCAGCCGACCACGGGGGACCUUCUUCAGCGUCUGCGCCUCCAUCAGGCGCCGCUGCAUGUUGCGCGCCGCGCUCGCACCAACACCGGGUACUUGCUCUGCAUCACCGGCCCCGGCACAUACAGGACCAGGAGGACUGGGUUGAACACGCCGUCAGUCCCCGUCAUGUCAAUCCAGAACAGGCAUGCCCUGCCAGUCAUGUCCCAGUACACGGUCAGCGCUAGCUCCGCUGAUGUGCGGGGUCUCCCCGCAGAUUGCGCCUCCAGGUCCAACGCCGCACGAGCUUUGGCGCGCGCAUUGCACGCGUCGAGCACGUUCGGCCGCAGUUGCCGCACGUUGCCUUGCAGUAGGUCGCGGAGGGCAUCGGGGACUCGCAGGGCGAUGUACAGCUCCCUUAGCAAGGUGCCAUCGGUUAGCUCUCCAGCAGCAACCUGGUGCGGACACACGGUCACAAAUGGCAUUCAAGACAUCCAACACACAAUUGCAGUGCUCAGGACCCCUGCACACGCGGCCUGUUGGGGGGCCUGGGGUAAUGGCGGUCCCACGCCACAGAUACCCAAAGUUCCCCCCUCACCCCGGGCUCCGGCAGGUCUGUCACAACAUCAGUACCAGAGCGGGCAGCACCAGCACCACUGCCUGCUGCUUCCACAUCAGCCAUUCCCUCCUUUGGCGUCACCACAUUCAAUGGUGGUGCAGCCACCGCAGUGCCCUCCACCGCGGCUGCUGCCGUAGUCGAUGAAGCUGGCCGCCCAUCCUCCACACCACCGGACUCCCCCUCCUCCAGGCACGCGCCCUGUGCAGGCAUUCGUGCAUGAGGGCGUACGCAUGCCGACCAGGCCCGCCUGCCAUCGAGGCCACAUCACGUGCAUGCAUGCAUGUCCACAUUACGUGCACCCUACGGCCUUGCCGCCCCAUCCUGGCUGCGCACCUUCAGCUCCAGGAUCGCGGACAGGGACACGAUCUCGUUGUCCUCCACCAUGCCCAUGAUGCUCUCCUCCACGUCCGGCGCCACAUCCCCCACCUCAUCGCCCAUUGCCUGGGGCCUGGCCAUGGGUGGCAGCUCCAGCCGUACCAGCUUAUCCGCAAUGCCGGCGAAAAGCGUCAACUUGUCCCCCCGUUCCCUGGCCCUUCUUAGCUCCCUGCGAGAGCCGGCGGAUUGUGUGGGAUUUCAGUCAGCGCGCCCAGCCCCUCGCGCCGAGGCCUGAGCCCCCACAUCCGUGCUCCGGGCAGCGCCAUCCAAUUCGUCGGGUUAGCCCGGUCGGCCCCGGACGCCCCCGCUCCCCCCCGCCAUGCCCCAUCUGAGGCCGCCGCCCAAUCCAGGCCCGCCCCCGGCGAUGUGACGUACCCCGGCCACCACAGCCCAUCCAUCCAAGCCCUCCCAACCAUGGCCUGUACCUCCCCCCAGCCUCACCUUGCGAGCUCCUCCCGGCCGUGACGCCUCCACUUCUCGCCCAGCGCCAGUAGGAACCUUGGGGGGCACCCGCGGUGGGCGGCCUUGGAAGGAUCCCUCCUCCACCGCUGCUCCUCCUCGACUCGUGCCGCGAGGCAUGAGGCUUUAGGCAUGCCCGGCAUGUCCAGCUGCACAACGCCGCCGGCCCUCGCAAGUGCCGCCCUGCACAUGCAGCCCGCAUGUGAUUUUGCGGAAGUCCCGCGAGUGUCCCCCUUCCCCUCCUCAAAUCUCACCUUACUAUUACGGCCUCAUCAGAUGACAGCGACAGCGUCCCCUUCUUCAAAACCGUCUCAGUUAUGUCCAAAUCCUUGCGGGCCUCGCCCUGCUCCAGACCAACCUCUUCCGAGCUAGACGGCUCCAUUCCUAUUAGGUGCUUCUUCCAAAUCAAGACGCGCCGGGCCCGCGAACGCCGUUCAACGCGACGUUGCCACCCGGAGCCCUGGGUGGCAAAGUCGGCGCGCCUGUACCUCCGUGGCAGUCAGUGCUGCUACUAUGUACUCUUGCUUAUAUUGUUUAUGCCCCACCAUUUGCCGAGCCCAAACGCGUGUCUCUGGCUAUCGCCCACCACCGGCCCGCCCCCGCCCCAUGCGCAAAACCCUACCCCUACCAGUCCCUCCCUUUACAAACGAUACGUAGCAGUUUUGCAGGUGUUGAAAUUGAAGGUGUUCAAAAACACCAAGAAGGUGAUGAUGCCCAGGGACUCGAGGGGACCAUUUGGAUUCACCCGUUUGAAUUGGCCUCCGACCUGAGUCAAACGGGGAUGGGUGAUGGAAUCCAUCGUUUGAAUGCGCUUUAAAUUGCAAGAGAGGGCUUUCGGGCACUACCCUACCUCACAACCAUCCAACAUGGUCGCCCGUGUCUGCAAGCUCCUUAUCAAGGAUCCCGACCAUCCCAACAAAGUCUACCAUCAGUGGGCGACAACGAUUUCGCCUGGAACUAAGCCUGAUACGUUCAGGGGGGAUCUUCUCCCCGAGACGGACUCCACCGUCAAUUACAAGCUCUCCGUGGACCCCGAGGACCCCGAGGACCCCGUGGAAUAUUAUUCGCCGGAGCAGGUUCUGGCGUUUGCUCUCGAGUACCUGGCCAGCGGCUCUGACGGGCCCGCCUGCCCCCUUCCCUGCGCCUCGUGGGAUGCGGAGAAGCAGAGGCUGACCCUCACCAUUGUGCGCGAGUCCAAGCAGGACCCCAUCAAGAAGCCCAAGAAGAGCAACGCGAAAGAGCCCAUCACUCGCGUGCGAACGCCGGACUCCGCGCUGUUCAUGGAGGCCGUCCGUCGCUUCUACCCCUUCGCCAAGCGCGGCCCUGGCGAAGGCCCCCGCCUGCUCAACACCAGACUGGCCGCCAAUGGCGAGUUGAAGAAGUAUUGGCAAGACAAGAUGGCCGCGGCCUACGCCUGGAGCCUGAAGCGGGGCAUCACGUUGUCGCGCGAAGACUUCCAGGCCGACUGGACAAAGUGAGUUUUUGUUCUUCUGUAUUGGCAUGGGAAGGACGCUAGAAUGCGGAGGAAUGUCAGUAGCAUGAGCGAUGAGGAAUAGGGGGAUGAGAGUGGACUUGACCGCGUUGACUUGUUGAACUGACCAUAGUUAAUUCUUUAUACAUAAACUUGCUUCAUCCUACUACUCUUUCACAACAUAUCCAGGAAGGCAACCGACUUCAACGCCAAGCGCACCACUUACGAGAAGACGACCGCAGCCGCCCGCGCUGUCAAGGACAGUGAGUCUGCUUUCUAAUUGUAUAUACUGUAUAAGCACCUUGCAAUGAGUGCGUUGAGAGACAUGCGCGAGAGGCAGACUUUGCGUCAGUUUGACCUGGACCUUCUGCUCCAUCCUCAUGCUUCCACCGCGUGCUUGCAGAGAACCAGCCCAAGAAUGAGCGUGGCUGGUACAAGAACGCAUGGCGCAGCAAGUGGGGCAAGAUGUGGGACGGCUACAAGCGCGACCCUGUGCGCUUCACGGCUGGCGAGAAGCAGACGCUGACGGAAGAGGAGGUCGGUCUUUGCAAGGAGCUUGAGUCUUUGCUGCCAAGCCGGGCUUCCGCGAGCGUCAAGGACGCCAAGGUGUCCUACGGUGCCAUCGACGCUGGGGGCCUUCUGGUGGGUUACUUUCUUACAUAGCCAGACUGUUAGUGCGUGCUUCGCUUACGAGCGCAUCCUUACUGCUGAUACGACCAGGCGCGGUUGUUGGUGAAUGUCUGUUGCGCUUACACAACUCUGCUGCUUCUUGCAGGGACCGCUGGCCAAGGCCUUGAGCGGCCUCUCUUCAAAGACCAAGCGCUCCUCUCUGGGGUCCACAGGCGCCGUCGACGUCGCCGCCGCGCCUCAGCCCAGCCCGCCCAUGCCCCCGCCCAUGCCCCAGUCCGCCCCAGGCGCCAUCGACAAGCUGGCCGCGGCGGGUGCCGAGCGCAUGAAGGUAAGACCACCGUGAUCAUGUUCUCUGCGCGCGUCGUCUAAUAUGGCUCGCUGCGUAAGUCGUUUACUUCUGCACUGGAGAUGGUCCCUUGCGGCAUGGGUGCCAGGCACCACUGCGGACGGACCGUCCCUUCGUGCAAGUUCGCUUUCACAGCAUUGCGGCACACUUGCUGUCAUGCAGGCGAUGGGCGACAAGAAGCGGACGGAUGCGCAGAAGCGCAAGGAUGAGAGGACGGCCGAGGCGCCAGCUAAGGUGAAUGGGUGAAUGGGGGAGCUUCCGUCGUCUGGUUCAGGGUGUGUGUGGCAGCACUGUUGGUGCUCUCGGGUGGGGUUCAGCUAGAAUGCAUUCUAAAUGCAUGUGGUUCUUGGUCUACGCCAGUGUACUCUUGCGUGUUUUCUUUCACCAAUUUAUGAUGGCGAAUCAUUGUUGCGCCUACGCCCCCAUCCCAUGCAGAAGCACAAGGGCGAUGAGGCGGUAGCCCCCGCUGCCAAGGCCAAGACCAAUGCCAAGACUGCCGCUGAGGGCAAGGCUGCCAAGGUUCCGGCCGCGAAGGCUGGCAAGGCCGCCAGGGGCAAAGCCGCCAGGGGCAACGCCGCCAGGGGCAAGUAGACUGCCAAUGCUGGUGCUACAUGGAUUGUACAAUGUUCGGACUAGGCCUAGUACGGCUUAUUCUGGACUUAGCUACCGAGCAUUAGGAUGUUUGGACCCUGUGUAGACCACCUAGCGGUAGUAUGUUCGGACCCUGUGUAGACAUCCACUCCAGCAUGAGCGAGUGGCAUUUGAGGACUGCUGUGCUGCAUGCUGUGUAGACCACCUAGCGGUAGUAUGUUUGGACCCUGUGUAGACAUCCACUCCAGCAUGAGCGACUGCUGUGCUGCAUGUGCAUGACAGUGAGACUGUGAUGGGCGACAGAGCGCCUUGGACUGUGAUGCACUUACUGUCAGAUCGUAGUUGUGUGGAAAGCGAGUGAGAUGGUCGGUUCAGGUAAUCCUGAAACAUGUGUGCAGCCAGGGUCCGCCGCAGAUGUGGGAUAGAGGCAGUGUAACGUGCUCUGGAAUGAAGAGUUUCAUGUGUUUCUCCGUGGAUUGUACGGUACCCCCGUGUUUCUGUUUUCGAAUCGCGUCUCAAGACGCAGUGCGUCUCGUGCAUCGCGUGUGUGUGAGACGCGGCGCGUCUAGGGUAUCAGGCUAGCGUCUGGUGUGACGCAUCGCGUUAGCUAAGACGCGCUCUCCAUGCAAUUGUACCGCGUCACGACUCGCGUUCCAUUGCGUCUCGCAGACGCAGUGAAACGCGCUAUCUGUAAUGGUGCCCCGCUUCACUGUUUCUGGUUGCGUCCCCAUCGCGUCUACCCCGCGUCUCCCCCGCGUUUCCCCCUUAACGCGCAGCGUCUCGGCGCGUCUGACACCGCGUCUCACAGGUCAGACGCGGCCCAGACGCGCCCAGACGCGGUUUCCCGUUGUUAUAGUGUCCAAGUCCGCGCCGGGCCCGCCUGCGCGCUGCAGUGCUUCGGCACCCCCGCCAAACCCGCCGCCCGCACAGCCAACGGGCUUCUGUGCACACGUGCUGCAGCUCCAGCGGCCCAUCGGCACCGCCGUGAGAGGGGGUUCAUGGCAGUUCACGUGAUAGCAGUCGUUGCAGUCAUCGCAAAAUACCAUGUCAAAGACGGCCGUGGCCCUCCUUGCCACCGCGACUCUUCUUGGUGGUGUGCCUGCUGAGUGCCGUUUGCACCGCCCGCCCAGAGCCUCCGGCAGCUUGUCCACGCCUGCAUCAUAAUGCGCUGUUCAAGUACGGAUGCAGUCACGACGGGAUGUAUCAACUUACGAGAGCGGAGCAACUUUGGCGCUUGCGAGCAUGUUCAAGCGUCAGGGGCAACCACCCCUGUACGUUUGUCAAUUGAUUUUGAGAAGGCGUUUGACAAGGUACCCAGAUGGGCGCUGUGGGCAACGUCUGGCCGAAAGAGGAGUACGUGGCCGAAUGAUGGAGGUCCUGAAGCGUUGCUAUGAAAGAGUUUGCCUGCGGGUGAAGGUGAACGGCAAACUGAGCGACGCGUUUGAGUCGCUGCAAGGGGUCAAGCAGGGAUGUCCUAAAAGCACCGACCUGUUUGGCACCUUCAUUGAGGCACUAGCAGAAUACGUGGACGCAUGGGACCAGCAUGAGCCAACUGAACGCACGUGGAAGCAUGAGGCGCCGACGAUAGGUGGCAAACUUGUGGCCUGCCUAUUAUACGCGGACGACCUGACGGUAUGCGCACUGUCCAUCCACCGUAUGCAGUUUUUGCUCAAUAGAUUGCACGAAUUUUGCCAAACCUUUGGUAUGCGAGUCAACAUAGCUAAAUGCGAGAUCAUGGUUUUUGCGGGAAUAGCAACGCACCGGCAAAUCCACGCCGUGUACGCUACGGCCCUUCGGUACCCGUACCCUGGGGGUGUAAGCAUACCGGUGAAGGGGCGAGCGCGGUACCUUGGCCUAUACUACGGCCCGGCCACAACGUUUGAUUCUUGCUACCAAGAGCUAAUAGCUGCGGGCAGGAGAGCUGCGUUUGGGUUGAUAGCGGCGCUAGAUAAGAACGAGUGCUCGUCCGGGCACCAUGCAAGCAUGUUUCGAAGUGCAAGUGAGGUCCGUGCUGUCGUAUGGCGUCGAGGUGUGGGGCCCCGACGCCCUGAGCGCCCUGUUUGAAGGCACGAGCUAUGGCGGCCACGACCGCACCAUGGACAAAACGCUAAAAAGCAAGUGGAGAAAUGCCAAGACUUGGUUUGACAAAGCCCUGAUUGAUCCGAUGGUGGCACUGCAAACAUCUUUCCUGGCACGAGCUGCGGGGGUUCGCAAGCCCACCUACAGGCUGCUUUAUGCUGAGUUUGCCGCACAACCCAUGCAUUUGCACUGGGCGUACAUGGUGUUUGGUUGCUGGAAUCGUAUUAUCAAGCAAGACAAAUCGCUAGCGCACGUGUUUUUGGAAGAUGCCGUAGCAACGGCAGCUGCAGGAGGUUUCGAAGGCAUGUGCUGGGUGAGCAAGGUUUACCGAGUCUGCAAAAAGCUUGGCUACGACUGGUGUACAGAGGGCCCGCAGGGCACAGACGCACUUUGUGAAUGGCUACUGCGCACGGGGCUGCCGAUUGGUAGUUUGCUGGGCAACUUCGCCCACAUGCUUAUGGGUGAAUGGAAGGCAGAGAGCAUAUGCACUGACCCUCGGGCUUUCCCUGAAAGCGGAGGGCACCGUAGUACUGCCGGUGGGCCGGGAGUUAAGAUGUGCCGCUAUACGCAGUGGAUGGGCGUCCCGCAGUUGGAUGCUGCAGUUAAGCAAGGCAUUUUACCGCACAUGAAGGAGUAUGUUACGCACAAGCACCUCAUGGCGCUGAUACGGUUCAGGCUAGGAUGUUGGGAUAUCGAGGUUAAUCGCCCCGUGGCGGGGGGCCGGUACCGUCCGCGCAACGAAAGGGUGUGCAGGCUGUGUCGAGGCGGUGUAGAAGAUGAAAAGCACGUUAUGCUGGAGUGCCCAAUUUAUGCUAACAUUCGGUUGGCUUCUGGUACUACAGGUAGCGAUAUGAAAAAGAUUAUGCUUGACACGGACACGCAAAAGUUGGCUGCCCACUUGUACGCAGUUACGACGCUACGGGCACGGACGCUAUUGAUCUAGGCCAUUUGCCUGUUUACCUAACGCGCCCCCGGACUCAAAGGAGUUAGUGGGGCCACAUGGACUCGAACCCAUGAAUAAUAAUAAUAAUAAUAUCUACGCAGGGCACAGGUACCCGCGUGUCUUAAGGAGGAGUGAGACAAGCUCACCCCACCAUCGGAAAACUUGAUUUCCCUACCCCGGCUCCCCUGCGCGGGGGCCGCCAUUGGCGGCCCCCUGGGUGCGGCCUCCCGGGCGGCAUCGGGUGUUGACAAUGCCCAUCUCUCGCUCUAGUCGGUAGUACAGGUUUGCGGUGCCCCGGAGUGUGGUGACGCUAUGCAUGUGGAGACGUGUGCAGCAGGCCUUGGCUGCCUGCGGUUUGGCUCCUAGGUCUUUGAGGAGAGUUUCAAGGGUACGGGGGACAGUGCCACCGUGGCCCAGUGUAAUAACGUGUUUAGUAUCGCAGUGCACAGUCCACCCUGCAGCUCGCAUGGCAGUGGCAAGGGUGGCGUGCUGUGCUUGUUUUUGAAUGAGCUUCUCGCUGUGGUGCAGGUCAGAGGUGUAUCCAACUUCAAGGAUGUACACUGGGUAGGCCCCUUUGUUGGCUGGUGGGGAUGUCAUGAAGCGUUCUGCUUCGGACCGGGGAAGGUUCGGGAUAAACAGAAUGUCAGGCCGCAUCCUGUUGAGGUCUGCAGCGGGCACUUGCGGGCAGAGCCAGGACGGCGGCCGCAUGCCCGCACAGUACUCAGGCAGUUCAGCUCGGGAGGUGGCAUCGAGUUGGGGGUGCGCGCAGUGGCCGGCAAGGUGACCUGCGGUGCCACGCUCUGGGUCAGAUCCGCGGCUGCGCUGGGUGUGGGCACAGAGACCACAUUUGUCUCGAACCCAUGUAAAUGCUCAUGCUCAUGCUCAUGGCUGAGCAUGCCAGCAAUGACCGCCACAGCUUCCUCCUCGCCGUACUCUUCCUUCACCUCCUGGAAGUGGCCGAGUGCCUCCUCCUGCAGCGUUGCAAGUAUCAGCAAACUACCCGUAGCCGCCCUAGCAUGUGCACUUACCUGCGUCGGCGUGAGCUUGCCCCAUUUCAAGCUGGCAUCCCGCAGCGCCCUGGCCAGGGCUGCCUAUAGCCUUCUUCCUUCAGCACCUGCAGCAGCGAGCCCUCCCCAGCCCCCUUCCCAUCCAUGUUGAAGCGCUCAAAAUGCGUCUGCAGGAGCUGCUGGCUGAGUGCAGUUGCACCUGUUGCAUAGGGGAUGAAAGGAGUUAAUGGGAGCUUGGCACGCAACCGUGCACACGAGGCUUGCACACCUUGCGGCUUGCGGACCUUGCGAGCCGCCACCACCGGGUUGACAAUAAUAAUAAUAAUAAUAAUAAUAAUAAUAAUAAUAAUAAUAAUAAUAAUAAUAAUAAUAAUAAUAAUAAUAAUAAUAAUAAUAAUAAUAAUAAUUACAACGCCGGCCCAUAGGGCCUGGCAUGGAUUAACGGGGCAAGGUGACUAAGGCGAGAGGGCCCGCCCCCCUCACGCUGACGCCUCACCACGAAAGAGUCACAACCUCCGAAACUACAACCUCCAAGUCCUAGGCCGCUCUUCAAAGUCCACUACAUCCAAACCUGCACACCUAGCAUAUCGAGCUAGGGAAACGCCACGUUAUAGUAGUGGAGCACUGCCAGUUCGUGCAAACCGAGGAGCCAUGGCGCUCCUCUUCGAGCCUUGGAUCUUGAGCCUUGUCUUGAACCUUGGACCUCGCCACUAAAUCGGACUUCUGCACCGCGACCUUUCUAGUUUGCAGCGGCAUAAGCCCGCAAUUGCCACUAAGGGCAAUUACCGUGGGAUCACCAAUCGGUUUCGCACCAAUCUUUCGCCUUUUGCAUAGUUGGGCUUUUAUCCGGAUUCGUACCCGGGUCCCUUCUGCCGUAAGGACGAGUCAAAUCGCUAACCAGCUAGGCCGGGGGCCUGAUUGUGCACACCCUCCUCCUCUGGGCCCGAGGCGGGGGGGGUGGGGGUGGGGGCUGUGAUGGAGGUGUGCGAUGCCGCGCGGGACGUAUGGUGAAGGUGUCGGGGUGGGGAGUACGGGGGCCGGCGACGAGGUUUGCUGCAUGUGUACCGCCGCCGUCCUGCAGCCAAGACCUUCGUUGAAGGGCAGCGUGUGUGUGUGUGUGUAAUGCACGGUAUGUGUGUUUUUGUGUGUGUGUGUGUGUGCUUGAAAGGUGUGUCAGCCGUGCAGGCAUUGAUUGGUGCAAAUUAAGCAAGGAGUGUUCACCAGCGCCAUCACUAACAAAACUGAUGAACGGGCUGUGUCGAGGUCGAGCGCUCAUAUGUUACAGGGGCGGUGUUAGUGGCCGAAUUUGCUGAAAUGGCGAAACAGGAGUUGACGAAAUAGGCUGCCACUGCUUCAUGUUUCGGGGGCUCCGCCCCUGACCCGCACAAUGUCAACACUGACACGAUACGCCCACUCCUUGGUGUGUCCUGCUCACCUAAUUCCACUGUCCCGUUAGGGGAAUCCCUGUCUCCCGCCGUCAACACUCAACACGCAUAGAUACAGCCCUUUGAGCGUUGUUACCAUAUGCGACUACUUCUAGCGCUCGGUCAAGGCAAACAUAACGACCGCCCCCAACAUCAUUAGCGCUUCUAUGGUGGUGUCCAUCCGUGAGGCAGACUAUGAACACAUGCAACAGUGUAACAACAACAGCUAUAACAAGAUCGCGACCUCAGCGCUUGUGAUGAUCUGUGGUCAACAGCCGUCAUUGAUGUGCGAGGCCUACGUCUUCCUUGUUGCAAGUCGUGGUGCAACAAUCACGUACAGAUGCAAGCACAGCUGGCGUUGCUUAGGGCACGUGCGCUAGUACCCACGCAAGCUGAUACGGGAGCACGUUGAUGACGUCGGGUGAUGCGCCAUGGCGAGAGUGUAUCAUGUGCAGCAGAGCAGCAUGCAGGCGCCGCCAUUCAUCUACGGAAACGGGCGCGUGCCAGGCCUCCCACAGGUGCACGACUUCGAAUCCGUGGCCGUACACGCUCCACGCCACGUCAGACGUGUUGGUGAUGAUGGGAGGACCGCAAGUGGCUGCAAGUGCGUUGCCGGGCGCGGUGGGAGUGGCUGCAACGGCCAUGCCGUCAGGUGUGGCGCGCAGGACGCGCAGGGUUGGCAGGUUGCGGGCCCAGAGUGCGAAAUUCACGGCACUGGAGAAACUGGAGGGAGCGUCAGGUGGGCCCAGGAGAAUGGCACCGGUCCAUGCGCCGGCAGACUGCACUUGUUGGUGCCCCUGCGUAGGGUGGGGGAUGGCGGGUUGGAGUGGAGGUGUGGGCGUGCAGUGGAAGGCAUGGGGCCGCAGCAGAUUUUGGAUGCGGCAGGUAGAGGACGGGACGUACACCGCACACCUAGACUCCUAAGCACGAUGCUGCUGCUGUGCGAGUCCCUGCCGCACGCGGACGCGUGCCCGCACCUGCUGUAGGAGAAGGUCGUAUGCCCAUUGCAUAGCGUGUUCGCUGCCGCCCAUGGCGAUGGCGUCAAGGUCGAUGCGAGCGCCACGGUCAUGGAGGAGCUGCAGGAUGGGCAGGGGCGCGCCAGUGCGGGCCGCGGAGGUGAAAGCCGAGUUGUAUGCCCAGGUGUCCUGCGGAUGGGCAGGCGGUACGGCUGCAGCCACCAUGGCAACUGUGUCCCAGGAGGAGGUCUGUGCAACCACGUGCAAGUCGCGCGCGGUUAUGCUGAAACCGCAGCGUAGGAAUGCUUCUGUUCGUGGGCGGUUGUCUCUAAGCAGCCUGACGCCCGCGUCGCGGGUGGAGGAGAAGAGCGUACAGUCUGCAUUGCAGUGGCGGGCGGCCAUUUCGCCCAUGUGGAGGACUGUGUCUGCAGCUUCGUCAGGGGUGCCGUGCUGUAGAAGCAGGCGGUUGCGUAGCUCCUGCGGCACAGCCACGCCGGCUGCGGCCAGCGUUGCUAGCACCGCGGAAAUGUUUCUGAGGUUCGGGUCGCGCAGGAACGGGUCAGAGCUCAGGAGGUCUGUUGCGACAGCCUGCCAGCCUUGCGGUGCGCGCAGCAGCAGCAGCUGGAUACUGUCUGUGUUGGGCACAGGCAGUUGAGACGCUGUGAGUGUGAUGCUGCGGCAGACGCGCAGCACGACUGAGGGAUCGGGCGGCUGAGGUGCUGGUGGCUGCGGCAAGGCUUCGUGAAUGGCUGGCUGUUGUGGUGGCGGCGCAGGCGCUGCUGGCGGAGCCACAGCUGGGAAGGCAGGUGGCUGUUGCGCUGGCGGCGCGUCCACCACGGGCGGUUCUGCUGCUGGGUCCGCAGGCGGCGGCAGCGGCAAGCUGUGCGGCCACUCAGGGAUGUAGGUGGUGAGCACAUGGUACAGGAACUGGGUGGAGCAGCCUGCUGCGAUGCCGUCCAUGAUUUUGGCUCGCCAGUACGCACCAUACCAGCUGUACGGCGGGGCAUGUUGCAGGGCGCGCUCGACUAGGGCUGUGUGUCCGCGUGCGGCCGCCGCCUUGAUGCUGCUUGCGGGAAGGGUGUGCCAGGCGUCGUGCUGUGCGAAUUGGGUGUUAAGGAAGUCCAGCACACUGCUGUGGCCGCCGAUGCAAGCGCCCUGUUGCGUGCUGGUGUACAGCUCUUGCCAGUCUUGAGGGUCUGCGUGUGCUACUGUGUCGAAGAGGAGCGUGAGGACAUCAAGGUGCCCGGCGCUGCCGGCGGCCACGAAUGCUGAGCAGGUGAGCGCGCAGCCGUGGCUGAUGAGCUGUUGGCAGAGGUGCACCAAGCCAGCCUGUGCGGCUGACGCCAGUACCUCUGUGUUCAUUGCGACACCGCUGUACUGGAUUGCUGCAGUGGCGCUGGCUGCGUGCCCUGAUGCCGCUGCGAGGCAUGCUAGCCGGCGUCGUUGCGACAGGGAGAGGUGGGCCCAGGCGGCUGCGGUGGCGAAGGUCUCCUGGAAUGCGCGGCCGGGCCAGCCCGGUGGUGGCACGUGCGUGUCAAGCCGCCAAUGUCGCGAGUAUCCAGUGUACGUGUGCGGGCCGGCGAGAAACACGCGGCGGUGCUGAGGCGCGGAAAGGCUGUUGCGCAGGAAGCGCGAGGUGCGGCGGAGCGCAGUGGCCCCAUCAGCGGUGUUGAGGAAGGUUGCGAUAUGGAGCCAAAGGUCGGCGGGCAGGUUCUGCCAGUCCGGGGCCAUGUCGGUGCUAAUGUUGAGGCACGUGCAACUAGAGUGCGGGAUGUGAAGGCGCUGGAUACCGGGCGUGAGGUUGGAUACGUAAUGUUGUAUUUGGUUUCAGCCUUUGUGUUCAGCGUAGGCAUGGGUGUGAUCGGGAUGAUGGGCGACUGGCGGAUUGCCGGUCGCAAAGCUUGCCGGAUGGUUUAAUUAUAUAGAUGUCGUGGUUUAAUAAUAUAGACUUGGAAUCCUCGUGGUGUAUUUAGAUAGACCUGGAAUGAGUCGCGUUCGGUGCGAGGCCGAGUUGGAGAGCGCGCGCAAGAAGCCGCGGCAGGAGGCGAACGAUGUGCUGAUCGUGCCGUUCGGGCCGAUGUCUGCGGAGGCAGGCGAGGCGGUUGAAGCGCAGCGGUAGGUACCAGCGCUGGGAAUCGGAUAAGCCUGGCGGCUCAGCGAUCGGGCGCGCGAUGAAGCUGGGCAGUGGCUUUUUUGCGGGUGCUGACAGCAGGGAUGUGGCUGGGUGCAUGGCAAAGGCGGAGCGGCAACGCUGGGAGGCGGUUAAGUGAUUGCGUGGGAAUGUGCUGCCCUCGCCACUGGAAAUGCAGAUCGGAGCGCGCCAAGGCCGACGCGCUGCUGGGCGCCAACAUGCUGCUGCCGCCGUAUCAGGGCCGGCUGGUGGCGCAUCUGCGCGCGCGGUACGCCUUUGUUCCGAUCCCGGGGCAGACCAAGCUUCGCAAGGUGUACGCGUGCGAGACUCCGGCCUGCAACGCUCGUAUGGAGUGGGUUGCCAAGGAUGCUACCGCCAAGGCCUGGCUCGUUUCGCAUAGCCCGCACAGCCAUGCGGCAGCCGCGCCGACGCCUACGGCGACACCCGGCCAGCUGACAAGGUGUGUUUGAUGGAGUGGGACCGUGUGUGUUAGUGUGCGCGUGUGGGUGCGGGGUGGGGGUGGGCGUAGGGGGAGGGGGGCAGGCGGAAUCGGGGCCAGGCAAGCGGGCGAGAGGUACAGGAGCUCGCAGUGGGCGCGAGGUACAUAGGACCGCACAGGGGUGCUUUGUGGGGCGCUGUUUUGAGCGGGCAUUUGCGCACGUGCCGUGUAUAUACAGGCAAGCGCUGCGCAACAAGAACUUCUGCAUCGCCAAGAGUUGGGUGGAGACGUUCAAGCGUACACUGGUCGCCGCUGAGCUGAGCAGGUGCAGUAGGUGUGCGCGGCCCUGUUGUGUGCAGUCCAGCGGGAUGUCUCAGCACAGCAAGGGCAGGGCACCAGCGUACUGAGAUCGGACAGGUCUGCUGCGCGUGUGGCAUGACUCCCCCGGUGCGGGGGACUCAGGCGAAGCGCCGGUCGCUUGCGGCAGGCGUGGCUGCCGAUGCUGUCGUCGGCAGCACCAGGCUCUGCAUCGCCCCAGUUGUGUGGGGCCCGCAUCCUGGGUAGUGCAGCGUUGGCAGGGGGGCAGUUGCGCGGGAGUAGUUGCGUGUGGGAGGUGGAGGGAGGUGCAUGCGCAAGAUCUGUUGCAGCAGUGGCAUGACUCCCCCGGUGCGGGGGACGUAGUCAUUGUUUGCACACUCCGGAUGCACAGGCCCGGACUGCCAGCCCGUGCACCCCGCACACGCCGACAAAGGAGCGCUCAUAAGGUCUACGUCAUAGAAGUCGGAUACUGCUCGGACCUAAACCACCCGGACAAACGCGCAGAGAAGCUGCAACAACACGAAGACCUCGUGGCCGCUCUCCGCGACGCAGGCUGGGACGUGAUGUACAGCCCAGACACUGUAAUUAGCCUUGGCCAUACUGGCACGGUCACACCCCACCUUCAUGCCCUCCUCAAAACACUCGGAUGCCCCACACAGUCCGCACACAGCACAUGCCGUAAACUAGUGCAGCACGCCAUCCACACCACAACCGCCAUCACAGCCCUCCGCCGCGAAAUCUACAGCCACAAAUGGCCAGGGAGACCACCAUAAAACCGUAUGACCCGCUGUGGGAAAGGGGCCAGGCCCAGUACGCCUAGGCGCACUGGCAACCUCCCCUCUCUCACUUGGGGGACAGGGGCUCAGCGGCGGAGACCAUCUAUGCGGUGGUCUCUCACGCCCUCACACCCCUACCUCCGCAGAACACGCCCUGUCAUGCAGGGAGUACCUAUUAUUAUUAUUAUUAUUCAUUGUUUGCAGCGGCAGGCUCUGCGUUGCCCCCGUUGUGUGAGGCUCGCAUCCUGGGGAGUGGGGUGUAGGCGUGGGUAUGGGUGGGCGCCUUGCAUGAGUGAUUCACACUGACCAUUGUGCCUGCAAUUGUGUGUUCUGUGCAUGGAGGCGCGAGGAGGGUGCUGCGUCAGCGGAAGCUGCGCAGGAGCUGCUUGUGCAAGGCGUGGCCAGCAGCAUCGGGUGGGUUUGCUUGUAUGUGCGGAUGUGGGCAGGGCAGGCAGGAACAGUGCAUGCCAACUGCUGCAAGGCACUUUGCUGACGCUGCGCACAUGUUUGGGUACCCGCAUGGUUGCAGGGAGGGGCAGUGGUGCAAGCUGCGCCCGGAUCUGGAUGCGCUCGGCGUGAAGCUCGACGCCAACGGCAUCGUCACGCACCUCAAGUACGCCCUCGCGCCGCCCAAGCCGCCCAGCGCGCACCUCGUGGAGGUGAUGCAGGCGGGUGCCAUCCGCGACAUCCUGAUGGGCAUGGGCUGGGCCGCGCUGCCGGAGCAGCAGGUUCGGGUGUUCGACAUUGACCUUGCCGCUGCGGAUGCGCUCGCGCUGGAGGCCCUGCAAGGGUGGGCACGCAUAGCGGGGGUGGCGCUGCAAGGCGAAGGCCAGAAGCUGGUGCGGCGCCAGCAGGGGCUUAGCACCGGCGGCGACAAAACCUCGUGGUACCAGCAGUGGUUUGCGGAAUGCCCGUUCGGCCUGCUGGAUGUCACCGGGCAGGACGUGCGGGUCUGUGCCGUGCGGCGCACAGCAGAUGGUGGGCUGCAACGCGCGCCGCUGGUCUCUGUAGGGCAGGUGCGAACAAGCUGCGGGCCGGGCGUAUGUUGUUGCGUGUUGUCGGUUGUAUGGCGGUGUGCGUGUUCACCAUGCUGCUGUUGUGCUUGCCUGCAGGUGUCGGGCGAGGCGGGGCGCGCUCUGCGCAACAAGGUGGAAUAAUAAUAAUAAUAAUAAUAAUACCUACGCACGGACCAAGGUCCCGCGUGCCUUAAGGAAGAGUCCCAUCGAGGCUAACCCUACCGUAUCUCUGUGGGACCUUGGCAAGAGGCACCCCACGCAUCCACCUUCACUCAGUCCAUAGGAACCGAAGUUCUGGACCUAUCGGCCUACCAACUCUCCGAAUUCGGCCAUCGUGAAGUUUCCACGUUGCAACAAUGGGAUCCGAACCCAGAGAGUCGCUACAACGCUUCCGUCAGUACCGCGGACUCCAUACCGGAAUACUGACUCGGUUCCCCGGGCAGGAUCCGAACCUGCAUCUAUACUUGUCAGCCUCAACCCGGCCGAAUCCGCGAUUCGAACCUGGGUCUGCCAUGUGACAGCGGCAUGCUCUACCAAUUGAGCUACCGGGGAGCAACAAGGUGGCGCGCACGUGUCAAGAAGUCCACAAUGGCGACGCCUGGGCUCACAUCGACAAGCACUACGACGGCAACUUCUGGAUGGCGGGGCUGGCGUCGCCUGCUCGCGUGGGACACAUCAUCUGCAGGCAAGAGUACCAGGGGGGUGUUGCAUGCGGGUGGCAAGGGUGGCGCGGGCAUGGAGGAGAGGCAUGGAUGUGCGGUGGGGCCGAGAUUGACUGAUACCUUGCUGUGCAGGUACGUCAACCAGAUCAUCUACGAGUGCGAGGCGGAGCAUUAUCCAUUCGGCAUCGAGGAGGCGCUGGAGGAGAUGUGUACGGCGGUGUGGGAGGCGGCGGUGCAGAUUGCGCCGUACCUGACCAAGUACAGGUGAGGGUGCCGUGUAGCCGCGGGGCUGCGUGCAAGGGCAGUACGUGCAGGAUGGUUGUGUGGGGGGUCGCGUACCUAGCACUGACGUGGUGCUGCACGCUGUCGGUCUGCGCGCAGGGACGAGUUCUUGUCUGCCUGGGGGCGCCAGGCGAUGUACGGCGACACGGCAACUAACCUCGUGAGCAUGACCAAGAACUGCGCGGUGUCGUUGCACUUCGACACGACGGACGGUGAGGCUGGUGCGCAGGGGUGCGUAUCAGAGACGCGGUGCCUGUGUAUUUGUGUGUGUGGGGGGGGGGGCGGGGGAGGGGCGGGCGGUGGAUGGGUGAGUGGGUGUGCGUGCGAGCUUGCUCGUGUAGAUCUCGGAGGGCGGGCGUACUGUGAGGCAAGGUGGUGGUGCUGGUCUGCUAUCUGCGUGCUGCUAACGAGUGUGAAUUUCUUCGCGUGGGAAUUGACACGCAGGGCCGUACAGCAUCAUGCUGUGGCGCCACAACGGUGCCGGCAGCCUGGACGGCGGGCAUUUCUUGAUGCCUGGCGCCUCCAUCAAGGUAAAUGGCCAGGUGGUGCAUCUCUGCGGGCGGGUGUGGUUUUGUGUGUGUCGGCCAGGCGCGCGUAUAGUGAGCUCGCGAUGCGGACAUGCAAGUGAUACGGGUGCUGUUGUUUGCAGGUGCUGCCGACCGACAUGACGAUCGUGGUGCUGGCUGCUGGCAUGGUCACGCAUGGGACGGCGCCCGUGCUGGAGUCCACUGGCGAAGCGCGGCGGUACGGCUACUCGCAUUUCCUGCGUGUGCCGGCCAUGGAGCGUGUGGCGCGGCUGAUCAAGGCAUCUGGCGGAAAGAAGAAGAUGGAGGAGCUGCAGGUGCAGGGCAUGAAGCGCGUGUUGGCUGCACGUACAGCGGCGGAUCGGAAGGCGCGGCGGGAUGAAAUCCAGAAGCAGCGGGACGAGCUCCUGAAGAGCGCGCUGGACGGCGAGGCGCUGCCAGAGGGCGAGCAUUUAGCGUUUGCUGUGCGAGGGUUGAAGUGGCACCGGGACAUUGUGAAGUGCCUGGUAUGGCAGGACUUCAAGGGCAAGUCCUGAGACCUCUAGCAGGAGGAGCGGGUGGGUAGUAGUGGUUCGUGUAGAGGCGUGUUGGGCUGUGUAGGUGAGAGCUCAUGGGAGUACACAACGCAGAUAGAGCAAGAACAGCGGGAGUUUCUUAGGCAGCGCCAACAGGUGCGAACGCUGCUGGGGAGUUGGUGUGUUGCAGUGGGAGUUGGGCCAUGCACGUGAGACAGCGAGUGGCUGUACAGGUGUUCGCAUUUGCAGGUUAAAAGAACCGUGCCAUUCGUGUCAAGCAAGUGCAUGGAGUGGGUGGGUGAUGAACUGGAUUGUGGGGUAGAGCUGUGGGCGGGGGCAUGCGUUGGGGAAUCGGUUUUUCUGUGAGGGCGUGUGGGUGCGCUAAGGGCAAGGUAACAAGACAGCGUGGCUGUAGUCAGUUAGCAGUGUAGGGUUGCGGUUGGGGCCGGGCUGCAGCGGAAGUAGAAGUAGGGAUAGCUGCUUAUUGUGGCAAAGAUGCGCGGGAUGUCGUGCUGGCGAAAGCUUGCAAAGGUAGUGGGGUGCUGGAUGAGGCGCAUGAGGCGCAGUGGUGCAUUGGCUGCGGUGCUGGAAUGGACAGGAGGCAGCGAGGGCAAUGACAUGAGAUGAGCGGUUGUAUACAAUGAAGGUGUGCAGAAGUCGCAACGUUGGCAAUGUGCAACAUCAAUGUGUUUGUCGUGGUAUCAUAAGCAGAACUGCGCCAGACUGUGAGCACUGAGACUAGGAAAUGUCAAGCAGCCGCACAGAAGAUACAUCUACGCAACAGCCACAGCUUCUCAAUAGCGCAUUUGCGCGCACUACCAAGCAGUUCAGAGAUGCCUCCGUGCACGCAUGUUGCGCAUCAAAGCCAGGAAUGCAGGUUGGUUCUAAGCAGGGGUGGAGGCGUAAUCAGUCGUGGAGGAGUAAGCAGCAUUACGGCAGCUGCGCCUGCACGGUGGCGCCCGCGAUAGUCCAACGGCUGAUCCGGGCAUGCUGCGGCUCAUAGGGAGCGGGCUGUGCUGCCCAAGCGAGUACGGCGUCCAGCUGCGCUCCGUAGACGACGCGCGCCACAUCAGGCGGCAUGGUCACCUUCAAGGUGCGGGGAGAUGCGAGAGGCACGCAUGGUCAGGUGGAGCGCAAGUGGAGUGGCGGGUGGUGGAUGGCAUGAGCGGAGUCCAGGGAACGCACCAGGGUGCCAUCGUAUGCAGCCAGCGCGGCCGACAGCAAGUAGCCGAUGAGGUUGUUGUUGCUGCAGGCAGACAGGUUUGGAUAAAGCGCAGUGUGGUGAGCAAAGUGGUUGGGUGAUGCGGGGCCGAGGUUGGCAGGUACGUAGCCCAACCCAUAUAGGAGAACGGCUUACGCACUUACUCAAGCACGACUGGCAUGAAGGCGCCAUACACAGGCGCGUGGCUGGUGAAGGCGGCCUGGUCGAUGUUGGAGUUGAGCGUGAGCAUGUUUUGGUCAUGCACCAGAAGCUCGACUAGGAUGUGGAUCAGGAGGGGAGUGUCGGGCGUGACGCCCAUGAUGCCGGUCUCCAUUGUCGCGGUUAUCUCCUCGCCGCGGUUUUGCGCGGCCAUCAGGAACAGAGCACGGCGGCCAGCAGUGGGCUCGCGCAGCUUGUUCAGGAUGGCGCGACGCGAGGUGGGUGUGCGGAGCGAGAGGACGAUCUGAGGCACGGACAAGUGGGGAAGGGCGAGUGGAGAAGCGGGGUGGCAGUGGUAUGUACGGACACCGUGCAAAGCGAGGGAGGCUGGGGAGUGUAGAUACAAUGGUAUGGAGGUGGAGUACGACUAACAGGUUGUUGCAGAGCAGAGCUGCGUAGGCUCACCUGGACCGUGACAGAGGGGCGGCGUACCAGGGCGUUGAGCAGGCCUGCGUAGAAGAUUGGGACGCCUUCGAGCUGUAAGUCACCAUCGUCAUCUCCUGCUGGCGGCUGCAGCAUAGCGCCAGCGAUGGCGGCGGGCGCAGCGUCAGCGGCAGCGGCGGCACCAGCAGUGGCACCGGCGGCACCAGCGUCCUCAGCAAUCGCAGGCAGCGCAGGGUCAGCGGCGGCAGGAGGAAGAUGUGGAGGGAUGACGAUGAGGUUCUCGUUGAACACGGCAUGGAGGGGUGUCAGGAAGUUGAUGGGCACACGAAGCGAGGGCACCUGCAGAGGCGUAUGUGGAAGGCGCGGAAAUGGAUACUUGUCAAUACACGCUGAGGACCCUAAGUGCCGUAUGCAGGCGGAGUGCGUGACACAAGCAGUGGCAGGUGCAAGGUAGGUGCUGUGGUACUUGGUGCCCACCAAUAGCCUGCGGGCAGCGCUUACCAUGUUGGGAGGUGCAGUGAGUACCACCACCGAACGAGGUGAGGUCGCCAGAUUUGCGCCGACUCCCGGGGUUGAACUGUUGGUUGACUCCACCAUGGAGGUUUGUAAUCGUGAUGUGGUGAGGCACGUGGUAGCGGUGCGAGUUGUCUGCUGUGGGCAAGGCAGGUAACCGGCAGUGAGGUGGCUAAGUUGGUAUGGGAUAAUGAAUCGGGCAGGAGGGAGGGCUGGAUAAGAGGUACGUGCAUGGUAGGCGUGCCAGGUCUGCAGGACGAUAGGCAUUAAAGGCCCUGGAGGUGCAGCUGCGGGCCCGAGCACUUACCCAUCACGACGCUGAUGACGUUGAGCACAACGUUGCACCUGUCGCUCACAGCGCGGAUGGUGCCGUCAUCACCUAAGAUAUGGACUCGGUCAGACUGGACGCCCACGGCGUGAAUUGCAGGGUGCGCGGCGUUGGCGGCGCCGGCCAGCACGGUGACCACCCAUCCUGAAAGGCUGUGCUCGCCGGCAGUGCUGGGCAGGUGGGCGUGGGUGACACGGGUAGAGCGCUGAGAUGUGGACUGCAUGCGCUUCUCGAGCGCAGCUGCAAGCGACAUCCCGGUGGGCUUGCUGGGUGGCGUGCUGGACGUAGGGGCCGCAGGCGUGGCGGAGCCUGUAUGCAGGGACGAACGCAGCAGAAGUCGGAAUGGAUAUCGGCAAGAGGACGUGCUGCAGCGCGGCUGUCAGAGCUGUUGUGAAACAGUAUAUACCUCCAGCACCCGUACGGCGAGGCGCUGCCAGAGGGCGAGCAUUUAGCGUUUGCUGUGCGAGGGUUGAAGUGGCACCGGGACAUUGUGAAGUGCCUGGUAUGGCAGGACUUCAAGGGCAAGUCCUGAGACCUCUAGCAGGAGGAGCGGGUGGGUAGUAGUGGUUCGUGUAGAGGCGUGUUGGGCUGUGUAGGUGAGAGCUCAUGGGAGUACACAACGCAGAUAGAGCAAGAACAGCGGGAGUUUCUUAGGCAGCGCCAACAGGUGCGAACGCUGCUGGGGAGUUGGUGUGUUGCAGUGGGAGUUGGGCCAUGCACGUGAGACAGCGAGUGGCUGUACAGGUGUUCGCAUUUGCAGGUUAAAAGAACCGUGCCAUUCGUGUCAAGCAAGUGCAUGGAGUGGGUGGGUGAUGAACUGGAUUGUGGGGUAGAGCUGUGGGCGGGGGCAUGCGUUGGGGAAUCGGUUUUUCUGUGAGGGCGUGUGGGUGCGCUAAGGGCAAGGUAACAAGACAGCGUGGCUGUAGUCAGUUAGCAGUGUAGGGUUGCGGUUGGGGCCGGGCUGCAGCGGAAGUAGAAGUAGGGAUAGCUGCUUAUUGUGGCAAAGAUGCGCGGGAUGUCGUGCUGGCGAAAGCUUGCAAAGGUAGUGGGGUGCUGGAUGAGGCGCAUGAGGCGCAGUGGUGCAUUGGCUGCGGUGCUGGAAUGGACAGGAGGCAGCGAGGGCAAUGACAUGAGAUGAGCGGUUGUAUACAAUGAAGGUGUGCANNNNNNNNNNNNNNNNNNNNNNNNNNNNNNNNNNNNNNNNNNNNNNNNNNNNNNNNNNNNNNNNNNNNNNNNNNNNNNNNNNNNNNNNNNNNNNNNNNNNCUGUCCGGUCAGCCAACUAGGCAAACACUCAGGGAAGAGCGUAGCGUAGCAAGAGGGGAAAGCGUGUGCUGUACCCCAUGCAGGACCGGCAGAGUCCGCCCUAGUCUUAAGGUUGCAACCAGACCGAUACUGAUAACUGUUAACAGGUAGCAGUCGGAUACAACCAGGAUACAGGACAAGGAUACAGGACACGGCCGGAUAUAAGGGCCUCGCAUGUAACAGGAUACAGGAAUACCAGGCACGCUAGCAGGGCAGGCAAGAGUCCAUAUUACAACAGGUUAUGAGCCCCGCGCUCGUCGCUGACGCAGAAACCUCGAGCUGCUAGCGUAGGAUACAGGGCCUGAGUUACGGAAAGGAUAAAGGAUAACGAAUAAAGGGUACAUACAGGAUAUAGGAAGUAACCAGCCGUCGAAGUCAGAAGUCGGCGGCGAUGCCCGCGAUUAUUGGGCCAUGUCAUGGCUGGCCGGAUUUCAUGGUUGGGAUGGGAUGUGAGCAGAAGAGAGAGAGUGAGCGGUUUGGGAGUUUUGGAGCUGCGCUGUGCGGCGGAGCCACGACAGCCUUGACGGAGCCACGACAGCAGGAACGCCCAGAGUGGUGCCGACGCAAAGCAGACCGGCGGACCAGCGGGAUAUACCUCCAGCACCCGUACGGCCUGGGGCCAUGCUACGACUGUGGCGGGCCUCACAACGCGCGGUUUGGCAGGUUGUAUGGCCUUCACACGGAGGAGUACUGCGUGAAACGGCGCAUGUUGGACAGCCUGAUCAAGUGCGUGCCGUGGGGACCGAACCGGCGGGUGACACCUCGGCGACCCAAGGCGGCAGCAGCAGCAACAGCAGCAGCGCCAACAACGGCAGCAUCAGUCGCGUGUCAGACGGAGGACGAGGAGCGUGAGGAGGUGGUGUGCACUUUUUGGCUGCCACUGGCUAGCGGCACAGGGGAGAGCAACACUUCGGGUGGGGCUCAGCCAGCGGCGAGCAAAGAUGAGGGGGCGAGCAACAGCUCAGUGGGGAUUGAGCCAAUCAGCGAGCCACUGCGUGUGUCUUGGCACGCGCACAAUCCGCUGUACGGUGAUGCGAUCACGGGGUGUGCGGAGAGUUCGAUGUCGGAUGGGGCACAGCGGGAGUGCGCCAGCACGGUUUUGGAGGAGCCGUGGGAGCGGUCAUCGAGUGAGGAGGCUUCAUGUGCGUGGGAGCACCCGCAAGGAUGGGAGGUGCUGGAGCUCCGAACUCCUUUUGGCAUCUUCAGUCACGGCGGGGAAGAGGAGGCGGUACGUGCACAGGCGGCUGGCGCGUGCGAGGAUUCGAGUGAGCAGGAGAAAGGAGACCCGGGGUAGGGUUUGGCGGCCUUGACGUGGGAUGGGGUUUUGACGUUGUACACGUCAAGCCCGCCACCACACGUUAGAUAGCCGUGGGAGCAAAUGCAGGAUGCAACAUGCAUACCAUGAUGCAGGACAGGAACUUUCCCGUGGACGCAUGGGAACGUUUGUGGACAGCACGGAUUAGAUGCAAGCGCUUGUGGAAUGGUGCCGCGCCAUGAUGGGCGUGCGGUAAAGCAAGGAGACAGGAGGAUUGACGUGCAAUUGACAUAAAGUGAGACGAGACAGAGGCAAGACCCAGUUCCAUGACUGCGUGAUAUGAUAUGCUGUGCGGCAACGGUGCGCUAAAUCAACUCAGGUGUCGGUGAGAUGCAAGCCGAAGACCGUGGGAGCGUGCUGGAGCUGUUUUAGCAUGUACGAAUGCGUGAUCUGAACAGAUUUGGAUAGGAUGCGUGCAAGUGCAGCGUGCGAGAGCGUACUGACUUUGACUCUCGGUUUGUGCAGUGUAUUGUGAACGUGCGAAUAAGCAGUGCAGGUUGUGUAUGCGUUUACCAGUUGCGGAUAGUGCGGAAGUACGAAGCAGCGGUAGUGGAGCUGUGAAGUUGAUUUACACGCAAUAGGGAUAGCGGUGUUUGCUAGUUGUCUGCCCGCGUGGGAGUGUUGUGAAACGGCUGUCCGGUCAGCCAACUAGGCAAACACUCAGGGAAGAGCGUAGCGUAGCAAGAGGGGAAAGCGUGUGCUGUACCCCAUGCAGGACCGGCAGAGUCCGCCCUAGUCUUAAGGUUGCAACCAGACCGAUACUGAUAACUGUUAACAGGUAGCAGUCGGAUACAACCAGGAUACAGGACAAGGAUACAGGACACGGCCGGAUAUAAGGGCCUCGCAUGUAACAGGAUACAGGAAUACCAGGCACGCUAGCAGGGCAGGCAAGAGUCCAUAUUACAACAGGUUAUGAGCCCCGCUAACGCGGCCCUGCGCGAGAGGUCUCGAGUUCGAUUCCCCAUUACUGCGCCGGAUCUGAGUGCGGCGGCAGGGGGAGAUUUAGCACUAUAGAGGGCUAAGCUGCGCGGAGGUCGCGGGUUCGAGCCUACACGAGUGAAGUGAGGUCGAUUCCGGCAAGAGUGGCGCGGAAACCAGAGAGGUACCCGGACAAAGCGAGCUAGCUAUAGAGUGCUGCUCGAGGGGGAGUGUUGAGGAGCGAUCAGCACUCAUAUACCCCGAGAACUACAGAGGAAGUAAUGCACCCCAGACGUGAUGGGGUGGGCGCUUUUCCUCUAGACGUCAACAAGAGCAACACACACACACACACACACACACACACACACACAAGGAAAGCACGCGGCUGUGUGAUGUCUUGCUCCUGGCAGCUAUAGGAACGACUCACUGCCAGGCUUGCCGCGUCCCGUCAUGGUGAUGAUGUUGGUGUACGCAGCGUAGGUGGGCUCGACGAACGCGGUGCUGUGGAGGUGGGCGUGAAGCAUGGGCAGGGACGCGCAGGGAGGCUAGGUUGGUUGGCGUGCGACAGGAGCAUAGGAGUAGCAGCAGCGAGGGCACAGUAGGAUAACCGGAGGUGCAAGACAAGCACGGAAACACAGACGUGUGGGCUUGAUGGGCGGGCGUGUUUAGGUCAGGGCAACUCGCCUGUCAUUGAUGCUGGUGGGGACGGUGGCGUUGAUGCAGUCAGGUGAAGUGCACCUGCGUGCAGGCGCGGCGACAUCGUGGACGGAAUCCAAGGGCCAGCGCUGAAAGCAUGGGGGGUAUGACAGGGGCAGCGAGCUGGCGCAGUGUGCAUACCUGUUCGUGGAAAUGAUGUAGUAGGCGGGAGUGGGUGCCAGCGCGGACCUUGCACGGAGGAAGGGGAGGGUGGAGUAUUUGGUGCUAACACGAGCUGGGGGUGCCAGCGUGGUAGCGUAUGAGAGGUUGGCAUGCUUGAUGCGGUUGCGUGUGGAUCGGGAGCUAACACGCACAACUGCACACUGGCUCACCACGUGUGGGCGGUGAAGCUGGGGUGGGUGGAUGCAGUGGCCGCCCAGCUGCGUCGGAGUGGAGUGGGUGUGGGUGCGCAGGUGAAUGCAUGAGGGGAAGCGCGGUAAGGGCGGCGACAUCUGUGACGUACGGGCUGGGCAUGUUGGUGGCCACUGGGGAACUUACACGCUGUGAACGGGGGUGGGCGUGGGCGCCGAUGUGCCCGGGGUGCUGUUGGGGUGCGGAGCGUGAUAGGUGAGAGGUGAACAGGCAGCAGCGUUGUGCUCAAGUCGUGUACAGGGGUGCUCGCGUAUUGCCGGCGAGACGACCUGAGACCAUGAAGCGGUGCGUACCUGAUAGCAGGUUGGGCGUAGUGGACCAGCGCAGCCGGCGGGCAGGACCUGCAAGCGGCAACAGAGGAAACGUAAGCACCGUGAUGCUGCAAACAGCGGCGGGUUGCGCGACAGUGGCGGUAGGCGCUCACCCGUCAGCGUGGGUGUUGCGCGUGCUCACGAGAGCGGCAAGCGCCGCUAGCAGCAGCAGGAACAGCUGCAUGUUUGCAGGCGCCGGGGGUGUGGGUGUGCGGAGCAGUACCAGAAGUGGGGGUGUUGGAGUGCAGGGCGCGUGAGAAUGGGCUGCACGAGCGCGUGCUGGGCGCGGAAAAGAUGUAUGCCUAAGCGUUGCAGCGGCGCCAGUGUGCAAGCGCGCGAAUGGGAGCGGCCGAAAGCGGCGAGACAAGGUCCAGGUCCUUGUUGCGCAUUGGACGGUGGCUUCGCCAUGCACGUGCAGGGCAGGAAGGGGCGCAGGCGAGCAGGUAUUCCACGUAGCAAGUUGUGCAAUGAAACUGUAAAUAGCCGUGGAAGCGGACAUGCGGGAUAAGAUGGGUCUCGCGUGUGUAGCUUGAAUUUGGCCAGGCUAUUAUGCGCUCAUGCAUAUUCACGUAUGCAUGUAGGGUGGACAGCACAAGGCGCUAGAACGAGCCGCACGGCACGGUGGAUCGCGGAUUCGCGUUCGACCCAUCGGGCGCGUCACCCCGCGGGAAAUGCGAGCCGCUUGUCGAUGUAGGAAAUAUAUGCGUGGACUAUGGGAGUGCUAGGGCACACGCACGGUAGCAUAACGUGAAGCUUAGCAAUGUCGCUUCGAGGCAACUACGAGGAACUGCGACGUGCAGCGCGCUUGGAGGCACGCAAGCGUGCGCAAUCAUGGCGAUGGUAAGCAUGGCAUGCCGUGCAGCGGAGGUUUUGGGCGCCGAGCAGAAUUGUGCUUUCAAUUUAUCCGCGUGUGGCUGUUGCGCAGGGCGCGGCCUGUCAGGCUGCGCGAUGCUGUCGUCAUCGUCGCGCUUAGCGUACUCAUGGCAGCGGCAGCCGCGGCGGCUGUGCUGUUGGCGAGCGGCUGGAUGGGCGCCGGGCAGGCUCAGUGGCGUGCUUUGCGCUUGGACGGUCUGCCGGUCUCGGGCGGCGAAGCGAGUGGAGAGCUUCGGUGGUCUCAUGGCCUCCGAGGGUGGCGCCAUUUCUUCGCGGUGGAACGGUGUGGUCAUUUGGCGUACAUGACUUGGCAGCAUGGUGAGCGCAGGGUGGGCGGCAGCAGGGUGGGUGGGCGCCAGGUGUGUUGUUGUGGUGGACUAGCAUCGCCGGCGGCAUGGGUAGUUGGGUGCUCAAAGCGGGUGAGACAGUUACGUGCGGGGCGCCAGUAGUGGCGUUCACAGGGAGCUGUGGUUGCCAGAGGGAGUGAUGCGGAUGCAUGCCAACUGCGUGUACAUGCAGGUGCGCGGAAGGACACCUGGCAGGAGCGAGGGGCAUUUGGAGCGCAGGCGCUGCUGGUGCUGCAGGCGGCCCCUCUGCUGCUGCUGGGGAGCUUGUGCGCAUUGUUAGGCGGUGCGGCAGCACGCGUGGCGACGGUGCUGCUGCUGCUGCUGCGCACGGCAGCAACGCGCAGCGGAUUGAGCAGCGCAGCUGCUUGGGCAUGGGCGGGAUGGGGUUUGAUGACGGCGGGGCAUCGGCAGCCGCUGUGGCGGGCGCUGGCGUCGCUGUGGCAGCAGUGGAGGCGCUGGCACAUGCUUGCAGGACGGGACAGUGGUGGGCGCAUUUCCAUUCGCGUGUACAGCCAGCGCGUGUGGUGGGCAGCCCUGGGUAAUGUGCAGCGCACCGCGCCGGCCCUGGCGUGGGAUGCACUCGUACUGGGUUUGGGUGCCGGCGCGGCGGUCGCCGGCGCCGUGGCAUGGGCUGGAGCGCGUGUAGAGCUGGAGCUACCCUGGCACCUGGCCUGGGUCCGGAUGGUUGCAGGCGAGCUGCUGCAGCCUAGCGUGCACGCGCUGCUGAGUGCACAUGCGAGCAGCCUCUUCAACGACACCCGUGCAUGGCCCAGCUCAGGUGCCAACGCAGCAGCAGUGGUGUGGCACGUGGGGAUGUGCCCUGCUGUGUUUCAGGCAGUGGUGGGUAUGCUAUGGUGUCGGUGGCGGCGGUCUGUGCGCACACUGAGCGGCAAGACAGGCGUUGUCAGCGUGCUGCCAUGCGACCCAGCGGCUGUGCUGCUGCUAUCGACUGCGGCAAACGAAGGUGUGCCGCCGGUUCUCCUGCGACUGCUGUGGCGUAGCCGGCGCGUGCGCUUGCAUCGCAGUUUCGCGGCGCAGGGCAUUUUGCCAGGCAGCACAGUGUUUGUGACCAGCGUGCUGUACGGCGGCAUCGGGUUCACAGAGGCGGAAGUGCGGCGCGUGUGCGACGCUGUGGAGAAGCUCGCGCGCAGGGACGCGGGUGCAUGCGCGCGCAUGGAAGCUGGGCAGUGGGAGCCGCUUGUGCAGAUGCUUGCACAUCAGAGUACUGCUUCGCCAGCAGUAGUGGAGGCCGUACUCCGCGAGCGCGCAGCGACAAUUCGAGCGGCGGUGGCGGUGGCAGGUAUCACGCAUCGCAUGUUCGCUGCACGCACUGCAAAGCAGCAGGCUGCGCGAGCAGCGGCGGCCGGGUCGGCAGCAGCUGGCGGCGUACAGGCGAGUGUGGGUGGAGGGCCAGGCACCUCAGCUGUAGGAGCGUCGCCUGCUGCCAGGACCGGGCCUGGCUCAGCAGGUGCAGCGGUGAGCGACUAUUCGGGUGCAGCUGGGGCGCCUUCAGCAGCCCCACAGGAGCAGGCUGCGCGAGCAGCGGCGGCCGGGUCGGUAGCAGCUGGCGGCGUACAGGCAAGUGCGGGUGGGGCGCCAGGCACCUCAGCUGUAGGAGCGUCGUCUGCUGCCAGGACCGGGCCUGGCUCAGCAGGUGCAGCGGUGAGCCGCUAUUCGGGCGCAGCUGGGGCACCUUCAGCAGCCCAGCACAAAGUGACAGCAGCGCCCGGGGCUAGGCUGGCCGGCGUACCGCAGCAGCCGCGCACGCUCCGGCAGCGUGCGCAGGCGGAGGCGUUCAAGUCGAUGAUGCGGCAAGGGCUGGAUGAGGGUAGCCGUGCUCAUGCCGCUGCACAGACUUGCACGUUCACUAGGCCAGAGCAGCCUGCGGCACCGGCAUCAGUGGCACGGGAGGGGCAGCCGCAGGGGCGUUAUGUCACAGAUGUCAUUGCUGGCAUCGUGGGCGUGCUGCGGCAGCACCGGGAUCUAGCCAGCAUCUUGCACCGCAAAGAGAUGAACAUGCUGCUGCCGGGUGAGUUGAAGCAGCUUGCCGAGGCGCUGCAGCAGCAGCUGCCCGAGAAGCUGCGCAGCAGCUCAGUGUAUGGGAUGCAGACGUGGCUACAUCACCACGCAGACGAGAUUGAGCUCGCGCUAGCAGGCGUGCCAAACCCCGAUGCGGUGGCAGCAGCUGCCGGUGUGGGCGGAGCAGCCAUGCCGUGGGAGGUGCAGCUGGGCUUGCAGCGUGUUGCGGAGAUGAUGGGGCUGGCCUCCGACGCGGAGAAGCAGCCGGCAGCGGAGGCAUGGCAGGAGCGGCAAUGGCACACGCUAACAGAUUGCAUCAGUGCUACGCGCGCUGCAGCCAGGGUCGCAGGAGACACCGCCGGGGCUGCAGGAGUGGGCGUAGGCACAGGCGGCGCGCAGACCGCCGCUGGUGGCGUGCCUGACAUCGCAACGUCACGCUUGUGUGACGAUGCCGCUGCAGCACAGGCGAUGCGCCAGCAGAUGGCCGCGGAGUUGCCAACGCAGCCGUGCAGCGUAUGCGGUCGCCGCCGGCGUCAGCGCGAUGUCCAUUGGCAUCGUGUGUCGGGAUUGCGGGAGUGGCUUGACGAACAGCUCAGCGCAAUGCUGCCGGGCACAGCAGAGGCGCCACGGGAUGGCAACACGCUGUGGGCUCCGCCGACGUCGGCCGAAGCUACGGCGUUGCUGGCGGGUGCCACGGGCGCUGCGUCAAUGUCAGGUGAGUGCCGAGACGAGUACGGCUGGGGCGCACUCGGACGCAGUGCAGUGAUGGUGGGAAUGGGAAUACAAGCGGGAACGCACCGGCGCGUGGUGGCCAGCAGGUGCCUGGCGUUGUGUACGUGUACCGUGACGCGCACCAAAUCACACUGACGUGCAUGUAAUUGAUGGUUUGCCCGGCCUACAGACAUUACGGAGCGCGUGAUGCGCGAGGGCGCAGCCUCAGGGCGCGCGGUGUAUCGGCUGCAGGCGCAUCCUGCGGCGGGCACAGUCCAGCUGGCCGCAGAUGGCGAUCACCAGCUGCGUGUGUGUGUCGAUUGUAUGCGAGCGCACCAGCAUGGGCACCUGCCCUCACUAUCGUACGCGUGCGUUGACAAUGGGUUGCGGCCGAGCCACCUACCGCAGCUCACGGUGAUGGAGGAGCGGCUGGUGGCAGUGUGGCGGCCGCUCCGUAACCUGAUGGUGUGCAGGCCGCCAGCCGCGGGCGGCGGACCGGGGCAUUGGGAGAUGCGCGCGCACGUGAUUGCGUUCAAGGCGCCGGAGCCGCAGCAGCUGGCAGCAGUAUUCCCGUGCAGCCUGGCGCGCGUGCCUGAAUGCCGGCAUCACCGUGGUGUUUGUGAGCCCGGCACAGACGUACCAGCAGCUGGAGGCGUUGGCGCGCCGCGUGCCCGCGCUGAUGGUGCGGGGGAAAGUCGUGGCGGCCUGGGCGCGGCACUUGGCAGCUCGCUCUGUAUCCCAGCGCGCGCCUGGACGAGGCGGCCGUGCAGGAGUGGGAGCGGCAGCCGCUUAGUUACAGCGGUAGCGGAUGCGCUCGCGCGGCGCGCUGUCUGCACGCAAACCCAAGGCGAGGCAUCAGCGCUGCUGCGGACUCUGCGGGCGGAACAGGAGGGGUAUGCGCGCGCGCGGUACGGUACUGCAGAGGAAGCUGCAGCUAGAGGGGCGAGUACAGGAAUGGCGGCGGGCGUCAACAGCGACAGCAGCAGCGGCUCGGACAGCGAGGCCGUCAUUGUGCAGCAGUCGCUUGCACGGCCGAGCCGGAAGCGGCCCAGGUUGCUGUCUGCUGCGCACAUGCAGCGGCUGCUGUGUGGGCUGGAUCGCGACGCGAGCGUGGCGGUGCGGCAGUUGCUUCUGGCCCACAACUUCAAGGCUGCUGCUACAAAGCUGCUUCGCCACCACGGCGGCGUGCCAACCAAGGAGGCGGUGACGCAGAUGCAGGUGCAGCUGCAAACGCAGCAUUGUAAUUACGAGCAGGUGCGCGGCAGCCUAGCAUGGCGAUGAGCGCGGUGCGGUCGAGGUGCUUGGCGGGGCGGGCGUUGGGUGUGGCAUGAGUAGGAGGUCCCCGCGGCCGGCACGGAGAAAAUUGGUUCAGGGGUGGAACGGUAUGGGCAUGGGCAGCACUAGAAUAGCAGAGGGGGCCGCAUGGGUGGAAAGGCGGCUACAAGUAGGGCGGCUUCGCCAGGCUUCAAGUAUGUGCGUGUGUGCACGUGCAGGUGUUAACGGACCACGAACGAGCGCUCACAGCUGAGGUGAGGCGGUGGCGUGCUUCUCGUCAAGCAACACUGCAUCGAGCGGAUUUGCAUGGCAGUGGGUUGCUAGGCACAUGAAAUGUAUACGGCUGGAUUGUGCGGGUUGGGUGGCGUCGCUGUGGCGCCAGGCGUUCAGUGCUGACAUGAGGCCCUGUGUAUACGCGUGGUGGAUGCUGUGCGUGCAGGCGAAUGCGAGUGGCAGCACGCGCCCGCUGUCACGCCCGCCAGCGGGCGCACCGCUGCCGCCAGGCAGCUUGUUCGUGGUGCACGAGCCGCAGGCACUGUCGCCGGUGCAACGGGAGCACCGUGCGCGACGGCCGCAGUCUCUUUCAGGACUGCCUGCAGAAGCCGCACAGCGUGCAGGCGCAGCAGCACUAGCAGCGGCGGCGGCAGGGGCGGAGGUGGCGGCAGCAUUCAGCAACUGCGGCCAGAACGUGACACAUAUGCAGGGCAUAGACGACGUUGACUUGUCGCCAACGCCAGCAGAUUCGCCGGCGUUGCGCGCGGUGUUUCAGGACGCCUGCGCCGACGAGCGUGCCCUGCAGCUGCUGCUGGACGGAUGGCCACUCGCGUCAUGCACGGAGCAGGCCCCGCAGUCAGACUAUCAGCCGGAGUGGCCGCUGCGCGUGCACGUGAAUCGGUUUCCUAACGGCACGGGCGCAUGCCCGACCGGCAUGCAGAUGCUCAGCUGGAUCCAGCUGCAGCUGCAGCGAUGGUACCCACCAGCGCCGGACGGCACCGAAGACUGCAGCGCCCAGGCACCACACUUCAUUCUGGACAUGUUUGACGCGUGGCAGCGGCACACAGUCAACCAGCAGGUGGCGGUGCGCUUCAAGCUGGACCCGCAGCUCAUCAUGAGCCUCGGCGACAUGGGGCCGGACACGCUGGUGGAGGCAGCCGACGUGCUUGCAGCAGGCCUAUCACGGACGGAGCAGGCCCAGCGGCUGCACGGAUCACCACCGGAAGUGGAGCAGCUCGUGCGUGGAGCGCGCAUCACGGGCGCCCAUGUGGUGGGCUCGCCUGGCUCCUAUGCAGCACUGCGCAGCCGCGCGUACGGGCUGUGGGCUGCGUACGGCCCACCCAGCGCCAGUGUGACGCUCAACCCCGCAUCGGUGCACUCAGAUGCCACGUUCACGCUGAUGGGGCGUCCGUACACCUUCGACGUGCGGACAGGCGCGCCGCAGCAUCGGCCCAUGGCCGCGGAGCGGUGGGACCUGGUGGCGGGGCACCCGCUCGCGUGUGCCGAGUCCUUUGAGGCGUUCAUGGACGCGUUCUGCGACGUGUUCCUCGGGUGGCCAGCAGGAUCAGAUGUGCAGCAACGUAGUAACUGCCUGUUCGGGCGCGUUGACGCCUUCUUCUUCAAGUUCGAAAUGAAUCAGCGUGGAGAGCUGCACGUGCAUGGCUGUAUCUGGCAGCCAGGGCUGCAGCCAGCACGCCUGCGAAAGGCGCUAGCGGAUCCGCGGAGUUGUCCCGACGUGCUGCUGGACUUCCUGGAGUCCGUGCAGACGCAGUGGUUCGCCUCGCCGCUGCUGUUCAGCGGCGGCGAGCGACCGGUCCACGCUCAGAAGCUCAGCACCGAGCAGCUGCAGGAGGUGGCUGAGGCGGCUGGCAGCGAGCGCUUGACGGAGCUGCAGCGGGACGUUCUCAGGGAGGUGCUGGUGGAGGUGAAGGCCAGGGGGGCUAUGGAAGACGCAGCCGUGUCUUGUCGGCCGCCUCUACAAUGCAGCAGCUUGACUGAGGCGGAGCGGCUUGGGUUAUUUGCUGCGCAUGCGGUCCUGGAGACGCUGCUGCACGCCCAUCGCGACGGCACGUGCACCACGUCACACAGCAAGCAUGCCACGGACAGCAACUGCCGCAUGCGGCUGCCUCGGAUGCUGCACUGGCUCACCACGUACCUGCACGAGCAGUCGGUGUGCGUGCAUCUCAAGCGGUAUGGCCGCUACAUGGUCUCGCAUAUGGUGGACCUGCUGCUGGCGGUGCCUUGCAAUCACACCGUCACGUUUGCGUGUGAUGUGGGGCGCUGGCUGCGCACGCGCGAGCUAUGGGAUCAGCGGCACGAGGGCAUUCCGCGCACGGACCCUGUGUGGGAGCGACGGCCGCAGCUGCCCAGCCUUGAGCAGCUGGCCGCGGACGCAGCGGACUAUGCCCUGAAGUAUGCCACCAAGUCUGAAGCAGUGCAGGGCAGCAGGGCCCUUAUAGCUGCAGCCACUAUGCUGCGGCGGCGCAUGCACCUCAUGACCCCAGAGCAGCAGGCCGGGAUUGAGAGCGAGCACCUGUCGAUCCAGGACGUGCUGGAUCAGCUACGGCAUCCCUUCGCUGCCUUUGCGGACGCCAGCGCCUCUGCCUGGGCGCCCCGGCCUCCUACUGCAGGUGUGUCAGCUGCAGGCGAGAGCAGCACGCCGGCACAGGCGCAGUUGACGGCGGAGGUGACGGCACGCGCACAGCAGUCCGCGACUGUGGCCGCGCUGCGCACUGCGCGGCCUGUCGGCGCGGCUGCGGUGCAACGGGAGGGGAUGUUCAACCUUGCGCACGCCAUCAACCUGCUGUUAACAGCCCAGCAGACGUUCUCCGCUCCAGCAGCGGCGCUGCUGCUGAUGCGGGGCACCGACGCGCACGAAAGCCACCAGUUCAGGGCCAUCGAUUACAGGAUGUUCUCGCAGCAUGUGCAGUCACAGCUGAAGCGCGCGGACCCGGAGCUCAGGCCCAGAGACGCCGAGCUGCGGCUUGUGCGUACAAUGGGCAGCGUUGGAGCGGGCGGGAGUGCCAGAGGGGAAGGUCAGGUUCCGGCCGCCAGCACAAUCGCUAGCGAUGUCCCAGGUUCCGGGCCCAGCGGAAGCGUGCAGCAGCUAGAGCAGCUCGCCGUUGCACCUGCUCGUUACCGGUCAUCAAGCUACCUGAAAGACUACCUGUACCGCGGCGAGGCGCUGCGCGAGCUGUCUCCUAUGAUGAUGGCCAUGUUGUUUUAUAAGGUACGAGGUUGUGUGCGCGGCAGGUUGCACGCCUGGAGUUAUGGGGUGCAGGGGUGUUCAGUCCGUAGGCUCGCAUGUGUUGUAACGUCUUCCAGCAGCACUUCGGCAGGACCCAGCAGCAAAGAAGUGUAUGUGUGCCCACCACCCCGCAGCACUCGGCCGGGCCAGAUGGAGCGCAAGGGCACCAUCUGCGCCUGCAUCCCGCGCACCCAGAAUACAGUAAAUGCGUGUGGCGGCGCAGGCUGCGGCCGUACGUGCCGCAGCCGGUGUGUGACCCCGUUGUGCGGCCUGCGGACGGCGUGGACGAUCCGCAGGUACUGUAGCGCUAUGCAGUGUUUGCGCUCGCGAACUUCGCCGCCUACAGCUGUGACGACAGGCUCGAUCUCAGCAAUGGCGCAUGGGCAGCUUAUCAGCGGUGCUUUGCACAGCCGGCGCACGGCCAGUCGCUGCAUGUGCGCAUCGCGUGCCGUAUGCUCGAUCACGUGGAUGGGCUUGCGCGCGUGCGAAUGCGGGCGGAGGAGCGGCGGCAGCUGCAGGCGGAGGCGGAGGGCACCGCUGAGGAUCGGAUGCGGCGGAGGAGGCACUGUUGGAGGGCGUGCCGGUGGAGGGCAUGGACGACCUGGAGGCAGAGCCGCAGGAUGAUGAGGAACCCGAUGUUAGGCGCAGCGCAGCGCCCGCAGCGGAGCUCUGGCAGGGUUGUGCGCUAUCGGAAACGGAACGGGCAGGGCUGCUGCAGCGCGUUGUGCACAGCGGCCUGGGUGGCAGUCUGACUACAGAGGCGACCACCGUGGUUGCCCAGAUCCCGCGCGCCAAUGCAUGGCCAGCGGUUGGGCGUACAGCGGCGGCGGCAGUAGUGCGCAGCACGCAGGAGUGGACGCACGAGCGGCUGGCUGCAGCACAGCAACGCAUGCAUGAUUACGACCUAGGCGGGCAGUACGCCGCACAGGCGCUCGCGCAGGCGCAGGGAGCAGUGCAGCAGCAGCUGCUGCUUUACAACAGCGGCACUGCGGCAGUGACAGCGAAGCUGGUGCUCAUCUCGCCAUUGGCGGUUACCACAGCCGCCCCAGAGGUGCAGGCCGUCUGGCCUGACGCAGCGAACCCUGGUGCAGAGCCGCCGUACGUGCUUUGCCCAGAGGACUCGCAGCCGACGCCUGAAGACACAGCGCGGUUAUGGAACCUCAGCGACGACCAGCAGCAGGCGUUCAUGCUGUACGCGCAGCUCCUGCUAGCAGAGGCCGCCGGCGUCCGUCAGCCCCCCGUGUGCUCGGUGCUCACGGGCAAAGCCGGCAGCGGCAAGUCGCGGGUGCUGCAGGCAUUGCUGUGGUUUGCAUACCAGCAUCGCUGCGAGUCUCUCAUUGCCCUCGUGAGCUACACGUGGCGCGCCGCGCUGCAUGUGAGUUGUGUGUGGGGUGUGUGGUGCAAGAGAGGUUCAGUUCAGACGUGAAGUGUGGUGGUGGUGGACUGGUCCUGGUAGUCCUGCUCGUGCGUGCCGGGGAAUUUAGCAGCCAGCGAGCCUUACAUGAUCGUGCUGUUGGCUUCGGCCGCUGCCAUCAUGGUCCAUUUACAGGACUCUACGCCAGGCGUGCUCGGCACCAGCACCACGUCCUUCUUUGCAACUGCUGGCACCUUUGGUCCGCCUCACCGCGAUCGAGUGGAGCGCAACCUCAAUGGUGUGCGCUUCAUUUUCCUAGAUGAGUUUAGCACGUGUGGGCUAUCCCACUGGGCGCGCAUUUGUAUGCAUGUGCACGCGGCACGGAGGCACGUGGGUAUAGACAGCACGCACUUAUAUCACGGGCCGCUGUCAGAUUUGCAUGGCCUGCUUGUUGGCGACUUGCGUCAGUUGCCACAGCCACGGCACGUGCCGCUAUAUAGCGGUGCUGCCGAGGAGAGCUUGCGGCGGCUGCUGGCGCCGGGCGUGGGGGACGGUGGGGCCAUGGAGCGCCAGAUCCGGCAGCUGGAGCAUCCGGAGGGCAGCAUGAACCUCAUGGGGCGGGAGCUGUGGAAUAUGGUGCCGUUCGCGUUCGUUCUCACUCACCAGCAUCGGCAGCAAGCAGGCGUAGGUGACAGCGACGAACCUCUCUUCAUGCUAGCGGAGAAGUUUGGUGGCGUGCAGGAAAUCUCUCAGGCAGACCUGGACACAGCGUGCCAGCAGCUCAAUGCUCGUGUUUGGCAGCCCCCGAAGCCAGGGAUUGACCCCGGGCCCCAGCCCUUUGCAGUUGUCCAGCGCCAUGUCGUGCGGGUUCCACUGGCAUUGCAGCUCGUGCAGCUGCAUGCGCUCGCGCAGCGUCAGCAGCUGCUGCUGUGGCGUAGCGCGGACUUGUCGCCUGACGGCAGCAGCUUACCUAUUUCGCAUGUGCAUCAAUUAGAGGCGCUUGGCGGGGCCAAGGAUGAUAGCGGUGUGCCCGCUGUGUGCGCAUUCUUUGCUGGUAUUCGUUACGUAUUUACAUCAAAUGAGCAUGUGCGUCUGUAUCACAUCAACAACAACAGUGCCACAGGCACCGGCAUUGUUCUGCAUCCCAACGAGCCACCAUUGCCAGAUGCAAGCAUUGCCCCCGUGCAUGUCCUCAAGUUCGUGCCCUCAGCUGUAAUGGUGCGCCCCGACGGGCCUGAUGCGGGUCGGGUGUCUGUUGAUCAGGCCCUGGAUGUCGGGGAGAUUCCUGUUUUACCGUGCAGUGCUAUGUUCACAUCGCAGCAUGCAACCCUGCGGUUGCCUGUGAUGCACUGGGGCUUUCGUGUGGAGCUUGCGUAUGCAGUCACCGAUUACUUUGCGCAGGGGCAAACUCUGCCACCGCACGAACUGUGGCUGGUGGAUAUGUGCAAACCGCAGCACGGUAGUUGGCGGCGGGCUUCCAUUUACGUAAUGCUCACCAGGUUUCGUGGGUUGCAUGCCUUGCAUUUAGUGCGCCCGCUGUGGGCCUCGCGGGCAGAAGAGUGCCGGGUUAAAAAGGCGCUGCGUACCAUGCUAAUGCCCGAGGCAGAUCUAGCUGCAGAGUGGCAGCGGCUAUUGAGGCUCUCGCAGAGCACAGCAAUAGCGGUGCCAGGUAUGAUUGAGCGCAUUCAGGCGAGCAUGGGUGUCUCAUAACCGAGGCCUUCCAUGCAUGCAUGGUUGCAACAUCUGGCAUGUGGCGCUGAACGCUGGGUUGUCCUGCGUCCCGGCCAGCACGGAUAGCGUAGUGCUUUUAACAUGCGCGAGGUGUACUGACAGAUGACCUGGAAGCGCGGAGUACCUUGUGGAUGGUGAGUGCUGAUUGCAAUUUACAGCAGUGACUUUCUUGUUGGUGUUUGGUGUGGUGACCAUCAUGCUUGGCUUCGCUGACUGGACGUAUGUCACUGAGCUGUAGAGCAACGUGUAUGUUCGGGUUUAGUUUCUACCUGUCCUGUCUCUGCGUGAAGCUGGGGUAUUGUUUAUUGACUCCUUACUGCCGUGUAGCGUUACAAACCGCCACGGCCCCAAACGACAAUCCCAAUCUCUCAAACCGACAAUAGCCUCCACUCAUGCCUCAAGCGGCCUAGCAACUCAUUCGUGGCCCUCAGCGGCCUCCUACCUCCGGCCUCGCAGCUCCCGAUAACCCCACCAAGUCCGCCGUGCCCGCCCCAGCCCGCCCGUGUUGAGGUUGCACUAGUGGCCGAAAGUGCUGCCAGUACUGGGUGUGUCGCAUGUAUGAAGUGCCUGAUAGCAGCAGAGUCCAGACAACCACGCACGCCGCAGCGCCCACGGGUGCCACCACAUUAAUCCGCGGCGGCACCAGGGGGGGCGGGUGGGUUGUCACCGUCCCGGCAGAGGGACGAUCCGAAAUACAGUACAGAAGCACAACGGCAGAUAAGGCGCCGUGUGCUCCUGACGCGUACAAGACCCAGCUCGGUUCGGCCCCAUGCACAGGCACGUACCCGAGCGUCCUGCGCCGUGCGUGACUCUAACGCAACACGGCAGUUACGUCGCAAUAACUAGACUUAUCUCCACUGCGCUGCGAUAAGUCAGCGCUUAUUGACUCCUUACUGCCGUGUAGCGUUACAAACCGCCACGGCCCCAAACGACAAUCCCAAUCUCUCAAACCGACAAUAGCCUCCACUCAUGCCUCAAGCGGCCUAGCAACUCAUUCGUGGCCCUCAGCGGCCUCCUACCUCCGGCCUCGCAGCUCCCGAUAACCCCACCAAGUCCGCCGUGCCCGCCCCAGCCCGCCCGUGUUGAGGUUGCACUAGUGGCCGAAAGUGCUGCCAGAGUUUGGUAGUAGUCCUCAACGCCGGGAGGUCAUGGUGCGGGCGACGGCAGCCCUGGUGGCUGGGCUUGAUUGGCUUCGCGUAUGCAGCUCUUCUCGCAAAGCGCUUGGCCCAACGGCCGGUCAUGCAAACCAAGGUGCGGUCGGCGGUGAUGGCGGUGGCGUUCGUGCCCUUGCGCUACCGAAAUCAUGUGUCUCGAACACCGCGGAGCGCUCCGCCCAUCGCCUAGCUUGCGCACGAACGUACGGUCCUAGUUGCACACUCAACAGCGGUCAAUAGAACGAGCUUCGUGCUUGGGGAUAUUGGCUGCACGAGCAGCACCAUCACGCGGGGAUGAGCGCCGCCGGAGGCGCCGCCGGCACCUGCUGCAGGCGCAGGGCGACGCCAACGCGGGGCCUGACAGCGCCACACUCCGUCGGUCAUGGGCGGCCAAUGGUCACUACCAGAAGACAAGCAGCAAUAGGAACACGACUGGCUUUGCAAGGGCCAUGAUACCAGACUCACAAACGUAUCAGGUGCACCAAUGGCCACGACAGAAACACACAUGCGUUAUCCCGCGUGCGCCAGCCAUGCAGACGACGCCGGGGCGUUACAGGGAAACACAUGCAUCCUUGUUCAGGUGUGUGGCUUGUGGGCAGCUGUGGCCGUCCGUGUGCCCAGGAAAGGUAACAGUGCGUGUUGGCACGUGUUGGCACGAACCACUGGAGACCUCGGUACUCUCUACCGGCCCCCAGGGCCAUGCCAUAACACGUGUUGACGUUGUAGGCUGCUCGGAACAACCUUGGGAAUAAUAACAACGUCGUGACUCGAAGCUGGGACAGGCUAGCCAACAUGCGCCACGCAGGAGAAGGCGCGAGUUGCAACACUAGAGCGGUUUUACGUACGCGAGUCACGCGCGGCAACCUGCCCUUCGUUCACCCGCGCCGUCGUGGUGUAGGAUGCGGGCAGCCAUGCCCAGCCGUGCAGCAUGGCCACGAACACUAAUUUCUUUCUUGCUAGCUAGGUGCCAUGCUUGAGAUUUGCAGUGUCUUGCAUAAGAGUCACUACCAAUCAAGCAGUAGGUACACCCAUAGAUAGCAUCACCCCGGCGGACGCAGGACAGGCGCGCACGUGAAUGUUUGCCUCCAAACGCCGCGGGGAUGCAUGCACACAAUGUCCCGUACGUGCCGAUACCGUACGCCACGGCAGCUGUGGGGUGUACCGUAAUAGCAGGGAGGGCAACAUGAAGGGUAACACCUCAGCAACCCCAGCAAGGCUGGCCUGGUCGAGCGGCGCGGAGGGGUGAAGGAUACCCGGCACGCGUGGAACGCGCAAUGUAUCUAUAGUGAUAGAAGGCGUAGUGAUGGGAGGAAAUAAGGAGCACUCGGGGCCGCGAUGGCGGGUUGGAUGCGCCACGGGCCCCGGCCCAGCCAAAGGGAGCGAACGCUGGGCGGAGCCGGUGGGUGAGCGACUCGAGGGACGUGCCAGUAGUGAACAGCAGUGGCGGAUGGGUCAUCCAAUGUGAGAGAUGAUACAGCCACGCCGGCAGCCAAACUCCGCACUCGACCACGUACGGGCACGUCGUGGUACUGCUGUGAGGAGGCCGGGCUGAGUUGGGAUGCCUGCCAAGCCUGGCUACCCACAUGUGAGCCUGUGUCGCCAUACGCUCUUAAUAGUAAUGACAUAUAGCACACUGCUCCUAGCACUUCGGUGAUAAGUAAUUGCCCCGCCGGGUGAAGUAAGGCCGGGGCUGAAAGGAACCAAGGUUGGUUCCCUAGGCGUCCACUCGCGAGUGGGCAGGCGACACAUACAGUUGGCAUUGACGUGCGUUGCGGAACUAAUGCGUACGUUGGCUUGGGUCUCUGGGUUCAUGAGGCAUUGACAGAACACGCUGCCCCUGCUAUGGCUCUGACGAAGUAACAUGUAUGCAUACAUGUCCUGAAGGAUUGGCAGGGAGCGUGCCGCACAGCACGCAAGCCGCGUGACUACGGUAAGCAUGAGGCCAUAACGUGACACAGAUGCCGUGCCAUACAGGCGGCCAACGCUACGGCACAAGCCAGCUUGACGCGUCCACAGAUACAUACAUGGCGCCUGACACCUGGAUAGGAGCUAUCAGUCUGACUGUGGGGUCGAUGCUACCCCGGCAUGGAUCUGGGUUGAACGGUUGGUGGUACCAUCGCGCGGGCAUGGCGGGUCGAGUAGCGUGUUUCAUGCACGGCACUCCCGCUAACCAGCUACACACCGCAGUGUACUGGUUAUCCAACAACUACAUUCAGACCAUUCUGGUAUCCCACUCAAACCUGCGCCAAGUGUCAGGAAAAGCGCUUGCCAAGUCGGCUACCCGCUUUCACAGGAUGGCGAGCGGGUGACUGGCAUGUGUACAGGCGGGUGGGCCAACAAGAGGGGAGGGCGGAUGGGUGCCGUGACUUGGUGGUGGGCCCCACCGCGAGCAGCAACAGCCCAGCCCAACACACGGGCGCCAUCCAAACCCACCAGGCAGGCUGUAAUCCCAGCUCCGACCGUAUCUCGCAACAAAAUGUUGGUUGCGCAGGGUCGGGCUCACUGCGUGACACAGCGUCCGAUGCCUGGUGCAGGGCACGAAGGCAUGUUUAUGCGUCAUGCGGUAUAGUUAUGCGUCAUGCGGUAUUGUUAUUGGCUGGGCAUAGCAUGCUGGCCGAACUGCACAAAACUCCACAUCGCUCACUGAGGGCGAAAUAUCCGGAAAAACAAAUUCGGCACUUGGGCCUAGUGCACACAUCGAAUGCAUAUAGGUUGGCUUGGGGUGCGUCAGCCAAACUACAAGGGUGGUGCCGCGUGAUAGUAUGAUGUGCGUGCGGACCUCAAGACGUACAGGGUGACGCAUGAUCACGUAAGCCCGCUCCGUUGUCAACACGAAGCAAUAGCGAGGCGCAGGCUUGCCGUGCACGGUACACUCAAGGCGUAUUGCGACAGGGCACGCAGCAGGGCACGCAACAAGUCGAAGCGUCCAUAACGACAGGGCAGGCAGCAUAAUUGCAUGCGGCACACAGGCCAUAUCGCAAGACACAUGAUGCGAGGCGCAAAGCCUGUUGCUGGCGGCACACACGCCGUAUCCGAACGUGGCGCUCAGACCACACAUUGUCCACAACGCAAAGGCAUGUACAACGAAGGCACGUAAGCAUUUCAAUGCCGUCUAUAAUCCACAACGCAAGAGUGUGGAGCCCGUUGCUUGCGGCACACAGGUCGUAUCAUAAGGGCACGUAUGCCAUCUAUUACCCAAAAGCAAGGGUGCGAAGCCGUUGCUUGCGGCACACAGGUCACAUCAUACGGGCACGUAUGCCGUGAAUUGUCCAUAAAACAAGGGUGCGGAGCCCGUUGCUUGCGGCGCACAGGCCGUAUCAUAAGAACACGUACGCGGCGCAUUGUCCAUGAAGCAAGGGCGCGGAGCCCGUUGCCUGCGGCACACAGGCCGUAUCAUGAGGGCACGUACGCCGUGAAGUGUCCAUGGAGCAAGGGCGCGGAGCCCGUUGCCUGCGGCGCACAGGCUGUAUCAUGAGGGCACGUACGCCGUAAAUUGUCCAUGAAGCCAGGGCGCGGAGCCCGUUGCUUGCGGCGCACAGGCCGUAUCAUAGGGGCACGUAUGCCGUCCAUUGUCCAUAAAGCAAGGGCACGGAGCCCAUUGCUUGCGGCGCACAGGCCGUAUCAUAAGGGCACGUAUGCCGUCCAUUGUCCAUAAAGCAAGGGCGCGGAGCCCGUUGCUAGCGGCGCACAGGCCGUAUCAUAGGGGCACGUAUGCCGUCCAUUGUCCAUAAAGCAAGGGCGCGGAGCCCGUUGCUUGCGGCACACAGGCCGUAUCAUAAGGGCACGUAUGCCGUCCAUUGUCCAUAAAGCAAGGGCGCGGAGCCCGUUGCUUGCGGCGCACAGGCCGUAUCAUAAGGGCACGUAUGCCGUCCAUUGUCCAUAAAGCAAGGGCGCGGAGCCCAUUGCUUGCGGCACACAGGCCGUAUCAUAAGGGCACGUAUGCCGUCCAUUGUCCAUAAGGCAAGGGCGCAAAGCCCGUUGCUUGCGGCGCACAGGCCGGAUCCCAACGGCACACACGCCCCUUCCCCAAGGGCACGCGGGCCCUGCGGCCUGGAUAGGCAGACAGGAGAAGUACCGCGCCAAAAGUCCUGAGGGUCUUGGGGAGGUGGGGGUGGCACAAUGGAAGAUGUGGAAAGGUAUUGCACAAAGCUGUGAACUGUAAAGCGACGGGUAGACACGAAGGCACGGCAAGCAGGACCGCGCAUGGCAAGCAAGUAGCCCGCCCGCACAGCUGUGCAUGCCCUUUUGCUUUCAGUGACUUGCCGAACGCCUUGUCCGCAACGCUUCGCGCGCCUUUGCUCCGCUUGAAAGCUCCGCUCUGCUCCGAUUUGCUCCCGAAUGCGGCCCCCGAACCAAAGCGUGGUUCAAAGCGCCAGAGAAGCUUCGAAGGGCAUUCCCUUACGAUCAGAGAGCGAGCGUGAUCAAGCUAAGGGGUUCCAUUGAGCAGGAUCGCGCAACAAAACGCUGCAACUCCGUCUGAGUAUAUAUUAAACGCUUAUUCGGUCCAUACAUGGUCAAGUAUAGUUAGAACCAGGUAUAGGAUUGCAAAGAAAGUCCAGAAAUGUAGGGAACGUUUAAGUGCGACACACUGAGGUCACCGUCCCGGCAGAGGGACGAUCCGAAAUACAGUACAGAAGCACAACGGCAGAUAAGGCGCCGUGUGCUCCUGACGCGUACAAGACCCAGCUCGGUUCGGCCCCAUGCACAGGCACGUACCCGAGCGUCCUGCGCCGUGCGUGACUCUAACGCAACACGGCAGUUACGUCGCAAUAACUAGACUUAUCUCCACUGCGCUGCGAUAAGUCAGCGCUUAUCUGCUUGCUUGUCGUGCCUUGGAUUGUUGCGUGUUUACAACAGGUUGAUGUGUGGCGUGGUUAAUCCCUUGCACUUUGAUGAGGUUAUUGUUAGCCAGCUGGUGUUCGCACAGGAGGUUAGUGGUCAAUGAAUAGUCGACCGACAGAUGGAUCGCGGGAUUUGUUUUUGGCAUUUAUAGUUUGGAUUCUAUGCGCAACGUUGCUUGGAAUACACGCUUAAUAUGCAUAGUUGGAAGACUUCCGGGACGCGAAUCGCUUGGAAAUGGAGGAGGGUCUCAAUAUGCUCGGCUCGCGAUGUCGCGCUCCUGAGCUUGUAUUAUGUACUGUGCGCGAUGCGUGUUCAGCAUGCAUAUUCUUACGAACAACUAGAGACUUGAGUGACGCGGUGUGAAAAUCAGUCGGAGUCUUGACAUGCUUGGCUCGCCAUUUCGCGCUCCCGAGCUCGUUGUGUGUGUUCCGAGUAAUGCACCCUCAAAAUACACGUUCAAUAUGUCCGUGGCAAUGUUGGAGCUUCAAAACCGACAAGCAUGGUGUAUAGAUACACCUGGUAGCCUGAAUUCCUGUUUUCCCGGUGUAUUCUGUUGAUGUUGUAUCACGCCGUGCUUUGUCACAUUCUUGGUUAUUGCACCGGCGUGGCCUUGUUUGUAAAAUUCCGCGGUGCCCUGAUCUUAUCUACUUCUUUGCUGUGAUCUGGCAAAAAAAUAUGAUCUUGGCGGGAUUCGAACCUGAGACCAGCACUACGCUAAGCGCCAUAAUCAGACCCUCCAGAGGAGGGUGUGCACUGAGUUAGCGAUCCGGUGAUACCGGGUUAACACCUCCUCAUCGCUGUCACUUGCGUCAGAGUCCGCUGAUUGCAGGACCCGGGCCGCAGCGGCCCCAGAUCGCGCCUGAGAUGCCUACAAGCAUCAAUGGACGGGUAGGCAAUAACAACUGCUUUACCGUACCGUACACGGUAGAUGCUCACCUUGUGGUUGGCACGCUCCUCCUUCCAUUCCGCCUCCAACCUGCAACAAGGGGUGUCAGCUUUGUACAGCUGGAAAAUGGGCUGAGCCCCCGUACGCUUGGGAGCUAAUAGGUGUGUAACGCCCCGUCAGAGCCUCCAUGCCGCUACGACGCGCAGGCGCAUCGGCUAGGGACACUCGGGUUGGGGGCGUGCGGGAUUUCCCGCGCCACGCAUGCGUGCCUUGCCACGUUCCCAAACACCCCAAGCAUUUCUUUCGCCUCCUGCCAUACUCAACACCUCCCCGGCGCCCCACGCUCAAAGGGCUAGGCGCGGGGCGGGGGCGACCUCGGGGCUUCUCGGCAUUCUGGCGCGUAGGCAGGCAUGGCUCGGCAAGUCGCUCAAAACUUUCGAUAUACUUCCCCGCUUUGCAUGCCGCCAACAUAGUUUGCCUUAGAGACUGCAUAUCAGCGGGCACCGGAUGCUUUCCUCGCGACCUCGCGAAAGUCAAUUGUCCAUGGACCGCGAAGGCACUUCUCGCUCCGCCCGAAGUUUCCCUGCCACCUAUUUACAUGCAAUAGACAUUAACAAAUACUAAUACGUAGCACUCGCGGUUUGCGCCAGUAUGCUAUGUUUUGCCGACGCACGCAGCCACCAGCCACGGACAGGGGUGUUCCUGGGGGGCUUCGCCCCCCCCCCUGAAACGCUGCGCUGGGGGGGCUCAGCCCAAAAAGAAGCCAUGUCUACGUGCCGGCAGCAAUAGAGUACAGGCAUACUUACUCGGCCACCUUCUGAGCAACGAACGUACUCCGCCGCACCCCCAGCUGAUAGCCUCCUUUGCCUCCUCCUUCCGAAGUUCGUGCUUCAUGUAGUCCACCAGCGGCACGUUAGGAAACCCUAACUUCACCCGCGCGUCCAUGCACGUGCUGCCAUCACAUGUGCAGGACCCCCCGACUGCAGGAAUCCAGCUUGCAAUUUUCCCUGCUGACACGCCGUCAUCCUUGCUCCACUUGCCCCCGUUGCACAUGUGCACUGUGAAUCCUGUAUCGUACAGUUCCCGAAGGCCUGGCAGCACGGCGUUCUGCACGGCAGGUACGCGUCCUUUAGACAAGUGUGCGCCGUACUCCAUAAGAAAGACGCACCUGGUACACAAAGCGCAGCGUCUCCCUCACCAGGUAGGACUCUGGCUUGGGUGCUGGCCCUGCAGUGGUGCCAGUCGCCUUGGCCUUGACGAUGGUAUUGUUGGGCGGGGCUGGCGGAGCUGGUGUACUGCGUACGCGCACUUCUCCAGGUGCGUGAUGCUCGGCACGAGCAUAGGGUCAUCCAUGGAGCCGUAAGCAUGGACUUCAAUGGAGGAGGAGGUGGGGUCGGCGACAAUGUAGAUGGCGCCCGGCAGUUGCCUGUGAGUGCGAGUGAACAUGACGCACGGUGCAUCUCGAGAACAUCGCACGGCUUUGUUAUUUUAUGAGAGCACUCACUUCAGUUGCGAGCCCUUGAGGUCCUCCACGGCGUUGGCAUCAAACAGCGCCGAGAGGUUGUUGUUCGCAGCGUGUAGGCCAUGCCUGAUCCACUCGGGGAAAACCAAGGCGUCCGAAACCGGGGUUUGACGUCCGAACCUGGUCCGAAGCUGGUCCGAAGCCGGCCCGAAAAGUUCGGACCGGGAGGUUCGGAUGGGAGGGGCAGUCUGGGCGCCCAGCCCAGAGGCCUGGGCGGCCCAUUUCGGACAGGCCGAUUGAUUCGGAUGGCCGGCCCAAAGGAGGGCCGCCCGCCAACAUAGUAAUUCCUGUAACUUUAAGCUUUGCUAGUGGCUUCUUGAUUCUCACACAGUUUCAGUCCGUAGAACCAGCAGUUUAGAGUUGCGUCCAUGGACGUGUGAUUGCAGCAAACAAACAACUGCUGCCCCCACCCACCCCCACCUUCACUUCCGCACGGUGUCAGAUAAUGAUGUCGCAACUACCACCAAAAAGUAGGCUUAAUUAGAACCGGGAACUUCUGGACUAAACAGUGCUGAGGUGUCAGGGGGCCCGCCCUGGCCCAUCUCCGAUCUCGCUCCAGUCCCUGGUCAUGACAACCUCGCCACACAAACUGUUCAUAUGUCAAGGGGACAAGCUUUUACCCUGACGACGAAGCCGUAAGAAUGCUAGGGUGCAACACAGACAGAACCCAGACGAGUGACAGCGCGUGUCAACUUGGUUUGUCUUGCCACCACACCGAUGAACCGUUCUAUUUCCCACACAACCCAAUUGACAAGCAUAUUCACCUUCCCAAUGUGGCCGCCCCGCCACCCGGCCCCGCUCCGCCCCGGCCCCCGCCCCGCCCGCUAGGUGCAACACAGACAGAACUCAGACGAGUGACAGCGCGUGUCAACUUGGUUUGUCUUGCCCCACAUGCGGCCACACCGAUGAACCGUUCUAUUUCCCACACAACCCAAUUGACAAGCAUAUUCACCUUCCCAAUGUGGCCGCCCCGCCACCCGGCCCCCGCCUCCGCCCCGCCCCGCCCCGCCCCGCCCCGCCCCGCCCCGCCCCGCCCCGCCCCGCCCCUUCACCCUGAGUGUGUCUGAGCCAUCACACAAAGCGCUUCUCGAGCUCCACGUGGAUCUGGCGCGGCAGGUGGGUGUUGUUCGUUGUUUUCGCACUCUUUACGAACCAGUGCAGCCGCCGUCCAGUCGCCCGGCGUCGCCUGCAUGCACGAGGUUGGAGUGCACGAACAGCAACUCGCCCACCGGCAGCUGCAGGCGCACCAGCCGCCGGUGGGGGGUGCUGGCGCAGAGGUCCUUCAGCACAGCUGCAGUCCGGCCCGCCUCCUGUGCUGCGGUGUACGCGCGGCCCCACAGCAGGACCUCGUGCUGGCUGGCCUGCGCCACCAGCAGGCUUGCCGGCUGGAGGGCGAGCAUGAUGAACCACCCGGGCUCCCCUGGCGCCAUGUCGUAGUGGGGCACCUGCUCGGCAACCGGACGAGUGCCGGGCAGGUUCGCCAGCAGCACGGCGUCCUCCAGGUGCAGCCCCAGCUCACCCUUCGGGUCUGCCGCUGUCACGACCUCCUCCAGCAACGGUCGCAGUUUGUCGCAGAGCGCCAGGAGCCCAGCGCUGCCCGCGAGGUCCUUCCACAGCACCUGAACCCGCUGGCCCGUCCCCACGCUCAUCCGGAUCUCCGCCUGCACGCCCUGCAGUGCUGAGAUGCGCUGGAAGAUCUGCUCUCCGUGUUUGUCCGCCAGCGACGCCAGCUCCGCGAUCAGGCGAGGGUUGAUCAGCCUUGUAAGCGUUGCCGGCAGACGCACGGCGGCAAGGCCCAGGCCGCACAGCAGCGCAGGUGGCACCUCCUUGACCUCGCAACGGUAAAUCUCGGUGGUGGCCUCGUCACGGGCAGCAGGCGGCGCCGCAUCCUCGGACCUUUCUGGGCUGGGCGGCUGCUCCAGGCUGGGCGGCCGCCUCUUCUUCUUGGCAGGGCGCGCGCCAAUCGGCUCCUGGCCCUACAACACAAGGGCAUGAGCGAUACACGAUAAGCUGAAGUGGGCGUAAAAAGCCAAGAGCCGCCCCGCCCCGCCCCGCCCUGCCCCGCCCCGCCCCGCCCUGCCCCGCCCCGCCCCGCCCUGCCCCGCCCUGCCCCGCCCGCCCCGCCCUGCUCCGCCCCGCCCUGCCCCGCCCUGCCCCGCCCCACCCCGGGCUGCCCCGCCCCGCCCGCCGUUCUAGCUGUCAGGGGAUGCAUGCCCUCUCACCGGUCCAGUUACAUUGUGUUGACCACGCGGUGCAGCCAACCGCGCACUGCUCCUCUGCGCUGCCCUGGCCGGUGGUGCCUGUAUGCAUGAGAGCGGAUCGUGCAGUUAGUGCAUGCAUGCUACCGGAUCCUCGCCCCGUGCACCCACACAUCAUAUGACCACUCACCGGCAGCGAACCACUGGCUGCGCCGCUGCUGGCCCCUGCGUGCCCACUCGAGCUGCCAUCUAUGCCGCUGACUGCUACCGUGCGCCCACAUGUGUCACCACUUGCGCCACUGUUGCUGACCUCCCCAGCCAUACGCUGCUGGGUCAAAGAAGCAGGUACGCGACGUGCAGGCGGCUCGCUGGUGCGGGUACUGGCGGCGCCGAGCUGCUUUGUGUCCUGUGUCGUGUCGGUGCCGGCAUCACUGCCCGCCUCAGUGAGCUCUGUAGCCGGCACGUACUCCGCGGGCCCAGCCGAGCCGCCAGGCUGUUGGUCUUUGGGUGACCACCCCUGUACCACCGGCGCCUGCGCCUGCGCCUCUGCCAGCUGCUGCGCCUGCGCCUGCGCCUCUGCCAGCUGCUGCACCUGCGCCUGCACCUCUGCCAGCUGCUGCGCCUGCGCCCGCGCCUCUGCCAGCUGCUGCACCUGCGCCUGCGCCUCUGCCAGCUGCUGUGCCUGUGCCCGCUCCUCUGCCAGCUGCUGCGCCACGGCCUUGUUGGUCAGCUCCUGCAUGGUUAAGUGUGUGAGUGGCCAUCAUAAUCUAUCGGAGGACGUGGGUCAGGAGCAGUACAACAUGGCCGUAGUUGGGCAGCACCUGUAAUUACCGGGAAGCCUUUCGCACCUGUGCGGCAUCCUCAAAAGCGCGGACCGCGUAGUUGUACGUGGGGUUGUUUGCUGCGAGGGUGCCCGGUGUGGGAGCGCCCUCCAGUGCGGCAAUCUCCAGCAGCAUUCUUGCCUUGCCGCUCAGGUCUGCCUGCAGCCACCCCUCUUGCCCCGCCAUGAUUUCCUGCACCAGCAGGGCGCCGCCCUCCCGCACGUAGUCGCAUGCCCGCUCGGGCUUUGACUUGGACCCCGUGAGCUCCAUCAAGGUCACUGGCACGGGGGGGUUCUGCGUAAACAGCAGUACAUUUAAGGGGGUGCCUAAGUGUCUGCAGCUGGACUGGUCACAGUGUCCUCUGCUGCCCACCUCGGGCGCCGGCGCCCCCCGCGGCCUGCUGGGGACAAACGUCGUGCCGAAGAGCAGGAACGGCUUUGCUGUUGCGGGCAGGGUGCCGAUGUACUCCACGCCAUCCUUGUAGACCACCAGCUGGCUGCCGGGCUCACACUUCCCCAGCGAAACUGCCGCGAGGAAGAAUUGCCGCUUGAAAGUGGACUUCCAAUGCCGCGCACGCUCCACUGCCCGACCAAGCUCAUGUAGCAUUUGAGUGGGGUUACCAAGGCAACCGAACUUGGAGAAGACAGUCAUUCUAGUGAGGUCUGCCAGCUAAGUUCGAAAUCAAUCCCUCCUCGCACAGUCUGCGGCUGGUGUUGGAUGCAUUGUUGAUGACAAACGAAUACAGUUUGGCUCUAUAAAGUGGUACAGACAAUAAGAAUUGAGGAAUACGGCUUGUGUGCGAAACGAAAAAAACCCAUCGACCCCGGUGGGUUUUCCGUUCGUCGCGUACACCUCGAAUUCUUUAUCCCCUGAUGCUCACACCUCCCCUAAUGCCGAGUAGCUAUUGAUAGUAGACAUUAAAGAGGCAAUCCACUCGCAGGCGUGUCCAUCACCACCAUGUCCCAAACACACUGCUGAAAACCCGGCGGCGCCUGGACCAGCCACAGCUGGGCUUGGCUGAUGGGAGCCGGACCGGGGUUGUGUGCGUUAAUCUGCGCCACAACGGCCUUCGCCACCGCGCAAUCCCAGAAGUGGUGCUGCCGUGGCGUGGGCGCGGCGGCGGCGUGUGCCUCCGCCGCGGCGCCCCCAUGGCCGUGCUGCCCACAGCCGCAUGGCUCACGGCGAGCCAACGGCGUAUGCGAGUUUCCCGGCAGCGGCACUGCGUCAAUGGCCAACCGCCACAGCGUCUCAAAGUGUCACCAUUCCCAGCGUACCUUCUGCCAAAGGCGUGUGUGUGUGUGUGUGUGUGUGUGUGUGUGUGUGUGUGUGUGUGUGUGUGUGUGUGUGUGUGUGUGUGUGUGUGUGUGUGUGUGUGUGUGUGUGUGUGGGCGCAUGUGUGUGUGGGCGCAUGUGUGUGUGUGUGUGUGUGUGUGUGUGUGUGUUAAAGAGCACAAGGAAAACAUUACGCGUAGGACAGUAUGUGUGUGUGUGUAUGUGGGCUUGUGUAUGCGUGUGCUCGUGUGUGGGCUUGUGUAUGCGUGUGCUCGUGUGUACACGAGGUGCGUGUGUAUUGACGCGCACGCGUAUGUGCGUACAUGAGCAUGAGCUUGUGCAUUUGUGGGUGUGUGUGCACGCUUGUGCGGGCGCGUGGGCGUGUGCGUGCGCGUGGGUGUGCACCUGUGUGCGUGCGUGCAUGCGUGCUUGCGUGCAUGCGUGCGCGUUUGCGUGUACAGGGGCAGGGGCAAGUGCAAGGGUGUGAGCAAGGGCAAUGCUGUGGGCGUGGGCGGGGUGCUUGUUGUUUGUCACUUGGCCCAACACAGCGCAAUGCCCAACUGCGUGUGUCUCCACGCGGGCAGCCCAACGGGGUGUGUUCUGUGUGCGUAUGCUGUGGGGAAGAGUGUUGCCGGGCAUGGCCUACUCGUGAGGCCCCAUCUGAGCGGCAGGCACAUGCAUCCCAUGCCCGCAUCGGACAUAACCAGCGCCCAAUGCUUGACUCAACGCUGCACAAUGCCCUACUGUGCGUGUCUCCACGCGGGCAGCCCAACAGGGUGUGUUCUGUGUGUGUGCGCUGUGGGAAACUGUGUUUCCGGGCAUGGCCUGCUUGUGUGGCCCCACCUGAGCGGCAGGCACAUGCAUCCCAUGCCCGCAUCGGACAUAACCAGCGCCCAAUGCUUGACUCAACACAGCGCAAUGCCCAACUGUGGGUGUCUUCAAGCUGGCAGCCCAGCGGGGCGUGUCCUGUAUGCGUAUGCUGUGGGGAAGUGUGUUUCUGGGCGUGGCCUGCUUGUGUGGCCCCAUCUGCGCGGCAGGCACAUACAUCCCAUCCAUGCCCGCAUCCGACGCAACCAGCGCCCAUCGCUUGGCCUAACACAGUGCAAUGCCCAACUGCGUGUGUCUCCACGCGGGCAGCCCAACGGGGUGUGUUCUGUGUGCGUGCGCUGUGGGGAAGUGUGUUUCUGGGCGUGGCCUGCUUGUGUGGCCCCACCUGAGCGGCAGGCACAUGCAUCCCAUCCAUGCCCGCAUCGGACAUAACUAGUGCCCAAUGCUUGGCUCAACACUUCGCAAUGCCCAACUGUGCAUGUCUCCACGCGGGCAGCCCAACAGGGUGUGUUCUGUGUGUGUGCGCUGUGGGAAACUGUGUUUCCGGGCGUGGCCUGCUUGUGUGGCCCCACCUGAGCGGCAGGCACAUGCAUCCCAUGCCCGCAUCGGACAUAACCAGCGCCCAAUGCUUGACUCAACACAGCGCAAUGCCCAACUGUGCAUGUCUCCACGCGGGCAGCCCAACAGGGUGUGUUCUGUGUGUGUGCGCUGUGGGAAACUGUGUUUCCGGGCGUGGCCUGCUUGUGUGGCCCCACCUGAGCGGCAGGCACAUGCAUCCAAUGCCCGCAUCGGACAUAACCAGCGCCCAAUGCUUGACUCAACACAGCGCAAUGCCCAACUGCGUGUGUCUCCACGCGGGCAGCCCAACAGGGUGUGUUCUGUGUGUGUGUGCGCUGUGGGAAACUGUGUUUCCGGGCGUGGCCUGCUUGUGUGGCCCCACCUGAGCGGCAGGCACAUGCAUCCCAUGCCCGCAUCGGACAUAACCAGCGCCCAAUGCUUGAAUCAACGCUUCGCAAUGCCCAACUGUGUGUGUCUCCACGCGGGCAGCCCAACAGGGUGUGUUCUGUGUGUGUGCGCUGUGGGAAACUGUGUUUCCGGGCGUGGCCUGCUUGUGUGGCCCCACCUGAGCGGCAGGCACAUGCAUCCCAUCCAUGCCCGCAUCCGACGCAACCAGCGCCCAUCGCUUGGCCUAACACAGCACGAUGGCCAACUGUGCGUGUCUUCAAGCUGGCAGCCCAGCGGGGCGUGUCCUGUGUGCGUAUGCUGUGGGGAAGUGUGUUUCUGGGCGUGGCCUGCUUGUGUGGCCCCAUCUGCGCGGCAGGCACAUGCAUCCCAUGCCCGCAUCCGACGCAGCCGCAUACAUUGGAUUAAGCGUCCUAGCAAUGGCAUUACCAGAAGGGAGGCGAGCUGGCAUGCGCAAUGGGGCAGCGCUGCUGCAUGGGGAGACCCGACAUUCAGCUUCUCAACUUAAUAGUAUGACUCUGUUAUAAGACUCAUACUAUGCACUACAGAUUUAAUACUAACAAGUUGUUAAAUGUAUCGCUAGCCUGUUACAGCCUAUCUCUGUUGCAAUCAAGCGAUAUCGGCAUGCAGUGUUCCACGUUCUCAAACCCUCUAUGAUACUGCACGAUGCUAUUUCAUAGCAAAUAUGUUAGACACAAGCUUGCGAGCAUGCCUGAGGGGUUGGCGGAGGUGCUACAAACUUGGUCAAAGUGGAGGAUUUGUCGCUGACCUUCGCCGACCUGCACGAAAUUCAAGGCCAAACAGGCUCAAGGCCCAAGAAUGUAAGUUUUUGACUGAGAACUCGCAUUGUAUCAGCUCAAAACGUCUACAGCAGUGUUUUCCUGUCGCGGUCAACAACCAUUCGUCUGCCCUGCCUGCGCUUUCGCACGGGGUCCUAAUGUGUGUGUGUGUGUUACAGGAUUGGAAGUGUGCAUUCCUAAUACCUGCAACGAGACUAACCGAGCCGCAAGGGCCCCUCGUCUCCUGGAACUGGAUUGUUAGUUGCAUCUUGCACACCAUGUGCACCGUCGUGGUGCUGCCUAAUCAAAAGACAGCGCUUAGACCAAAUAUCCUAAUAGGUCCUAAUAGUUUGCAAUUGCUUAUGCAUGCAAAUAUCUGCUUGCAAUUCCCCGGCCGCCCUAUUCUCAUGUCAACCUUCGUCAUGUCAACCUUCGGCAUCGGUGCAUGUGCUGCUGGCAAUGGCGCUUUUGCGUUUUGGUGGUAAGUCAGAUUUCGUGAUGCAAUCCACAUGAAAAGGAGCACCAAGACAUGUGUGCAGUGGGCAGCUCAACGGACAGGGCAUGUAUACAGCAUGUGAGAUACAGCAUGUAUCUCGGGGAAAGGCUUGUCACCAUGCCUCUUGCAACGCCGGUGGUGCUGUGUAUGCAGGUGAUAUGUGCGCAAACAUGGAGGCGCAUGUGUAGGGCCGAGGAGCGCGACGAGGUAGCCAAAGGGACCCAGGAGCAAGCAAAAAGGGUAUGUGUACAGGGUUGAACAAGGGCAGGGGAGCCGCUGCUACAUGACAAGGGCAUGACAGGACAUGCAACGGUGUCUGUAGACACCACAAAAGCGCAGCAGGCGGGGCACUGGGCAGCAGCGGGUGGUGGCGGCGUCCGAAAUGGUGUUGGGCGUGUCCAAAUUGACGCCUGGGCAUGUCCGAAAUGGGGCUGGGUGCGUCCGAAUCAACAGCUGGGAGUGUCCGAAAUGGGGCUGGGCGCGUCCGAAUUGCCAUUGCGUCCGAAUCUUGGCAUCCGACAAAAGUGUCCGAAAUACUUGUAAUUCGGAUGCUAUUCGGACCAGAUUCGGACCGACUUCGGACCAGCUUCGGAGACAAAAACUUCGGACAGGGGUGGGGUCUUUCGGACAGGAACUCGGACCAGCUUCGGAUGGUCUUUCGGACCAGGCUUCGGAUCAGGUUUCGGACAGAUCUUCGGACCAACUUCGGACCAGAUUCGGAUGAGCGGCUUUCCCCGAGUGAUCUUUGCAGCUUUACUUUUUGGGCUGAGCCCCCCGAGCGAAGCGAUCCAGGGGGGGGCGAAGCCCCCCAGGAUUGCCCCUGUCCGUGCCUGCCUGCCUGCCUGCCUGCCUGCCUGCCUGCGUGCCUGCCUGCGUCGACAAAAAGUGCCAAACUGGCACAAACCGCGAGCGCCACGUAUUAUAAAUUGCUAUUCCCUAUUGUAUAAAAAUAGGCGGCAGGGCAAAUUCGGCCGGAGCGAGAAGCGACCUCGCGAGUCCAUGGACAUCUUGACUUUCGUCUUGCGAGCGAGAGUGCAGGCUUGAUAGUUUCUUCCGCACAAAACUAUACCGACCGCAUCCAAGCUUGGGAGACACAAGAAUGCUUAAACAUAACAUGCCUCAAGGCCAUUUCGGUGCAGGUUCCGCGCGAAGACGACUCCGUUCUGCCUUUGCUCAUGUAGUAUCCGCCAGUAACAACGACGAGGAUGGAAUGAACUGCCGCUUCGGCCGUUCACUGAGUCGUAAUGGCAACAGCUUCCUCGCCGAGCUGUCGUGGCGGUGGCUGCGGCUGCCAGCUGAAAUGGCGGUAUUGAACAACGACAACCGUGACGUGGCGAUAGGCAGACCCUUCCCGUCCGCGGUGCGCGACACGCGAGCGGCAUGGAGUCGCGGCUGCGCGGUAAGGGCCGGGGUCUGGUGUCUGGAGCGUGAAGUGUGGCGGGGAUGGUUGGGGAUGGGCGGGGAAUGGGCGGGGAAUGGGCGGGGAAUCCUGUGUGCAUGGAGGGGGAGGCGGGAAACCCCGAGGGCGGGAGCGAGGAAGCCCAAAGCAAGGCGCCCAGCAGUGCUGAACGUGAACGACUUGCCAAGCUGUGAACUAAAUGUGUCCCACAACUUAAAUAAUGCCUGACAGCCCUGCACGGCGCGGCAGUCGCGGCGGCCGCGGCCGCCGCGGCCGUGGCCGCGGCGCGGGGCAAGGUCUAUCAGCCCUUGUGCACGAUGACCCUUCACUCGAUCAAUACUGGCCCGUUGCUGAACAACAACACACCGCUGCUGUGCCGAGAGCGGUGGCAGCACGCGCACAAGGUGAGCAUAAGCGAGAAGGGCGCGUGAGGCCAGGACACCCGAGAACCUACUGUCCUCCUGUCGCCGCCCGCAGGCGCGGCCGCGGGGCCGUCACCGCCACCCCCAGCCUUCAAGGGGCGUCAGGGCGUCACCGACACCGACAACGCCGCUGGGAGCAGCGGACAGCAGCAUGGGCUCGCGCCGGAGCACCUGGAGGAUGGUUUGGUGGUGUCGGGCACCGCCGGCGCUGCGGCAACUGCUGCCAGACCUCGGGCUGCAACAGCUGCUGGUGUCUGCCCUGGACGUGACGCUCUGCUACACCGGCGGCGGUGCAUUGGGACGCAAGGUGCGAUGCUGAAGCACGUGCAGGGCGUUAACCAGCAAGCUUACCCAAACCGUUGCUGGCACAACAGGAAUGAUGGCACCGCCUGCCGGCCCUGCCAACCCUGACCCACAUCCGCUAGGUGGCCGCAACAUCCCACAAGGUGAAGUCAGGAGCCAACGUUGGGGCCCAUGAGUUGUGUGACCAUCUGUGCGGUACAGCACAUUGCAGUUUGCAAGGAUUAUUGGGCCCUUGAUUGGGCCGUGGCUGCGGCGUUGUAGCGCUCUCCUGACGUGGCCUGUCGCCUCCCUCUCCCCUUCCAGGUGGCGGAUUCCAGGUGGCUCCUGACCCACAUCAGCUGGUGGGCGCUGGCUUCCUUGCCUUCGCGUUUGCGGGCGUCGCGGGAGCUGCCAUUCUGGCUGCCGGUGGCGCUGUAGCUGCACCGACUGCAGCUGGCGGCCCGAUCGAAGGUCAGUGUGAGUGGCGUCGAGGGGAUGUGUGCGCAUGUGCAAAACAGUUUGUUGCAGGCGGUGACCAUUCAGAGAGCUUCCUCCCUGCCUACAGUGCCGCUGGCGCCAGCUGCCAUCACUGCAACACCCCCGGAUGCAGCUGACGCUGGUUUUGUGCUCCCGCCGCAACCGCCGGAGCCCCCAGUACAGCGUGGACGUGGACGUGGCAGGGGCAGGGGCAGGCCGCGUGGGCGCGGCCGCGGGCGCGCGCGUGGGUACGGCAGGGCCAGCGCUCCCCAGCCGGCGGAUGCAGACGCGGAGGCCGUGGAGCAGCCGCACAAGCGCCGCCGCAGCUUUGGCACGGAUGAGCAACAGCGGCAAGCCGCACGGCGGCGCCAGCGGCGGCAGGGCAUGGAACCUGAUCAGCGGCAGCAGCACCUCUCUGCGCACGCCGCGGCGGAGGCGGCGCGCGUGGCGGCAAUGACCGCUGAGCAGCGGCAGCAGCACCUAGCUGCACACGCCGCUGCGGAGGCAGCGCGCGUAGCGGCGAUGAUUACUGAGCAGCGGCAGCAGCACCUCGCUGCACACGCCGCCGCGGAGGCGGCACGGCGGGCGGGCAUGGACGAGGAGCAGCGGCAGCAGCACCUAGCUGCACACGCCGCUGCGGAGGCGGCGCGCGUGGCGGCAAUGACCGCUGAGCAGCGGCAGCAGCACCUCGCUGCACACGCCGCUGCGGAGGCGGCGCGCGUAGCGGCGAUGACUGCUGAGCAGCGGCAGCAGCACCUCGCUGCACACGCCGCGGCGGAGGCGGCGCGCGUGGCGGCAAUGACCGCUGAGCAGCGGCACCAGCACCUAGCUGCACACGCCGCUGCGGAGGCGGCGCGCGUGGCGGCAAUGACCGCUGAGCAGCGGCAGCAGCACCUCGCUGCACACGCCGCGGCGGAGGCGGCGCGCGUGGCGGCAAUGACCGCUGAGCAGCGGCAGCAGCACCUCGCUGCACACGCCGCUGCGGAGGCGGCGCGCGUGGCGGCGAUGGCUGCUGAGCAGCGGCAGCAGCACCUCGCUGCACACGCCGCUGCGGAGGCGGCGCGCGUGGCGGUGAUGGCUGCUGAGCAGCGGCAGCAGCACCUCGCUGCACACGCCGCCGCGGAGGCGGCACGGCGGGCGGGCAUGGACGAGGAGCAGCGUGCAGCGGAAACGGGCGCGCGGCAGCAACGACGGGCAAGACAACGCUUCACAGCCAGCACUGAGCGUGGCCCAGCAAUCCGGCGUAAGUUCGAGGAGGUGUGCAACCACGUCUGCGAAUGCUGUCGGCGCUGCUUCUACAGGGCCGGUGUCACGGUCACGGAGCACGAGGUGGGCGUGUGAAUGGGUCCGGGUUCGGCUCGGCUUGCAUUGGAUCGCAGUGGCUUGCACUGAAAGCGCAUCACAAGAGUCUCAUUCAGCACUGAAAGCAGGCGCUGUUACCCAUCAUCGCAGGUUGCAUGCUCCACUCUCGCCCGGAUCCUGCGCGGCGGCGCCGCGGCCGGCACCGACCGCGACCGUGACGAGCUUGACGAGCUGGAGCGUGGCGUCGGCGCCUAUGCGGCAGACGGCGAUGCAGGCGGCGCCGCGGACGUGGCCGCAGCCGCGACCGAGGAUGGCGGCGGCGUGGGGCUGGAGGCGGGACUGGAGGCGGAGGAGGCUCAGCAGGCAGCGGAGCCAGUGCAGCAGCGGCCACGCCGGGCUGCAGCUGCUGCUGCCACCGAUGCUAUCCUUGGUGGCGCCCGUGGCCGUCGCGCCGCCCGCGGUCGUAGCCGGCGCCGUGGUCUACUCGGCCAGGCGGUAGCGGCGGACGGCGUGCCGGCGGCAGCAGAUGACGGCGGGCAGCCCACCAGCCGCAUGCUGUGCUGCACCUGCCUCGAGAAAAUAAUAAUAAUAAUACCUACGCACGGACCAAGGUCCCGCGUGCCUUAAGGAAGAGUCCCAUCGAGGCUAACCCUACCGUAUCUCUGUGGGACCUUGGCAACAGGCACCCCACGCAUCCACCUUCACUCAGUCCAUAGGAACCGAAGUUCUGGACCUAUCGGCCUACCAACUCUCCGAAUUCGGCCAUCGUGAAGUUUCCACGUUGCAACAAUGGGAUCCGAACCCAGAGAGUCGCUACAACGCUUCCGUCAGUACCACGGACUCCAUACCGGAAUACUGACUCGGUUCCCCGGGCAGGAUCCGAACCUGCAUCUAUACUUGUCAGCCUCAACCCGGCCGAAUCCGUGAUUCGAACCUGGGUCUGCCAUGUGACAGCGGCAUGCUCUACCAAUUGAGCUACCGGGGAACCUGCCUCGAGACUCUCAAGCGCGGGCAGAUGCCGAAGACCUGCGUGGUGAACAGCCUCUCCCUGCAGGAGCUGCCACCGGUCCUGCGAGACCUGCGUGACGGCGAGUGGCGGCUGCUCUCGCUCGCGUUCGCCUGUGUGCAGCUGCUGGUGCUCCCGACGGGGGCACAAACCGGCGCCCGGGGCAUUGCCGUCACUGUACGUGCGGAGACAGCACAGAUGGUGCAGCAGCUGCCGCGUAACGUGGACGACGCCGGCAUUGUCAUCAUGCGGACUGGUGCCGCGCUGCCCAACGGCCGCCAGCCCAACGUGCAGGAGACUGCGCAGGGCGGUAGUGGGCGGCCCCCAAAUGCACCAGAACGCCGACCGCCAGUCACCUUCCGAUGCCGCAUAGCCUUUGUGAUGGCGGCGCUUCGCUGGCUCAAGCUGAACAACCCCCUGUACGCCGCCGUCGAGGACCGGCUACCCGGGGCUGUGGGCGGCGGUAACGAUCGAGGUGAUGGCGGUGGCGCCUACGGCGCACCUGACGAGGUCGACCUGCCCAUGGUGGACGUCGAGGUGCCUGGCGUCGCUGCUGAAGCCGCGGGCGGUGCAGGCGGGGGCGACGGCGCUGCUGCGGCAGCACGUGAGGGCGGCGGCGGCGGCGAGCCUGCCGAUACGGCCAUGCCUGACGCGGCGCCUGCCGCCGGCGCUGCUGCCGAGGCCGCGGGCGGUGCAGGCGGGGGCGACGGCGGUGCAGGCGGUGACGCAGGCGCUGCUGCGGCAGCACGUGAGGGCGGCGGCGGCGGCGAGCCUGCCGAUACGGCCAUGCCUGACGCGGCGCCUGCCGCCGGCGCUGCUGCCGAGGCCGCGGGCGGUGCAGGCGGGGGCGACGGCGGUGCAGGCGGUGACGCAGGCGCUGCUGCGGCAGCACGUGAGGGCGGCGGCGGCGGCGAGCCUGCCGAUACGGCCAUGCCUGACGCGGCGCCUGCCGCCGGUGCUGCUGCCGAAGCCGCGGGCGGUGCAGGCGGGGGCGACGGCGGUGCAGGCGGUGACGCAGGCGCUGCUGCGGCAGCACGUGAGGGCAGCGGCGGGGGCGAGCCUGCCGAUACGGCCAUGCCUGACGCGGCGCCUGCCGCCGGUGCUGCUGCCGAAGCCGCGGGCGGUGCAGGCGGGGGCGACGGCGGUGCAGGCGGUGACGCAGGCGCUGCUGCGGCAGCACGUGAGGGCGGCGGCGGGGGCGAGCCUGCCGAUACGGCCAUGCCUGACGCGGCGCCUGCCGCCGGUGCUGCUGCCGAAGCCGCGGGCGGUGCAGGCGGGGGCGACGGCGGUGCAGGCGGUGACGCAGGCGCUGCUGCGGCAGCACGUGAGGGCGGCGGCGGCGGCGAGCCUGCCGAUACGGCCAUGCCUGACGCGGCGCCUGCCGCCGGCGCUGCUGCCGAAGCCGCGGGCGGUGCAGGCGGGGGCGACGGCGGUGCAGGCGGUGACGCAGGCGCUGCUGCGGCAGCACGUGAGGGCGGCGGCGGCGGCGAGCCUGCCGAUACGGCCAUGCCUGACGCGGCGCCUGCCGCCGGCGCUGCUGCCGAGGCCGCGGGCGGUGCAGGCGGGGGCGACGGCGGUGCAGGCGGUGACGCAGGCGCUGCUGCGGCAGCACGUGAGGGCGGCGGCGGCGGCGAGCCUGCCGAUACGGCCAUGCCUGACGCGGCGCCUGCCGCCGGUGCUGCUGCCGAAGCCGCGGGCGGUGCAGGCGGGGGCGACGGCGGUGCAGGCGGUGACGCAGGCGCUGCUGCGGCAGCACGUGAGGGCGGCGGCGGCGGCGAGCCUGCCGAUACGGCCAUGCCUGACGCGGCGCCUGCCGCCGGUGCUGCUGCCGAAGCCGCGGGCGGUGCAGGCGGGGGCGGCGGCGGUGCGGGCGGUGACGCAGGCGCUGCUGCGGCAGCACGUGAGGGCGGCGGCGGGGGCGAGCCUGCCGAUACGGCCAUGCCUGACGCGGCGCCUGCCGCCGCUGACACUCCUGCGGUCGCCACUGAGGCAGCUGCUGGGCGCGAGCCCGAUGCAUCUGAGGGCCACGCAGGCGGGCGCGUCAGCGGCGGCAGUGGCGGAGCGGGCAGUGACGCUGCGGCUGCUGGGUCCUAUGACGCAGCCGCUGCUUAUAUGCGCGAAGUCGGCGGCGCUCCUACAGCCGUCGGCGCAGGCGGUUGGCGCAGGCAGUUGUUGAAGGCGGUUGCGGAGCGUGCUCUUGCCGACGCUGAGGCGGCUGGUCGUGGGCCCAACGCCAUAGUGUUUGUGAGCCACCCAACGCUUGGAGAAUUUGCGGUACGGCGCCUCAGCCCGCACCGUGGAGACCAUGACGAGGACGAUCAGCGUCCGGAAUCAGGCAGCACUGCUGCAGUUGAUGGUGUGGGUGGAAACGGUGAACCUGGCGGUGCAGACGUGGAGCCUGGCGGCGGCAGUGGCAAGCCUGCCGACACGGACCUGACGGACGCUCUACCUGUUGCUGGUGCUGCUACAGCCGCAGUAGCUGCUGCGGCUGCUGCAGCUGAGGGCAAUGCAGGCGAGAGUGGCGGCGGCAGCCGGACGGGUGGUGACCCAGAUGCAGCGGGGGCAGGCAGCGGCGAUGGUGGGCUUGCUGGCACGGCUGCAGCGCCUCUGGCACCGGCGAUCCCCAGGGACGCCGCCGACCAGCUGCCUGAGCUCCGAGAUGACAGCGAUGGCAGUGAUGCUGACGAGCCGGUUGCUGAUGGCCGGGCCGCAGACCGCGCUCUGCCGCACGAGCUGCGGCACUUUGGGCAGCGGUUUGGCUGCGGCCCUGGCUGUGCUCACACGCACCACAGUGCAGGUAUCCCACCACCUGGACAGCAGCCCGGUGGCGUCCCUCCUGCAGCGCUGGGUCUGGAUCCGGCAACCGCCCUGCGGCUCGACCAGCUCAUCACCGCCGCUGGCGCGCAUGUCGCAGUGGCAGCGAUCGCUGGCGCUGUUGUGGGCGCUGCGCGCCAGGUAGCAGAGGGCCAAGCCGGUGAUGGCAACACACGCUGCGGCCGCGGUCUAGCCAGCGGCGGCCAUGCAGGCAUGCCGCCAGCAGGUGCGGACGCCGGCGCCAGGACUGGGGCACACGGCGGCAGUGGCAGAGAUGCCAACGCCACCACCACCGCCGCCACUGCCGCCGCUGCCGGAGGCGCUCACCCGGCUGCGGCAGUGGCGGCGGCCGCUGCUGAGCCCCCCCUCCCGCCGGUGGACGUGGUGAUGGCAGAAGCCAACCCGGUGCUGCCGCGGGACGCACUCCACACCGCAACAACACAGGCAGGGCGAGCCGCUCGGGCGCGUGAGGAGCGGACCAUGGCCACCACCAUCACCACCCGCACAGGCGGAGUGCUCAGCAUUCACGCUCACCCUGACCUGGAGGCGCUGGCAUUCCCCAUGCUCUACCCGUACGGCACCAACCACUUCGGCACCAACCGAGAGCAGCCCAUCGGCAUUGCAGCCUACUUCACCAACCGCGUGCAGAAUGCCGACCGCCGCUUCCAGCUGCCGGUGUACCUGGCGUGGGCGGUCAGCCUGUCUGUCUACCUGCAGCUGCGCAACCAGAUCAGCGUCAGCCUGCGCAUCCAGCAGAACGGCCGUGCCCCCAGGCUCAACACGCUCCGCCGCCAGGUUGCCGCCCUCCAGCGACAGCAGCGCCGCCAAGACGCAGCUGUACCGGACCCUGCCGCCGCUGGUGAGGCAUCCCCGCCCAGGCCCGCCACAGCCCUGCUGGCCGGCGGCCGGCCCGGGCGGUGGAACCUGUACCGCGGCGGCGGUGUUGCACCAACGCCAGGGGCAGCGGCGGGCCGGGAGCAGCACGCGGAGGAUGGGGGCCAGGACGCCGACGCUGCCGACCUUGGCGACAUCGAGACAACCGCCCGCGCCGUCCUCAGCAACAUCCGCGGUACCCCGGCCUACUGGGCUGACGCCGCCGCCGACCUGUUCGCCAUGCUGCGCUCCAUCGGCCCGCCCACGUGGUUCUUGACGCUGUCCGCCAACGAGCUCGGCUGGGACGACCUCGUGCUCGCGCUCAUCUCCGAGCCUGAGGAGCGGGCACGCCGUGCCAAGGAAGCACUGGGCGCCGUUGCGUUCGAUGCAGCGACGCCACGCGAGCGCGGCGACAGUGUGCGCGCAGCACUCGGCGCUGCAGCGUACAUAGCCGCGUCCCCAGCAGAGCGCGAGACUGCAGCGCGGCGGGCGCUCGGCACAGCGGCGUACACGAGCGCAACGCCGGGGCAGCGCCAGGCUAGCGCGCAGCAGGCGCUGGGUGAGGAAGCUUUCCAACGACUCACCCACAAUCAGCGGGAGCCCAGCGCCCGUGAGGCGAUGGGGGAGGCUGCGUACAGACGCGCGACGGAGGAGCAGCGGCGCGAUGCUCUGCUAGACAGCGUCACCCGCAGCGCCAUGUUCCAGCUCAUCCGCGACAACCAGGUGUGACAGGUUUGGGUCCUUGGGGUUGCAUCCAUCGGUCAUGUUCGUUAUCUCCUUUCGCUCACGCUACCCACACGCACCGCGCCUCACCAGGUCACCGUGGCGCGGCACUUCAACCAUCGCUUUGAGACCCUGCUCAAGGCCAUCAUUGAGUGCCCUGACUACCUGGGCGAGGUCCAAGACUACUUCUGGCGCGUGGAGUUCCAGGUGCGCUGGUUGGUGACCCUGUGCUUGGGCAAUGCUGCAGCUGUGUGAAGCCGCGUUAGGUUAGGCACGCUUCGCUGCACUCUCAGCUGCACUCUCAGCUGCACUCUCCUGCCCUCCACUUCUCGCAACUGCAGCGGCGCGGCUCGCCCCAUAUCCACAUGCUGCUGUGGGUGCGCGACGCGCCAAACAUGGACACCGCCGACGGUAUGGCUUCUGCCCCCGCCUUCAUCGACCGCUACGCGUCUGCCAAGCUGCCCGACCGGGAGGCGGACCCUGUGCUGCACGACCUGGUGAAACGCUACCAGAUUCACGGCCACACCUUCACCUGCGGCGGCUUGGACGGCCCCUGCCGCUUCCUGUACGCCAAGGACGCUUGCGAGGCCACGCGGCUCAGGCAGGACGGCGACCGCAAGCUGCGCCGUGGCGACUCGUAUGUCAUCGCCCGAGGCCCGGGUGACGGCAAUGUUGUGCCCUACUCGCCAGCGCUGCUGCGGCUGUGGGGCGCCAACAUGGACCUGCAGCUGAUUGGCAACGCCGCCGGCGCCGCUGCCUACGUCACCGCCUAUAUGACGAAGGCGGAGACCGACGGUACGCGGAAGACGGUGCAGGAGGCGGUGGGCGGCAUGCCCGAGGACGCGCCUGCAGCUGCCGUGCUCCGCCGCGCCUGCACUGCGCUGCUAAGCAAGCGCGAGUACUCGAUGCAGGAGGCUGCGUGGCUUCUGAUCGGCUCAACCCUCAAGCUCCGCGGCAGCAGCCGUGCCACCGUCAAGUUGUGCUGCCGGCCCAAGCAGGAGCGCCCUGGCAUUGCUGCCCGCAACGCGUUCGCAGCCAACACCGACGGCGAGCGUGAUGUCUUGCUGGCCACCAACCACUACGACUACUACGCGGCGCGGCCUCUGGGCUUGACCGGUGCCCUCGGAGCACCGCGGCACCGUUGCAGGCCAGCGGCUACAGCUGACGACGAGGAGCCGGACACUGCCUGCGAGGUGUGCAGCAGCACCGACGCGGACGAAGGCGCCAACUUCAUGCUGUUGUGCGACACCGCCAACUGUCCCUACGGCUACCACGGCCGCUGCCUGGAGGCGCCGCUGCUGGAGGCGCCGCAAGGCGACUGGUUCUGCCCGCACUGCCGCCAGCGCGCUGCCGCGGCUGUGGACGCAGAGGCUGCUGCCCGUGCGAGGGCUGCAGCGGUCGCCGCGGCGGCAGCUGCAGCGGGUCAGUGCACGGUUGCGGAACCUGCUCUUGAGCAGGAUGGGGCGGGGCUGGGGGGCGCCCAGGGCGAGGCGGCUGCCCAUGCGGCCACGGCCGCUACCGGUGACGGUGAUGGCGCCGCAGGCGGAGGCACUGGCGGCAUGGCCGCGACUGGGACAACCGCGCCUGCCACUGAGGCCGCUCGGACAGCCAGCAUUGAGGCACUGCUCGCGCGCAACGCCCGCCAGGGCCGACAGCAGGCGGGGCCAGAGGUGGUCGCAGGCAGCGCGCUGCCCGCCAGCUGGGAGGACGUCAGCCUCUUCAUGUUUCUGUCCGAGUUCAGCGUCAGCCGCGUGCAGUCCAGGGACGCCGUGUCUCUCAGCGCCCCGUUCGACGGCAGCAGCCCCACACAUACACGGCUAUACAUCAAGCGCCGCCCCAACAAGCCCUCGGUGCUGCGCUGCCACCCUCGCACCACUGCGGACAGCCAUGGCGACAAGCACUUCUGGGCACAGCUGUUCCUGCACAAGCCGUGGCGGAGCGAGGCGGCACUGACAGCAGGGUUCGGCAGUGCGCUGGACGCCUUCCGUGUUGCCAUGCGCAACCCCGCGUUCGUGUCUGCGGUGCGCCCAGGCCCUGCCGCGGACGCAUUGGAGGCGGAGGUGGAGCGGCUGCGCGCGCUGGACGAGGAGGCUGGCGGGCUGGUGCUGGACCAGGUUCACGCAGACCCAGAUGCGGGCGCUGCUGAAGCGCAGGACGACACGACGGGGCUGUACGACCCGGAGCUGCUACCGGCACACGUGCGUGCCGCUGUAGACCAGGAGGCUGAUGCUGGCGGCGGCGGGGCCGGUGGCGGCGGCGGCAAUGAUGGCGGUGGGGGCGAGGGCGAGGGCGAGGGCAACGAGAUGGAGGGCGACGGCGGCGGCGACGCCGCCGGCGCGGCAGCCGCAGCGGCUGGGCGGGACGUGCCGGUGCUGACGGCGGGGGCGCGCAUGACGCGCGAGGAGUACGACGCUGGCCGGCGGGCACUGAGCCCCGAGCAGCGCGCUGUGUUCACCGCUGUCUUUCAGCAUGUGCACGCAACUGCGGAGGUUGCGCGCACCGGGCAGGACGCGCCUCGCCAGCUGCUGGAGUUCGUGACCGGUGGUGGUGGCACCGGCAAGUCCUUCCUCAUCAAGCUGGUCACGGAGAUGCUACGCCGCACACACCCGGAUGGCGAGCCGGUCGUCCUGACCGCGCCAACUGGCGUGGCGGCCUUCAACAUCCGCGGCUCCACCAUUCACCGCGCGCUGGGCCUGCCUGUGGAGAACUGCCGCGAGUCUGGUGAGCCAGUUACGCAGGAUGCAUACGGUAAUUGUGGGAUGCCUGCAUCAUUGCACGACCACGUCCCCCUCCCCCAUGUCCUUGCGCUGACACUAGCCACCCCUUUCUUUCGCACACGUGCAUAUGUGCAGGAGCCCGGCGCGUGCACUGGGAGCCGCUGUCCGCCAACCGGCUCCAGGAGCUGCGUCAGAUCUGGGCAUGCGUGCGGUACCUGAUCGUGGACGAGAUCUCCAUGGUCUCGGCUGCGACGCUGUGGCACAUCCACCGCCGCCUCGUGGACACGCCCGAGCACUGGCCAUUCGGCGGCAUCAACCUCAUCGUGCUGGGCGACUUCUACCAGGUGAGCGUGGCACUGCACGUUGACGGCCAGCGCUGUGUGGGCCAGCAAGGAGAGCAGCAUGCGUGCGUUGACCUGAAUGCCCCUAGGCUGUCAGCAUGCCUGCGGCACUCAACUGCACCCCACGCCAUGCCACCCUACACUGCAGCUGCCGCCGGUGAAGGCUACCUUUGUCUUCGAUGGGGAGGGGCGCGGCACCUGCGCUGAUGCACGUGACGGCGCCGCCAUGUUCCGCGAGUUGUUUCACAUGUUUGAGCUCACGCAGAACCAGCGGCAGGCGGGCGACCCGCUGUGGGCUGCUGUGCUCAACGUGCUACGGCUUGGCGUGCGCACAGGCAGCCGGCAGGACUUGAGGGCUUGGGAGCUCGCGUGCGCCAUCGUCAAGGAGCGGAUGCUCGCGUCCGUGUCCAGCAACGGCAAGGCGCUGGAUGCCGACUUCCAGAACGCCCCGCGUCUUCUCUCGCUCACGCUGGAGGUGGACGAAUACAACGCCGCGCGCCUGCAGGAGCUUACCAGCACCCCCGGUGUCGUCUGCCACGUCAUUGCAGCCCAGGACCAGCUCGUGCCGGAGCCGGGGCAGCCGGCUGGCGAAAUUCAAGCCGGCGACGUGCCCACGUCGGCCGACAUGUGCGGGGGGUUGGGCGCCUGCGUACGGCUUGCUGUCGGCGCACGCGUGAUGCUGCGCCGCAACGUGCACACGCUUGACGGGCUGGUCAACGGAGCGCAGGGCACCGUCACGGGCGUUGAGUUCAGCCGCGGCGCUGUGUCGGCGGUGCUGGUGCAGUUUGACGACCCUGACGUUGGGCGCUUGGAGCGUGCGCGCGCGGCGGCGGCGCGAGGUCAGCCAGAGCCGGCGAGCGCCCCAGUCGCUAUCGCCAGGGCCACCAGUCGCUUCUACAACACCCGCCGCACCCGCGAGCUAUCCCGGCAGCAGUUCCCGCUGGCGCUCUGCUGGGCGUUGACCAUCCACAAGACGCAGGGCCUGUCGCUGCACAAGGCCGUCAUCAACCUAGGCAGGUCCGUCUUUGACGCCGGCCAGGCCUACGUGGCGCUCAGCCGCGUGCGAUCGCUGGCAGGCGUCGCGCUGUCCCAGUAUGUCAGCACCAGCCUGGAGAAGGUCAGCCCCCAGGUCAGCGCCGAGUAUGAGCGUCUGCGCGCCAAGUCCGCCCGCUUCCGGCAGGAACAAGCAGUGGCUGACGCAGAUGCGGAAGCUGCUGUCGCGCCCAUCGCCGCUGCCAUCACCGCGGCCGACGAGGCCCGUGUUGCUGACGCGGCGGUCCCAGCAGACAGCGACAUUGCAGACGGGGCGGCGGCAGGCGGCGGCGGUCAGGACCUGGCAACGGCGACGGUGCCUGCUGCGGCUGCGGUCGCGGUCGUGGCUGCUUUGGGUGAUGCUGCGGCCACAACAGCCGAUCGCAGCGCCACCGGCAUCCUGCUCGCAAUCUACCAGGCGCGUCCAUCUGCAGCACGACUGCCGCCUGGGGCUGAAGAAGCUGCGUGGGACAGGGCCAGCGCGCGCUGGAACACGGUGCAGGCUGCAGCACAGGCUGGGGCCGCCGAUGUGGGGGAGAUGCCUGCGCCCACAGGAGCGGGCAGGGGGGAAGGAGGGGCAGCACACGGAGGGCACACUGGCCAGCGUGGGCGAGGCCGCGGCCGCCGGGGCGGGCUUGUGCCGCAAGUCGCCGGCCACAGGCGGCCACGCGAUGGCGAUGAGGGCGGCGUGGAAGACCAGCGGCCCGCUCGGCGCGUGCGCGCAGCCGACGCCGCUGCCACUCCUGCCGCGAGAGUUGCGGCUGCACCCGGUGCCAGCGGCAGUGGUGGCGGAGCUGGCGCCAACGUGGCGGCGCAGCUUCUACAGCAGCAGCAGCGGGCGGGCGGAGGCAGGGCUGGCCGGGGGCAGCAGGGGCGCGGGGCCGCUGACGGCGUCGGUCGAACGCUUGCAGAUGGCACGCUGGCCUCUCACAGUGACUACAAUGCCGCAGCAGUUGCGUGGGGUGACCUGACCUACGACUUCACGAGCUGGGCUGCGCUUCUUGGGUGCGUGCGUGCCUUGCCCGGCUGCACGCACUCUUGGCUGUACAUGCCGCUUAUCGUGGACGCGCUGCUGCCGGAGGGCAGGGCGAGGGCGGCCUUUCCCUUCCGCCGACCCAACGGCUGGAGACAGCUUGUGGGCCUGCUCAAGGCCGGGGCUGCGGAUGCCGGCAUCAUCGCAGCGCAGCUGCUGCUCGACCUGGACUGGCACAUCAGCGCGGAGGCUCAGGAGCAGGUGCUUGAACGCUGCCUGGGCCUCAUCGUGUCCGGCAUCUGCACAAAAAUGGCAACCGACUAUGCGCUUGGACAGGCGGUCACCAUUACCACACUGAUCCGAGACGCGGAAGCGCGUCAGCUGGAGGCGGUGCAGCAGCAGCAACAGCAGCAGCAGCAGCAGCAGCAGCAGUAGCAGUAGCAGGAGGAGGAGGAGGAGGAGGAGGAGGAGGAGGAGGAGGAGGAGGAGGAGGAGGAGGAGGAGGAGGCUGGAGGCGCAGCUGGAGGUGGCGGCGUGUAGGCCGGAGUAGUGGCGCUUGUAAUGGAUAUGGGCGCAGUUUGAGAUAGAUCAAGGUACUGUCUCGCUCAGAGAAUCAAGGGCGGCAAGGGCUGUGUGAGCAGGAGGCUGCAGGCGCAGCUGAAGGUGGAAGCGUGUAGGCCGAGGUUGAUGGCAGCUGACACGGCCGCCAUGGCAGGUGCCGUGCUUCCAAAGGCCUCUGCUGCAGCGGUCAUGGCCAUGCGAGCAAACCGCUGCUCUAUCAAGGCCUCCGCAAGUGCGCAAGCCAGGGGUUCCACCGCCGCGCCCGCCAGCACCUCCCGAACUGCACGCGCGGCCCCUCCAGCUGAUCCCGCGGCCUCAGCGCAGCGGCGGCGGCGGAGUGCCCAGCCCGCAGCGCCCGCCAUCUCCCCACCAUACUCCAGUGCGGCACUUGCACAAGCACGGGCGGCAGUGGCGAUCAGGCCCUCGGGCACUGCUGCUGCAGCCUGCCGCGCCGCAGCCAGGGCAUCGGCGCGCGCGCCCUCCUGCACCGCCGGGGUUCCGCCGGCACUGACCACACCCAGCAGCCGCGUCACCUGCUGCUCGUUCAGUCGCUGAUGAAACUGCCACAGCCCGGUGCGCAGAGACCGCAGCAUCAGGAGCGCUGUGGAAUUUACCACGUGCGCCUUGGGCUCCCAGCGCUGCUGCGUGAGGUUCUGUGUGAUGUAUUGAGCGGCCACGGCGACGUCGUGCUCCGUGAAGGCACACAGGCUGGUGCCAGGGGCGGCCNNNNNNNNNNNNNNNNNNNNNNNNNNNNNNNNNNNNNNNNNNNNNNNNNNNNNNNNNNNNNNNNNNNNNNNNNNNNNNNNNNNNNNNNNNNNNNNNNNNNCUGCUGGAAGUCCAUGGCCGACUGCGCAAACAUCUCAUUCUGCUGGAAUGCUGCGGCAUAUGUUUGCCGCUGCACCUGCACGCCGUUCGCACGCAGCUGCUGCAGGCGGGCCACCCCAGAGCGCAGGCUGAGCGCUAGGCUGGACAUGAACUCCUGCUCUUGCUGCAGCGCCUGAGGUUGAUGAAUUACAGUCAUGGCCAGCGCCCGGCCAGCGGCGCAGCCCAGCGGCGGCCGCAUGUACAUGAGCAUGCGGCCGCACAGCCCAGCUGCCCACACUUCGCUCUCUAUGUUGGCGGGCCUGGCGAUGACAGCCUGGCGCCAGAGAGCGAGGCCCAGGACGCUGUUCUGGCGGAUGCGGUGGACUUUGCGCAUGUAGGCCUCAAACUCAUCCUGUGCCUGCUGUCCGACCAGGUCCCCACCGAUGCCUGGGUCCGGCCCCCAGUCCACCCCCGCAACGCUGUCGUCCCACGUGUGCGCCCAUGUCAGUGCCGCCCACAGCAGGUGCGGCAGGCCCAUCCGGGCCGCCGCGAUGGCAAUCCAGGACCCCAGCGGCAGCUGGUGCGCCAGCGCCGGGGGGCCGAAGGUGAAGUCAAACAUGCUUGUGCAGUCAUCAUGGCCGGCAAAGUCGAAGGCGUCCUCACACUCCCACAGCACUGCCACCGGCGUGCUGAGAUCAGCGCCGCCCAGGUGGCAGAGCGCCGUGAGCAGCUCUGCAGACACCAGCUGAUCCAUCACAGGCACCUCCUCCUGUUGGGAUGCGGGGCAGGCGAAGCAGACGAAUUCCAAAAGUAAGCGCAAAAACAGGCGUAGAUUAAAGCUGUGUGGGGGGGGGGGCGGGCGGCUCUGGGGUUGGAGGUGGCAGGGGGGUGGGGCGGGAAUGUAGGGGGUGAGCGAGCGCAGCCGCGGGCGCUGCCCACCCGCGGGUCGGCCCCGUCAGCUAAAGUCUUCUGAAGGCGCUGCACGCAGCCAAAGAGCCAUGCAAAUUGUCCCUUAUCCAUUGAUACCACUUACGUCCGGGUUGGCGUCCAUACGGGCCAUCGCGGCGGUGGCCACCACCGCCGCCUUUAUGUUGGCCUCACAGCACAGCGCGGCGCCCGCGCCCGCGCCCGCGCCCGCCCACUCCUGCGCCUGUGCGGCAACCGCUCCAGCCGCGGCAAAAGCCCUAGCGUGGCAGCCGCGGAGGCCAACGGCCGCCAGAAAAGGCGGCGCGAGCAGCUCCUCGGGCGGCGCCUUCGCUGCCACUAAUAUCGCCAACACUCGCCUGCCCUUGACGUCAGGGCUUGAGGCUGCUUCAUGAAUAAUGUCCGGUUGGUACAGGUCAGCAUACAGCUCUCGGAGGUCAAGCCCCGCGAGCCGGCGGUCCAGCAAUCCUGGCAUUGUAGGUAUAUAUGGUGAAAUUAAGCUAGUGUUGAAGAAAGUGAACAAGAUGAACGCGGCAAACCCCAUUGCGCAUUGGCAAGGCACGCUUGGGCCCCACGCGCAUGCUGGCUCCCCGCCCUGGCUCCGUCACGGAUGUCCCUAACCACAGUUCCGUGCCUUGUGCAGUGGCUUGGAGGCUAACAGGGGGCUAUUAUGUGCUGAUCGGCUCGCUGGAGUCGCCGGCCCCAAGCAUCCCGCGGGGGCUCAGCCCUUUUUCCAGCUGUACAAAGCUGACCCCCCUUGUCCCAGCCAAACCCGCACGUUGGACGUUGCCCCGGGGCAAAUCCUACCGCACGGAUUAGACGCCGCCUUUCUGUAGGUACAUAACCAACAUCAUCAUCAGCCAGAAGUGGUCGGCAAAGGUCCAAAUUAUGCUUAUCGGGGCUCAAGUCGCGAAAUUGACCGAAGCCCAUAUCUCGCAUAUGCGCUGUUUGGGGCCUGAAUCUAUUGCCGUCGACAUUAAUUCUCGUAUAGAUGUCAUCAAAAUAGCUUCAGGCUAAGUUGGCGGGGUCCUGGCGAGCGCGACAUAUAGCAUUUCAACUUGAGCUCUCGCUCAAAAUUAUGCCCGAGCACCAUCCAGGGACCUUAUUAUGUGUAAUGGGAUGUCAAUUCAUGGUCGGGGCGACAGUCUGGGCAUAGACCUUGCGAUCCCGCCCUUGACCCCCGGAGUGGUACCCGCGUGCCCGCCCUGCCGACUUCAGCCCUGCCCCUCCGUUCCCCAUCCCGCCCCGCCCCGCCCCUUCUCCCCAAUCAUAGUUCAGAUACAUUAGCAUGCAAUAUAGCGGUGCUGAGCACACCAAAGCAGCCACGCAGGUGGCUGCAUAGACCGAAGUAGGGUAAGAGCCCUCACAGCCACAUCCACCACAGGCGUACCAAUUCUGCGACUUCAAUAAGUAGUCUCUUACACACAUAGAUUAUUCGGCGGCGCGAAUCCUGGGUCAAUCCUGGAGGCUACGAGAAAGUCAUUUGGGCAUCCCCCGGCGGGGGGACGCGAAACCAUCUUUGUCUAAACGCCAAGUAGCGAUGUACAAUCAGCCAGUUCUGCUUCCAUAUGUGAACCUGUAUGCAUUCAAUGCACUAAGACAAGGCCAUUCCCCACGGGAACGACGAGCGUCAUAAUUCUCAACGUUUCGGUCGUGUACCUGUCGCUCUUUCGAGGUAGCAGAGCCAUAAUCUUUCUGUCAUGAUACAUAACAUAAACACAACGUUUCCCGGGGCCCUGGCUUGCCAUGUAACGUCGGCAUGGGGCGGCAUGGAGCGUUUCAGGAGUUCACUUCAACUCUUGCAGUUCUGCGUUCAUACUUAUACCUGUGUCACAUACAUGAAUUAGGCUAUUUGACUAAUCAACCAUUCUUUGCGUCGCUAUGAUUCUGAGACGACUGUGCUCGAGCGGCGGAUGCCUUCGUUCGCGAUAAACCCUGUCGACUAUAUGCAGCAACAGUGUCAACAAUGCAAAUCUUGAAUGGAGUAAUGAAGCUGGCUGGCUCGUGAUAACGAGCUGGCAUCACAAGCUCGCCGGUCAACAAAGUCAACCGCGCGUUGACCGGGGCGUUUCCACUCUGCAAAUGGGCCCGGCGUAGUACCCUGUGAUUGCUGGCUCAGGUAACAUGUGCAUUGCACUGAAACAUUGCCAGGAGUUUGUUUUAUGGACAUAAUGUGCGGGUCCACAAGUCAACAUUCGCGCCGCUCGUCGCCCGCAGGUCGCUGAGCCAGGCGCAAUGUCGUACAUUAGCUCAAGGUCCGCCGUGCGCGCGCCCGUUUUCGCGGCUGGUGUCAAGGUUGCAGGUUGGGCUGCGAGCUGAUGGCGCGCGGUCAGUCUCAAUGCCCGCCGUGCUCGCGCCCCUUCCCGCGGCUGGUGUCAAGCCCGCAGGGUAUGGAGCUAGCUGCUGGUGCUAGGGCUUGGUUUCAGGUUAAGGCCCGCCGUGCUCGCGCCCUUUCCCGCGGCUGGAUGGUGUCAAGCCCGCAGGGCAUGGAGCUGGCUACAGUUGCUAUGGCGUUGCAAUCAGGUUACAGCCCACCGUGCUCGUGCCCUUUCCCGCGGCUGGAUGGUGUCAAGCCCGCAGGUGAGCUACUGGCGCGAGGACUGCAGUCAAGCAGUAAGUUUGCAAGGCAGUGGCAUGGUCCUGGGGACAGGGAGGGCAGCUUUGGGGCAAGGGACGGGCCCAUCCCUUCAAUCCCGUCUAACACCAUGCACCACAUUGCUGCCGCAGGGAUGGAUGGUGGAGCGAGCUAGGACAUAUGCUACGAUGUUGGCGCAUGGUGUCCAUGACGGUGCUGCUUAGUGCUCAAGUGGCUGCUAUGGACUAGGCAUGGAGGCCAGACCAUGCCUAGUCACUUGUGUGAAUCAGCUUGGAGGUAGGCUGAGUGUGGACUUCUCAGCUGCAAGGGACUUCGUCCCUGUGCGUGGUCUUGUGCGGGGCAAGGCGGGGCAAGGCGGGGCACGACCACUGCGGUCUUGUAACAGCUGUUGGAUGCCUGCAGUGCCUCUCUAAUGAACGGGACGGGGGUUGUGGGGCGGCCGCGGGACCGACAGCUUCAGCAGGGUAAAGGGGGCAUUUAGCCGCCUGGCCCGUUCAUCUGCGUGGGGGGGGUAAGCCGUCUGGCCCAGUUAUCCACAUGAGGGGGUUACCCGCCUGGCCCCGUAACCCAAGGGGGGGUGUGAGGGGGGCUGUACUGGCCCAUGCCUCAGAGUGACCCCCCCUGGGGGUUAAGGGGGGGGGGUUAAGGUCCGAAACACUGACGUAGGGAGAGCGAGCAAACGCUCUAUAAUGAAAUGUAGUAUAUAUAUUAUAUGUAUACCGGUAUAUCAGUUAUCACAGCAUAUGUAAAUAUAUUAAACUUCUUGAAGUUGAAGGCCCAGGAACCCCAUGCAGAGGCUAGCGUUUUUCCCUCAGACCCCAACGGAAGGCCUGCGUAAUGUACUGGGAAAGAUGUCAGCUUUUAACUUAGUGUACUAGGAAGGAUGUAAGAAGGAGAAAACGGCCUCAACCCGGUGAUGUAAAGUUCUCUGCACUCCUGGACGGCUUUGGGUGUUGGGGUUGAUUGAUUUUUAUAGGCAUUAGUCAAUAUGCACAGUGUGGCCAAGUUCAAAUACACAACUUGACGAGUUGACAAACAUGGGUUGGCGUCCCCCGGCCGGGGGACGCUCGACCACUUUCUCUGAGACACCCGAAAAGCCCGAAUUUCUGGGACAAGUACUCUAAAUGCAUAACAGACUAUUGAUAUCAACCGCUAAAGCCAUGCGCCAAGUGACAGCAGUGACCGGGGGGGUUCAUUGCUGCCUCGGUCGACACAGCCAGCUGCUCAUGUGCAUUCCUAUGCUCAGGAAGCAUACACUACAUGCAACUACAUUACUAAAGUAAGUUUACAGCUCAGGAAGCGCGGCGGUGGGAGCUCGGCCGUCAGCGACUGCCGGAGGGUUACUGGGGGGCACGCUGGGGGCACGGCUGGGGGGUUCAGGGGCUCGGCAGGGGCGAGGCCGCCCCAAGGAUCCCACAGGCCUCGCCCCAGACUUCUCGCCCAUAUGUUCCCACUUAACAAACACUACAAUUGGGAGCUCUUACAUGGCCUUCUGGGCUGGCGAGGGUACAGGGGCCAGGUGGGUGCGGGGGGGGGGGGUUAUGGGGGUUGGUGAGGUUAGGGGCCGAAACACUGACGUAGGGAGGAGGCGCGGCGCUGCUAAAUGCCAUCAAUGCAUGCUGCACAGUUGUGGUUUGGUAGACUACGUGGAUUGGGAAGCAUCAAGGGGAGAUGGCAAGAUCAGCAGUGGGAUGAUCAUGGAUGGUAUGGGGUGAAGAAGAAGACGCACACCUUGCUCCCAAUGUUGCUGUCAGGGUUGCUGUUUGUAAACAUCUGUGUGCAUUACCAUCCAUGCGGGGGGGGCAGCUGGAGAAGUACAGGUAUUACAAGUCCUCCCACGGUGUGUGUGAGGGAAGAGGGCAGGCCCCUACCUUGAGCAUAAGGCACGCACCAUCGUGGCUGGGCAGCGAGUGAUGAGUUACCU